GCUGAUAGGAAGGAAAAAGAGAGUCAAUUAAGAAUUGAAAGAUUCUUGGAGGAUUACAAAGCACUCAAACCAAGCAGGUAUUCGUAUGCAGAUAUUAAGAGGAUUACAAAUCAAUUCAAGGACAAGUUGGGCGAAGGAGCCUAUGGAACUGUCUUCAAAGGAAUGCUCUCUUCUGAAUUCUUUAUUGCUGUCAAAGUCCUCAACAGUUCUAAGGGAGAUGGGGAAGAGUUCAUAAACGAAGUGCGAACGAUGGGUCAUAUCCACCACGUCAACGUGGCUCGCUUGGUUGGAUUUUGUGCUGAUGGAUUUAUACGAGCUCUUGUUUACGAGUUCUUCCCCAACGGUUCCCUGCAGGAUUUCAUUUCAUCCGCAGGUAGUAAGAAUUCCUUUCUUGGUUGGGAUAAGCUGCAAGAUAUUGCCCUAGGCAUAGCCAAAGGAAUUGAAUACCUUCACCAGGGAUGUGAUCUACGAAUCCUGCAUUUCGAUAUCAAACCCCAUAACGUGUUGCUAGACCAAAACUUCACUCCAAAAAUUUCUGAUUUUGGUUUGGCCAAGUUAUGUUCCAAGGAUCAAAGCUUGGUGUCCAUGACUACAGCGAGGGGGACCAUUGGCUACAUUGCACCUGAAGUGUUCUCCAGGAAUUUCGGAAAUGUGUCUUACAAGGCAGAUGUUUAUAGCUUUGGAAUGCUGCUGCUUGAGAUGGUAGGAGGAAGGAAGAAUAUUGGUGUAACCAUAGAUAACAAUACAGAUGAAAUUUACCAUCCACAGUGGAUUUAUAAUCUUCUAGAGGAAGGGGAUGACCUACGAAUCCAUAUUGGGGAAGAAGAAGAUGGUAAAAUUCCAAAGAAACUUGCAAUUAUAGGGUUAUGGUGUAUCCAAUGGCACCCGUCGGAUCGUCCUUCCAUGAAAACAGCGGUUCAAAUGUUAGAAGGAGGGAGGAGAAAGCUUGACUGUGCCGCCUAAUCCCUUCAUGCCUACAGGUCCUACAACUAGAAAUGUAAGACGCCUAGAGCUAGAAGCAAUUGCUGAAUUAGAGUAAAAUGUAUACGCAAAUGUAUAGUAACAUUCGCAUUGAAUGUGUAAUGAUUCAAACCUAAGGGAUAUUUUGAUAACCAUUUCGUUUUGGUACCAAACAAAAGAAGUUUGUUUUCUCUCCUUGUUUAAGCAUUAGAUGCCAAUUAUUGUUUAUCAUUUUUAAAUUUAUAUUUUGUUACAGUAGAAGCCUAGAAGGAAAUCGAGCACUGGACUUACCAAAUUCUAACUCGUUUCUACACACCAAGAGCUUGAUGAUUUCGGCUCUUAUUUAUAGUAUUUAAGCUAUAAGCCGUGACAAUAAUUAGAGCACUAUCAUUUGUUGUGAGCUUCAACUGGUUAGCAUUUUUGUAUGUUUUAAACUUUUAAUUAGAAUAUAUAUUUCAUGUAGACUUAUCUUGCCAUAAAGCAUGUCAUCCCCUCCCAAGUUUUUCUCUUCGCGUUGAGUUUGGGAUACGAAAACUUGCCAAACAAAGUGGAUUGAUUAGUAACCGAAGCUUAUUAUUCGACUAAAUAUUAUUUGGAAUUUUAAUUAAAAGAAACAAUAUGAAUCGUUUUUGUUUGAUUUGAAAACUAUAAAAUGAGGAGAUUAAAUUGUUAGUUGUUAGGAGUAGAGAAAUUGGUAGAGAUCGAAUUCAUACAAGAAUGUAUAGACAUUAUUGUGCUUUGUCACAAGGAUAAAUCACAUAAAACAAAAUGUAGUACUUUGAGGAUGGAAGAAACUUCAUGGAUGACGGGUAAUCAACACAAUAUGGGUGGGGAUGCAGAGGUGACGCGGAAGGAAUUGGCGGGCUGGUGGAAGUGGGUUGUGGCAUGCAGAGAGAGUGGGGUUGGGGACGCAAGAGAUUGCGUAGAAGGUAGAGGCGGGCGUGAGGGUGACGUGAGGGCAAGGGAAGUAGCAAACCGUGUGGGCUGCUGUGGUUGAUCCACUAGGGUGGCUGGAUAGCCUUUUUGACCAAAUUAUAAAGCGCAUAGACUUUUUGACCAAGAGGAUAGUCAACAAAUAUGCAACGUUUUGCACGGGUAUCAAAUUUAUGAGUGGGAUGUGUAAGAACCAAUAAAGCCUCCUAGAGAUCUAAGUCAAGUUAAAUAAACCACGAAUAACCAAAACAAUUAAUAUACUACAAGUAUGAAAUAUAAACCAACUUGCAGCAGUAAUAGAUGAAACCAUGAUCAAACAAGUAGUAGACCUUCUCCUCUCUGUCAAAACCAAUAAUACUCAAACUAACAAUAGGUCUUAGUUCGAUAAUGAGCGUAUGUUUUGUAAGAGCAGAGGCUACUAUUUAUAUACAAUCAAUCUAUGUAAUUCUCCUAUUAGAAUCUUUAUUCAACACUGAAUAAGUUUACCUUAUUGUAUACAAAGUGUUAAAACCAGUUUUCAUACUUUCAUUCAAUCCUUCACAAAUAAGGAUUAAGUAUACCUUUUUACAUUGGGACUUUUCUAUACGGAUCUGAAACAAAUAGUAGGCCUUAGGAAUUAUAAUCAUGAUCAUAUUCUUACAUUCUCCCACUUGAUCAUGACCCAAAACCAUCGCACAACAAUUCAAAUCAUUAUAGAAGUGAUCACUAAAUGUCAAUGAAAAAUUACUUCAUCACAAACAAUCUAUCAAUGCAUUUCAAAGUACUGAAUCCAGAAAUUCACACUCUUGAUACAAUACAGAGCUAAUUUCAAAAUCACAGAUACUUAAUCUGCACCUUUGUAACAUUGUGAACCAACUGAUUAAAGACAAACUCAAAACAAGUUUGCUCCCACUUUUGAAGCCAAAACAUUUAAUAUCAACACAUGAUACCAAAUCGUAAUCAUCUCAAUAUUCAAACCGCUUAAAUAACAUGAUUCGUAAUCCAAGUAAUUACUUAAACCAAACUCUUGAAAGAUCAUAAGUAAUACUAUGAACAACACUUUAUAAUUCAGCCAAUUGCUUUAUCAAAUAAAAAACUGACUUUAAAGCAUUGUAAGAACCAUAAAACAAAAUUUUGUCUUCUAGAACAAUUAAUCACAGAUAAUCUGGAAAAAUUGAACCCAAAUGAAAACAUUCGAUUAUUCAAAACUAGCUAAAACAUAAAACUAGUUGAAACAAAAUAAUUGAAACAAAACUAACUAAUAAACCUACAAAGAUGUCAUCACCUUUAAUACUUCUGUACCAGCAACUACUCCCACUGAUCAAAAGAUUCCAGCACUCCCAUUCGAGUAACAUGAGCUUUGAAGACUCCAAUUGGUAAAGCUUUAGUCAAAGGAUCUGCAACCAUGAGAUUUGUACUAAGAUGUUGCACUUCUAUAGUUCCUUUCUUUACCAUCUCCCAAACUUUCAGGAAUUUUACAUCCAUUAGUCUACUAACAGAAUUCCUCUUAUUGUUUUUAGAGAAAAACACAGUUGAAGUGUUGUCACAAAACAUCUUCAUCGGCUUUUGAAUUGAAUCCAUUAACUUCAACUUACUUAUGAAAUUCUUGAGCCAAUUAGCUUGCUUGCUGCCUUCAAAACAGGCUACAAAUUCUGCUUCCAUGGUGGAUGUUGUUAUGAUAGAUUGCUUAGAACUUUUCCAUGAAAUAGCUCCACCUCCAAGCAUAAAGACAUAACCUCCAGUGGAUUUUCUUUCAUCUAAGUCUCCAGCUAGAUCUGAAUCAGUAUAUCCAGUGACUUCUAGAUGUGGAUUUCUGCCAUAUAUGAGCAUGAACAACUUGGUCCGUUGCAGAUAUCUCAAUACCUUCUUCGCCGCAGUCCAAUGAGCUCCACCUGGAUUUGAUUGAAACCUAUCCAAGAUGCCAACAAUGAAGGCAAUAUCAGGUCUCGUACAAACAUUUGCAUACAUCAAACUACCCACCAAAAAGGCAUAAGGUUUGUCUCUCAUCUUUUCCUCUUCAAUUUCACUCUUGGGACAUUGUGCUCUGGUGAAUAUAUCACCUUUAUUGAUAGGAACGUUGCCUCCUUUGCAAUGCUCCAUGUUGAACCGAGUUAGCACUCUAUCAAUAUAACCCUUUUGAGAUAAACCCAAAAGUCUCCGCCUUCUGUCUCUCACAAUCUCUAUCCGAAGAACAUAGUGUGCUUCACCAAGGUCCUUCAUUUCAAAAUUAACACUAAGCAUGGACUUAGUGUUCUGCAGUAAUUGAGAACUAGAACUAGCCAGUAGUAUGUUAUCGACAUAUAGCAUCAUUAUAAUGAAAUUUGGUCCACUGAACUUGAUAUACAUGCAAUCGUCUAACUUAUUUUCAGUGAAACCAUGAGCUGUAACUACUUGAUUUGAGAUACCAUUGCCUUGAAGCUUGUUUGUGACCAUAAAUUGACUUAUUUAAUUUACAAACCAUAUCUUCCUUCCCCCUUUGAGCAAAUCCAAUUGGCUGCCUCAUAUAAAUAUCUUCUUGUAGCUCUCCAUUAAGGAAAGCCAUCUUGACAUCCAUCUGAUGCAGCUCUAAAUCGAAAUGCGCAGUCAAAGCCAUUAUGACCUUCAUGGAAUCUUUUGAUGAAACAAGUGAAAAAGUAUCGUUGUAGUCAAUACCUUCUCUUUGAGUGAACCCUUUUGCAACUAAUCGAGCUUUGUACCUUUCAAUUCUACCUUGAGAGUCUCUUUUCGUUUUAUAAACCCACUUACAACCUAUAAGCUUGAUUUUGGAAUUAGAUUCUACCAAUGUCCAGACUUUGUUUUUGCUCAUCGAUUCCAAUUCCUCAUUCAUUACAUUGAUCUAUAAGAUUGAUUGUGAGCUCUUUAUAGCUUGAUUGUAGGUGAUGGGAUCAUCAAUAUCACCUAUGUCAUACUCAGAUUCUUGCAAAUAGACAUAAUCAUUUGAUAUGGUUGACUUCUUUGUUCUUGUCGAUUUUCUUAAUUCUGGUUCAGCUCGAGGUGGUUCUGAACUGUCAACUUGAUGUUGUGUUUGCACAACAUGAUCUUCCAGCCGAGUCUGUUCAGAUGUAGUUUCUGUUUCAAGUCCACAAUCUACCAUUUGAUGAUCUUCUUCUUCAUUUGGACUAAUCUUUUGCGGGAAUAUGGGAAGAAUCUUGUAAUUUUCUGCAGGAGAGACAUAUUCAUCUAAGAUUUGUUCCUCAAAAUUAAAUUCUUCUUGAUUCAGAUCUGCCACAUCUUGGUCUUAUAGAAAAACAGCAUUGUGUGACUCUUGAAUUCUUGAAUGAGCUUGUGGAUCAUAAAAGUUGAACCCUUUGGACUUUUCGCAGUAGCCAACAAAAUAACAAGACUGAGUUCUUGCAUCUAAUUUCUUCUCAUGUGGAUUAUAGAACCUUGCUUCAGCCUUGCAGCCCCAAACAUGAAAGUAAUCAAAAUUUGGUUUUCUUCCAGUCCAAAUUUCAAAAGGGAUUCGUGAAACAACUUUGGUUGGAACCCUGUUGAGUAUAUAAGUUGCUGUUUUGAGUGCUUUUCCCCAUAAGAAUGUUGGAAGUUUAGCUCUAGACACCAUGCUUCUCACCAUCCCAAUCAAAGUUAUGUUCCUCCUUUCUGAGCCUCCAUUCUGUUGUGGCGUUCCAGGUGUCGUAUAUUGUGCCACAAUGCCAUGUUUCUCCAGAUAAAGAGCAAAAGGUCCUUUCUAUUGACCUGCCUCAGUAUACCUGCCAAAAUACUCUAUUCCCCUAUCCGAUCUAACAAUUUUAAUAGUUCUAUUUAAUUGUCUCUCAACCUCAGUUUUAAAAAUUAUGAAGCAACUAAGGACAGCUGAUUUUUCACUAAUGAGAUAAGUAAAACUGAAUCUUGAGAAGUCAUCAAUAAAAUUCACAAAAUAGUUGUUUCCACAUAUAGUUUUAACUGGAAAAGGACCACAUACAUCAGUGUGUAUGAUUUCAAGCAGAUUUUGACUCCUAGCUUCUAAUUUUCUAGUAUUAGUCAAUUUCCUUUUCAAACAAUCAACACAUUCACUUUUGGUUUGAAAAUCAAAUGAGGGAAUCAAAUUGGACUUAGAUAAUUGUAAGAUUCUCUCUUUCGAAAUGUGUCCCAACCGUUUGUGCCACAAAAUAUUAGAAUUUUCAAAAUCAUGCAUCCUUUUGGUGUUUACAUUUAAAACAUGCACAUAAUCAUUUUCAAGAGAACAAUCCAAUUGCCAAAGGUUUUCACGUAAAUAAGCUUUUCCCAAAACUGGGUCUAAAUUAUUCUUUUGAAAAAACUUUAUGCCCUCAUCAUCCCCAAGAAAAACCAAAUUAUGUUUAGUUAGUUUUGAUGCAGAAACUAGGUUCCUUCUCAUUGUAGGCAUAAAAAGUACAUCAUUUAGUUCAACUAUAAAACUAGAAGAUAAUUUUAGUUUCACUUUCCCUAUAGCUUCUACAACAACCUUAGUCCCUUCCCCAACAAAAACACUAUAAUUCAUUUUAUUUGUUUGUUUUUGUUUUUCAAAACCAUGCAAUGUAUUUGUGACAUGAACUGAUGCACUAGUAUCAAACCACCAAGAUUUAGCAGGAAUUUCAACCAAGUUAGACUCCUCACAGACAUAGACAUCAAUAUUACCCUUACUCCUCAGCCAAUCCUUAAAAGUUUCGCAAUCUUUUCUAACAUGACCUUUGGUUUUGCAAAAGACACAUUUAAGCUUAGUUAUAUCUUUAAUUUUAACUUUAAUAUUGUCAUAUUUCUUAGAGGAUUCAACAUAUUUAGCAGGCAUACUAGAUUUAGAGACAUUAUCAUAAGACUUAGAGUUCUUACUUGGAUUAAUUCUGCCACCCUUCUUGCUCUUUCCUUUGGAUGCAUGUACAAGGUUUACUGCUUCAAUUUCCUUGACCUUGUCUUGCUUCAGUCUUUUCUCUUCUUGGACACAUUGAGCAAUGAGCUCAUCAAGUGUCCAAAGAUUCCCUUGAGUGUUAUAUGAGACUUUCAGUUGACAAUAUUUAGCAGGGAGUGCUUGAAGCACCAUAAAAACCAGUUGAGUCUCUGAAAUAUGUACAUCCAUUGAGUUGAGUUCUCGGCAGCAUCUGAGAGUUUCAGAAUAUGAUCCCUAAUUGAGCCAUUGCCCUCACACUUGUAAGUUGUCAAGAGUGACAUGUAGUGUCCAAUUUCAGCCUUCUGAGGUUCUUGAAACUUCUCUUCAACAGCUUUGAAGUAAUCAACAACAAGGUCAUGUUGUUUGAUACCUCCUCUAACAUGAUCAGUCAUGCCAGCCUCCAAAAUGGACAAUGUCAAUUUAUUUGAUCUCCACCACCUCUCGUGCUCUGCUUUCUUAGCCUUGGAACUUUUGUCAGUCAAUAAUGGGGGUUGUGGAUUGUCAAUUGCAAUGUCAAAUUCAUUGAGUAUCAGUAGCAACUUGAUCUCGCGUCUCCACUUCUUGAAAUUACUUCCACCAGUAAGAAUCGAAACACUUGCCAAAUUCAAGGGUUUCAGUGAAAUUGCAGCAGAUCAUAAUGAAAUCAGUAAACAUGAACCAAUAGGUUCCUGAUUUCUCUACUACUAGUUAAACUGUACAAAACAAAAUUUGAACCAAUUUGACCAUAUAUGUAGUCCCAAUGAUAAAGGAUACACAUAGAUCAAACAAUUCAAAAAAUGUCCUUUUUUUUUUCUUUCGGAAUAUGUAUCAAUUGAUAGUUCAAUACUUAUCACUCAUAAUUCCAUUUGAUUUACAGAUAACACAAUCUUCAAAAAACAAAAUAUGCAGUAUAUACAUGCAUACAUUUUUGACAUUGAACUGUUGAGUUUUUUUUUUGACCCAUCAAGCAAAACCAAUCAAUUAUUGGAGAUGUCUGGAUGCAAUAAUUUUAGUCAUCUUAAUUAAAAAUAGAUAAUUAAGAUCUCAACUUCUGGCAAUAAAAAUAAAGAAUCACACGAUAACAUGAGGAUCAUAAUUAACAUAUAUGCAUUUUAAAUCCAAUUCAUACAAGUCUAUUGAGUUUGUAUUGCUUUUGAAUCUCAUAUAGUAUCAAUUAGAAUAAGGCACUCAGAUUCAAAAUCAUAGAGAAGUGCAGUAAAUAAAAAAUUAUCACUUUCUUAUGAAUCAGCAAAGAUUGAAUUAGACGAAAAAAGAAAACGCAACACAUACCAGUAAGGAUCCAGAUUGAAAACGAAAUAGUGCAGAGGAAGUAAUGAAUUAUUUGUAAUCUAGAUUGACUACUCUUUAUGAACCCUAAUUCGAUCAGAAAACCCAGUUUUUCUGAACCCCCAAUUCGAAACGACGGCAACUUAAUUUUACCAAACAAACAUUAACUUUGUUUUUUAGUUUUUUUUUUUUUAUAAAGACAGCUCCUGGGUUCGAAACCUUUAGGGGCCCCUUUUAUUUUAUUAUUCGAGUUUUUUAACUAAAACUUAGGCUCUGAUACCACAUGUAAGAACCAAUAAAGCCUCCUAGAGAUCUUAGUCAAGUUAAAUAAACCACGAAUAACCAAAACAAUUAAUAUACUAGAAGUAUGAAAUAUAAACCAACCUGCAUCAGUAAUAGAUGAAGCCAUGAUCAAACAAGUAGUAGACCUUCUCCUCUCUGUCAAAACCAAUAAUACUCAAACUAACAAUAGGCCUUAGUUCAAUAAUGAACGUAUGUUUUGUGAGCAAAGGCUACUAUUUAUACACAAUCAAUCCAUGUAAUUCUCCUAUUAGAAUCCUUAUUCAACACUGAAUAAGUUUACCUUAUUGUAUACAAAGUGUUAAAACCAGUUUUCAUACUUUCAUUCAAUCCUUCACAAAUAAGGAUUAAGUAUACCUUCUUACAUUGGGACUUUUCUAUACGGAUGUGAAACAAAUAGUAGGCCUUAGGAAUUAUAAUCAUGAUCAUAUUCUUACAGGAUGGGCACUCAUUUUCUUCCUUAUUCAUGUUUGGUGUUGAAAAAUAGAAGCCUCCUAAUUUGGUGGCGUUGGAGAAUCCUUUUAACCAUCCAAAACAUGGAUCUAAGGAGUCAGGAAGCAAGAGGAGUUUAUCCAUAUUCAUGGAUACAAGAAGCUAUGAGCAAAGGAAUGAGGACCCCAUUUUAGGUGAUUAUUCUUUGCUUCUACAAAGAGGAUCUACAUAAGUAUAAAGUCACCUCUCUUUGUUUUGAAUUUGAGUUGAGUCUUUGACUAACAAUUACUAGACUUUUAAUUUCAUGAGUUAAGUUUUGUUUUUGAGUGCAUAUAAGCAUGCUAGAGCCUUUAAUUGUCAAUUACAUGUAUGUGUGUUGCUCAAAUGAACUUAGUUUAUCAAAAUUUUCCUUCAAGACCAACUUCUAUGGCAUGUGUGGUUUCUUGUGCCAAUCACACAAACGUUAUGUAAAAAGAACUUACACAUUACAUUGCAUGAUUGACAAUUAACAACACAAUAGUGUUAUAACUGUGUCAUGAAAGUUUUUAUGCAAAGUCACUUGAUAUGCUGCAACAAUUAGUAAACAAUAUUAGAAAGACCUAGAGGAACCCACGAACCCGCAAUUCAUUCCAAUCCAUUAAGUAGCUCAUGCAUCAUUUCUCCUCAGCAAAUGUGAUUUUGAAAGGUAGACGAAUUUCUGAUUGCAUUGGUCUAGUUUCAGAAGGGUUCAAUUUUAUGGAAAAAAAUGCUUGUGGUGGUAAUGUGAGCAUAAAAGUUGAUAUUGUUGAAGCUUUUGAUACUUUGAAUUGAAGUUUUCUUCUUCAUGUGCUUUCUAGCUUUGGUUUUCUCGAAUAUUUGUGGACUCGAUGCAUGUUUAGUUUUAGUAUGGUCGGCUCGACUUUCAAUUUUGGUAAAUGGCACACCACGAGGAUUUUUCUCUUGCUCUCAGGGUGUACGUCAGGGAGACCUUCUUUCUCCACUUCUUUUCUGUCCAGUAGAGGAAGCUAUGAGUAGGGGUUUAUCUUUGCUUUUUUCUACUAGUCAAAUUACUGCUAUUUCAGCUUUGUGGGGUUGCUGCCUUCCUACCCAUGUGUUAUAUGUUGAUGAUCUUUUUAUUUUUGGUCAUGGAAGUGUUCGAUCUCUUCGUGCUCUUCGAAAUUUGUUGGAUAAAUAUGGUUGUGCUUUGGGACAACUUAUUAAUGCAACUAAGAGUACUUUUUUAUCUGGGCUCCACCUCUGCCCAUUUCAGAGCACAGGUUUAGAGAUAUCUUGGCUUUCGUUAGGGUACUGGUCUUUUUACUUAUCUUGCGGUACCCAUUUUUUGUGGUAAGCCAAGGAGAAUUCACUUUCAAGUUUUGGUAGAGAAGGCUAAAGCUCGCCUAUCAAGUUGGAAAUAUAAACUUCUCUAAAUGGCUGGACAAUUUCAGUUGGUGCAGUCUGUUUAUCAAAGCUUGUUUCUUUAUAGUUUCUCAGUUUAUCAAUUGUCGGCGUGCCUUUUAAUUCAUCUUACUGCUUGUGCAAGGAAUUUUCUUUGGUAAGAAGACCUGGCUUCUUGAUAGUUGGUAAGUGUUGACUGAAGUAUGGUGACCUAAUCAGGAUGGUGGGCUUGGUCUUCAGGAUUUAGCUUCUUCAAACUUGACGACUUUACUUAGAUUCGGUUGGGAUGCUUUACAAUCCCGUUCUUUGUGGGGCUUUUUUGCUCUUCAGCGUUUUCUUCUUGCACCUUAAAAAAACAAAAUAUCUACUUAUGGUCUUCUGUGUGGCAUGGUUUAAAGCGUGCCUUACCUAUUCAUAAUAAUAAUAGUUGUUGGAUUAUUGGUGAUCAGAGGUUAGUUUCCCUUUGGUUCGACAAAUGGUUAGAUGACCCAAUUAGUAACUCUUCAUUAUCUCUAGUCAUUUCACCUAUGGUUCAUCCUCAAGUUUUAGAUGCUAUUGAAUCUCAAAGUUGGUCUUGCCAUAUUAUUUUACAAAUUUAUUCUCAUCUGUGGUUGAACAAAUUUUACGUAUACCUUAGCCUUUAAAUGCAGAGGAUGACAAAUUAAUUUGGAAACCACCACCUACUAGGAACUUUUCUUUUUCUUUUGGUUCACCUUAUCUGAGGAAUCUGCUGCUAUUCUUUUCUUUGGGUGUCGGAUAUCUAGGCAACUUUGGAGGUGGUUAGCAUGUCAAUUUGGUACUUCUUUGCCUCUUUCAGAUUCUUCAGAUGUGUUUAGGAUGUCUAUAUUAAACCCUUUCUUAUCAGUUGCAUAAUCUUUGGAUUUUUGCAGGUCUUUCUUCUAUUUCAACUAUUUGGAAAGCUCGAAAUAAGUUUAUUUUUUAGGGUCGAUCAAUCUCCCUUCAUCGACUUUGCAUGUCUAUCAAUUCCAGGGUCGUUCAUAUUGGGAAAUUUAUUCUUUGUUACUCUCAAGGUUUGGACACUCAUAUCAUUUCUUCUCUUGGGAUUCGACCUAUCCCUAUCAAGGCGCCUACUGUUCUUCUGCGCUUAGGUCUCCUCUUUGAUUUCCUUGGAUUAAAGUUAAUACAUAUGAUUUGUCUAAAGGAAAUCCUGGUCCUGCUAUGUGUGGAGGAGUUUUCAAGGAUUUCCAUGGUUAGUUUCCUGAUGAUUUCUACUAAUGGAUUGGGCAUCACAACUUUUUUUUUUUAAUUUUUUGCAUAAUUAUUAGCAAUUAUUAUUAGUGUUGAGUUUGUAUAUCUGCUGGGUUAACAUUGCCUUGGUUGGAAAGUGAUUAUUGUAGUGUUAUUGCUGCUCUCCAAUCAACCAAUUUUGAUUUUGCUUGGCCUCUUCAUACACAAUGGCCUACUUGUCUAGAUCGCAUUCGGAAUAUGAUAUUCUAUGCCUUUCACAUAUAUCAUGAAGGAAAUGUUGUUGCGGAUAAAUUUGCUAACAUGGACUUGUCUUCUCCAACUUUGGUGGCAUGACUUCCCUCCACCAGUGGCUUGUGCUGCUUUGUUUUCAAACUAUAUUCGCUUGCUUGGCUUCCGCUUCUCAAACUAAUGUGCAUCUCACCAUGCAGGUAUGUCUCCAUUUCUUGUUUUUUCCUAACCUUGUGGUGUCAUUUGACUUGUUUUGCAAAAUGUCUCCAUUUCUUGUUUUUUCCUAACCUUGUGGUGUCAUUUGACUUGUUUUGCAAGUUUUUGACUUUUUAGGUUUUGCUUUAGAGGGUUUAGGUUUCAUGUCCCCCCUUCUUUUCCUUGUAUCUUUUUUGUUUUCGUUUCUAGAGGGGUAAGGUCUAUGUCCCCCUUCUUAUAUAUUCAUGUUGUUUUUCUCCUUUUCUUGGUAUAAUGAGGGAUAAGGUUUAUGUCCCCUCUGACUAGGUGAAACUUAUUAUUAUUAUUAUUAUUUUGUUAUCCAUAAAAUAUCCUUCAUCCCAUCUAGGUUUUCUAAAAUACAAUAAAAAUUAAUUAGCUCAUGUGCAAGCAAAGUAUGGGCUUCCCAUGCGCAGGAACUUGAAUUUACUCAUAUUUGGUAGUUACGUAGUUUGAUACGAGGUGCCUCCCCAUCGUUCAAUGUGUUCACCCACAUGAUGUUAAGUGUAACCUUCUUAAGGUUCAACAAAAUUAUUGUUUCUAUUAACAAAUGUAAAUAAAAAAUAAGCAAAAUACUAGAUAGAUCACAUAUUUUAUUUUUAUUACAUUGGUGUGCCGUAUUGUGAUAUGACUGCAUGCAUGCCACGUUUUGUAAUGAGUUAUCUCAUUAGAUGUUAAUUGUAUGUAUCACUUUCCAUAUCAUAUGGUACAUCAAUGUAGUAUAAAUAUGUGGUCUUUAUAAUACUAAAAAAAAAAAAAAGUAAUGUUGCAUUUAUCACAUUUUUCAUACCAUUGUAUCAUCUCUUUAUAGAAGCAGGGCACAUCAACAUAUGUGUCUCAUCUCUGUUAAAAAAGUGAUACAAAUAUGGUAUGAAAAAUAUGAUAAGAGUAGCAUUUACAAAAAACAAAAUCUUAAAGUUAAAUGAACUGAACAAACAUAGAAAAUUUGAAAGGUACUGUUAGCAGUUCAAUCCCACGAAAAACAGGGGGUGGUCUUAAUCAACACAGAUGAGACGUGCAAUUCAUCUGUAAAGUUCAAUAAUUUUCAUUUACCACAGCUUAACAUAAACAAGCUUCGUCAUGCAUAAAUGUGGAACUUUAUGAACCAAAGUAGGCAGCACAAACAGGAUAUGAGCGAAAAAUGACACUCUCAAUAGACUGAAUGGAAUUGAGUAAAAACAAUCUCACAACUGAUGAGAAAGAUCAUGAAAAUUCCAAGUUAUCCCAUUAGUGUUUAAGACAAGAUGCCAUGAAGAACGUCAAUACUCUGCAUAGCUAUUCUCACAAAUGGUAUGUACAACAUUAUUAUUCCUGGUUACUUCCAAAUAAAAGCUUUUCAAGCACUGCAAAUCACUAUUCAGCUUUAAUGUGUCCCAUCAGUCUUCUACAAAAGCAAAACGACAGUAAUAAGUGCAUCGGUGGCCCUGGCGACGGAAUUUAUGGCGCCUCUUCGUUCUUUCAAUUAUUUCAAAGCUUCCCGGCCCUGUAUUCCUGUACAAAGAUGUGUGAUGUUUUAUCAGUUCCAUUUGGUGAUUGGGUGGGAAAUGAAUUUAAACUCUUCAUUUCAAAUAGUCUAAACCAAAUUGUAUAGAAUGUGAAGCAGAGGGCAAGAGGUGUAGAUUGAAGAACAAUGGCACUAAGAGCAAAACUGAAUUUGUUCAUCGGAGGUAAUCAAAUAAGGAUUAUGCGUGUAAAUCUUAUUUCGCAUGUAUUCUGCUCAUGAUGUUUUAAUGAUGAUUAUUGGUAUAUUCUGCUACGUGUUAUGAUUUUUCUGCUUUCAUGUAAUUAGCGGCUUAGAUAUGUGAAAAAAAAAAAAUUGUUUGGGUUAGUAUUUGAACAUUGGGUGUAAGUGAAAGAAGGCACAAGGAUGCCAAUUGAAAGGGGAAUUGCUCGAAGCCCAACAUUAUACCCAGAAGCAAAUUGAGGCUUUCUCAGCCAAGAGUCAUAAACCACGUGUCUAUAAGUAAAGUGACAAGUGAUGAAGAUUAACCUACUAUCAACAAAGAACACUUUCCAGUGGCAUUACAAGUAAGAAAGCUGAUGACUCAUUACCCUCCAAAUGUUUUCGGGCAAGAGCAAAAGUUACAGUAGUCGGGCUAGUUUGCCUAUAAAAGGAAGAAGAGGCCCCAGAGACAAAGACACUUAACCAAUCAAACAAACAAACAUACAAACUCUGCUCUCAAGCCAGAUUUGCAUCCAAAAGCUGAACACAGCCCAUAUUUAGUCCUUUUAACGCUAGUUCCCUACAAAAGACAUCUUUUGUCUAGUCUAAAAGCUUUUCUACCUCCCUUAGUGGCAUAGUAUCGAUUCCCUUGUGUAAACUUGUUUACCAUCCAUCCCUUUUUAAGCAUACAACUCUUGUAAACUCAAAGAGAAAUGAUUGUAAGAAGUUCAACCUUGCCAGACAAGGUGAAAUCUUGCCCGAAGCUCUUUGUUUGUUUUCUAAAUUAGUAGAUCUAUUGCUUAAUGCAUUCUCCAGUAUGUAUUUAAGUUAUUUCCACCUGUUUUUCUAUUUUAAGAAGUUCAUUUGCAUCUGGAUCUGGUUCGCUUAAAUGAAUAUGCUUUCAUUAGAUAUACUCUGGAACCAAACAAGUAACUUAAGGGGAUCUGGACCCCCUUCAUUUCGAACAUACAAGACUAUGAACUAAAAGUCCUUGUUUACAAGGCAAGAAAAAGAACUUAAUAUGGACUUAACCCAUCCACGACAAUCAUUUGAUAACAAGAAGUUUGAAGUAACUUGGGGCGCAAGUAAUCUACUUAAAACACACUUGUUCUACAUCUGUUAUACUGAGAUAGCAGUGACACGCCUAGAACUUAAUUAGUUUUGAUUAUGAGUCUUAAGGCCUACACCUAAGGCCCCAUAAAGGAACCUUUCAUAACUAACUUUGUUCUCUUCUUGUAGCACAUCAACAAGCAAGAGCCCGACUACACAUCCAAAGUGCCAAUCCCUUGGGGAGCUGUGCUGAGGUCCGAGGAUCCUUCUCCACAGAAAUCUUUGCCCGAACAUAGUUUUGGCACGCCCGGUGGGAUUCGAAUACUAGUCUUGUAUGCCAAGAAGAAGGAAGAAGGAGAAAACCUUCAAGUGGAACACAGAAUACGAGCUACCCCGGUGUCUACCAAGAUCAAUCAUGACAGCUCAUCCAAAAGAUUUCCCUUCCCUACGAGGGCUAGCUAUUUUAGACAGCUCGACUUCACCUGAGAAGUCAGGGAGGAAGGUGACCAAUGAAGACUUGCAAGCCACCAUGAUGCAAGUAUUGAAAACUAUGGAAAAUAUCACUUUGGAAAUCGGAGGAGAAGUGAGUAGACUUUGUUCUUUAACAGGGAGUCUACAAAGAAGAUUAGAUCUGGAGUACUUUACUCCAAAUAAUGGUCAUUUCAUGGAAAUGGUGAAAGAAGCAAACCCUGAAAGAGAACCAGUUAUCCCCCUAUUUCCUUUACUGGAGGAAAAAAAGGAUGAAGGAAAAAACAAUGAGGGAUUUAGAGUUAGUGAACCAGUAGUGGAGGAAAUCCUAUAAGCAAAGUUGCAUGACCCCUUAUUAUUUUCACUAGAUAGUAGAGGCAGAACGAGAAAGACAGAAAGAAGUAUGGGAUGCCCUAUGUAAUCGGAGAGUCCAGUGGGAAAAAAGAUUUCACAACUGUGGACAAACCUCCUCCUUAUAGGCCACCACCAUUGGCUAAUAAGGGAUGAGAGCCUAGAUGGAGAAAGCCCGAACCAAAAAAGGAAGCUUGCUUGGGCAAUGAUCCUAGCGCGAAGUGGGAAUUUCCUUACACCCCACUUAAUAAUACAACUAACCAACAACUCAGAGAUGAGUUAGCCAAGUUAAGAAGAAUGAUAGUCUACAAUGCUAACCUCAGGCUCGCCCCACUGUUUAGGAUCACCUACCAGAAGCCAUACCCCGAAAAGAUCGAUGAGCAUAAUCCAUUUCCACUCAACUUCAAGAUGCUCGCGUUUCCCACUUUUAGUGGAAAAGAUGGCAGUGUGUCCUCUAGAGAUCAUAUCUUUAAGUUCUCUAAUCACUGCGUGGCAUUCGAAGAUAAUCCUAAUUAUAAGUUAAGAUUGUUUGGGAACUCGUUGGUUGGUCUAGCAUCUCAGUGGUACUCUCUGUUGCUCUCCAAUUCUAUUGCUAAUUGGGGGCAAAUGGAGAUGGUUUUCCAUGAGCAGUUCUAUAGGAUGGAGCUCAAGAUGUCUAUCAAUGACCUAGUAGAGGUGAAGCAAUAUGAACAUAAGUCUACAGAAGACUUCAUGAUGAGGUUUAGAAGGACAAGAAUGAGGUGCCAAUUCCCUAUCAAUCAUGCUUAGAUUAUAUCUAUUGCUCAGAAAGCAUUGAGGUUGCCUUUGAGAAAAAAGUUUUAUGAUGUACAGUUCAAUGAGUUGCAAAAGUUGGUAAUUGCUGCCACAAAGUAUGAAAAGGUAUUGCUUGAAGAACAACAAGUGAAACACUCAUCCAAGGUCCCUCAUUUUUAUAAAAAUAAAGCUGCAAUUCACCAAGUAAAGUUUGAAGGAAGAGAGCCGGAAGGAAGCGAUGAUCAUGGAGAAGAAAAGAUUAAUAUGUGUGCAGCAGAGAUGACUACGCUUUUUAAACCAUCAACAGUAAAGGGUUUAGUUCAUCCAGUCAAAGAUCAGAAGAUAGUAAUGAAUGAUGGUGGAUUUGUCCCUAUGAACCCCCCUAAGUAACAGAAUUAUUAUUUUGAUUUAACCAAUGCCUCAUAAAUCUAUGAAGAGUUAGUGCGGGCAAGAGUAAUUGUGCCUAAUAGCACCAAGAAGAUGCCAAAGCCAGAAGAAUUAAGAGGAAAUAAAUAUUGCAAAUUACACUACACCUUUAACCAUUCCAUAACCAACCGUGUCCAGUUUAGGGAUUAAAUACACGACCUCAUAGUAAAAGGAAAGUUGUUAUUGGAGAAAUCGCAAGCCAAUAUGAUGAUUGACACAUAUCCCUUCCUAGAAGCUCUAAUAAACAUGAUCAACCUGACUUGGGCUGAGAAAGGGAAGGGAAAAGCCACUUGGGAAGUAAAAGCAGAAAUAAGGCAAGUUGAUAGACCGACAGAAUGAACUAUCAAGUUGUUCGAGAAACCCAAAACAGCCAUAAUUAAAGGGCUGGUAUUAUGUAGCAAGUGCCAGUAUGAAUGUGAGCUAGAGGUGCCAGCAUCAGGAGCCAUUAUUGAUCAAGAAUUGAUUAAAAGAAAAGAGAAAGAAAAACAAGAAGCCCACAGAAGCAUCAUGCGAGCAGUUGAGAAAGAAACCUCCAGGAAUGUCUUCUAAAAGUUAGGAGGGGAUUCUCAACCAAAGGGCUUGUCAGAGGUAUUCAGAAAUUGCGAAGCCUCUGAAGAAGUAGAAGACAAAGAAAGCUAAAAUACCAAAAUGGGUGGUGAAGGUUUAGCCUUCCCAGCCUAGAUAUGAAGAUAGUGAUGUCGGGAUGAAGGGAAGAACAAAUAGUGUAAUAUCCACAUUCACCAAGAAGGAUUCUACUCGACUCGGGGGGAAAUGGUAUGUAGUUAGGAAGGAUGGAAGACCUAUCAAGGAAAUGGGAGCCUCUAUGAUUAGGAGAGUCCAGAGAUAGCACAAAGCUCAUAUGAACUCACUCAAAGUCCCUGCUACAUCAGAAACCUCUGAAAAUGAGAAAUUCGAGAAGGUACGUCAUGCGGAAGAAAUCAACUUCACUAGAGAAGUGAAAAACAGGUAGAAAGAGCUAAUAGCAAGACUAAAGAAGAGGGAGAUCAUGUGCCACAAAGCCCUCAUCCAGGAAAGUACAGAAUCUUGAUGAGGGCUCAAAAGGAUAUGGUGAUGAUGCUAACCCCAAGAUGAAACCCAAAACCAAUAUGCUUUGGAACUAUCUCGCCUGAUAGAGGGUUGCACACACCUUUUUUGGUUAAUACUCUAUUUGAAAACCUGGAGCAAGUAUAGGACUUUGGAAUAACCUGAGAAGAAAAGUUGCUCGAGUUAAUGAUACCACAAAAAGCACAAGUUUGGUUAGAUGAAUUCAUGGACCACAUUAGGGGCAAAAAUGAGGAUGUACCUGAACCUAGCAACUUCCAUGUAAACAUGACAUAUGUUCUAUCUACUAUGUUUUACGUCGAGCCUGAUCAACCUGCCGCAAUGGAGGGUGAUUACUUGGCAACAGAACCUAUGAUGGCAUGAAAAGAGGAAUCCAGCCAGACAGGUUUGCCCGAGCAAAUAAGGAAGGAGCCCGAGAGAGUGUAUUUUGACAGAAUGGUCUUUAGCCACCCGAAUAUGGUCUUAGCUAACCAUUUUAAGCCCAUAUAUGUAACUGCUCAUUUGGAGGGAGUACCCUUUAAGAGGGUUUUGAUUGAUGGAUGAAAUGCGGUCAAUAUAAUACCAUUGAAGCAUAUGAAGAAGUUUGGGAGAAGUGAAGAAGAUCUCAUUCCUACGGUUUUAACAGUCUCUAGCUUUUCUAGAGCUAUCACCAAAACACAUGGAAUACUACCAUUAGAAGUUGACUUGGGGUCCAAGCAAAUCAUGCUAGCUUUCUUUAUAGUAGAUGGUACUUCCAUUUAUGGAGCUUUGCUUAGUAGAGAUUGGAUUCAUCAGAGUCUCUCUGUACCAUCUACAUUACACCAACAGAUUGCAGUUUACCAUGAAGCCAAGACUGGAAAACCAAGAUUUUGGGAGAUAGUGGAGGCCGAGACACGGCCAUUCCCCUCUCUCACAGUUAAUGUUGCAGAAGUUAGCUUUUGCAAUCCUAGUAUUGGGAUUCUCCAGUGCUUAGGAGCUGAUGAGAACGGCCGCCCGACUCAGGUGAUGGCCCAAAAGCUUUUGGAGCAAGGAUUGUUCUUCACAAGAGAUGAGUGAGAUGGACCCUAUAUUAUCCCAACUCCCUAACACCAGUAAUGUCGAAACAAAGAAGAAAUGACCAAGUAAUUGCAGUUAGGUUUUUAAUCAAAAGACUGUUAGUGUAUGGGAGAGAGAGAAAGCAAGAAAGAGAGAGCUUGACCGAGGAGCAAGAGGAAGAAGCUUCAAGCAACCAGAACAGAGAUAAAGAAGAGUUUUUUGGAAAUGAGUUGGAAGCAGCCAUACAAAUGGUUGAAUGUAUAUAUGACUUGGAUGGGCCAGAAGACUUGCCCGAGAGUCCAGAGUUAGUUGAAUUUUUGUGUGCAAGACCUUACAAGCCACCACCAGAGGUUCAAGACCAUUUGGAGACCAUUGAUUUAGGGACUAAACAGAUCAGUAGCUUGUUAGAAGUUGAAGAUCGGGCAAGAAUAGUCAGCCUGCUGCGCGAGUUCAAAGAUUUUUUUGCUUGGUAUUACACUGAGAUGCCAGGUUUAGAUUCAACCUUAGUAGAGCACAGAAUGCCUAUUAAGGAGGGGUGUAAACCUGUGAAGCAAGCAUCACGAAGGAUGUCAAAAGAGAUUGAAGAAAAAGUCAAGGAAGAGAUUUAAAGGCUAGUAAAUGCUGGAUUUAUUAGGCCUAUCAAAUAUGUCAAGUGGUUGACAACAUUGUACCUGUAUUAAAAGCUAUAACUAAUGUAGUUUGAUGUUGUGUUGACUAUAGAAACAUUAAUGGAGCCACGCCUAAAGAUGAAUACCCCAUGCCCAUAGCUGAUUUAUCCAUAGAUGCAGUUGCAAAACAUAAAGUUUUAUCUUUCAUGAAUGGGAAUGCCGGUUAUAAUCAGAUAAAAAUGGUAAAAGAAGAUAUACAUAAAACAGCUAUUAGGUGCCCAGGACAUGUUGGAGCAUAUAAGUACUUAGUCAUGCCAUUCGGGCUAAAAAAUGAUGGUUCAACCUAUCAAAGAGCAAUGAACACCAUUUUUCAUUACUUGAUUGGCAAUAGCAUGGAGGUGUACAUUGAUGACAUCGUGGUGAAAUCUAAAAUUAAAGAACAGCACCUAGUAGACCUCAGACAAGCCUUAACAAGAAUGAGGAUCCAUAAGCUAAAAAUGAAUCCUAAGAAAUGUGCUUUUGGGGUGAGGUCGGGCAACUUUUUGGGUUUCCUUGUUCAUCAAAGAAGGGUGGAAGUCGAAAAAAAUAAAGCUCGGGCAAUAAUGGAAUCACCACCUUCCACCAACAAAGUACAACUACAGAGGCUACUAGGAAAAAUCAAUUUCUUAAGGAGAUUCAUUGCUAACUUGGUAGGUAAGAUUCAACCGCUAACUCCUCUGUUAAGAUUGAAAGACAAAGAAGAGUUCGAGUGGGGUCCACCAUACCAAGAGGCCUUUGACAGAAUAAAGGCUUAUUUGACUUCUCCACCAGUGCUCAUGCCACCUCAGAGGGAAACCUUUAAAGCUUUAUAUUUCUGCCUCUGAAAAGUCAAUAGGAAGCUUGCUAGCUCAAAACAAUGAAGGUGGGAAGGAACAAGCAAUAUACUGCCUCAAUAGAAUCCUUACUGAGGUAGAAACAAGAUAUACACCAGUGGAAAGGUUAUGUUUGGCUUUAUACUUCACUGCCUGUAAGUUAAGGCAUUACAUGUUACUUUGCCACAUCCACAUUAUUGCCAAGACUGAUGUGAUCAAGCACAUGCUGUCAAAACCAAUGUUAACUUGGAGGAUUGGAAAAUAGAUUCUAGCACUUUCAGAGUUCAGCUUUCAAUAUGUGCCCCAAAGAGCGAUCUAGGGGCAAGCAAUUGCAGACUUUUUGGCUGAGCACCAAGAGUCACAAGAUGAGCUUGUUAACAUCCCAGGAACUUUGGAAGUGGCCAGUGUGUGGAUCCCACCAAGCAAAGCCUUCUCGAGCAAAGAAGAAUGGAUCUAGCAAGAGAUAAAAAGAAUAACUAGCCCCUGAAUCACUAAUUGGAAGCUAUAUUUUAAUGGAUCUUGCACUCAAAAUGCUGAUGGGGCUGAGAUUGUCAUUAUUGAUCCUAAGGGUGCUCACCACUGUUAUUCAUUUCUCUUAGAUUAUCAAGAGACUACCAACAAUUGGGCAGAGUAUGAGGCAUUAAUAAUUGGUUUGGAAAUCUUGAUAGAGUUGGGGGCAACUAAAGUUGAAGUGUUUGGUGAUUAAUUAGCUAAAUAGGGAGUACAAGUGUAGACAUAUUACCAUGACUGGUUAUUACUUGGCGGCCACGUAAUUGUUUAGCUAUUAGGGUGCUGAAAUAAUAGUUAGCCAUAUCCCCAAAAAAUCAAAUGCAAUGGCCAAUGAAAUGUUGUAGUUGCCUUCUGGAACACAGAUCCAAGAAAGAAGAUUCAACGUGGAAGUGGAAGUGCAAAUGAGGAAUCUCCCUUCUAUUUUUUAUAGAGGAUUCAACCUAGAUGUGAUGACUAAGGAGCUCGAGAUGGAAGGUUGAAGAUCACCCACAAUUCAAUACUUGAAAAAUUCUUCUUUCCUCAUAAGUAAGAAGAAUAGGCAGUAAGCAACUAAGUAUGUUAUGUGGGAGGAUAAUUUGUUAAGAAAGUCUCCAGAUGGAUUAUUGUUAAAAUGCUUAGGCUAAGAAAAGUCAAUGAGAGAAAUGGCUGAAGUACAUGAAGGAAUAUGCAGAGCACAUCAAGCUGGUACCAAGAUGAGGUGGUUACUUAGGAGAUAUGGUUAUUUUUGGCCCGACAUGGAAGAAGACUGCAAGGCCUAUGCCCGAGGGUGUGAGGAGUGUCAAAGACAUGGACCUUUCCAACAUGUGCCCUCAGUGCCCUUAAACCCCGUGGUCAACUCUUGGCCCUUCAGAGGAUGGGCAAUGGACUUCAUUGGGAAAAUUUACCCAACUUUUAGCAUGGGGCAUACAAUCAUAAUUGUGGCAAUAGAUUACUUCACUAAGUGGGUAGAAGCUUCAACUGUUAAAACUAUCACCUCAAUUGCAGUGAAAAAGUUCAUUAAAACCAAGAUCUUACAUAGAUAUGGGGUGCCCGAGACAAUUGUCACAGACCGCGGGCCAUCUUUUAUUUCAAAGGAAAUAGAAGAAUUUGCAAGUAAGUUCAAGAUAAAGAUGAUCCAAUCUAGUCUUUACUACCCCCAGUCAAAUGGUCAAGCAGAGGCCAGUAACAAGAUCUUGGUAAACAUUAUUAAAAGAAAGGUGGUAGAUAGUCCAGAGAAGUGGCACGAAAAGUUAGAAGACACUUUGUGGGCUUACAAAACCUGCAAAAGGGUAGGAACUAGAACUAUUCCUUAUGCCUUAACCUUUGGGCAUGAUGUUGUACUCCCCAUGGAGAUUAAUGUAAGUUCUAUUAUAAUUCAAAAUCAGUUUGGGUUGCACAUUGAAGAAUAUAUUCAGGCUAUCUGUCAAGGAGUUGAAGAUCUAGAUGUAGCCCGAAUUGAAGCUCUAAAUAAAAUUCAGGAAAGGAAGAGAGUUGUUGCCUGAGCAUACAAUAAGAAGAUGAUUGAAAAACUUCAAGGAAAAGAAUUAGUUUGGAAAGCAGUUUUGCCCUUAGGAGCUCAAGUGAAAGGCUUUGGGAAAUGGAGUCUUACUUGGGAAAGUCCUUUUAUUAUUCACCAAGCACUGGAUAAGGGAGGAUAUUACUUGGCAGAUUUAGAAGGAAACUUGCUAAGACAUCCAGUUAAUGCUAAGUUUUAGAAGAAAUACCAUCCAACUCUGUGGGAUGUCAGAGAUUGUUAUAUUGAAGAGGGCUAGUGAUUUCAAAGAGAAUUAAAGUUAGAAGGUGUAGUAAAACUUAAAUGUAAGGCAAGGAUUGAAACAAGUAAAGAUAUGGAAAGAUUUCAUUUCAUUUCAUAAUAAGGGAAUUACAGUGGCCUCAACCUAACAAAUUUACUUCACCAAAAGUAAUUAUUCUAGAAUGAUAAGUUUGCAUAACUGUGAAUAUUCUAGUAGGCUCAGCCAAAAUAGUACUGCUAUUGAUUAAUUGAGCCUCAUCAUAUUCCAACUCCGAAUUGUCCUUCUUCACUUCUUCAAUAUGUUGAUAAAGUUUACUUAGAAGAGUUCAUUGCUUAGCCCUUAGCAUAGCUAGUUGCUCAUCUAACUUCCAAAUCUCAAAAGUCACUACCUUAUUCUUCUCAUCUGUUGCUGAAUCUUCAUCUACCAGCUGUUGAAUAUGAGUUGAAAUACUGGAUUGUUUCUCCUUAAAACAUCUCACUCGAUUGGCUUGCCUCUCAGCCCUCUGAUGUUGAUCCCUCAAAACCAUCAAGUUCUCAAAAUAAGAGAUGAAGGAUUCAUACUGAGCUUUGGAUAGUUGAUCAGCCUUAAACAGAUCAGUUAUGGCCUUCUCUACGUCGUGAAGAGCCUUGAGGGUAAAGUAUGCUGAGAAAUCAUUCCUAGACUACUCUUAGAUGACUCGACGUUGCUCUUGAAAGCCUGAAAACCCUUGAGGAUCUCAGCUUUGUCUUGAGUUGCCCGAACUCUUUAAAAAGCUCGGGCAAAGCUGCAAUUGUAGAAAUAGGUGUAGGACAAGAGGGCAGCGCCCCAGUUCCUUCAGAGGGCACAACAAUGGAGGAGGUCUCAACAGAAAGAGGAACCCCAGAAGAUGGAGUAGAGGUAAUAGUGGCGGCAGUAGCUUUAACUUCCAUCUUUGGUCGAGGGAUGAGGGUCCCUGUGACCCCAGAAGCUAAAGGAGGUCGUGGAAGAUCUGAUUUGCUUACCAAGCGUGGAGGAGAUAUGCCUGAGCCAUCUUCAAAGCCCUGUUGGAAACGAAGAAAAACAAAUUAAGAAGAAAGAUUAUAAAUCAGAGCAUACAACAGGAAGGCGAGAAAAGGAAAAUUGAUAUACUUAAGUAGAGCUUGGAACCUUGGAAGAAGGUGGAUGAUGAGUUGUUUCUUUUCACUGUUGAGAGGGAUCAUUCCCACUUCCUUGUGAAUAAGGAAUGAUGCAUGAACCUUCACUAGAGACCUAUAAAUAUCAAAGAAAGAAGGCUAAUGUCAGUAAUUAGCUUAUGAAGAAAAGAAAAUAGAAAUAAGAGUACUUCUAUACCUGAGUAGGAUCUUGAGUGGAAAUAGGGAACUCCUAUGUGGUGGUUGCUGGUUGAAAAGAAGCCCGCAGCUAGUCACCUCUGAGACCACAGUGAUCUUAGGGACUAUGGGGUCCCCAAAGGCAGUAAUUGAUGGUUGUUGAGACUCCUAUGUUGGGGAAGACUAGAAGAAAGUAAAAGAUAAGUAUAAAAGAGAGAGAAUGCUUUAACCACAUAAUGUCAAGACAAAACACUCACCGAAUUGUUGUUGUCUUCCACAAAAUGCAGCAUCUCCCUAGUUAACGGAUCAAACAGGGAAGUAGAAGCCACUACCAAGGGAAGAGAGGUUGAAGGAAUAAAAAGAUGAAAAAGUAAAAGACAAGUAAAAGACAAGUGUUAAGGCUCUGAAAUUGGUGAAGAUACAAGUGUUAAGGCUAGAAAAAGUAAAAGACAAGUGUUAAGGCUCUGAAAUUGGUGAAGAUACAAGUUUAAAAAGAUGAAAAAGGACAUACUUUUGAAGGCUGAGCCCGAGAUGGGGAAGCAUGUGUUGGUCGGGCAGGAAGAGAAUAAGCUUCAGGCUGAAUGGACCUUCAUCUCUAAGGUCCUAUUUAAAAAUACAAGUAAAAAGUCAGUGCAAAUAUUGAGAGAAUGAAGAGGAAUUGAGUACUUAAAAUAAAUCAAACAUUUACCUCUAAUUCUUUGAGAGUAGCAUCAAGAACAGGCUUGUCUUUUUUAUAUACCUUCGCUCCCAACGGCUCCUCCCUUGAGACAAUAGUGGGUUUCUUGGUCUCUUCAUCUUGCCCGACGUCUAUCUCUGCAGGGUUGCCUUGGGCUGCAAGUGUAAAGAAACCAAGGAAAGGAUUAGAAGAGGGCAGAUUCAUGAAAAUUUAAUAAAUUACAAGUUAAAGAAGUAAAAGGUACCUAUCAGAAGGAGUUGGUUCUUCUGAUGAAUCAUUUCCUUCCAAUUCUCGAGCUCGCUCGAUUUAGGAUAGAAUUUGAUGGAUAGUUGCUUGAAGAGACAGUCAUGAGCUUCCCAUAUAUCUCUGCCAUACUUCUUAGUCCAUUUUGAUUCCCACUAAGUAGCAAAGCUUGAAGUACAUUCAAAAUUGAAAGCCAUAGGCUUUUUGGCAAUUUUGCUCAUAACCUUAAGACUUCAUUGGGCAGCUCGGAAUGUAACCUCUUGUGGGGGGUGUAGGUGAUAUGAGGUGCUGCAGUGAAUAAAAUCGAAAAAGGGUACAGGGAUGGUUUGCCUGAAGCCUAAUUGCCUGCUGCAGAAGUUUGGAUGAUAAACUUCUAGCCCGUGCUCGUAACGAUCACUUCUUACUCUCCAUGCAAGGUCAUUUGGUUGAAUGUAGCUAAUAAACUUAUCUCUGCAGAAAGUACUACCGUCAUCCCCAAAGGCAUCUUGGAAAGCUUGGUUGAAGAACCAAAGAUAUCUCCAUAGAACCGAUGUUCCUCACUCUAAAUCUGCCCGAGUCUUGCAGACACUAAAGAAGUACAGACAACAAAAGGUAGAAUGGUUGGUAGGAGAAGCCUCCGCCAGGAUUCGGGCAGAAGCAACACCCUUAGGGAAUUCAAGAUUGGGUGCCCGAAGCUCGGGGAAGUACUAUUGUAGCCAUAGCUGGAUCAUCCAGGUUGCCCCAUUGAGGUUGGUCUAGAAGGGGAUGCCUUGGGUCAUCUCAUACAAAAGAUAGUAAAGAUGAGCGAGGAGGAAGGGACUCGUAGCCACAUCAUCAAAAUUGUGCAGAGCUUCCACUAAAGGGAUUCGUUCGACUUUCACUGCCUUAGACUUGUUGAGGAAGACAUGCUUAUUAAGCCAGUAUAGUAGAAAAUACAUGUGAUCUUGGUCUCUGUUGGCGUUGGAAGAUGAAGGGCCAAAUUCCUUUUUCACAAAUGGAAUAAAACCCGUGAAAGAUGUCUCAUAACUCUUGAAAGUAGAAGAGUUAUAGUCUAGUUGGGCUAGGGGACUAAAGCUGCCUGAGCUCUCAGCCCGAAGACCUGCGCCAUAUCAAGGAUGGUUGAGGACAUAGGACCUAUCUUGAAAUCAAAAGUAUUUGUCCCCGAGUUCCAAAAGAGGAGAUAUGUGGUUAACAGCUCGGGCUUAGCAAUUAUCAUGGUCUUGGAGAGCAUUAUCAGCUUAUAGAUGUCACUGUUCCUCCAUUUUCUCUUGAAAGUAGGGUCGAGUUCAUUUACCCACCGCACCCAAGCUUCAUCAUUCAUCAAGGGGAAGCCACGAUGGUGGUGUGACCAUUUGGAGGAAGAAAUGCCCGACUCGGCCAAGAAUGGGUUAGGAGUGAACCAAUUUGCCUUGGGCAUGUUGUUUUCCACGACUACAGGGACUGGGGAGGUCCAUGCAUGCCCUAAGGAGUGUGCUCCUCCCUCCUCGAAGAAAAGUUCAGUAUGCAGGCCUGCCUAAGGACAAUGAAAGUCGUUAAGCAAGCGACGCAUGGUGGAAAUCCCCUCACCAGUCUCGUAGGAAGAUUAAGUUCGAACAACUUUGGGUGCCAUUGGUAAUUUUGAGAAAAAGAUAGGAAGAAAGUUGGAACUAGGAGCAAGAAUCUAGAAAACAGGAAGUACGGGGGAAUCUGGGAAGUGCUGGAAAUUCGAAGGCUUGAGAAUGCUAAGGUACUUAGCUGAAGGGUUUAAGUGAGCAUUAUAUAGUAAUCGAUUAGUUAAUGUUGGAAAACGUGGUUUAGUGCAAGGGUUUUGUUAAACAACGGCUGUCUUAAAUGGUGCAAGUCUCAAGUGAAGGCAUGCGGCGGUGGUUUAAUCAUUAUUAACGCCUCGAUUUGCAGACUCAACAACGAUUAAAAGGGGCACUAUUUGGGUUAGUAUUUAAACAUUAGGCUUAAGUGAAAGAAAGCCCAAUGAUGCCAAUUGAAAGGGGGAAUUGCCCAAAGCCCAGCAUUAAACCCAUAAGAAAAUUGAGGUUUUCUCAUCCAUGAGUCAUAAACCACGUGUCUAUAAGUAAAGUGACAAGUGAUGGAGAUUAACCUACUAUCAGCCCAAGAACACUUGCCAGUGGCAUUACAAGUAAGAAAGCUGAUGACUCACUACCCUCCAAAUGUUUUUGGGCAAGAGCAAAAAUUACAGCAGUGGGGCUAGUUUGGCCAUAAAAGGAAGAAGAGACCCUAGAGACAAAGACACUCAACCAAUCAAACAAACAAACAUACCAACUCUGCUCUCAAGCCAGAUUUGCGUCAAAAAGCUAAACUCAACCCAGAUUCAGUCUUUUUAAGGAUAGUUCCCUACAAAAGACAUCUUUUGUAUAGUCUAAAAGCUCUGCUACCUCCCUUAGUGGCGUAGUAUCGAUUCCCUUAUAUAAACUUGUUUACCAUCCAUCCUUUUUUAAGCAUAUAACUCUUGUAAACUCAAAGAAAAGUUACUGUAAGAAGUUCAACCUUGCCAGACAAGGUGAAAUCUUGCCUGAAGCUCUUUGUUUAUUUUCUAAAUUAGUAGAUCUAUUGCUUAAUGCAUUUUCCAUUAUGUAUUCAAGUUAUUUCCACCUGUUUUUCUAUUUUAAGAAGUUCAUUUGCAUCUGGAUCUGGUUCGCUUAAAUGAAUAUGCUUUCAUUAGAUAUAAUCUAGAACCAAACAAGUAACUUAAGGAGAUCUGGACUCCCUUCAUUUUGAACAUACAAGACUAUGAACUAAAAGUCCUUGUUUACAAGGUAAGAAAAAGAACUUAAUGUGGACUUAACCCAUCCACGACAAUCCUUUGAUAAUAAGAAGUUUGAAGUAACUUGAGGCGCAAGUAAUCUACUUAAAACACAUGUGCUCUACAUAUGUUAUACUGAGAUAGCAGUGGCACGCCUAGCACUUAGUUUUGAUUGCGAGCCUCAAGGCCUAUACCUAAGGCCCCACAAAGGCACUUUUUAGAACUAACUUUGUUCUCUUCUUGUAGCACAUCAACAAGCAAGAGCUCGACUACACAUCCAAAGAAUCAAUCCCUUGGGGAGCUGUGCUAAGGUUUGAGGAUCCUUCUCCAAAGAAAUCUUUGCCCAAACAAAUAUUAGUUAACUUCAGGAAAUGACAGUCUAAUUUACGGAACUAUCUUUUGCAGGCAAAACAAAAACGUUUGGGGCCACGUGAGUUACGUAGGAUUGGUGUUUAGCUUGGUUUACUCCGGGAUUAUAUUUCCUGAGUAGGUAGAAAGAACUCUUUCCUUGACUGGGAUAAGUUGCAAGAUAUUGCUAUUGGCAUUACCAAAGGAAACAAGGAUGUGAUCAACGAAUCCUUCAUUUUGAUAUCAAACCAUAAUGUUUUGCUCGAAUAAAACUUCACGCCAAAAAUCUCUGAUUUUGGUCUGGCCAAGUUAUGUUGCAAGGAUCAAAUCAGUGUCAAUAGCUACAGUGAGGGAGACCAUAGGGUGCAUUGCACCCAAAAUGUUUUCCAGGAAACUGUGUUUUACAAGGCAUAUGUCUAUAAUUUUGGAAUGCUGCUGCUUGAGAUUAUAGAAGGAAAGAAGAAUAAUGGUUCAACAAUAAAGGACACGACAAAUGAAAUUUACUAUCCAAAAUGGAUUCAUAAUCUUCUAGAAGAAGGAGAUGACCAACAAAUCGAUAUUCAGGAAGAAGGGAGUGUUAAGAUUCCAAAGCAACUUCCAAUUUUAGGGCUCUAGUGCAUCUAGUGACAUUCGGUGAGUUGUCCUUUCAUGAAAACGAUGGUCCAGAUGUUAGGAGGAGAAAACUUGACGAUGCAAGCAUCGCUAAAAGGCUCCUACAGUUAAUAGCAAUUGCUGAAUUAGAGUCACAUGUAUAUGUAUAGGCACCAACACUAGUAGUUCUUAGAUGAAUCCAAGCCUAAACAAUUACAGAUGACAGUUCUUCACUAAAUCACUUUAAAGUAAUAAUUUAAUUAAUAAUACAUUAUUGCACUUUCUCAACAAUUUGAUCAUCACCUAGCUGACAAUGAACAUGUUAGCUCCACGUUAGAACAUAUUGGAUUCGAUUUAUUGUCUUGAAUGUCACCCAUAGUCACAGGUGUUUCUUGUGGGCAUAGAGAAGGCCUGAGAGGCAUUUGCAAACAUUCACCAUCUCCUCCAAGCAUUUUGACAACUUUGGACAUCGAAGGGCGAUCACUUGGUUUCAUUUGAAUACACCACAAGGCGAUUAUAACCAUCUUUCUUAUUACUUUCUUUUCCUCCUCUGUAACAUUGUCCAUUUCCAAGUCAUUUCCCACAAUAUACUGAUCAUAUACCCACAUUGGGAAGUACAUUUGGCUUGGAUGCUCUACCGUUGAAUUCCAAUUCUUCCUUCUGCUUGCCAUUUCCAUCAACAACAUUCCAAAACUAUAGACAUCUGCCUUGUAUGAGACGCCUCCAAUAUUUUUGUAGAACAACUCAGGAGCAAUAUAUCCCAGUGUACCUCGUGCUGCCGUCAAAGAGACAAUGCUAUUAUCUACGGGAUACAAUUUUGCAAGCCCGAAGUCAGAAACCUUUGCUUUAAAGUUCUCAUCAAGAAGAAUGUUAUGAGGCUUGAUGUCAAAAUGUAGAAUUUGCAUGUCACACCCUUGAUGUAGAUAUUCAAUCCCUUGAGCCACUCCAAGAGAAAUCUCAUACAUGUUCUUGAUACUUAAGGAGAUACUUCCUUCUUUGGAAUAAAUGUAUUUAUCAAGAGAGCCAUUGGGCAUAAAAUCAUAUACUAAAGCACGCUUUGAUCCCUCGACACAAUAACCAACAAGUUGCACCACAUUAGCAUGGUGAAUCCUUCCGAUUGUAGUUAUUUCACUAAUGAAAUCUUGGCCAUUUGCUUUGGGCUUGCUCAAAACUUUAAUUGCUACAAAACGGCCACUACGUAACUUUCCUUUAAAUACGGAGCCAAAGCCGCCUUCACCCAACUUAUCAUUAAACUUGCAAGUCAUCUUCUUAAUUUCGGAGUAAGAGUACCUUAUAGGCAUGAAGUUGUUAUUGCAUUGCAGAAAGUCUUCUAUUGUACUAUACAUUGACAAAUGUCUUCUGCGCCAUAUAUAUACUAAAAAUGCAGUCACAACUGGAACCCCAAACAGUAGUCUUGCUGGAAAAAAUGACCCUGCAUAAGAAAUAUAUCACCAAAAGAAUCAUAAGAACAAAAACUUAUUUUUCAAAUCCACACUAUAAACUUUUUUCUUCUUUUGAGGUAAGCUUCAGAUCAAGCCACUCUUUAAUGAAUGAGAUAUAAAUUAACACUUACAAAAAAAUCUUUUGAUAAAUUAAACAAGUUCCGAGUCCCCAAAUCACCUCCACCACCCUUCCCCUCCCGCAUUGGCCGACUCCCUUCUCGGAUAGCUACACCGGCCACCCCACCCCACAACCAACCAUUCAUCCUUCCCUCAAGUCUCUCUUUCCCUUUCUCUUUCUUUCUUAUUGUUUCUUCCUCUUUUUAUUGCCCUCCUGUCUUAUGCCGGAGAAGGACACAAGGGACACCGGCAACCUCACAAGCUCUUAAAUCUGAGGUGGGUGACGGCAAAUUUGAAGGUGUCGCAGACCACCCUCAGGUUCAAUAUCAGAAGAGUAAUGCUAAGGAGAUUAAAAUUUUUAAACCAAAUGAUAUGUCAUAAAUAAGAAACACGCACAUUAAUCGAUACUUAAUUACUAAUCUAAUCAUCUUCAAUCAUAUCAUUUAGUUUGCAAAUUUAAUUUAAAAAUUUGGUUUCCUUAACAUUACUCAUAAUCAGAAUGAGAGUGGUAGAGAGCGAGAGGGAAGAGGAGAAAGAAAAAGAAAAGUUAAAACAUUCAAAGAGUAUCGAGUAGUACUGAUAACCCAUGAAUUUUGUUUGAUUUCAGUCAUGAGGUUGGAAUCUAUGCUAAAAAUGGACACGCACGCCCAUGCAUGCACACGCAUAAAUAUAUACAUUAAUUCUUACCGAUGACCAUGAGUAUAGCCGCUCCACGCGCUGCAAUAAAAAUAGCAAAAAGUAAAAAUCAAAUGGAAACGGCUCAAAGUUUGAAAAGUGAAUAAAAAUCAAAGACUUGACUAUAUUUUCAAGAAAUACAAGCUCUUGGGGGAGAAAGUCCCUACAAAUGGAAUUGAAUGGUAACCAUCGAGGAGCGUUUCCUGAAAUAAAUACCACACAAAAUUCAUCAACGAUAAAAUACUAGACUAUCUUUGAGAUGUGCAUAUAAUGUACCACAGUGACUAUUAAAAUAAAUUAGCAUUGAUUUGAGGGAGAAAGUCCUUACGAAAAUAAUAUACGGGUUCACGCAUAUAAUAACCUAGAGUGACAAAACAAUACACAAUUAGCAAUACCACAACGAAUCUUUAGAGUUUAAAAUCAACAAGUUUUGUAACAUAUCUUUUCAAGCAACAAUCGUAAACAUUGAAUUUGAAAGAGACUAGAAAGAUGCUUUUCUUUUCUUUUUGUUUGUUUGUUUUGUUUUGUUUUGGAGAGGGAUCACUUACGGAAUUGAUUCCACAGGAAUCGAAAUAAACCUACAGUAUAACAAGAAAACAACAUUAGCAUAACAACAGUUAGAAAAUAAAAUUCAAGUUGCUGCCAUUGUUGAUACCUGUAUAGCAUAUGAUAAAGCAACAUUUAAUUCAUUUGUCAUGCAAUUGAUAGCGGAACUAAGAUAUGGUUUUGGGAAAGGUCAUGACCCCCCACCCCCCACAACAACCCCAAACUCUUUAAUUUAGAUAAUAUCAUUUGUUCAAAAAAAUAAUCAUCAAUAUUUUAACAAACUCAAUGCCACAAUGAUGGAGAAGAGUGCUGCCCUUGCACCAUGGUGUGAAUUCGAACCGCAUCGGCUCCUAAUCUAACAAACCUAUUGUUUGACAAAAAAAAAAGAAGGGAAAACUAAAGAAAAGUCAUCAAAAACUUUAGUUUUAAUAAAAAUGAUAAAAUAAAGGCGUAAGUAAAUAGUACCAAAAGUGACUUUUCAAGGUAAAAAUGUCCUUAACUUUAAAAGUGAAUAGUACCGAAAAUGUUUCAUUAAGAUUUCCAAAAAAAAAUUAUUAUUUAAACCAUCCCCAUAUUUCUCGUCCUUCACAUCUUUCUCUCUCAAAUUAAUAAUUUUUUUAUAUGUUUAGCAAUCUCUUAACUUCUCUCCUCUUCUUUAAAACUAGAGUAACUAUUCACAAAACUAAACUAAAAAGUGCGCUAUGGAGUUUCUUGGAGCUUGAUUUUCUUAGUUUGACUCUUUAAACUAGCAUUCCAACAUAUUUAAAGAGUCUCAUGGAGAGCUGCAAAGACAAUAAAGGAUGCAACUAAAACGAUGGGUUUAUAAGCUUUAGUUUUUCAUACACCACACUAAAAAUUUCUAUUGAAGCCAUAUCGCUUUGGAUAAUACUUGCAUUCCUCUUUUGGGGAAUGAGCUCAUUCCUCCACUUACAAAUUAAUAUAUCUUUAUAGUAGAAAUUUCAUAAUUGGAACUAUUCAAUCUCCUAGUCUUCAUAUGAAAAUCAUACCUACAAAAAAUAAUUCGAAUCGGAGAUCGUUUAGUCAUCCAAAUGUAUCAAAUAAAUUAAUGGUGUAGGUACCAAGAAGCAUAAUCAUGAUGAAACGUUGAUUUCUUUGAUAGAUUUAGAUAACUAAGUGAUCUCCAACUUGAAUGAUAUUUUAUAGAGUUGAUCUUCAAUUGAAGACUAAGACAUUGAACGAUUCCAAUUAUAAAAUUUUUACAUUAAAUAUACGUUAUUUGUAAGUGGGGAUAUGAGUUCAACCCCACAAGGGGGAAUGCAAACAUUCUCAUGGCUUGAUUACUAUAGUCUAAAGUUGGAUUUCCAAUGGCAUUGUUCAUCUUUCCCCUGAUUUUGAAAAUUCACGGUUUUGGCACUGAACUCUUUCUUUGGGUGGUUCUGCGCCAAAAAGAAUGGGUUUCGGCUCUGCGUCUGGGCCCGAAGUGGGCUGCCCUGUGUGUUGGGCUGGGUUGCACGGAAAGAGUCGAAAUGACUCUUUUUCCCGCUUCAAUCCAAAUCCAACGGACAGGAUCUGGGGGCACUUUUUAUUUGGUAAAAUAUAUUUUCAUUUCACACUUUAAUAAAGUUACAGUUUAGGUAUACAUAUACAACAAACUAACAUAGUAUCUUAACCACUAAGCUAACAGCUAAGAAGAUACAUUUACAAUAUUGCCCUUUAUAUCCCCCCGCAAACUGAACUUAGGUUGUCGAAGUUGAAGUUUGUCAUGAAGGAAGAGGAAACGAAGCUUGGACAGAGACUUGGUGCAGAUAUCGGCUACUUGGUCUUGAGUGCAGACAAAAUGGACAGAGAUCUGCUUGGCAAAGACCUUUUCCCUAAUGUAAUGAUAGUCGAUUUCUACAUGCUUUGUCCGAGCAUGAAAGACAGGAUUUUUUGCUCGAGAUAUAGCAGAAAUAUUGUCACACCAAAGAUGAGGGGUGGUAGGUAAGCAGUAGCCAAUAUCCGAUAGUAAUUGACAGAGCCAGGUGAUUUCAGAUGCAGUAUUAGCAAGAGAGCGGUACUCUGCUUCGGUGGAAGAGCGAGCAACAGUCGGUUGCUUCUUAGCACUCCAGCUAAUCAAAGAGUUACCAAAAUAGACACAGUAACCUCCAGUGGACCGGCGGUCAAGAGCACAGCCAGCCCAAUCAGCGUCCGAGAAGGCAGUGAGAGUAGGAGGAGUGGAACACUUGGAGAACCAGAUACCAAUAUCAAGAGAUCCCUUGAGGUAUCUUAGAAUACGCUUUACAGCUUGAAGAUGUGAAAGUUUGGGAGUGUGCAUAUAUUGGCAUACAAGAUUAACUGCAAAACUGAGAUCAGGACGAGUCCAGGUGAGAUAUUGUAGAGCACCAACCAGGGAACGAUACUCAGAAGCAUUGUCACAUAAGGGAGAAUCAUGAUCAAGUUUGGAGGUGCUGAGAGGAGUACUGCAAGGUUUGGCACCAGUCAUGUUGGCCUUGGAUAACAAAUCCAAUAUGUAUUUAGUCUGAGAUAGAAAGAUACCAGCAGAAGAUCUUUUGACUUCAAGACCAAGAAAGUAGUGCAGCGGACCCAAAUCCUUGAUGGGAAACAGGGAACUCAGUUGCUGAAUAACUUGGUUACAGGCAUCAGAGUUUGGACCAGUAACUAAAAUGUCGUCGACAUAAACCAGAAUGAAAAUCAUAGCUGAACCCUUUUUGAUAAAUAAGGAAUGGUCGCUGGGAGAGCCAACAAAACCGAGAGAAGUGAGAGCACCAUGAAGCUUGUCAUACCAAGCCCGCGGAGCUUGUUUUAAACCAUACAACGAACGAUGCAAGUGACAGACAUGAGAUGGGUGAGCUGAAUCUUCAAAUCCAGGAGGUUGCUGCAUAAAAACUGAUUCAUUGAGUGUCCUAUGUAAGAAAGCAUUGCUGACAUCUAGUUGAUUCAAGAACCAAUCGAACUGGACCGCAAGAGUGAGGAUGAGGCGAAUGGUGACUGGCUUGGCUACCAGACUGAAGGUUUCGGUAUAAUCUAAACCUUCCUGCUGAUUGAAGCCCUUGGCAACGAGCCGAGCUUUGUACCGGUCUAUAGUACCAUCGGGCUUACGUUUGAUGCGGAAGACCCAUUUACAGCCAACAAUAUUCUGUGAGGGAGACGGGGGAACAAGAGACCAAGUUCCAGUUUUGAUGAGAGCAGUAACCUCUUCUUGCAUAGCUUGGGACCAAUGAGGAUAUUUGGAAGCUUGGAGAUAGGUUUUAGGGAUGUAAUCCACUGAGAGAUGAGAGGGAAAAGGGUGCUUAGUAGCAGUGAGAGCUUUGGGUUUGAAAACACCAGAUUUGGACCGGGUUUGCAUCGGAUGGGUGUUAGAAGGUUGAAGAGAAGUGGAAGGAACGAAAUCUGGAAUAGGCAGUACAUGACUGAAGGGAAUAGGUGUGGAAGGAUUAUGGGAGAAGGGGGAUGGGGAAAUGGAAGGGGAACGAGGGAAAGAGGGGGGAAUACUAGAGGAAGAAGAAAGAGGAAAAGUAAAAGUAAGGGUUGAUGGAAGAGAUGAGGUAGACCUAGGAGGCAGGGAUGAAGGUGGUAUGUUGGAGAUAUGAUGGAAUGGAAAACUGGAUUCAUUGAAGAUGACAUGUCGGGAAAUAUAUACUCGGUGAGUUGCAGGGUCAAGACAUCUAUAGCCAUUGUGAUUUAAACUGUAUCCAAGAAAGACACAGGCUCUGCUUUUAGGAUCCAGCUUCAAGGAAGUAUAAGGCUUAAGCCAGGGGAAGCAAGCACAACCAAAAACCUUGAGAAGGUCAUAAUUCGGAGCUCGAUGAUAUAGAGAUUCCCAAGGAGACUGUCUGGAUGCAGUAGGCAAUCGGUUGAUAAGAUAGAUGGCAGUGUUGAAAGCCUCCACCCAAUAGAUGUGGGGUACUUUGGAAGCUGUCAAAAGAGUGCGAGCAGUUUCAACCAAGUGACGAUGCUUGCGCUCGGCACACCCAUUUUGUUCGGGUGUGUGGGGGCAGGUAAGUUGAUGAUGAAUGCCAUGAGUAGCCAAAAAUUGAGAGAAACUAGUGCUCAAGUACUCUCCUCCGGAAUCAGAUCUCCAAAGUAAUAAUUUUUGUACACAGAGAAUUUUCAACCAGAGAUUUGUAUUCCAUAAAAGUGGACAGUACAUCAGAUUUGCAUUUCAAAGGAUAAAACCAGGAGUACCUAGUAAAGUCAUCCACAAAAAUGAUGUAAUACCGAAAACCUUGAGAAGAAGCUUGAAGAGAGGGUCCCCAAACAUCCAUGUGGACAAGUUCUAGAGGUUUGCGAGUUGUACAAAAAGUGGAUACAAAAGGAAGCUUGGAGCUUUUAGCCAAUGCACAAUAUGAGCAGAAUGACUUAGUUACAUGAGCUAAAACAGGAAUACAAGAUUGAGAAGCAAGUUUAUGAAGAAUCUUGACAGAUGGGUGACCCAAUCUUUGAUGCCAAACAUCCGUAGAAGCUUUAGCAGUGGUGGUGAGAGCCUUAUGAUUGCCAGUUGCAGAUUAGGAAAAAUGGAAAGGAUAGAACCCUUGCUGAACAGGUCCUUUAAAACACAUCCUCCCCGAAGAAAGAUCAUUCACAGUGAAGUGAGAGGGAUAAAGAUGCAAUGAACAGUGAUUAUCAAGUAAAAAUUGAUUUGCAGAGAGAAGGUUAUGUUUCAAAGCAGGCACAUAAAGAACUUUAUUGAGAUUGAAAGCACUAGUAGAAGUAUGCAAAGUAGUAGAACCAGAAUGAGUGAUAGGCAAACCUUUGCCUUCACCAAUAUACACUUGUUCUGGACCUGUGUAUGCUUCAGGAUUUUGCAGAGUGGAAUAGGAGUUGGUCAUGUGGGAUGUUGCUCCAGAAUCGACAAUCCAAGUAGGAUUGGAUGAAGAAGCAGUAGCAACCAUCGCUGCAGGAGAGGAUUUUCCACCAUAAGCCAGAUUGAGGCGAUGAGGACAAUCACAUGCUUCAUGAUCAAGUUGAUGACAAAUCUGACAGGGAUGUUUCUUGGUGUAGGAAGAAAAAUUGUUGCGACCUCCACGAUUAGAACGUGAAUUAUUACCACGAUUAGGAAAAGAUCUCGGAUUGUUAGAGGAUCGGUAAUUGCCACGAUUCAAAGGACCGCGAUUAUGAGAGCGAUCCACUCCACGACUUGGAUGACUGAAGUUAGAAGGAGAAUGAGCCACAAAAGCCUGAGAGUUAAGACUGGAUACAGGAAGAGGAAGAAUGCCAGCAGAGGUGUGAAGAGCCUGAAAAGAGGACAUCUCAGAGAUACUUUUCUUGCGAGUGGCUAAUUGAAUCUCCUUGCUAAGAAGCAAGCCAUGUAAUUCAUCAAUUGUUGUAGAUCCGAGACGAAAUUGAAUAGCAUCAACAAACGAAUCAUACUCAGGGGGAAGACCGUGGAGAGUGACAGAGAUCAGAUCGGAAUCUUCAAUCGGAGAGCCGGCACUGGCAAGAGCAUCAGCAAUGACCUCAAUUUGCUGGAGAUACUGAGCAGCAGAUGAAAUUCCUUUGGAAAGAUUACGAAGUCGAGAGCGUAGCUCAUGAAUAUGAGACUGAGAGGCCGUGGCAAGGCGAGAUUCCAAUUUCGCCCAAAGAUCGCGAGCCGAAUUCACACCAACAGUGUAGGGAAUGAGGGAAUCCGAGAGCGUGGAGUUGAGCCAGAUGAGAAUAUUCUGGUCAUUUUCAUACCAAGAAAUAAGCAGGAUUAAGAAUGCGAUUUCCUGAGGAAUCAAGAAGAAAUUGAACCGGCGCCGCCAUAGAUCCAUCAAUGUGACCAGUCAGAUUGUAUCGGCGAAAAAUUGGAGCAAAGAGAGCGCUCCAAGUCAAGUAAUUGGUGGUGGUGAGCUUGAUUGGCACCAUGGAUCCAAUAUUUUGGAUUGUGAUGGAGGUAGAAUUUGAAGAAUUAGGGUUCGAAGAUCCAGUCGGAAGGGGGUGAAUUGGAGAGGCCGAUUCCGAUGAAGGAGAUGCCAUUGGCAAAUAGAUGAGGAAGAGAGCACGAACAAAGAUCUUCAACCACGAUCUUCAACCACGAGCGAAGAAUCGAGCAAGAACGCAGAAAGAAGAAGCAGGAGAAAGGAGGAUCGAAGAACGAGAGUCGUUAGACAGAGAAGGCGAUUGAUACCAUAUUUGGUAAAAUAUAUUUUCAUUUCACACUUUAAUAAAGUUACAGUUUAGGUGUAUAUAUACAACAAACUAACAUAGUAUCUUAACCACUAAGCUAACAGCUAAGAAGAUACAUUUACAAUAUUGCCCUUUAUACUUUUGUCACUGCGUUUAAAGGGGUGGUUGCUGUCGAUGUCGUUGAGGCAUGGUUUGCCGAGGGGUUGAUGGGUUGCAGGUAGAGAUAGGGUUGACCAUAGGGGUUGCAGGUGGGAUGGGGUAGCAUACUUAGUCUGUGUUAUUUCAUUUCAACCAUCGACUAAAAUACACCAUUUUGGCAUCUAAGAUGAGAUCACACUCACAAUCACUACUAGAAUCUUUUCAAUUAUAGGGAAAUAUGCGUGAAGUGACAAACUUAUAAUAAAAAAAUAGAACUGGAGUGACACUAAAUAGAAGAUAGGUGAACCAACCACUACUUUCUUUCCAUUUAAAUAAAAGUCAAUUGAUUACGUUUGUGUCUUUGUGCUGUUUUUUUUUUUUUUUUUUUUUUUUUUUUUUUUUUUUUUUUUUUUUUUUUUUUUAAGAAAUGAUAGUUGAUUCAUAUUCAUAAAAGGUCAAUACAGAGUAAAGCCAAUCAUGGUUUAGGAAAGUCCUCAAAGAGUAAGUCAAGGAUUAAAUCAGGUGGGGAUUCAACCCAAUUACAAACAUGAUUAGAUGAUAAACCAAAACAUGCUUGUCUAUGGGCCACUCCGUUGGCUUGACAACGUACAUAGGUAAAAUAGGCCUCAAUGAUUGACGAGAGCAUUGCUUUGACAUCCUCAAUGACCAAGAGUGGAAACAUUAGUAGAGGGAUCCCGCAACAAGUCUACAAUCUGAAGCGAGUCCGAUUCAAAUUGGCAUCUUUGAAAAACCCUAUUGGAUGCCCAAGUCAAAGCCAAAUGUGCAAUCAGAACUUUUGCCUCAAGGGGAGAGAAGACGUUAGUGACCUGCCAGCCAUAAGGUUAUCUAUGAAAACCCCUUCAAAGAAGCAGUUUGAUAUUUCGGCUAACACAAACCUCGCUCUUGUUAAGGUUGAUUUUCUGACUGGAGGCGAGUUCAUAUGCAGUGAAGGCAUUUGACAGAAUGAGACAUUCAGGUUCCUUGGCCCAGCAGAAAAAAAGGUUGUCGUCAACUAACAACAAAUGACUGAUAGGUGGGGCCCUGAUAGGAGCAUUUUUAUGCGACUUAAUUGGCUUGUUCUCAUGCAUUUAUGUUGUUUUUCCUUAGUUAGUUUAGUGUUUAAAGUCAUUUUCGUGCAAUUUCAGGUUUUAGUGUCAAAGUAUGCAAAAAGGAGCAUUUUGGAGCUUUUAGGAGCAAAAUUGGGCUUGGAAUGAAGUACAUAUGCAUGGAGCAAGGAGUUUGGACGAAUUUGAAGUCAAAACAUCAAAUAAACAUGCUAAAAAUCUGGUGCAAUAAAUACAAGUUGAAAGAAAGGAUAGGUUUCUAGAUGGAUUGACCAAAAGUCCACUCAAAACCAUGUUCACACCUAAAAUCCACAUCCUUGCCGUGAGUUUUUGGUGUUUUCACACUAGAAAAUUGAGUGAAUGAUUCAAGACCUAACCCACCAUUAUUCUACACAUCCUUGCCGUGAGUUUUGGUUGUUUUCACACUAGGAAAUUGAAUUAAACAAGUCCAUCCUCUCCCUAUAAAUACCUAUGGCAGCAACCUCAUUAAGACAUCCAGAAAUUAACCAUUCUCCAAGCCUUUCCUUGCCUCUCCUACAUAUCUAAACCCCUUCCCAUCCAUUCCUCCAAAUAACCAACCCUUCAACAUCAUUCCAACCUUGUUGUUGCGGCAAGGAGAAGGAGAAAAGUCCUUGGACGCGCUUGCUAUCCAACAUGGAUCGUUGGAACGUUUAGGUGCUUUCUUCCCUUUGUUUUUCAAUGGUUAAAUUUCUUUAUCUUUGUUUUGUAAUAAUGAGGAACUAAACCCCCCUUGGCUAGGGGGAUUCAAAACCAUGUUUAUGCUUGCUAUAUGAUUUGAUUACUUCCAAUUGCGUUUCUUGAAUUGUGAAUUCAAUUUACUUAUCCGUUCGUAUAAAAACUAAUUUGUGUAUGUUGGUUGAGAGUGCACGCUUAAUUUUCAUGCAUGAAUUUUGACGCUAGUAUAUAAGGGAGUUUCACCUAAUCGUUAUGAACUUAUAUUCACAAGUAGUGAAGGUUGCUAGUCACAAUCACGUUAAGUAAAUUCUUGGCAUAAGUUUCAUGCAAAUCAUAGUAACGAGUGCCUCGUCAAUGCUUAUGUUUUUCAUAGAACUUAAUGAUUCUUGCUUGUAUCUCUAUUAUGCAAUUCAUGUAGGGAACUUGUAGGGAAUGUUUUGGGUUGUCGUAUGCAAUCAUCCAAUCUAAUAACUUGUUGAAAAACUGAGAGUUAAUUAGUGCAAUUCACGGUUAAUUUGGGGCGUUGAGUAUUCAUAACUUAUCGAAGAGCAAUUGGAAAUCAUUUUGUAUGCAAGCAAGACAUGUGUGGAGAAGAACCCCUUAGCUAGCCUUCCAUUAUCCAUUCAACCCAAAUUUGUUUAAAAUCUAUUUAAGUUUUUAGUUUAUUCGUUUUUUACUUUCAACUUCACCAAACUCAAAUCCCCCUUUUACUUUCUUGUUUUAAAAUCUUUUGUUUACAUUUUUAACUUUGUUUCUUUUUGUUUUUGAGUCAGUUUAGAGGUUUUAGCAAGCCCUCCUAAUCCCCGGUUUAGAACGAUACCCUACUUACAUCUAUACUACAAUUGUCAAAAAGAGGGUUUAAUUUGUGUGUCAAGUAAAAUUGUCGCAUCAGGCCCUAGAGCACAAAGAAAUUUCGCGAAUCCUUCCCCUCCAAAUUGUUCACCAAAGCCAACAAGCCUUCCGUACACAAAAUGAAGAGAUAUGGAGAGAGGGGGGUCGCCUUAACGGAGGCCUUGAGACAGAUGGAGAUAGCCCCGAGGGCAUCCAUUAAUGAUGAAAGAGUAUGAGACGGAGGAUACACACGUCAUCAUCAAGUCAAUCUGCCAAUUAGAGAACCCCAAGUUUGGCAAGGAUACGUACUCCCACCCAAUACAAUCAUAUGUUUUAUUGAUAUCUAGCUUAAAAGACAGUAACCCAUUAUUGCCCCGCUGAUGCUUAAACAAAUAGUUAGAUAGCUCCGAGGCGAGAAUGGUAUUGUCAGAAAUGUUCUAUCCCAGCACGAAAACACUCUGAGUAGGGGAGAUGAUAUGGAUUAGUAUGGAUUUAAGCUGGUUUCCUAAUGAUUUGGAAGCAAUUUUGAAAAGGACGUUGCAUAGGCUGAUUGGUCGCAAUUGAGACAUAUCAUUAGGGUUCUUUUCUUUUGGGAUUAAUGAAACUCAGGUGAAAUUGACCAGCUUAAGUAAAUUGCCAGUGGAGAAGAAGGAAAGUAUAGUGGAAGUGGCAUCCUUGCCCAUAAUAUGCCAAAAGUGUUGGUGAAAGAAAAGGGUUUUUGUCUGGGGCCCAAAGUUUGAGGGCGCCAUUUGGAAUAAGGCCGCCUUAAUUUCCUCCGCAUUGAACACCAUCCAAGGCCCUAUUCAUAUUCGCAGAGACUUUAGGUUUAACUGGGUCAAGGGUUAAAUCUCUAUUACCUGAGCUUGUAGAAGAGAAUAGGUCACCAAAGUACUUGAGAACCAUGUUUUCGUUGGUCGGGCCCUCAUUUACCCAAUUUCCAGCCUUAUCUGUCAGGCCUUUGAUUAUAUUUUUAACCCUCCUAUUGUUUGCCCUCCUGUGGAAGAAGUUGGUGUUUCUAUCCCUAUUCAUGAAGCCAUAAAACACGAGAUUUUUGCCUCCAAAAGGAUUCCUCUAGGCCAAUCAGAAUAUCAAGUUGUCACAUGAGAAUGGCUUUUUCCUUGAUGACCAUAUCAUCAAGCGAUCAUGAGAGUAAGCUGCCCAAUUUGGCACGAACCUUAGUCAGUUCAUAUUGACGACCCCUAAAAACGAAUUGACACUAUUUUGAAAGGGCCACCCUAGUAACCUUUAUCUUUUGCACUACCUGGAACAUAGGAACACCAGCGAAGGAUUGAGCCCAGGCAGCACGAAUGACGUCCUUGCACCCAUAGUGUUUUGCCCAAAAUUCCUUUUCUCCAUGUUUGCCUCUUCACGGGAAACCCACAGACGUCUAGGAUAAGGAAAACAUGGUUAGAUUUGCUUGGGUAAAGGUGGGUAACUUUGGCAGAAUUAAAGAGAUCCUGGGCAGAAGCAAGAAACCGAUCCAAGUGUUCUUUAAUUCCACAAGCUCUGGUAGUGAUCCAAGUGUAAGGAUGGCUUGUGAACCCAAGAUCAUGCAAGUUGCAAUGUUAACUGCUUCCCAAAAAUUAGGGAUUUGAUUGAUGGGACGGGCAUGUCCAUCUUCCUUUUCAGUGGGUUGAAGUAGUUCGUUAAAGUCUCAUCCAAUAGCCCAAGGUAACAAAUUGACCAAAGCCAACGAUUUGAGGAGGUCUCAUGACAGGGGGCAAUCUUCCAUCGCCGAGUGGCCAUAGAAGCCAAUGAAUCUCCAAUGAAAAUCAUCGCCAAUUGCACCAAUUUUCGAAUCAAUGAAGUGAUCAGAAAAGCCCAGAACUCGCAUAUUGAUUUCAUUAUUCCACAAAAGCACAGGCCCCUAGAUUGCCCCCGCGAGGGUACACCAAAAAACCUGUCGAAUCCCAAUUUUAAUCUCAGAGAAUAGAGGGCCACAAUGUUAACCUUGGUUUCACACAAGAAUACCAAGGUGAGAUCUUGUUGCCGGAUUAAAUCUUGUAGUGCCUGAACUUUCCAGAGGUUCCCAAGCCCUCGACAGUUCUAGACUAAUGUUAUCAUGGCUGGAGGCGGGGAUGAAACCCGUCAGCCUCCACCGAUAGAACAUUAUAUGUCGCCAUUUUCCUUUCAAGUAAUCCAUUCUUCUCAGCCUCCACCAACUCUUUGGAUAGACUUAUAGCCACAUCGUAAAGGUUAAAUUCAUACCUGGGUUCAACAUCAGACAAAUAUUCCAAGCCAUUGAGAGGUUUUGGUGCCACAACCACCGCCCCAACCACCCCUUAUGGAGGUCCACGAGCAUUGCAGUUGGCCUUGGUCGGAGUGUCAUCACUUUAUGUGGUUUGGAUUACCCUUGCCCUUGUCGCAGGUGGAGUAUAUAGAAUGUGGCUUUCAUUCACUACGUCGGAUUGAUUGAUGAGCUGGGAUGCCAUUUAUUGGCAGAAGCAUCGAAAUCCCUGAGAUUCGUUUGGGGUGGGAAGUAGUCCAGUAACUUGAAGUUUGUUGGGUUCACACUAACUUCGUUCGAGGCCUGGAAAAGGCCUGUUGAAUUUUGGAAGGCCUAAGAAGGUAGGCGGUUAUGAUCAAGCUAGUAUUUUUUCAAGCGAAGGGACAUUGACAACGAUAGUAAGGGUCUCAUUGGAGAAUUGGGUCCCAAAGCUGUCUGGAUGCUACAUAUGGCCCAAUUCAGAAGUUAAGCGUGAUCGAGCAGUGGAGGAUUGCCCAGGAAGGAUUGGUGUAGGAUUGACCCUUGAUUCUGUGUUUGUGGGAAACCACGAUGUCAAAAAAAGUAGAGGACACAGAGCCUGCAGAUGGUACCGCAGGGGGUUUGUCCCCUGCAAUUCCAGAACCGUCGGUAAUUUCUUUAUCCUUUCUCAUCACCAGAAAAUGUGUUUGGACUAAAACUUGAUUUUUUGGCCCAAGGAUGGAGUCGGCCCAAAAGGAGGCCUAGAGGAAUAGAAGAUCAAGGCCCGGCCGAAACUUGGGAAAGCAGGAAAGGGCCUUUUCUGACUUGAUACAAUUCAUAAGGGCCACUUGCCUACCUACCCAAGGACCAAGUGGUGUAGACUAAUCAGACUGCACAGCCCAUAAAGUACUUUAUGGUGGCAUUACAUGUAAUAAAGCUGAUGAGUCAUCACCCUCAAGACCGCAUUCGGGCAAAGCUGUCGCUACAGGAGCCAAACCGAGUCGUCUAUAAAAGGAGGAAGAGAAGACAGGAAUAGAGACACUCAAUCAAACAAACAAAAGCACAAACUCUGCUCAAAAAGCCAGAUUUGCCUUUCAAAACGAAGCUGUAAUCAGCCCAAGCCUUCAUCCCCCGCGGGAUAAUCUUUUCUCCCAACCUCUGUAAUAGCUCUGCUACCUUGUUCGAACUUGUUGUAGUAUCGAUUCACCUUUUGUAUUCUCCUUUCCCCUCUCCCCCUCUAAGCUUUCAGACCUUUGACAGAACUACAAAAGGGACCUGCAAGACGAUCAGCCUUAAUUGAUAAGGUUUAAUCUUGCCCGACCUGCUUUGCUCUGUCUUUGUCUUCUCUUUCUUUAAAGUCUAGCAAUAUGUUGUAUAUUUCCAGUUAUAUGCAAGUUGUUUCUAGCAAAAUCACAAUGACAAAGCUUUCUCAGUACUUGGAUCCGAUUUGAAUAUAUCUUCAGUGUUUAAAUCAGAUCCAAGUCCUAAGCCCUCAGGCAUGUAAAUCUGAUUAGUUUAAAAGUCCUUGGCCUCAAGGCAUAAAAAAGAACUUUAUGUGGACUUAACCCAUCCACGACAAUCCUUGAUAAACGAGAAAUCCGAAGUUACUUGGGGCGCAAGUAAUCGACCUACCUCUUGGUUUUAUUUCUAUUAUAUCAUGAUUAUCAUAGAACGCUUAAGUAUGGAAUGGAUUCUGAUAGGAAGCCUCAAUGCCUACACCUAAGGCCCCACAAAGGCACUUAUUUGGAUUCAUUCUAUUCUGCGGUCUAGAUGGUUUGAGUAUAAGAACGGACUUUAAUGGGAAGCCUUAAGGCCUACACCUAAGGCCCCACAAAGCCACCUAUUUGGGUACGCUCUACCUCUCAGACUCGGAUAAUCAGAAAUAUAAUAGUUAUAAGACUCCGACAACCAUAAAGACCAAAUAUAUAUGCUCAAGUACUGGUUUAGUUUGACAGGAAGCCUCAAGGCCUACACCUAAGGCCCCACAAAGGCACCUGUUAUAUCUAACACGGUUUCUCAGGCAUAUGCAUAUUCAUAACUAAAACUUGACAUCCAUUCGACAUCUGCCAUGCUGAAGAUGGCAGUGGCACGCCUGAGCACUAAAAUGUUAACCUUGAUUGUGAGCCUUAAGGCCUACACCUAAGGCCCCACAAAGGCACCUCUCAAAGUUAACGAUGUCCUUCUCUUUUAGCCUUGCCCGAAGAGUCUUGCCCGACGAGACUUGCCCGACAAAGCCCGACAGCAGCCCUCAACCGGCGCCGAACCUCCAGGGGAGCUGUGUGCUCGUCGGCCAGGAAACAUCCCCGACGGGAAUUCCUACCACGAACAAAAUGAUUCAACAGAAUAUGCAUCUCGCCAUCUGACAGCCAUAAAAGUCGCCACUUCCAGUUUUACAGGUGUCGAAGUCCACGUGUAGUCGCAGGAAUCCACAUCUUCCACCUCUAACACCGACCCAAUUUUUUUCCCCCAAGGAUUGAGCAUUGGCCUUAGUGCGAAAAUUCCUCAGGAUGUCGUGGGCUUGGAUCUAGAAGAUAGCACGGUCAAGUUUGAUGUCAUCAAUCGAGUGGUAUAGGGGCCAAAGUUUAACCGAGAAAGUAAUCCUUCACAAACCAUAGGUUUCCUUCCAUAAGCUUUCUGGCUACCACCUCAUCCCCGACAGCAAUGAUAUAUUUGUUAUCCUUAGCUUUUGAGGACACGGACCACCCCCAUUUUGUUCCAGGCUGAUUGGAGGGUUUCCUUAACCACAUUCUGGGAGGGUUCAUGGUCGGCAAUGAGUUGUCCCACGAGAUGGAUGGAGCUGUCAAAGCGUUCCUCCAAGUCGAGGCUAUCUUCCAGAGUUAUAUUCAGAUAGUCAACAAUCUCAUCUUUAGUAGCCAUGGCCACCACAAGAAGAAGCCGUUGAAGGAGACAAGAUCCACAGGGGAUACAAAAAGGAGCUCACGCCAAUGGUGCCAGAGCUAGGGUGCCGGAGUGUCAGAGCUAAGGAGUCGUUGAACCAAGCUACUCUUGUACAUGACAAUGAGCUCUACAUAGUAAGCUAUUUAGAGUUUUGUUCCAGUUUUGAUUAUGCACAAUUUCAAUUUUAAACUUCAAAAAAUUUUGAAAUUGGUUUAGGGUUACUGAAAUUUUAAAAGCAAAAAAAAAAGACAUUCUGCAAUUAAAUGCAGAGACUGUUAGGUCUAAAAGAAUAAGAAAAUGGAGAGAGCAGCAUAACAUUACUACUACUAUACUAAGAACAACACGAAACUGGCUUUGGGUAAGAUUCCACUAUGUGUAUAAUCUCCUUCAAAAGUGAUUUUGGAAGAGAUAAUGUCAAAUUCAUAUCUGAAUAAGGAAAUAAUAUGCAUGUAUAAUGAAGUAGGGUUUGUUUCUAAUUUGGGGUAAUUGAUCGAUAUUUUGCCGAAAUUUUGUAGAAAUCUUGAUCUUGCUUCAAGGGGCCAAAUUAAUUUGUAGUUUAAACUCGAGAUUUUUUUUGGUUCAGAGAGUUUUACUUUUAUUCAUUGAAUUUUCUUUGCAUAAUUUUUUUGUUGUAAAAGUUUAAUGUUGUGUUGUUGUUCAUGAGGAAGAGGACUGAAACCCAGCUGCGUGAAGAAGGUAUGGUUUGUGACAGUUAGUUUUAAUUUUCCAAGCUUCCUAAAAGUUUUGGAGUAUCGUCUUUGGGAUGUUUGUGGAUCAAUUUUUUUUUUACACCUUGAAUUGAAUCGUAGCUUCUGAUGUUUGAAACUCUAGCACUUUUAGUUAGUUAAGGAAUAUUCAAUGUAGUUGACCGUCAAAAUUGGUUUUGUUGUCGUACUAUGAAUCUGCAUCAUUGAUUAAGUUUAUUUGUGUCUCGACCCUAUGUACAUGAUACAUUUUUUGUAGUCAUCUUUUGAUGUGGAUCAUAUAUUGUCGUUGUGAACUAUGCAAAAGAGGAGAGACUAAGGAGAGAAGCAGCAGAAUGGAUGGCAAAAUUAGGCAAGAUUGCUGAAAUACAGAGGCAAAAAGGGAGGAACUAGAAGAAUUAGUUGCGUACAAAAGCUCUUUUGAGGUUGUGCUUAAGAAACCAAAUUGUAAAUAGCCAUCAGGCCCACCGCAAUGUUGAAUAGUACAAACAAAUAUCUAAAGAUAAUGUUGAGUUUUGAUAUCGAAGUUAAACUUCUAAUGCAUUUUGUUUGCGCUGUGUGUAGAUGCAAAGGAAAAGGUGGAGGCUGACAAUUCAUCAGAUUAUAAGAUCGAGAAGAUAAGAAGAUAGUUGGGGAUACUAAUUUCAUACCAGCUGGUCGAAGUGGAGGGAAUUUGAGAUUCUAGAAGAUUCAGGAAGUUGACUAAUACAAUACCAAAUAGUAUUGUUGAUUACUAUUAAUUUUGCUUUAGAUUAGUCUCAGUUGUUGAUUAAUAUUAGUUUGGGGCUAAUUACAACCCACGUACGACUGAAGGCUUACUGAAACUAAGCAUGCUUGAUUGAAACUAUGGAUUGGAUAAUCUACCAUUUCGUUAUGGAACUUAGACCAAACUCUAUCCUUGACUAGAGAGGUGUAUGUGCCUAAUUUCUCCAACUAUGGCCAUAUGUAUAUAAAUCUAGCUUUUGUAGCAUCUCUAUCUUUUGAGCAUUCAGAACUUGAACGCUGUCAAUCUUUUGAUAACUAUGAACUUAUGCACAUAAAUCUACUUUUUUAGCAUCUCUAUCUUUUGAACAAUGCGUAAUUUAACGUGCCAAUCUUUUGAUAACUAUAGAUUUAUGUAUAUAAUUCUAGCUUCUAUAACCUGUAUCUCCUAUCUAUUUUCAAAACAUUUUAAACACCAACAACAUCGUGCGGGCUCUUUUGCUAGUUAUUUCUAUUCCAGCAUAAUUUCGUUUGUUUUUCUUCUUUAAUUGGCAAAUUUCCGUAUAGUUUUUCCCUUUGGGAACUACGUAGUGAAGGCUUCAAUUGGUUAGUUAAAAGCUCAGAUUAUUUGAAUAAAAACGUCUACAAAAAAUCUAAAUGAAAAAUGUUCAAACUAAUUUGAAUAACUUAAAGCAGCUUGUGCAGCCGGAGGUAAAUUCGAAUAAUUAACUAGCAGUUGAUUUUUGCAUGAAUAUUCACUGCUUGGCAACAGACGAAUAUUUUAUAUAACAAUAUAAUAAGUCAGUACUUCAUUAGAGAAUUACGCACCUGGGAUGGUGUUUGGAAAACAUUUAGGAUGAGGAAUGUCAGAACUAUAGCCUUUGCAGGUCAAUUUAUCGGGCAAUUCAUCGGGCCAAUUCACUCCAAGCUCAAAGCCAUACAUGAGUGCACUGUGUAUAUAUUCAUAAGAGGGCUUGUAGUACUUCAAAUGCAUCAAAGCAAUCCUCUCUGCUCUGCAACCCUCAUUCAAUUCCCCUACUUUCAUAUCGUUUGGGCCAACCUUGACAUAACUAUAAGAUUUUGGUUGAAUCAAAGAAGUGGCAGUACUAUUCAAGCAUGGAGCAGUAUCCACGUACAGAGAAGAAUUCACUGGGUUUCUACACCUCAAGUAAAAUAUUGAUGUUGAAAGUCGUAAAUUGGUGGUGGGAUUAUACGAACGAUAUGGAUCUCUUAGUGAAUAAGGGCCGGGAGGCAAAUUUCGAGGCAUGGAAGAGCAAUUGUUGUUGUCAAGGCCAGGAUCUAGAAGUCGGAGUAUUUUGUUAUUGUAGUUGAUUGUCUGUACGUAGUAUUUACCAGAAUAAGGUAUAUCACCAUAAUAAGGUAGAUCUAGUAUUGUAAUGUUGUUCUCACAGGAAAGAGUAUACAGAAUGUGGCCGCAGUGCUUUGGAUCAUGUUUUAGUCGAAAAGGGUAGCUUAUGUUGCGAAUAUUGCCGCAGGAGGAGGUACAGUUUGUACUAUCAUCCUUAGCGUUACAAGUUUCACUGCAAAAGCAAAGAAGAAAGGCUAAAAUAAAGGUCAAGGACCUGCUUCCACUAAUUUCCAUUGGAGAGAGAGGGGGAGAGAGAGAGAGAGGUGUACUGGUAAACACCAAGUAGUUAAAUAAUAUAGGAGAGAGAACCUUCUGGGAAGUUGCAGUAAGCACUUCAAAUAUCCAAGAGAAAAGUCAGUCAAUGGCAGAGACCGACUUGUGUAAUAAUAAUGAUCUCUCUCUAUCUCUCUGUGAGGUGUACUAGUAAACACCAAGUUGUUAUAUAAUAUAGGAGAGAGAGGUGUACAAGUAAACACGAAGGGGAGGGGUUAAAGCACCUUCUGGGAAGGUGCAGUAAGCACUUCAAAUAUCCAAAAGAAAAGUCAGUCAAUGGCAAAGACCGACUUGUGUAAUAAUAAUGAUCUCUCUCUCUCUCUCUUUCUUUAAUGGAGAACAGAGUAUAAUUAGUACAUAUUAUAUCUCUUCUUAAUUACACAAAAGAAAAUUGGGGUUUUUGAACUUAAUCUUUGAAGAAGAUUAAAGUUUAAUAAAAAUCUGAUGUUAAAUUGGAUAUUGAUUUUGAUCCUUUAAUAUUUACUUAAUUCAAAUUCAUAUUAUAUUUUUGUUUUAAUAUUUAAUAGAUGUCUUAUUUUAUUUGAUGAGAUCUUAAAUUCGAUUCUCGCUAAAGGUAAAUUUGAACCAUAUUAUUGUAAGUUUAUUGCCCAUCCCUUCCCCUUAGUGUAGAUAAUAUCAAUUGUUCAAAAAAAAAACAGAGAUGUCUUUUUUUUUUUUUGGAGAAAUUAGGUUCUCAUCCUUCAUUUUGCUACUCCAUUGAUUAAAUUCAUAUUCAUUUUCAAUUUUUGAUCAAGGUCCUUGGGUAUUAAUAACAUCAUUAAUUAUUUCAAUAAUAAAAUAUUUUUUUAUUUCUAAAUAUAUUCAUUUAAUGUUAAAAAUGUUACAAUUAGUAUAUUUAUAUUUAUGACUAAAUUUUUUAUUAUAUAUUUUUAGUUUUAAUUUGUACCCAUUUUUAAGUUGUAAUUCUUUUUUAAUUUGUACCAAUUUUCUUUUCAGUUUUAAUUUGUACCCAUAUAUUAAUUUCUUUUUGUGCCCAUAUUUUUAAGUUUAUUUGUAUUUGUACCCAAAUAUUUUUUUUAUUUGUACUUUUUAUUUUGCUAAAUGUACCCAUGCUAAUUAUAUGUACCCAUUCAUGUAAUUUAAUCUUAAAAUGUACUCAUUCUUAAGUAUACCAAUUUGUUAUAUGUAAAAUGUACCAUUUUUUUUAUAUAAAAUCUAUUCAAUUUUUUUUCUAAUCCAUUUUUAAACUUAUAUGGGUACAUUCUUUUUUUUUUAUGAUUUUAAAAUGUAUCCAUGUCAAGUUUAAUCGAAGAAAUUUACUAAUGUUAUUAAGCCUAAUAUAUAUAUAUAUAUUGUGAUUUUGAAAAAUGUACCCUUGUUUUGAUACAAUAAUUUUUUUGGUUAAUUUUGAUGAAUGUACCCAUGUUUAUAUAUAUACACACACAAUAGUAUAUUUAUAUUUUAAUAUUUUUAAUCCCACAAAUUAUUGUUUUUUAUUUAAAAUCUCAAUUCUAUAAACAACUAAAAUUUCUAAUUUUUAAUUUAAAAAAUAUAGUAACGUACAUAGAAAUAAAUUAUUACAUUAAUUUCAGAGACCUCGAUCAAAAAUUAAAAACCAACAAGGUUUCAAUCAAAGAAUAUUCAUAGCUAAGGACCGCAUCCAAAGUCUCCCUUUUUUUUUUAAAUAAGGUACGAUAUUCAUUAAAUAGAAUGGAGCGUACAAAUAGAAGGAUAGCAGUGUAUACAUGGGUCUGGAUAAAAAUCUCAUCGGGACUUUCAACUCGAUCUAAAGAAAAAAGAGUGUUUCGUACCUAACAAUCAACUAAGAGUUUUCUCUCUUCACGUAGCAAAUCAACAGUACAAUUAAAUAGACAUAUCUUCAAAAAGUGCAUCCAUGAUUAAACCUAGAGGUUCCCCAUGCCAUCUUAACUCUUGGCUCGAAUUAAUCCCCAUGUCAUUACAUUAAAUUUUAAAUUUAUUAUUAUACAUUUUAAUUCAUUAAUUUUAUUUGCUUCCUUUAACUAUUGUAUGUCACAUCCCGGCCCGAGACGAACCACAUCCCGGGUCCGUUCGACCACCGUAGCACGAUAUUGUACUAUUCCCUCACGGUUUUGUUUUUUGAAAACUCACGAGCAACUUCCCAGUUGGUCACCCAUCCUGGGAGUGCUCUGGCCUCCUUCUCGCUUAACUUCGGAGUUCCUACAGAACCCGAAGCCAAUGAACUCCCCAAAGGCCUCGUGCUAGGUAGGGAUGAGAAUAUACAUUUAAAGAUCACUCCCCUGGGUGAUGUGAGAUGUUACAAUCCACCCCCCCUUAGGGGCCCGACGUCCUCGUCGGCACACUUCCGGCCAGGGAUUGGCUCUGAUACCAUUCUGUCACAUCCCAGCCCGGGGCGGACCACAUCCCAGGUCCAUUCCACCACCGUAGCACGAUAUUGUCCGCUUUGGGUUUACCAUUCCCUCACGGUUUUGUUUUUUGGAACUCACGAGCAACUUCCCAGUGGGUCACCCAUCAUGGGAGUGCUCUGGCCUCUUUCUUGCUUAACUUCGGAGUUCCUACGGAACCCGAAGCCAAUGAGCUCCCAAAAAGCCUUGUGCUAGGUAGGGAUGAGAAUAUACAUUUAAGGAUCACUCGCCUGGGCGAUGUGGGAUGUUACAUUGUACCUAAACAUCUGUAUCAUAAUAUAUUUUAUUAAACUAGCGUACCGAAAUGCCUGUACCUAAAUAUAUUGUAAUGAAUCAGUGGCACAUAAGAAAAUAUGCAAAAACAUAAGUGUACUAAAAAUUCUGUACCUAAAUAUAUGAUCCUAACUAGUGUACCGAAAUGUUGGUAUCUAAAUAUAUUAUACUAAACUAGUGUGCCGAAAUGUUCGUACCUAAACAUAUUAUAUUAACCUAGUGUACUGAAACAUUUGUACCUAAAUAUAUUGUAAUGAAUUAGUGGCACAUAAAAAAAUAUGCAAAAAUUGUACAGAAAAAUCUCAACAGAAAUAUUUUUUACAUAAGAUACUUAACAUAAUGAGAAUUAAAAUGUCAUGCCCCGAUCCCGACAUACAUCCAGGAUCGACACGUGACGUUACUAAAUACCCAUAUCUCAACAUACCCCGUCUCUAGAAUAUGGCAAAUCACAACUCGAGAAUCGAAUCGCAUAGUCAUUUUUCUGUAUACUUUAUGGCUGCAUCUAACCUCCCCGAUAGACUGCCUACGUAUCCUUAUUAGGGAUCAAAUCAUUCGUAGUUUGUCCUUUCGCUACACUUGAACAUUCAUCAUAUAAACCACUGUAUCUCAAUAUAAUACCACAAUUCAAUUAUGUAGCACCUCAAGGAGCAUUUAACAAGGCAUAAUAUUAAUCUCUAUUCAUAUCAUCACUUAUCCACACAUAUGCAUUCCAACACCAUCCAAUUAUCACAUUAAUCAAUAAUGCCAAUCACCAUAUCAUCAAUAACACAUACAAUUCAUCGAACUGCAGGGCUAGAGCGACAUGAUUCAGCCAAAGCCUACAUCUCUGAAACUGUCUCAAAUGAAUCAAAUGAUGCGAUUUCGAACCACUCAACGAAAUCCAUCAACAUCGGGUUUCGGACCUCUCAACGGAACCAAGACACCAAAGGGGAUUCCGGACCAUCACUCAACGGAAUCGCAGAGUAGAAGGGAUUCCGGACCAUCACUCAGAAUCGCGAAGUAUAAGGGAUUCCGGACCAUCACUCAACGGAAUCGCGGAGUAGAAGGGAUUCCAGACCAUCACUCAACGGAAUCGUGGAGUGGAAUGUAUAACAUCAGUCGAUGAAAUAAGACAUGGACCGAGUUACCCAAGUUACAAAGACUCAACGAAAUGAGAAAUGAAAUAAUGACACGAGGGUGAAACACAUUUCAAGCAACAAACCCCAUGACAAUGGGUUAGCGGCCCACUACUAGCCCUCACAUUUCAUCACAUCCAUCCAAUCAUACAAUACAACCCAUAUUUCCAAUGCACAAGUCAAAUCAUACUUAAUGAAAAUAGAUUGAUGGCCAGAAACAAAAAUAACAGUUCAAUAGAUUUCACAUUUAAUAAACAUAGAUCUAUGGCAUAAAUAUAUAGAAUUCACAUUUCAAUAGAAAUCACCUUUAUAAGGCCAAGGCAUAAUCACAUAUGAUACUAAUAUAAAAAUCAAGGUAAUAGCUAUAUCACAUAUACACAAGUCAUUCUCUAACCAAUGUAGACUGACUAGACUUCGCUUAAUCUUCCAUAGUACUAAUUUUAGUAAUUAGGAUGUUUCAUGACAUGUUGACCAAAAGUCAACUCUCGAUCAACAAUAGGGUCCACAAACUUACGUAGUUUGAUCUGGAAGAUCCGCACCUUGGAUUUCCGAUCUGUAACUUUCCAAAGUCCACAUUAUGCUCAAAUAACUACAUACUAAAAUCUCAACAAGAUCCGACGGUUGGAUCUCCGCCAAUUUCAAAAUUCAAGUGGCGGUCGACAUUUAAUUUUACAAACUUAGAAAUCCAAAUAUGGAAGAUCCAUAUGUCAGAUUCCCAAUCUGUAAAUUUCUAUGAUCCUCAAAUAUUACGUAUUACAACAUAUCAAAGUUUGGUGACGAUCCAACGGUCGGAUAGUCGAUUCUUAUUUUCACCUAACCACGUAUCAUAAUAAAAUUAGGUUCAAUUGCUCAAUCUACGUCAUUCGAUUAUCAAAACUGAAUUUAAGACAACAAACAUAGCCUAAAAAUAACAUUGAUGGCCCACUAGCUACAUGUCGCCGCACGUGCCGCCGUGGGUGGCGGUCGACCGCCCCGACUUGCUAGAAAAUUCAACUAUUUUUAAAAAUUACCAAAAUUUAUAGAAAUGAAGAUCUCAAUGAGUAGAACAAGUUUUAUACCUGUGUCGAAGUCCAAUUUGGCCAGGAAAAGCUCCAAUUUUACUAAAACCCGCCGGAACCCUAGAAAUUGGGUAUAGUUUAAUUCAACGUCAAACUCAACUCCGCCACCUCCAAUGUUGAUUGGGGUUUGUUCCUGGAAUCAAGAGGAGUUGAAUAAGGGUGGUGGCCGUCGUCGGUGUUUGCAGAAUCAGCGGAAUUGCCGCGGUGGAGUAUGAGGACCAACGUGGUUGUUCUUCGCGAAAUCAUGCCCAAAUCAUCUCGAUUUUGGUGGAAUAGUGUAGAUGGGAGGUCACUGAGUUGAUUUAUGGUGGUGGAUGGCUGCAAUUUGCCGGAAAAAUCAAGAGAAACCGUCGAAAAAUUUGUAGGUAACUGGGUCAGGUCGAAAAUGGGGGACCGGUAAAGGGAUCCGGUGUCCCUCCCCUCUCCUCAUUUUUCCUCCUUUCCCCUUCUCCCAUUCGUCCCUUCUUCCUCUCUCCUCCCUUCCGAUUGGCUAACCCUCUUUCUUCCCUCCUGAAACUCUUCUCCUGCUCUCUCCCCUGCUGCCCUCUAGCAGCUCUAUUUAUUAUUAUUUUUUAUUAUUUUUUUUCUUUUUUUUCCUCUUGUUUUCUUCUUUCCUCCCCCAUUUCUAAUUAGUCCCUUUUCCUACCAUGUGGGAGUUUUACAAAUAAAUUAAAAUCUAUAGUUUAGUAACACAACUUCAAAUAUCCAUAACUAUACCAUUAAAACCUGGACUCGCAAACGGCUUUCGCCUAUGCGUUCGUGAUCUUGAAAUCUAUUCAACAAUAUAAAUUGUGACCUCAAAAGGUCUACGGAUUUUAACUAAUUAAUUUCCAAACUUCAAACUUCGUAACUAAAUUAAUUAAAAUCUAAAUUCAGACAAUUAAAAUAAAUUGUCCAAAAAAAUAAUAUAAAUCUCAAUAAUACAAAUACGUAGAUUAUAAAAGUGAAAUCCAAGAACAGGAUUUCACAUAAAAUUUAAUUUAUGAACACCAUAAAAUUUUAAUAAAAAAGAGAGACAUUGAAUACAUAUGAUGGCAUUAAACAGAGUCUAGGGACUAAAAUCAGUUUUUAAUCUUGUAUAAAACAUUUUUCUAAACUUCAUUUUAUUUAGGGAAAAUUAGAAUCCCCUACAGUUUUUUUUUUUUAUAUCAUUUAGAUUAAACAUCUGUGCCUUUUUAAAAUUUGAUUAAAGUGUUUUGACCAAUAACCAUCUCAAGCUAAAUUACAUGUCAUUAUUAUAUUUUUUAAAAUUAAAAUAAUUUUUUAAUUUAUCCUUUUCGCAUGAUGCACUUUGCCUUAUUUAGUGGAGAUAUUAGUAAUUAAACUAUAUUUUCUCUUAUUCCAAAUAUGUUUUUUCGAUCACAAUUUUUUUUUCUUUUUUUUUGGUUAUGCAAACAUUUAAUAUUUUUUUUUUUCAAAUGGUUUUUUUUUUUUUCAAAUAGUUGGUGAUCAACAUAAAAGCUCCGUGUAAUUUUUUCAAUUUUUUGUGAUUUUUUUUGUGCUGUUUUUUUUAAGUAUAGUUGUUGACGAAUUAUUAUUAGGUACAAUACAUUACGUAUAUAUUAUCUGCGAGUACGUUUGAAUUUACAAAAAUCAUUAAUUGGUACGUUUAUUUGUAAUUUUGGUACAUUUGAUUUGAUACAUAUUGUUAAUAUUGGUACAUUAUUUUUAUUUUGGUACGUUUUAUUUUGUACACAUUGUGUAUUGGUACAUUUAUUGACACACCCUGACCUAAAUCAAGGCAUGCUGACCGUCAAUCGAGAGUGACGUAACUAAUUUAGUACUAAAGAUAUAAAAACGUGAAUAAAUAAAAACCAACCUAGCUAGCUAACUAACUAAUUUACACUAGAUAAGAUAUAAAUGCGAGUGACAAGAUUUAAGCGUAAUUACACAUAAUUAGAGCAUAGCUAACCCAAGUGCAAUCCAGCAUGACAAAUACUAAUUAUACAAUACCAGAGAGAUGGUCCUACAUUAAUUACAGUCUGUCAAAACCGCCGCUAACUCCUCGUAAGCCACCAACAAGCACUCCUACCUAGAACCUGGUGGGGCGCAAAACAAAAAGUGUGAGUGGGCAAAAACAAAGCUUUUCCAAACCAUUUCACUUAUCAAAAGUACUAACCCCUCAUCGUAAAACCCGUAUAAUUUCCCAGAAAAUAAGAUACAUAUCUAUAUCAAACCAUAUUCGGAAUAGCAAAAUCUCCAUGUAUGCCAUGCCAAGUAUCUCAACAUAAAGAAAUAAGUAAACCAGGUGAAGAAAAUUAAUAAAAAGUAAUAGGUCAGCCGGAUCCACCUAUUGUGGCCUAUACGGCUGAACCUAUAACUCAUCAACUAUCCCUGCACACGAGUCGGAACCACCUAUAGUGGUCGGUACGACCAAACUAGGUGUAAAUAAGUACGCUCAAGUGCUACGAUCACGUGAAGACUGUGCGAAUAAUCGCGGGUCACCUACAAGUCGGAACCACCUAUUGUGGUCUGUACGACAAGACUGUGCACCAAACUUGGAUCCAAGGUGAGUGUGCGGUGCGAGAGGUGAACACCACGUGAAUGACUGUGCUCUGGCCACGAGCGGGAGCACUAACACCGGGAUGCAGGUUAAUGAGCUCUAAAUACAUCUAUGUACCACCAUCAUAAUGCAACUCACAAUCAUCAAUACAUAUACUCACCUGAAACUUACCUAAGCAUCCGCAACGUCAAAUACUAGCAUGCCACAUUACUAAUGUAUAUUCUAAAAUAUAAAGCAUUUGACAUGGCAUUAAAAACACAAAAUCAAUUAAAUCAAUUUUUAUGGGAAAAACAUAAUGCAUAUAUAUACAUAUAAUGAAAACCAAAAACCCACUUACUGAUAUGUGGUAAGGUCGUAACCCCCGAGCCUCGCCUGACUGCGCUCGUCCUCUGGAAACGUCUCACCUAUAUGUGAAACAACUAUUUUAACGUUAUUUUAAGCACAUAACCAAAACUAUGAAAUAACUUCUCAUACGUUGCUCAAUUGGGGUGUGUGAAUAUACCAUCAAGGCCUACACAACCCCACGAUCAUCCCCAUAUUUUUAGAAAAAAUUUCCGAUGUCCCACGCGCCCUCACGCGCCGGCCAAGGCACGACCAUGCGCAAGCACGUGCCUGGCACACGGACGGAACCUUUAACGCCGUUAAAGAAUAUUCCGUUAAAUAAUGGAAUAUACCGUUAAAUAUACUUGACGCCGUUAGGUAUAUUCCAUCAAACUUGAUGGAAUAUUCGCCUUCUCUUUCCUUGAUUCGCCGGAGUCCGGCGGCAGUCACUGCUGCACUCGCCGGAAACUGGAAAACUGGAAAACUGAAAAACUUCAAUAUCUCUUCCAUUUCAACACCAAAAUUCAUGAAAUUUGUACCAAAAUGAAGUUCUCAACUAGGAGAACAUGAUCUUACCACUUUUAGAGUCCCUAAACCAACGGAAAUUGGCCAGAAAAAUUUCGUGAAAACCGGCUAAGUCUGCAACUCAAAGAACUCGAGUGUCCCGACGUCCAAAACCUUCCAAAAUUCCUAUAACAACUUCGUAAAGCUGUUUUAAGACUCUCUAGUACCUUAAAACCCCGCGUAACACUCGCGACCAAGCUCGAGCAACAGGACACUUUGUUAGAGCUCACAGGUUCUCGAGUUCCCAAAGUCCUUACGUCCAACUAAGGGUAUAGCUCGACUCCUGAGCUUACAAGGAACUUGGAAAUGGCCUCCACUAUGUCGAUUUGUGCAAGAUGAAACUAGUUGGGUGUGUGUGUGUACAGACUGUACGGACGGAAAGAGGUUUCGAGAAAGAGGGUGACAGAUGCAAGUUGCACGUGUGUGUGUGUGUGUGUGUGUGUGUGUGUGUGUGUGUGUGUGUGUGUGUGUGUGUGUGUGUGUGUGUGUGUGUGUGUGUGUGUGUGUGUGUGUGUCUUGAUCCAGAUUAGGCACCCAUAUACAAUCCUAAAACUCUAAUUGGGCCACCAGUUAUAAGCUAAAAAAAAAAACCAUCCAAAACAACCCCAUAUUUCAAUUGGGUCCAAAGAAGUAGGAAAUGAAAUAAUUGGUCCAUUUUUCUUAGCCCAUAAAUACAUUCACAACCCAACGCUCAAGGGUAAAACCGUCAUUUCCACGCUUUCGAGAAUCAAAUAUAUAUUAAUUCGGGACACGUCGUCACAUUUAUAUUAUUCUCAAUCCUAUUUUCUCUCAACGCAAAAGAAAAACUUAUUUCAGUACGUUUGAUUUUGUGGGAUUUAAAAAUAUUUUAAACUAUUUUGGAAAGAAAAUAUCUUAAAUCGUAGAUAAUUAUUGCUAAAUUGUAGCAUUAUUGUGAAAAUAAAUUGAAUCUAACCAAUUUUUUUUUUUUUUUUUACAAUUAUCUCUAACGGAGGAGAGUGUAAUUAAAAAGCUAGAUUAUAGGAAAUUUGUUACAAUAUAAUAUGCAUAUAGCACCAAAAUUAUGACCAAAAAAAGUUUAAUCAAAUCACUAAAAGACAUGAAUGUUUGAUCUAAAAAAUUCAGAACUGAGACGCCUAUAUCAAAUGAUCUCUAUUUAUUUAAUGAUUAAAAUCUAGUUUUCUAUAAUAUUAACAUUGAACGUAUAAUCCUUCAAACGUAAAUUAAGGGACUUUGUUUCCGGUUCUUGUUUUGACUUUCUAUUUUUUGGGGUUACCGUAGAAGGAUGUAGCAACCCCACCCCAAGUUUUUUUCUUGAAUCUUUUGACACUCCGCCAAACUUCUCUUGGAAUUUUAAUUAGAUGAAACAAUAUGAAUCUUGAACAAAGCAAAAGCAAAACGUAAUACGUAGAGAUUGAAUCAUUGUAGUGGAAGUGGAUGCUGGGUACUCAACACUCAUAGGAAAUCAUAAGUCCAAGAAUGAAAACUCUCUUAUCGGUUUCUAUCUAAAAUUUUGGAAUUAUGUGUGUGUUGCAACGAUUGUCCAGGAUUAAUCUUUAUCUAUUAAAUUUCAAAGGAAAAUAAGCUUGGGGUGUAAAUGUUGAACGAAUGAAUUUUCGACGAGUUGGAAAGGGAUUGUGCCUUUAACACGCUAUUUUUCUUCCUCUUAUGCACUCAUGGUUAUUAAAAGACAAAUAAGUAUGACUUUACAUAAAGAAAGAGAGAGAAUAUUUUCCUUUGAAUAAAUCAACUAUUUGUUUAAGAAGAUGUGGAUGCUGAUUGAAGCGUCAUGCAAAUACGAAGAACGACCUUGGAGGGAGAUGAGACAUUCAUUAAAAGCCAAGAAAAAAGCCGCAUUUUCUAAGUGAUAGUUAUUGACACGAUACUUGAUUAGGAGAAAAGUCAGUAGUAUUUUGUUUUAGUGGGAACGAGAGUGCGAGGUCUCAAUUAGAACAUGAGAUGAAGUUUCUACAUAACCGUAUAUGACAAAGAAAGAAGUCUAUGUUUCUAACUGGUGGGGCUUUUAAUUGAUGUGAGUUUGUUGAGAAAUGAAGAUGAACAUGUAUACUGACAUUGAUGUGAGUUAGUGAACCAGAUGCACAGAACCGUUCAGACCGGUUUCAGUCUCUGUUUUCAUCUUGAUAGAACGGCUCAGAACCAAAUCAAACUGUGAAUAUAAAUAAUUUAUGAAAAACAAAAAAUUAAUAAAAAUAACACAAUUGGCAACCUGAUUCCCACUGCAGCUCUAAAAUCAUCCUCCAUGAUCGCUGUAUGUACUUUUGUAAAUCGAAUGCAUAGUUGUUUGUGGACAGAUGAGUCUGCAAAAUUUGUGAAAACAUGCUUCAGAUAUAAACUACUGAAAUGUGAUUCAUGACAACCCCACACACACACACACACACACACAUAUAUAUAUAUAUAUAUAUGUUAACAUCAAAUUUUAUAAUUAUAAUAACUGUUUGGGUUAAAACUUAAAAUUUGGGCUCAAGUGGAAGUCAGCCCAAAGGGAAGUCUGGAAGGAAGAAAACCCAAGGUCCAGCCGAAGCCCAGAAGAUGGAAGAAGCCCUUUUUCAGCUAGGUGCAGACCACUUGAGCCACUUGCUCACCUACUCAAAGAACAAGUGGUGUAGAUCAACUAGCUAAUCAGCCCAAAAGUACUUUACAAUGGCAGUACAAGUAAAAAGCUGGUGAGUCACUACCCUUCAGUCACAUUCGAGCAAGAGCAAAGCUACAGUCAAUCGAGCCAAAUUGUCUAUAAAAUAAGAAAGAGAAAUUAGAAAUGAAGACACUCAAUCAAUCAAACAAACAAUCUUACAACUUGUUUAUCUCAGUCAAGCCAAGAAACCCACAAAGUUGUGCUUUGUCCAGAGUCUACACUCUUUUCAGCUUUAAGCUCCCUGUAGAACAGACAACCUUUGUCUUUAUAAAAGCUCUGCUACCUUGUCUAAAUCUUGAUGUAGUAUCGAUUCCCUCCUAUAAACUUCUCUACCAAUCUUCCCCUUCCAGCACCCAAACACUUUGUAACCACAAAGAGAGGAAGCUGCAAGACGAUCAACCUUGCCCGACCCUCUUUGUUCUGUCUGUUAAUUCAUAGAUCUAGCAGUAUGAUGUAUAAUUCAAUAUAUAUCCAAGUUAUUUAUAGUCAGUUUGUGAUUAAAAGAUCUCUUGGUUCUCGAAUCUGGUCUGAUUAAUGGUUUUAACCAUUACAAAAGAUAAGUAAAGGUUUGAGCUCAUAGCUUGAUCAAAUCUAAGUUCCAACCUUUCAAGCAUAUAAGAUUGAUCAACCAAAAGUCCUUGGUCUCAAGGCAUAAAAAAGAACUUAAUGUGGACUUAACCCAUCCACGACAAUCUUUGAUAACGAGAAGUCCGAGUUACUUGGGGCACAAGUAAUCGACCCAUUUCUUAGUUUUACAUCUGUUAUACUAUGAUCGCUAUAGAAUGCUUGAGUAUGGAAUUAAUUCUGAUGGUGAGCCUCAAGGCCUACACCUAAGGCCCCAUAAAGGCACCUAUCAGGGUUCGUUCUGCUCUUUGGGCCCGGGUGAUUAAAGUAAAAAUAGUUGUAAUACUUCCACAACAAUGAAACACCAGCUACAUGCCAGAGUACUUGGUCGGUUUUGAUUGUAAGCCUCAAGGCCUACAUCUAAGGCCUCACAAAGGCACCUCUCAGAACUGACUUGGUCCCUCGAGCAUAAGCAAUUAACCUAAACACUUGUUUUACAUUUGUCAUGCUAAAGAUGGCAGUGGCACGCCUGAGUACUUAGUUAGUUUUGAUUGUGAGCCUCAAGGCCUACACCUAAGGCCCCACAAAGGCACCUUUCAGAAUUAACUCUGUCAUUCUCUUACAGCCCGCCAAUAACCAAAAGGCCGACAUACAAUAUCAACCGGCACCAACCUCUCGAAGAGUUGUGUGCUCGUCGGCCAGAGAGCAUCUCCAGCAGAAAUUCCUGCCCGAACAUAGUUUUGGCACUUCUGGUAGGAUCAUCUUUGAUCAAUCUUACUUGCCAAGACAUGGCAAAUAUCCCUACAAAUUUACAAAGGUCAACUGUCCCAAAAAGAACAACUAAUGAAGAUUUGCAGACUACUUUGUUGCAAAUGUUACAAAGAAUGGAGAACGCCUCCAGAGGGUUCAGAGAAGAAGCAGGCCAGCUCCAUGCUUUGACAGAAGAUUCACAAGAAAAGCCCGAUCUUGUGGGUGCUAUUCCAAACAGUUGCACCAAGGUGUUGAAGAGAAAAGCAAACCUAGCUAUGGAACCAACUAUUCUCAUAUCUUUGCCUCUACUUGAGGAGAAAGGUGGUAGGGAAGAAAAGAGAGAUAAGAUCGAGGCCAGCCAGCCGGAGGUGGAGGUAACAUUGGUAAACAAUCCACCUAGCCCAUCGCUAUUCAUACAAGAUAGUCGGGGGCAGGUCAAAGCAAAAGUGGACAAGCAUGUAGAUCCCCUUUCUGAGGUCCCAGUAAUUAUGAUAAAUUUAACAUGGGCCGAGAAGGGAAAAGGGAAGGCUACAGAAGAAAGAAUGCUGGCCGACAGAUCUACAGAAGGGGUUAUCAAAUUGCCCAAAAAACCAAAAGCGGCCAUAAUCAAAGGGAUGGUCAUGUGUGGUAGAUGUCAAUGCAAGUGUGAACUCAAGAUACCACCAACAGGAGUUAUCAUAGAUCAUAAGUUGAUCAGAAGGAAAGAAAAAGAAAGGCAAGAAGCCCGCGAGAAAGUUAUGCGGGCAGCAGAAAGAGAUACUUCCCAGUGUGUUUUCCAAAGGUUGGAAGGAGAUUCCCAACCUAGGGGUUUAUCGGAGGUGUUUCAAAAUCAUGAAGCCUCUGAGGAAGCAGAAGACAAGGAGGCAAAAAUGCCAAAAUGGAAGGAUAUAAGGCCUCCUCAAUAUGGCCACAUGGGAGGAGAGAUCAGAAGAAAUAAUAGGAUAACAAAUCCUGCCAAAAAAGAAAAUCCUGCCCGCCUCGGCCGAAAGUGGUAUGUGGUUGAGAAAAAUGGACAGCCCGUCAAGAAAAUGGGAGCCUCCAUGGUUAGAAGGGUCUGGAGACAACACAAGGCUUACAUGAAUUCUUUACAGACUCCCGCAACGUCUGAAGACUCUAAGAAUGAAAAGUUUGAAAAAACAUCAUCCAGGGGAAAAAGUCAGUUCCAUUGGAGGAGUAAAAAAGAAGUGGAGAUGGCCAAUAGCAAGACGGAAGGCGAAGGAAACCACGUACCACAAAGCCCACACCCUGGGAAGUACAUAAUCUUGAGGAGAGCUCAAGAAGAUAUGAUGAUGAUGCCAACACCCAGAUGGAGGACAUAACUUAUUUGUUUUGGAACUGUCUCUCCCGAAAUGAGAGUCCCCUCACCAUUGUUGGUGGAUCCUUUUGGCGAAGUUCUGAGGCAAAUACUAGACUUUGGCAUAGAUCAGCAUGAGGGGCACCAGAACUAAUGCUCCUAUGAGAUGCACUGGCCUGGUUGGAUGAAUUCAUGGACCGCAUUAGGAGCAAGAAAGAAGACUUACCGGAACCCAGCAAUUUUCAUAUAAACAUGACAUAUGUUUUAUCAGCCAUGUUUGGUGCCGAGCCUAAUCAGCCCGCCAUGAUGGAGGGUGAUUAUUUGGCAGCAGAGCCAAUGAUGGCCCAUGUCAGUGUGGAAGUUGCUGAAGAAGGAGAGUCAGGAAAAGCUGAGUUGUUCGAGGCAUCCAAAAAUAAACCAAUGAGGAUCUAUACGGACAGAAUGGUGUUCAGCCGCCUAAACUUGAUGUUAGCCAAUCAUCUUAAGCCUAUAUACGUCACGGCUCAUUUGGAAUGAGUGUCUUUCAAAAGGGUUUUGAUUGAUGGUGGGGCAGCUGUCAACUUAUUGCCAGCCAAACAGAUGAAGAAGUUGGGAAGAAGGGUAGAAGAUCUCAUUCCCAUGGACCUAACAAUUUCAAGCUUCUCGAAAGCCAUCACCAUAACCCAUGAGAUAUUGCCCUUAGAAAUAGACUUGGGGUCUAAACAAAUUAUGCUGGCAUUCUUUGUGGUGGAUUGCACUUCCACCUAUGGAGCAUUACUUGGAAGAGAUUGGAUCCACCAAAGUCUCGCCAUACUUUCCACCCUACAUCAACAAAUUGUUGUUAACCACGAAGAAGGGACGGGAGAACCAGGUUUUUGGGAGAUGGUGGAGGCCGAAUCACAGACAUUUCUUCCUAUAGCCAAUGUUGCGGAGGCUAGUUUCUACAAUCCCAACGUAGGAAUUCUACAAUGUUCAGGAGUAGAUGAGAACGGUCGCCCUACUAAGGUGACGGCCCAAAAGCUCUUAGAACAGGGAAUGCUCUUCACAAGGGAGGAAUGAGAUAAACCAUGCAUCAUCCCAACACGCCAACACCAUUAAUGACAGAGCAAAAAAGGAAGGAUCAAGUAAUGGCAGUCAGGUCUUUGAUCAAAAGAUUGUUGGUGUAUAGGAGAGGAAGAAAACAAGAAAAGUAGGAAUGGCAGCUAGAAUUUCUAAACAGCCAGAGUAAAAACAAGGAAGAGCUUUGCGGAGAAUAAUUGGAUGCGGCCAUACAAAUGGCCGAAUACAUAUAUGACCUGGAUGGGCCAGACAACUUGCCCGAAAGCCCGGAGUUAGUCAAAUUUUUGUGUGCAGAGCCAGACAAGCCACCACCAGAGGUUCAGGAUCCUUUGGAAGUCAUUGAUCUGGGGACGGAAGAAAAUCCAAGACCCAUACAAAUCAGUGGCUUGUUGGAGACUGGCGAUCGGACAGAGAUCAUUAGCCUUCUGCAAGAAUUUAAAGAUUGUUUUACUUGGCAUUAUACAGAAAUGCCAGGUUUAGAUUCAACCUUGGUGGAACACAGAAUGCCCAUCAAGGAGGGAUAUAAACCUGUCAAGCAAGCGUCACGAAGGAUGUCAAAAGAAAUAGAAGAAAAUGUCAAAGAAGAAAUUGAAAGGCUAGUAAAAACUGGAUUUAUUAGGCCUGCCAAAUAUGUGGAGUGGUUGGCCAACAUUGUACUUGUUUUAAAAGCCGUAACAAAAGUAGUACGAUGUUGUGUUGAUUACAGAAAUAUCUCAUGGCGCUACACCAAAAGAUGAAUAUCUCAUGCCCAUGGCUGGCCUAUCCAUAGAUGCAGUGGCAAAGCACAAAGUCAUAUCUUUUAUGGAUGGGAAUGUCGGGUAUAAUCAGAUAAAAAUGGCUCAGGAUGAUAUACACAAAACAGCUUUUAGGUGCCCCGGGCACGUGGGGGCAUAUGAAUACCUAAUCAUGCCAUUCGGGCUCAAAAAUGCUAGUGCAACCUACCAAAGAGCCAUGAAUGCCAUCUUUCAUGAUUUAAUUGGCCGAAGCAUGGAGGUAUACAUUGAUGAUAUCGUGGUGAAAUCCAAGACAGAAGAACAGCAUUUGACAGACCUCAGGCAAGCCUUGACAAGAGUGAGGAUCCAUAGACUAAAGAUGAAUCCAAAGAAGUGCGCGUUUGGAGUGAGAGCGGGCAACUUUUUAGGAUUCCUUGUUCAUCAAAGAGGUGUAGAGGUGGACAAAAACAAGUCUCGAGCAAUAAUGGAGUCACCUUUGCCCACCAACAAAGUACAACUUCAGAUGCUGCUAGGCAAAAUCAAUUUCUUGAGAAGAUUCAUUGCCAAUUUAGCGGGCAAAAUCCAGCCGCUAACUUCUCUUCUGAGAUUGAAGGAUAAAGAAGAAUUUGAAUGAGGACCACCACAUCAAAAGGCUUUUGACAGCAUAAAAGACUAUUUAACUUCUCCACCAGUGUUCGUACCACCUCAAAGGGGAAAACCCUUAAAGCUAUACAUCUCUGCUUAAGAAAAAUCAAUUGGAAGUUUACUGGCCCAUGACAACAAAGGCGGGAAGGAGCAAGCGGUGUACUACCUUAGUAGAAUUCUGACUGAGGUAGAAACAAGAUACACCCCAGUAGAGAGAUUGUGUUUAGCUCUAUAUUUCACUACCGGCAAGUUGAGGCAUUACAUGUUACCUUGUCACGUCCACAUCAUAGCCAAAACAGACGUGAUUAAGUACAUGUUGUCAAAACCAAUGCUAAUAGGAAGGAUUGGGAAGUGGAUUCUAGCAUUAUCAGAAUUCAGCUUUCAAUAUGUACCCCAAAGAGCAGUCAAAGGCCAAGCAAUUGCCGACUUCUUAACAGAGCAUAAAGAGUCUCAGAAUGAGAUUAUUAGCAUCUCAAGAACCUUAGAGGUAACCAGUGUUUGGAUCCCAUUAAGCAAAGGCAUCUCGGGGCAAGGAGGAAUGGGUCUAACAGGAGAUAAAAAAAGUAAUAGGUUUUUGGGUCACUUCUUGAAAGCUGUAUUUUGAUGGUUUUUACACUCAGAAGGCUUCUGGAGCUGGGAUUGUCAUCAUAAAUCCUUAAGGGGUUCACCAUUAUUAUUCGUUCCUCCUAGAUUAUCAAAUGAGCACCAACAAUCGCGCAGAAUAUGAGGCCUUAAUAAUUGGCCUAGAAAAUACAAGUGCAAGCAAUCACCAUGGCUGGAUAUUACUUAGCAGCCACUCAAUUGUUAAGUUAUUGGGAUACUGAGAUAUCGAUUAAUCAUGUCCCCAGGGAAUCCAAUCUGGUGGCCAACGAGGUGGCGCAAAUGGCCUCCGGGGUACCAAUCCAAGAAAGAAAGUAUGAAGUAGAUAUUGAGAUUCAAAGGAGAAAUCUCCCUUCUAUUUUAGAAAGGGGAUUCAGUCUGGAUAUGAUGGUUGUAGAGCCCGAGAUAGAAGAUUGGAGAUCACCUAUCAUUCAACAUUUAAAGGAUCCUUCUUCACCCACAAGCAAAAAGAAUAGACAGCAAGCAACCAAGUAUGUCUUAUGGGCGAAAAACCUGUUAAGAAAAACUCCAGAUGGGCUACUAUUGAAGUGCCUUGGCCAAGAAGAAUCUAUGAGAGUAAUGGCCGAAGUACAUGAAGGGAUAUGUGGGGCACAUCAAGCUGGAACAAAGAUGAGAUGGUUUCUUAUGAGGUAUGGGUAUUUCUCGCCCGACAUGGAAAAAUAUUGCAAGUCCUAUGCCCGAGGCUGUGAAGAAUGUCAAAGGCACGGACAUCUCCAACAUGUGCCUUCAGUACCUUUAAAUCCAGUGGUCAAGCCUUGGCCCUUCAGAGGAUGGGCAAUGGACUUCAUCGGGUAGAUUUAUCCAGCUUCUAGCAAGGGGCAUACUUUCAUAAUAGUGGCAACGGAUUAUUUCACCAAAUGGGUAGAAGCCUUGGCCGUGAAGUCCAUAACCUCAUCUGUGGUUAAGAAAUUUAUUGAGACCAAGAUUCUGCACAGAUAUGGGGUGCCCGAAACCAUAGUCACGGAUCGUGGGCCAUCUUUUAUUUCAAAGGAGAUUGAAGAAUUUGCAAGUAAAUACAAGAUAAAGAUGAUUCAGUCUAAUCCUUACUACCCUCAGUCAAAUGGUCAGGCCGAAGCUAGCAAUAAGAUUUUGAUAAACAUUAUCAAAAGAAUGGUGACAGAUAGUCCGGAGAAGUGGCAUGAGAAGCUAGGGGAUACUUUGUGGGCAUAUCGAACCUUCAAAAGGGCAGGAACUGGGACGAUUCCUUAUGCUCUGACUUUCGGGCAAGAUGCAAUGCUUCCCAUGGAAAUCAAUGUGAGUUCUGUCAGAAUUCAGAAUCAAUUCGGGUUACACAGUGAAGAAUACAUCGAAGCUAUGUGUCAAGGGAUUGAAGACUUAGAUGUAGCCCGAAUUGAGGCCUAAACCAGAUUCAAGAAGGAAAAAGAGCGGUUGCCCAAGCUUACAAUAAAAAGGUGAAGUUAAAGUCUUUCAGAGAAAAAGACUUAGUAUGGAAGGGAAUCCUCCCUUUAAGAGCUCAGCUUAGGGGCUUUGGGAAAUGGAGCCCGACUUGGGAAGGUUCUUUUAUUGUUAGUCAAGUAUUAGACAAAGGCGGAUAUUACUUGGCGGACAUAGAAGGGAAUUGGCAGAAACAUCCCAUUAAUGUUAAAUUCUUAAAGAAAUAUUAUCCUACAUUAUGGGAUGUCAGGGAUUGUUAUAUAGAAGAAGAAAGAGGAUAACGCAGGGUUCGAGAUGAAGAAGGGCAAUGUUUGUUCAUCAACCAUUCGAAAAAGGCAUAAAGAUAAAAGCAGUUAAAAAGGUAUAUUUUAUUCAUUUCGACAAAUUGGUGAAGUUUACAUUCAGCUCAAAGGCUUUACUUUCUUAAAAAGCUAGAAUAGAUCCUAGAAAAGAAGUUUCUACAUUUCUCCUGACGCGCUUUAUCCAACUCCUUCCAGUUGUGAUGCCGACUCGUGCAGUCUUCCGGUGUCUUCAUUUGCAAAACCCGAUCAGGUGAUCGGGUUGUGCGACCAUAAUAGGCCUGGUAGAGGACCCUCAAAGAAAACUUUCACAAGAUGUGACGGUGAAGUCUGACUUAUGAGGGCAACUACCAAGCUGGCAUUUACUCGACUAAGCCUAUAUAUUCAACAAGCUUAGAACGAGUAGAACGUCUGACCAAAGGUGUUGGGGAUAACGGGACGUUUGACCAAAGGUGUUGGAGAUAUUAGCUAUUUGGUGAGGAUCUUUCUUACGGAAUGAGAGUUUCAAGACUUUCCACAUGAAUCCUGAUGAGCGUUUUUCCCCAGUUUCAGAAAAAGAUUUAGAAGGCAGGGACGCCCGAAGGUGAUGAAGACUCUCCAAGAGGGGAAAGUAUUGAAGAUGGCUUGUCUGCUAAACAUGGGGAGUGAUUGGUUUGAGUUGCUUGCUCAGAAAAUGAAAAUUUGAGCCGGAAUUUAUAAGAGCAUCAGAUGAUAACCAAAAGUCCAUGGGAAGAGCAAGAGACGCAAGAUUGCAUUAAUUCCGUCCAAAGCUACAAGUUCCGAGAAUAGGCGUGCACACACAAACGACUGUUUAAUCAAUAUUGGCGCUUGGAAUUCCAGCCUAAAUAAUGAUUAUAGGGGGCACUGUUUGGAUUAAAACUUAAACUUUGGGCUCAAGUGGAAGUCAGCCAAAGGGAAGUCUGGAAGGAAGAAAACCUAAGGUCCAACCGAAGCCCAGAAGAUGGAAAAAGCCUUUUUUCGGCUAAGCGCAGACCACUUAAGCCACUUGCUCACCUACUCAAAGAACAAGUGGUGUAGAUCAGCCAGCUAAUCAUCCCAAAAGUACUUUACAAUGGCAGUACAAGUAAAAAGUUGGUGAGUCACUACCCUUCAGUCACAUUCGGGCAAGAGCAAAGCUACAGUCAACCGAGCCAAGUUGUCUAUAAAAGAAGAAAGAGAAAUCAAAGAUGAAGACACUUAAUCAAUCAAACAAACAAUCUUACAACUUGUCUAUCGCAGUCAAGCCAAGAAACCCACAAAGCUAUGCUUUGUCCAGAGUCUACACUCUUUUCAGCUUUAAGCUCCUUGUAGAACAGACAACCUUUGUCUUUGUAAAAGCUCUGCUACCUUGUCUAAAUCUUGUUGUAGUAUCGAUUCCCUCCUAUAAACUUCUCUACCAAUCUUCCCCUUUCAGCACCCAAACACUUUGUAACUACAAAGAAAGGAAGCUGCAAGACGAUCAACCUUGCCCGACCCUCUUUGUUCUGUCUGUUAAUUCAUAGAUCUAGCAGUAUGAUGUAUACUUCAAUAUAUAUCCAAGUUAUUUCUAGUCAGUUUGUGAUUAAAAGAUCUAUUGGUUCUCGAAUCUAGUCUGAUUAAUGGUUUUAACCAUUACAAAAGAUAAGUAAAGGUUCGAGCUCAAAUUUACGAAUCUAGUCAGUUGAGGAAGAAGUGGCUUAGACCUAUUAUGAUGGUUCAGAUAUUUCUCAAAUUUACGAAUUGAAGGUUAAAUCUUUCAGACUUCGUCAAGAGGGCCGGCCAGCUGGUGCUCCUCAUCCUAAUAAUCCUUCUAAUCAAUCUUUAAAUUCUCGUCCUUUUAAUCGAGAAAAUAAAGAUGAUUUGAAGUGGACUUUCUAUGGACAAACCCGUCAUACUGAGGAUACGUGCUUUGCUAAGCAUAGGGUGCCUGAUUGGUUUCCGAAGUUGAAGAAAAAUUGCGUGCAAAGGAGCUUGGAAGUGCAAGCAAUAAUGGAGGUCGUGUCUUCCUAGCUACUGCUCCACCGAAGGCUAAGGAGGCCGAGCCUACUUCUUAUGACCCGAGUCAAACCUUGUUGACUCGUUCUACCCAUGGCGACUCAUCCUUCACCACAGGUACUAUAGGGCAUGGUCUUUUGGCCUCCGAUACUGAGCAUCAUACAGGUUAGAUUCUGGACUCUGGUGCAAUAGAUCAUAUGACAUAUGAUAAGAAUAUGUUUUCAAUGUAUGACAACAUCUCACAUGGAAUAUAUUGCCACCACCAAUGGUACCCGUGCCCCUGUUGUUGGUGAUGGCACUGUGUAUCUUACAGCCUCUCUCCCUUUACACCGAUGUUUACUUGUUCCAUCUUUAUCACAUCAUUUACUUUCCAUACCACAGGUUACUGAACAAUUGGAUUGUGUUGUUCUAAUGUAUCCGUCAUUUUAUCUACUUUAGGAUAUUCAAACCAAUGAGACAAUUGGGCGUGGCACUAAGAGAGAGCAGUUGUACUAUGUGGAUGAUGUUGUUCCUAGCAGAGCUCAUGCAAUACGAGUGUUCUGUGAUAGUAAUCUACAAGAAGUAUGGUUAUUGCAUCGUCGAUUAGGGCAUGCAUCCUUUAGAUAUUUAAGGCAUAUGUUGCCUAGUUUAUUUAGUGGAAUAAAUGAAUCAAACUUACAUUGUGAAGUUUGUAUUCUUGCUAAAAGCUACCGUGCUUCAUUUCCUCCUAGUAUGAAUAAAAUACCUUUUCCGUUUGAUCUUGUGCAUUCCGAUGUUUGAGGGCCUUCUCCAGUUACUACUUCUUCAGGAAUUCGGCGGUUUGUUACAUUUGUUGAUGAUUGCACUUGUAUGACAUAGCUUUAUGUGUUGAAAAAUAAAAGUGAUGUUAGUGCCAUAUUUCGAUCUUUUGCUCAGAUAAUUCAGACAUAAUAUUCUUCUGUUAUCAAGGUUCUCCGUUCUGAUAAUGGAGGAGAGUACAUCAAUUUUGAGUUGUCGGAGUUUCUACGUGAUCAAGGGAUUCUCCAUGAAACCACGUGUCCGUAUACUCCACAACAAAAUGGGGUUGCAAAGUGUAAAAAUCACCACAUUUUGGAAACAGCUCGUGCCUUGCUCCUUGGCGCCUCGGUUCCGCAGCGUUUUUGGCCUGAAACGGUUACCUAUGCCGUGUAUGUUAUUAAUCGUAUACCCUCUCGGGUGGUUAGUUUUCAAACACAUCUUCAAGUCCUCACACAACAUGCUCCAGUGGUGUCCAGUAAUACUCUCACCCCUCGAGUCUUUGGUUGUUUGGCUUAUGUUCAUAUUCAGAAAAUACAUCGUAAUAAAUUGAAUCCGUGUGCACUACGAUGUGUCUUUCUGGGUUUCUCUUCUCGCCAAAAGGGGUAUAAGUGUUACCAUCAUGAAACCCGGCAUAUGUAUAUAACCAUGAAUGUGACCUUCUCUCAAACGGGAUAUUUCUACACUUCUGUAUCCUCCACUUCAGAUCACCAGGGGGAGAACACUGUUGGUAAUCUGAAAUUGUUGGAUCUAUGGGAGAUGUGAUUAUUAAACAGCGUGUAGGACCUGGAAUUGUUGGUGCCGAAUGUACAGUGGGUACCGAGUGUAUUGAUAGCUCGGAUGAUGUUUGUGAUUUAAAGUUGAAUCUGACCGAACCCAUAAGAGAGUCUCAGCCAGCUAGUGUCAAGGAAUGUCCAGUUGUUCAGCAAUCCCUUGCUGAGCCCACUACACAUGCCCUUGUCGAGCCCAGUACAUCCUCUCUCUCUAGUUCUGAUGUGCCACCCAAUACAUCUUCUCUGAAUAUGCCAGAGGUAAGUAUCGUAAAUGAUUGUGUAACUAAUCUAAGUAAUAAUGUGAGUACUUAUAAAGUGCCACCAAGACAAAAUCGAGGUGUGCCUCUUGAUAGGUUUUCUCCUGAAGGGAAGGUGAAGUAUCUGAUAGCCAAUUAUGUAUCAUGUAACAAGCUUGCACCAGAACGACAUACAUUGGUGAGUACUAUGGAGUCUAUUCCAGUACCUACUCGAGUGGAGGAAGCUCUAAAAGAUCCAACGUGGGCAAAAGCAAUGGAUGAGGAGAUGUUGGCAUUACAGAAAAAUAAUACUUGGGAGGUGAUGAUGCUACCUACAGGAAAGAAAACAGUAGGAUGCUGAUAGGUAUUUACGGUUAAAUAUAAGGUUGAUGGAACUGUAGACAGAUACAAAGCAAGGUUGGUGGCUAAAGGGUAUACUCAAACAUAUGAGGUGGAUUAUCAAGAGACUUUCUCCCAGGUUUCCAAGAUGAAUAUGGUACGUGUUCUUAUCUCUUUAGCUGUAAAUAUGGAUUGUCCAUUAAAACCGUUCGAUGUGAAGAAUGCGUUUCUCCAUGAGAAUUUGAAGGAAGAAGUAUAUAUGGAUUUUCCUCCUGGAUAUAGCAAUGGUGGGAAUACCGGAGUAUGUCGGUUGCGUAAGUCACUUUAUGCGCUUAAACAAUCGCCUCGUGCAUGGUUUGAUAAAAUUACUCAAGUGAUGAAAAUGAAUGGAUAUCGUCAGAGUCAUUUUGAUCAUACUUUAUUUGUAAAGCGUAAACAAAAUAAAGUAACAACCUUGAUUAUUUAUGUAGAUGACAUGAUUAUAACAGGAGAUGACGUUGAUGAGAUGUCCAAGUUGCAAGGAAACCUUGCGGUUAAAUUCAAAAUGAAGGAUUUAGGAGAUCUGAAGUAUUUUUUGGGAGUUGAAGUUGCUCGCUCAUCUAAAGGUAUCUUCUUGUCUCAAUGUAAGUAUGUACUGGAUAUAUUAAAAGAGACGGGUAUGUUGGAAUGUAAGCCGGUAGAGACUCCUAUUGUUGAGAAACAUCAUUUGUGUUUGAAUCUAAGUCAGAAACCGGUUGACAAAGGUAGAUAUCAGAAGCUUGUAGAGAGACUGAUUUAUUUGGCUCAUACUCGUCCUGAUAUUGCCUAUGUUGUGAGUGUUGUGAGUCAGUUCAUGCAUUCACCAAAUGUGGAUCAUAUGGCUGCUGUUAUGCAUAUCUUGGCAUACUUGAAGUCGGCACCUGGAAAAGAAGUAUUGUAUGGGAAACACGGGCAUUUGAGAAUUGAAGGGUUUACUGAUGCAGAUUGGGCAGGUGAUGUAACUGAUAGACGGUCUACUUCUGGGUAUUUUACCUUUGUUAGAGGGAAUUUGGUGACAUAGCGAAGUAAGAAAUAGAAGGUGGUGUCACGGUCUUCAGCUGAGGCCGAAUAUAGAGGAAUGGCUCAAGGAAUUUGUGAAAUCCUUUGGCUACGAAAACUUCUUUUAGGACUUGGGGGUUUAAACCGAAGGAGAUCAUGAAGUUGUAUUUUGACAACAAGUCAGCAAGAGAUAUAGCUGAUAAUCCAGUGCAGCAUGAUAUAACGAAGCAUGUAGAGGUGGAUCUGCAUUUUAUUAAGAAGAAGCUUGAAAAGAAGAUUGUAUCAAUACCGUUUGUGAAUUCAGAGGAGCAACUUGUAGAUGUUCUUACUCAUGCAGUAUGUGGUCGAAAGUUUGGUGACUCACCUGUCAAGUUAGGCAUGCCACUACUAGAAAUUUGGCUAUAAGCCACCCUUUCAUUUGGUGGCUAUUGUCAAGUGUUGCCACUCACAUUGGUGGCAAACCUCUAUGGCCACCAAGCACCCACUAAACUAGAGAGUGUGGCCUAUGUAGAGGACUCUAUUGUAACAAUGGCUAACAAUAUUGCAUUGGUGGGUAUGUGAAUAGUACAACAUUUUUAUAUUUUAUAAUUAUUUGUAAAAUUCAAAAUAUGUCAUUGUCUCUCUUAUUAGUGGCUAGAUUUGAGACUAACAUUGGUGGUUUUCAGACUCAUACACCCACCAAUCCUAUGUGUCUCUAUUAGGAUCAGUGGCUUUUAAAGUAUGGGCACCAACAAUGGUGUGAAUCUAUAGCAUUCCAAAUGGCCUUUAUGUUCGAAUUGUAUUACAUGGCUGUUAAAUCAUAGCUCUGUACUAUAUUAAAACUCAUCUUCUUAAUAUAAACUUCACAUUGAUUUUAAAUUUGCAAAAGGAUUCACCUUGAUAACCAACCACACUUUAUAUCCCAUACGGAAUCAAUAACAAGGUUUGUCCCUUUUAAAGGAAGCAUAUUACAUUCAUGUUUGUUAUCCAACACAUCCAACUACCCAAGGGUGAUGAGAUUACAUUUUAUAAAACCAACAGUACAUAUGCACAUCCACCAAUAGCAACUGAACUAACAAAAUCCACCCAAUUGGAUCUAUGUCUUCCCUAUGACAUUUGUACUAUAUACAUCAAGCAAAAUUCACAGGAAUGAUCACAGUUAGCUUAUCACGUACUGAACCUAGUGACAUUCACCAUGCAUGGACGAUAGACAAUUAGCUUAUCACUUACUGAACCCAGUGACAUUCACCAUGCAUGGACGAUAGACCAUCUCAUCAUCUGUGCCAUUAUUCUGCAGCACAACAAUGCCAUCAUCUUCAACUUCUCCACUUGCCUAAAUCUCCAAACUAGUCCCUUGUUCAAUUCUAGUCACACAAGCUUGAGUCACAUCAACUCGAUUUGGUUCCACAAUGCCUCCAUCAGCAGCCCUCAUCAGCAUGGACAUAAUUGCAGCCCUCAGUUCACGUUUCAUGUUUCCACAACAAGGUGCCUAAAGAUGAAGUAGUCAAGUAAAAUAUGUAACGUAAACAAAUUAAGUAAAUAUAGUAUGUGAAUAAAGAGGACAAAAUUUACAUACGCAACUGCAAGGGAGUAUAUUAUUUUAGAAUUCAAUUUUUGUAAGAGGAAAAAAAACUCCAAUCGCUUUUAUGAGUGACAUUGUAUAUAUGAGUCUUGCACAGGAUUUUAGGGUGCAGGUGUCACGCCCCGAUCCCAACUCCAGGAUCGACACGUGAUGUUACCAAACACUCGUAUCUCAACAUACCCCGUUUCCAGAAUAUGGCAAAUCACAACUCAAGAAUCAAAUCGCAUAGUCAUUUUUCCGUAUACUUUAUGGCUGCAUCUAACAUCCUCGUUAGACUGCCUACGUACCCUUAUUAGGGAUCAAGCCAUUUGUAGUUCGUCCAUUCGCUACACUCGAACAUUCAUCACAUAAACCACUAUAUCUCAAAAUAAUACCACAAUUCAAUUAUAUAGCACCUCAAGGAGCAUUUAACAAGGCACAAUAUUAGUAUCUAUUCAUAUCAUCACUCAUCCACACAUAUGUAUUCCAACACCAUCCAAUUAUCACAUCAAUCAAUAAUACCAAUCACCAUAUUAUCAAUAACACAUACAAUUCAUCGAAAUACUCAACGAAAUCCAUCAACAUCGGGUUUCAGAACUCUCAACGGAACCAAGACACCAAAGGGGAUUCCGGACCAUCACUCAACGAAAUCCAAACUAGGAUACGAUUCCGGACCAUCACUCAACGGAAUCGCGGAGUAGAAGGGAUUCCAGACCAUUACUCAACGAAAUCCAAACCAAGAUACGAUUCCGAACCAUCACUCAACGAAAUCGCGGAGUAGAAGGGAUUUUGGACCAUCACUCAACGGAAUCACAUGAUAGAAGGGAUUCCGGACCAUCAUUCAACGGAAUCAUAAGAUAGAAAGGAUUCUGACCAUCACUCAAUGGAAUCAUAGGAUAGAAGGGAUUCCAGACCAUCACUCAAUGGAAUCAUAGGAUAGAAGGGAUUCCGGACCAUCACUCAACGGAAUCCAAGCAAAGCAUAUGGUACCUACCAAAUGUACCAGGUAUAUCUAAACCUUAUCAUCUCCAUAAUUACAACGUAGUCACUUACCACAUUCACUUCUCGCGGCCACCAACUAAUAUGUCACACAAGCAUAUAAGUUCUAUAGAAUACUUCUAAUAGGAAUAUACGAUCACAUUGUCACCACAUUUAUCGGACUUACCCUUCACAUUACUAAAAGAUAAUUAAACGCACAUAUAUCACAAUCAUCACUCUUACCCUUCAUAGACUUUCUUUGUGUCAUGUUUGGUGAUACACAAACUCUCACAAAUGGUGUUCCUGACAACCGACCUUGCUACUAACAAACUGCAAUAACAGAAAUUACAUCAUAUGAAAGUAGUUAAAUAAUUUUAUUUAAUCGUAGGUCAUAAAGCUCAAAACUUUCUAUCAAAAUAAUUCAAAACCUCAAAUAGAGAACAAAACAUCUACAUUGACAAUAACAACCCCGAACAAUGAACGAAACAUUGAAAUGAAAUCAAAUCAUGUGAUACCUUUUCAAGUGAUGCCCCUAUGAGGAGAUCAAAUUAUGUACCCUAGAAUGGACUGAAAACUGCUCAAUGAGAAUAAAACCAAGCAAAAAAUAUAAGCAAAAACUGGGUUCCAAAGUACGCCCCAAAAUUGUACUGCUUAGACUACUGUCUCAAUUGAGCGCAGCAAAAUGGAGACCCCAACAUUCAAUGAUAAAGAGAAUGUUUUCGUGCCAAUAAAUGCCUCCUUGAAGUUAGAGAGGGAUAUGAAGGACUACUCUACCACUCUUUGAUUAUUAUUUGUAGCUGUUAGAUAGCAAUGCAAAAGCUCUCAUGAGGGGAAAUCGCAGAGGCUGGUCCUAAUUUACGAGACAACAUAGAUGCAUGUACGUAAACAGCAGGGAGUUGUCCUACAGAGGCCAUGUCGCUUCCUCGUCUACUAAUAAUUACAUUGUUUUGAAGUUGUAGACCACAUAACGAAGCAUGGAAUGUAGCUUAACUAUUAGCAUUCAUGCAGGGGUCGUAGGUAUCAGCUUUAACUCAUACCAAAACUCAAAAACACAUAAAAUAUCAUAUGCAAGUUCUUUCAUAGCCAUGUUAAUGUAAACCAAACUUUCUCUACCAAAGUCCAUUUUUGUGUUUACGCUGUUUACAGAACACAAGCACAAAAUGUGAUAUCCUUAUAGCAUAAGCUUAACCAAGAGUGGAACUUUACAUAGAUAGUUCUACUUAUACCCAUUUUCUUUCAGUUUCUACAGGCUGUAAGGAUAGUGGUUUGUUUAAAAAAAUGUAGUUGCGAUUUGCCUAACUCGUGAUGUUGUGGAAACAGUACAGAGAUUCUUAUAUUUAUACACCAACCAAUAACUCCUAGCUUAUAUCUGCAAUAACAAUAAUAAGCAACCCUGUAUGGUUUCCAGUUUGAUCCAACGUGAACAGAUAGAAGAAGCACUUCAAACUAAACUAACAAAAAACUCCAACAUAAUCGAAGACUUAAUAAACAAAUUGAAAAGUUUGGUCUAAAAAAUGUUGAAUAUUGAAUAUGAGAAACACAAAAUUACCUGUUUUUACUCCCUAAAAUCAAUUCGAUGUGUUGCAAGCCCCAAAUUGAUUGUAAGAAACCCAAUUGAUAAUAAAUAAUGAACCGAGGAGCUUAAUCUGUUGAGAAAUUAAAAGGGCAAGGUAUGCGAAGCAAAUACCCAGCAACGUGGGAGCCGAGUUCCAUUGCCCACGCCAGUCGCCAACAAAACGAAGCCACUAACAAUCUUGUCCAUUAUGCCCUGUCCGCAUCCUGAGACUGAGACUGGUUCGCGGAACCGCCCGACUUCAUCACUGAUUCAAUAAUGACCGAGAUAUGCGAUUAGGGUCCAAGGCUCUAUCCUUCUAUGAGUUUUUGAUGCGAAAAUUAUCUUAACACACAAAUUUAACCCUCUUUUGACAAUUGUAGUAUAAGUAUAAGUAGGGAUCGUUCUAGGCCGGGGAUUAAGAGGGAUUGCUAAUUUACUCUAAACUGACUCAAAGACACAAAAACAAACUUAAAAGCGUUAGGAUAGAUUCAAAAUACUCAAAACUAGUUCACAAGACUCAACAUAAGCUAAGAAGACUCAAAACUGCCUAAAAACAACAACUAGGCAAUUUCUGACACUAAACACAAUUUUGGACGAAAAUAAAGUUUGGACUUGACUCAAAACACUUAAAACGCAAACAAAACAAGUUUAAAAGAAUUUGAAACAAGAAAGUAAUGGGGGGUUUGAUUUGGACGAACUUAGAAUAACAAAACAAAUUGUAACUUAAAAACAGGUUUGAAAAUAAAUUUAGAAAAUUAGAUGGAUGAUGGGAUAGCUAGAGGAUUUUUCUCCACACAUGACAUGUAUGCAAACAACUCGAUUUCCAGUUACUACUUCAUUGAAUUAUGAACGACAAUACUCCAAAUUAACUGUGACAUCACUAGUUAACCCUCAAAUUUUCCUUGUUUUAUUGGAUUGGAUGACAUCAUUCGACAACCCAAAACAUUCUUCAAAAGUUCCCUACAUGACAUCAUAAUAGAGAUACAAUCAAAGAUCAUUACAUUUAAUGAAAAUCAUAAGCAUUGACAAAGCACUUGCAACUAUGACAUCAUGUCACUCAUGCUAGGAAUUAAACUUAACGCGAUCGUUUAUAAGCGACCUCCACUACUUGUGAAUAUAAGUUUUUAACAAUUAUGUGAAACUUUCUUAUACUCUAGCAUCGGAUUUAUGCAUGCCAAUUAAGUGUCGACCCUUAAUCAACAAAUACAAAUAAGUUAUCAAUCAAACAGUUAAGCCAAUUGCAUUCAUGAUUCAAGAAUUCAUAACUGGAAUUUAUCAAAUCAUCUUGUACACAUAAUCAUGGCUUUGAAAUCACCCCUAGCCAAGAGGGGUUUAGCCACUCAUGUUCACAACAAAACGAAAGAAAAUGAAUUUAAACAUUGGAAACAAAAGAAAGAAAACACCUAAACGCUCCAAUGAUCCAAGUUGACAGCAAGCACGUCCAAGCACUUUCCUUUCCUUCCUUUGCUACGGCACAAGGUGUUGGUGAGUGUUUGAAGGUUGUUUGUAUGGAGGAAUGAAUGUAAAGAUGAAUGGAUGUGUUUGGAUGAAGGUUGUGUUGAAAUGGGAGUGAAUGAUCUAACAAAAUAUGCACUAAAUUUAUGUUACACACACUUCCUUUUAUAGAGGAAGUGCAAGGCAAUGGAGGGGGACAUGAAGUGUGUGUGCAAUGAUUCAAGGGUGAAAGUGAAGUAAUGAUGCAAAGCAUGGGUAAAAUAGAGUGGUGUUGAAAUGAUUCAAGGGUGAAAGUGAAGUAAUGAUGCAAAGCAUGGGUAAAAUGGAGUGGUGUUGAAAUGAUUCAAAGGUGAAAGUGAAGUAAUGAUGCAAAGUAUGAGGGGUAAAAUGGAGUGGUGUUGCAACAAUGAAUGCAAGUAGGGAACAUGAAUGAUUGUGCACAUGGUAGAGAAAGGAAAGUGAGGUGGAAUGGUGUAGAAAUGAGUCAAGGGUUAAGGUGGAGUGAUGAUUGAUGCAAGAAAUUUGGAAUGAUGGAGGGAACAAGGGUGGUGCAAGGCAAUGAGUGAAUGAAAUAGACAAGGAAUGUUGUUGGAACUUAGGGACAUUGAGGAUUAGGAAAGAUUAAAUCAAAAUAAGGUAAUCUUGACUCAUGUUUCUUCAUUGGUUGCUGAGCUCUUUGUCCUUUUUAAAUUAAUUCUUCUUUCUCUUUAACACAUUCCUAGCCUCUUUAAUCUUCAAUUUCGCCUAUCUACUUAGCUCCAAGGAUGUGUUAUAUAUUCCAAGCCCAAAACUGCUCCAAAAGGCUUCAAAAUGCACAUUUUUGCGUACGUUGUCCUUAGAACCUGAAAUUGCACGAAAAUGACUUUAAACACUAAAACAACUAAGGAAUAACAACAUAAAUGCAUGAGAACAAGCUAACUCAGUCGCAUAAAUAUGCUCCUAUCAGUUUUGGCUCUAUCUCCCUUUUGUAUUGGACGUGCAUCCGUAGGUCCUGAUAAGCAAAUAUAUAUCCCAGCUUUAAAAACAAAAAAAUUAACCAGUACGUUCCCAACAAAAUAAAUAACAAAAUACAUAAUGAAAUUAAAAAGUAGAAGGAAAGAAAUUUUAAGAAAUAAAGAUAUUUAACAACCACCAAUCAUUGGUGGCUCAAUGUUGAAGGCCACCAACAUCAGCGGCAUCCCAUGGUAAAACCACCAAAAAAUAGUAAGAGUAGCAACUUUACAUCUAUGGCCACCAAUUGCAAAGGGUGUGAAAAAAAUGGUGUCCUAUGAGCCAAAAUUCUAGUAGUGUGUGUGAUAUCUAUGCACCAACUUAAGGGGAGUGUAAACGUGAGUCAUUAAAAAUAAGUAUGUAAAUAUAUUGUAAAUAUUAGGAGUCCUUUAUUAGGAAGUUUUAAUUGUUGUGUCCUUUAUUUAUUAAGGAAAACUAAUGAAAAGAACUUGAAAACUUUGAGUUUUAACGAUAAAGACAAAAUAAAGGGUAAAAUGAAUAGUACCAGGUUUGACUUUUUAGUGUAAAAAUGUGGUUUUUCGUUAAAGUGAACAGUACCGUGGGUUUUUCGUUAAAACUCCCUAUUUAUUAUUGUUUCCAUAUAUAACAAGGAUUGUAUUUGUAUAUAUUUCAAGGAAGUAAUACAAUGAAAAUUAUUCCAUAAAAUUCUAUUAUUAAUGUUGUAUCAUAUCUCGGAGUUCGGGAUGUAACAUUAUUGUGAUUCGAUUUAGGUACAGACCUUACCAGAGUGACAAAGACAAGGCUCCUCCAGGGAGGACUAGUCGGAGGUGUGAAUGGACAUUUAUUUUAGAGAUGUUUCUUUACUUCUUUCACUACUCGAGAUUGCAGCAUAUCGGACGUAUAGCGCUGAUAGAAAGGAAAAAGAGAAUCGAUUAAGAAUUGAAAGAGCCUAUGGAAUUGUCUUCAAAGGAAUGCUCUCUUUUGAAUUCCUUAUUGUUGUCAAAGUCCUCAACUCGUAAUACUGAGAGAUUGAAUCUUUCACGCUCGGCCAAACUUUUCUUGGAAUUUGAAUUAGAUGAAACCAAGUCCUCAACUCGUAAUACUGAGAGAUUGAAUCUUUCACGCUUGGCCAAACUUUUCUUGGAAUUUGAAUUAGAUGAAACCAUAUGAACCUUGAACAGAGCAAAACAAAACUAAUACUGAGAGAUUGAAAUCAUUGAAGUGGACGUGGAUGCUGGGUACUUAACACUCAAGGAAAUCAGUCCAAGAAUGAAAACUCUCUUUUCAUUUGCUAUCCAAUUUUUUGGAAUUAUGUGUGUUGUCCAAUGGAUUAUUCUUUUUUUAUUAAAUUUCUAAGGAAAAUGAGCAUAAGGCGUAAAAGUUGAACUAAUGAAAUUUCAACGAUUUGGAAAGGGAUUAUGAGUUUGCCACGCCACGAAAAACUAUAUUAGAGAGAGAUGAGACAUUUUUUAGAAGAAAACCUCAUUUUCUAAGUGGUACACGCAACUUGAUUAGAAGAAAAGUCAUAGUAUUUUAUUUACUUCCAACUCUUUGGGGAAGAGAGUGCAAGUUUCCAAUGGAAUAUGGGAUGAAAUUUCUACAUAACUAUAUAUGACAAAGAAAGAAGUCUUAAGUUUCUAAGUGGUGAGGCUUCUAAUUGUGUGAGUUUGUUGAGAAAUGAAGAUGAACAUGAAUAUUGAUAUUGAUGUGAGUUAGUGAACAAGUUGCUUCGAUCUCCUUUGGCCCUCUAAUAAGAUAAUAUCGGAAAACAAGUUGUUACUAAUAUUUUUUUAAGUGUCACUAGUCUCGCCCUAUUGUCUUAUUUUUUUCAUCCACAUUAUAAUCUCACCCAUCAUAAAAAAUUAAAAAUAAAAAACUCUAUUUUCCCACCCACCCUUAUUCCUAAUAUAACCUUUUAUAUAUCUCUAAAUUCUUUUAGAUUUUAUCUAUUAGAAUAUAUAUAUAUAUACACACACACACACACACACCUCAACAAAAAAAUGAUAAAAAUUAGUUAACCAUCCCAAUUCCAAAACCGUAGAAGCAACAUAAUUCCAAACCCCAUCUGCACCACGAUCCUCAAUACGGCAGUCGUACCAACACCCAAGCUCCACCCCAUCCAACCUUCGCAACAACUGCAUUCCCUUCUCUGAAUGUAUGAGAACAAGAAAUACAUUUUUUUUUCAUCGUGUCUGGAGUAGCCAAGGAGGAGAAAAAGAAGUAGAAGCAAAACAAUAAAUCACACUAGAAGAGUCACUUUCAAUCCAUAAAUUUUGCCAAGCAUGCGCGUCAGCCAACUCCACAGCACGGAUGACCGCAUGAAGCUCCGCAUAUAAAGAAGUAUGAUGUCCCAAGCUCAAGGAGAAAUCCCUAAGAAAAUAACUCGCAGAAUCUCGAAAAACCCCACCACAAGCUGCAGGACCUGGGUUACCUUUAGCGAGGUUUUCCAUAUUCACUUUGACCCAGGAAAAUGAAGGGGGAUGCCAAGGAACGUGAACUAUGGAAUGAGCUUGACAAGACUCAGCCGAGAUUCGAAGAGAGAUUAAGAGUUGUUUAUCCAAAAUACCACGUACAUGAUCAUGAGUGAAAACUCCAACCUGCCUAAUCCAUGCCAAAGUGGAACGACAAAUGUGUGCAAAGGAAUGAGGCUUACUAAUACAUGUACCGGAUUGGUAGACUAAGACGUACGGUAAGAUUUUUGAUAACCAGAGAAGAUGAACACUGUCAAUGUCGUGACAAAAUUUAUCCAAAUAGAUCCAAACACUCAGGAAGUUUCAUAUGCAGAUCUAGAGCUAAUUUCCUUUUUUUAUCUUAUAGUCAUUACGUAAAAUGUAUAUGCAUAUUUCUAGAUGCAUACACACCAAUGUACAUAAUAUUAACUCCUUUCAAGUAGUCAUUUGCAAAUUUAUUUCAUGUGCCAUUUGUAAUGCUCAUGUGGUACAUUUCUAAUAUCUUAUAUAUAACUUUUUGUGAUCCGUUUCUUCAUCACUAUGCCUAAAUACCUUUAGAAUUUGGUAAUUUCCUCACCCCAAACAAACCCUAACACUCUGUUUAGAUAUGGUAAAAAAACUCGAAAUUUCAUUUAAACUCGAAAUUUCAUUUAAACUCGAAAAUUUAGGGAUGGGAAAGAAAUUUUCCCUUAUUUGGCACUUGUAGCGAGAGAAAAAGGCAAAUUCUAAGGGAAAAAAGUUGAAAUAGGGGAUGAAGAUUUUCCGAUUUUAAUUUCAUCUAAAUAGGUGUAAUUUCACAAUUCCAACUACGACGAGAAUCACAAAUUCAUAUGUAGGAAAAUCUUGCAAGCGCAAAACUUUACAAUUAGGGCACCAAAAUUUCAUGAUAAAACCUGAUAAGGGUUUAGGGCUGCAUCUUUCACUCUACUAACUCUCCAAUCUUCAAAGAGAUUUUCGGCUCAUGCAUCAUCUUCUUGCUUUUGUUAGAGGUCAGCGCCUCUAAUAUCUUCUUUCUUGAAUUAUUUUAGCUUUUCGGGUAUACUCUUUAAGCCAAUUGUGAAUUUUUGCUAAUUAUUUUUAUUUUCUGAUAGUCAUAAGUUUGUUGUGCUUGUUUUCUUUCUUCCGAUUGAAUUGUGUGUUGGUUGGAUCUGUGACACAAUUUUCAGUUUUUUUAUGGAUUUUGCUGCUAGUUCUUUGUUAUAAAUAUUUUGCUUUUGAAGGUUAACAAUAGCCAAGACUGAAUAGGAUGAUUUUGGCGUUAAUUACUAUCUCAUGGUACCAUACCACCACACGCCAAAGCCACCAUCACAUCAUCAUCGCCGCCACCACGAGCCCAUAGGACAACAAAAGCUUGGAGCUUGGGUGGCAGAGGAGAUAGCACCACACGCCAAAGUCACCAUCACAUCAUUAUCGUCGCCACCACGAGCCCAUAGUAAUGGACUUGGAUUGUCUGCCCUCCUAGUUGUGGUGCCCUUCCAUGCCCUCCUAUUUUGUACGGUCACGGUUAAGCCACGUCAAUAUUUUAUAUUAAUUUUUUAAUGAGAUAAUAAGACAAAAAAUAAUUAAAAUAUAAAAUAUUGACGUGGCUUAACCGUGACCGCACAAAAUAAGAGGGCAUGGAAGGGCACCACAACUAGGAGGGCAGACAAUCCAAGUCCCAUAGUAAUCGGCAUAAAAUCAUUAGCCUUAAACGCCGCCAGGGGUUUCCGCCGACUGAGAAAAAGAUAAGAUUUGUGAACACCGAGGUCAUAUCGAUGGCAUCAUAUCAAAACUGAAAUCUUUUAAUCAUCCUCAUCAUUACAGCUAUCCACAAAUUGAAGCAACGAAUUGGGCAAGUGUGCAACAAAUUUCCAAUGUGGGUUUAAUGAGGUUUGUAGUUAAAGAGGGAUGCAAUUUAAGGAUCUGUUCUUGUAAUUUUAUCUGUUCACUUUUGCUUUAUUUGUUUUUUGGUUGCAUUGCCUCAAAAACCUUGUGCUUAUACAUGUAUACAGAACUUUUGGUUAAAACAAAAAGUCACAUAUACCGUAAUUAUUUAAAUUUUGUUGCAUAUCACAAUAUAUCUUUGUUCAUACAUUCAAACAAGCAUGGCAAAUACCGAGGAGGAACAUAGGAAAAAAAUUAAAAUUAUUGUUACAAUUGUAUAUUUUAUUGACAUGGUCAUGCAUUGGUAUAGUAAGAGUUUCCUUGUCAUAGAAUUUUCAAAUGAUUGGGAUCAAGAAAGACAACAUUUUUGAAACUGAUUAUUCUCACCACACAGUAGAAACAAUUUUUUUAAAAGCAUAGCAAUACCAAACUACUACUGUCAUUCUCCUUGGCGCUAUAUUUUUCCUUAGCGCCAUAAGUUUGCUAAGGUGAAGAACCAGCGUCCAUUAAUUUCCAUAUGGAGAGAGAAAGAGAGAGAGAAGACCAAGUAGUCUCAUAAUAUAGGUGGUGUUAAAUCACCUUCCGUGAAGUUGCAAUGGUGUUUGAAACAGUUAGUCAACGGAAAAGACAGAAUUGUGUAUUAUAAUGCUAUCUCGCUAUCCCUCUUUCGUUAAUGGAGGGCACCGUAUAAAUGUAUAAUUACUACAUAUAUAUCUCUGCUCAAUUACAAAAAGAAAAAUCCAUGCGCAUUAUUUUUAUUAUUAUUAGCUUAGAAAUGCAGAAAUUGUUCAUCUCUUCCCUUUAUGUGUGCCCGGACUGGUUUUCUUCAAACUAGUUGGAACAAGCCAAUAUGUGUGCCCGGAAUCCAAGUGUGGCGAUGAUCAAGGCCCGGCUAUCCAAUCCCCAUUGCGCAUCAGCGUCACACAUCAGUGUGGAAAUCCUGGGCUUGAAUGCAAUGGGGGAUAUGAGCAGCAAAUACUAAUAAAAUCAUUUGUCAAACACAUAGAUUACAAGCGUCAGGAAAUCCAAGUAUAUGAUCCAAGCAACUGCCUGCUGCUAAAGCUUGCUGAAAUCACAACCAUGCCACCCUCUCCCUUCUACUUGACAAAUUUUAGAAACCUUAACCUUACCUUAUUCAGUUGUCCUACUUCUGUUGCAAGAGAUAUGGAUUUGUAUCAAGUCCCCUGCCUCGGCGACCCUAGCAGCAGAAUUUAUGCCAUUGAUUCUACAUACGAAUUAGAAGAUUUCUUCCAGAAUCUACAAUCUUGUUCAAAGAUGUAUGAUGUUUUAUCAGUUCCAUUUGGCGAUUGGGCGGGUAAUGGCCGUGUUCUUCAAUUCAAAUGGUCGAAACCAAAUUGUACAGAAUGUGAAGCAGAGGGAAAGAGGUGUAAAUGGAAGAACAAUGGCACCAACAGUGAAAUUGAAUGUCAACACGUGAGCAAACCAAGUAAGGAGAACAUUUUAUAUUCAUUGCUAAUUUUAAACAUCGUUAUAUUUAUGUCUCAGUAAGUAUUAUUUGAAGGAUGUUGUCCGAUCCAUAUUUCUGAGGAUAUUAAUUGUCAUUCUCAAUUUAAUUUGCAAUUCUUUUACAGGCAACACAUGGAAAUUAGUGGUUACAGGUGGAGUCCUGGGUUCUUUGCUUCUUGUUCUACUGAUGAUUGCAGCAUAUCGGGUAUAUAGAGCUGAUAGAAAGGAAAAAGAGAGCCAAUUAAGAAUUGAAAGAUUCUUGGAGGAUUACAAAGCACUCAAACCAAGCAGGUAUUCGUAUGCAGAUAUUAAGAGGAUUACAAAUCAAUUCAAGGACAAGUUGGGCGAAGGAGCCUAUGGAACUGUCUUCAAAGGAAUGCUCUCUUCUGAAUUCUUUAUUGCUGUCAAAGUCCUCAACAGUUCCAAGGGAGAUGGGGAAGAGUUCGUAAAUGAAGUGCGAACGAUGGGUCAUAUCCACCACGUCAACGUGGCUCGCUUGGUUGGAUUUUGUGCUGAUGGAUUUAUACGAGCUCUUGUUUACGAGUUCUUCCCCAACGGUUCCCUGCAGGAUUUCAUUUCAUCAGCAGAUAGUAAGAAUUCAUUUCUUGGUUGGGAUAAGCUGCAAGAUAUUGCCCUAGGCAUAGCCAAAGGAAUUGAAUAUCUUCACCAGGGAUGCGAUCUACGAAUCCUGCAUUUCGACAUCAAACCCCAUAAUGUUUUGCUAGACCAAAACUUCACUCCAAAAAUUUCUGAUUUUGGUUUGGCCAAGUUAUGUUCCAAGGAUCAAAGCUUGGUGUCCAUGACUACAGCUAGGGGGACCAUGGGCUACAUUGCACCUGAAGUGUUCUCCAGGAAUUUUGGAAAUGUGUCUUACAAGGCAGAUGUCUAUAGCUUUGGAAUGCUAUUGCUUGAGAUGGUAGGAGGAAGGAAAAAUAUUGGUUCAACCACGGAGAACACUACAAAUGAAAUUUACUAUCCACAGUGGAUUUAUAAUCUUCUAGAGGAAGGGGAUGACCUACGAAUCCAUACUGGGGAAGAAGAAGAUGGUAAAAUUCCAAGGAAACUUGCAAUUAUAGGGCUAUGGUGUAUCCAAUGGCACCCGUCAGAUCGUCCUUCCAUGGAAACAGCGGUUCAGAUAUUAGAAGGAGGAGGAGAAAGCUUGACAGUGCCGCCUAAUCCCUUCAUGCCUACGGGUCCUACAACUAGAAAUGCAAGACGCCUAGAGCUAGAAGCAAUUGCUGAAUUAGAGUAAAAUGUAAUAUGCAAAUGUAUAGUAACAUUCGCAUUGAAUGUGUAAUGAUUCAAACCUAUGGGAUAUUUUGAUAACUAUUUCGUUUUGGUACCAACCAAAAGAAGUUUGUUUCCACUCCUUGUUUAAGUAUUAGAUGCCAAUUAUUGUUUUUUUUUUUUAAUUUAUUUUUGGAUACAGUAGAAGCCUAGAAGGAAAUCGAGCACUAAACUUACCAAAUUCUAACUCAUUUCUACACACCAAGAGCUUGAUUUCGGUUCUUAUUUAUACUAUUUAAUCUCUAACCCGUGACAAUAAUUAGAGCACUAUCAUUUGUUGUGAGCUUCAACUGGUUAGCAUUUUGUAUGUUUUAAACUUUUGAUUAGAAUAUAUAUUUCAUUUAGACUUAUCUUGCCAUAAAGCAUGCCAUACCCUCUUAAGUUUUUCUCUUCGCGUUGAGUUUAUGAUAAGGAAACUUGUCAAACAAAGUGGAUUGAUUAGUAACUGAAGCUAAUUAUUCCGCUAAAUAUUAUUUAGAAUUUUAAUUAAAAAAACAAUAUGAAUAUUUUUGUUUGAUUUGAAAACUAUAAAAUAAAUAAAAAGAUUAAAUUGUUAAUUGUUAAAAAUGGAGAGGUGAUAAAUAUUGGUAGAGAUCGAAUUUGUACAAGAAUGUAUAAGCAUUAUUGCACUCUCCCACAACGAUAAAUCACAUUAAACAAAAAGUAGUAGUUUGAGGAUGGAAGAAACUUCAUGGAUACCGGGUAAUCAACACAAUAUUGGGUGGGGUGUAGAGGUGACGCGGAAGGAAUUGGCGAGCUGGUAGAAGGAAUGGGAUUUGGGGACGCAAGAGAUUGCGUGGAAGGUAGAGGCGGGCGUGAGGGUGACGUGAGGGCAAGGGAAGUAGCAGACCGUGUGGGCUGCUGCUGUGGUUGAUCCACGAGAUGGAUUGUGUGCCCUUCCAUCCUCAUACCCUUUUAUUUUGUGCGGUUACGAUUAAAUCACGUCAAAAUUUGUUUUUUAUCUUAUUAUUUUUAUAAAAAAAUUAAUAUAAAAUGUUAACGUUGCUUAAACUUGACAGCACAAAAUAAGAAUGCAUGAAGAAGGUAUAAAAAAGAGAGGACAGACAAUCCAUCUCCGUUGAUCAACUAGGCUGGCAGGAUAGCCUUUUUGACCAAAUUAUUAAGCGCAUAGAUUUUUUGACCAAGAAGGUAGCCAACAAAUAUGCAACAUAUUUCACGGGAAUCAAAUUUGUCAGUGGGAUGGACACUCAUAUUCUUCGUCAUUCAUUUUUGGUGUUGAAAAAUAUAAUAAAUUAUAUCAAUGUUCUCUUAAUUUUAAAUAAAUUGAAAAAAUAAUUUUUUAACUAAAUAUUCAUUAUUAUUAAUCCAUUAACUCAUCAAAAUAUGUAGCUAUAGUCAUUUUCAUCAGCUCUCUCAUAAUUAUGUCAAAAUGAGUUAUGUUGGAAUGAUCAUUGCCCCAAUUGGGUUAAAGAUAUGGACCAUUGCUCCCAUUGGGUUAAAGUUGAUUGACAAUUUCUCCAGUUGGAUUAAAAUUGAGGGACCCUUAAUAUAAUUUUUCUUAUUUGAUUUUUCAUAUUUGCCCCUUGAUUUAGCCUCCAAUUUACUUUAAAAAAUAAAAGUCUCCUACUUUAGUUGAAAGAUCAAUGCUACAAUUUACUUCAAAAAAUAAAAGCCUCCUACUUUAGUUGCUUUGGAAAAUCCUUUCAACCAUCCAAAACAUGGAUCUAUGGAGCCAAGAAGCAAGAGUUUAUCCAUAUUCAUGGAUACAAGAAGCUAUGAGCAGAGGAAUGAGCUUUAAGUGAUUAUCCUUGAGGAUCUACAAAAGUAUAAAGUCAACUCUUUUGUUUUGAAUUUGAGUUGAGUCUUUGACUAACAACUACUAGGCUCUAAAUUUUAUGAGUUAAAUUUUAUUUUUGAGUGCAUAUAAGCAUGAUAGAGCCUUUAAUUGUUAAUUACAUGUAUGAGUGUUGCUCAAAUGAACUUAGCUUAUCAAAAAUUUCCUUCAAGACCAACUUCUAUGGCACACGUAGUUUCUCGUGCCAAUCACAUGAACAUUAUGUAAAAAGAAUUUACAUGUUGCGUUGCAUGAUUGACAAUUAACGAUACAUAGUGUUAUAACCGUGUCAAUGUUAUGAAAGUUUUUAUGCAAAGUCACUUGAUAUGCCGCAACAAUUAGUAAACAAUAUUAGAAAGACCUAGAGGAACCCACAAUUAAUUCCAAUUCAUUAAGUAGCUCAUGUGCAAGCAAAGUAUGGGCUUCCCAUGGGCCGGAGCUAGAAUUUACCCAUAUUUGGUAGUUAUGUGGCAUUAUACGAGGAGCCUGCUCAGCGUUCAAUAUGUGCACCCGCAUGAUGUUGAGUGUAAUAACAAAUAUAAAUAAAAAAUAAGUAAAAUGCUAGAGAGAUUACAUGUUUAUAUUACAUUGUUGUACCAUAUUGUGAUAUGGAUGUGUACAUACCACGUUUUGUAAUGAGUUUAUCUCAUUAAAUGUUAGAUUGUUGGUUAUAUGUAUCACUCGUCACAUCAUAUGAUAUAUUAAUAUGGUAUAAAUAUGCAGUCUCUCCAACAUUACUCUACUAAAGAGUAAUAUUGCACUUACCAUAUUUGUACCAUCAAUUUAUAAAAGUAUGGCUCAUCAACACAUGUAUGUCAUAUCUCCGUUAAAAAGGUGAUACAUAUAUGGUAUGAAAAAUAUGAUAAGACUAGCAUUUACAAAAAAUAAAAUUUUAAAAGUUAAAUGAAAUGAACAAAACACAGGAAAUUUGAAAGGUACUGAACAAAAUCAAUCGCAUUCAAAUCAGUCCUGAAAGAAACGAAUUGUACUGGAGUAUACAGAAACCACCACAAAAAAGGAUUAGCAAUUCAAUGCCACGAAAAACAGGGGGAGAUCUUAAUCAACACAUAUGAGACGUACAAGUACAAUUCAUCUGUAAAGUACAAUCAUUUAUCAGAAACCCCAAAGACAGGAAAUAUACAUCUAAACUUGCUAAGUCCUUUAGUUCUUGGAAUCAUCUAAGAACUACUUAUUCGAGCAGAUGCUAUGCUUGCAUUACUAGAAUUUAUGGCUUGCCCUGUCAACUAUUGCUCGACAGAGAAGAUUUCGUCGGUUUCACCUUUUUUAACCGACAGAAUAUAAGUUUAGUAGGGAAAAAUUAGUCAACAAACUGGGUUGACUGAAUAGAUUUACAGGAUGGCUAGAGUUUGUAGAUUAAUACAUCAGUCGUCGGGCAAACAUUUGGAGCAAAGAUGGAAGUGUUUUAACUGACGAAUAAGCUAGUCGUAGUGUAGAUCUUCUUUACCAACGGACAGUUCACCGAAUAGUUCUUUGGAUAACAAUUCAUUCUCAAGGGGAACAUGUUGCUUCUUAGAUAAAUGGUUAGAGGCAAUUGUGAGAUCAUAAUUUUCUAGCGAAGGAAUAAAGCUGAUCCGAAUACAGUAAAGCCCUCAUCGAUUCUCUCUUUGUAACCAUCCACCAAAUGCCCUGAUAGGAUUUUUAGAACCUACACAAAUAAGGUUAAAAUCACACAAAAGACUUGCAAGAGUACAAUAAUGUUGUAGUAUAGAUACUCAUGCAAAGUCGUUCUCUACAAUGACUAUUUUAAUAAUUUAUGUAAAAACAAUUCAUAUUUAAUUACUUAAAAUUAAAAAUUGAGAAAGGAGAUUUUGAAUUUGGGUAAUAUUAAAAACGAAUUUUAAUUAAAAACUAAUAUUAAAUUCCCCAAAAUUAAUACGAUAAAAGAAAAGAGUUGUAAAUACCCAUUUAUAAAAGCACUAGGGUUCCACCAUCAUCUAGCAAUCCUAUGUAUUUUUACCAAUUACUUAUGAUCUACACAUGCCACUUUGAAUGUUAGGUUUUUCUAAUAUAUACUAGCAUUUGCCUACAUACUUUGUGUGUAUGAACACAUUUUUUUAGAAAAUGAGAAGGAGAGAGGGAGAGAGAGAACGUUGGGGGGGGGGGGAGGGAGUGGGAGGUUUUUGUUUUUGGUUUUUUUUUUUAAUUUAUUAUAUUGGAGGUAUUUUAACAUCACAUAUAGGUGAGGCUUCAAUAAAAAAAAGUAAAAUUUGGAUAUGUGAAAUUACAUUAUUGCCCAUCAUAUUUUUUGUGUGAUAGAAAAUUAAAUUGUCUUUUCACCAUCUUUUAGUUGACAAAGAAGGUUUCAUUAAUUAGUAGAGAUUCUACUUGAAACCUCCAACAUAAAAUGUAUAUCUAACAUGCAAUCUAUUCGGAUGUUCGGAUCAAAUAUGAACAUGACAGACUCAUUAUGUUUUAUGAAAAUCAUUUGAAAAACCAUGCAACCCUUAAGAUGUGGUGUUCAUCCUAAUUAAAAUUACAAUUAUUAACCACAAGAAGCCAACGUCAAUUUCAAGGAAUCUUUCGACCAAAAUUGCAUCAAAUUACUUUUCUAAAUAUCUUAAUGUGAUCAAGCAUUAAGACAAUUAGACAGUUUAAAACGGUAAUCAAUAAUUCAAAGCGUGCAUGCAAUCAAUCAUAAGCAAUUAAAUUAAAUAAAAAUUACAUAUUCAUGCUAAGGCUCAAGGCUUUGCCCUAGCAAACGGAUUAGUUACGCAUAUUCAUAAUUAAAAUCCUAGAAAAUAUUAUUAUUAUGAAGAAAAAGAAUGAAAACACUUUAAAAUAAAAAUCUGAAAGUCUUCAAGAACCCUAACCAAUUUCUCUAUGUCUCCAAAGUCACAUACAAGAGAAGAUAAAUAGACUAGGGCCGGCCAAAACCUUAAAUAUCCCCCUAAAACCAUCGCAUAAUCCUUAGAAAACAAAAUCUUUUAUUCCUACUAGGAAACUAAAUAAUAAUAAAAUAUCUUUUAAAAUAAAGUCCUAAUUAAGCUAGGAAAUCUACCAAGUAACUGUCCAGCCAUGUUUUACCCUCCAAUUUCCUCCAAAUUCAGCCCAUAAUAGCUUGUUUUGAAGAUCGGGAUGUUUUGAACACAUCUCCAAAAGGUCACGAACCCAUCAGAUGUCAUCUCGAGACCUACCGCUUAUGGGCGAAGGCACUUGCCAUCGCACCAAGUGCGACCUCUAAGAAGAAGAAGGAAGAAGAAAAAAAAAAAAACCCAACCCAGUUUGUCCCCCCCUCAACAAACCCAGAAACAACAACAACAACAACAACAAAGCCUUUUCCCACUAAGUGGGGUCGGCUAUAUGAAUCCUAGAACGCCAUUGCGCUCGGUUUUGUGUCAUGUCCUCCGUUAGAUCCAAGUACUCUAAGCCUUUUCUUAGAGUCUCUUCCAAAGUUUUCCUAGGUCUUCCUCUACCCCUUCGGCCCUGAACCUCUGUCCCGUAGUCACAUCUUCGAACCGGAGCGUCAGUCGGCCUUCUUUGCACAUGUCCAAAUCACCGGAACCGAUUUUCUCUCAUCUUUCCUUCAAUUUCGGCUACUCCUACUUUACCUCGGAUAUCCUCAUUCUCAAUCUUAUCCUUUCUCGUGUGCCCACACAUCCCACGAAGCAUCCUCAUCUCCGCUACACCCAUUUUGUGUACGUGUUGAUGUUUCACCGCCCAACAUUCUGUGCCAUACAACAUCGCUGGCCUUAUUGCCGUCCUAUAAAAUUUUCCCUUGAGCUUCAGUGGCCUACGACGGUCACACAACACGCCGGAUGCACUAUUACACUUCAUCCAUCCAGCUCGUAUUCUAUAAUUGAGAUCUCCAUCUAGUUCUCCGUUCUCUUGCAAGAUAGAUCCUAGGUAACGAAAACGGUCGCUUUUUGUGAUCUUCGCUAGAUUGCUCCGGUCAUUAGUGUGGAUAAGUAUAUAAAUGGAUAGAGAUAGGAAAGCAAACACAAGAUGUACGUGGUUCACCCAGAUUGGCUACGUCCACGGAAUAGAAGAGUUCUCAUUAAUUGUGAAGGGUUUACACAAGUACAUAGGUUUAAGCUCUCCUUUAGUGAGUACAAGUGAAUGAUUUAGUACAAAUGAUAUUAGAGUACAAAUGACAUUAGGAAAUAUUGUGGGAGAAUGAUCUCGUAAUCACGAAACUUCUAAGUAUCGGAGUGUGGUAUCAUCUUGACUUGCCUUAUCUGUCUCAUAGGUAGAUGUGGCAGCUUCUCUGGAAGUACUCUUCCUCCAUCCAGGGGUGGUAUCUUUAAUUGGUGGAGAUGCACAAGGUAAUGUAUCAAUUUCACUUGAAGCUUACUUGUAGUUUCAAGCUUGGUCAAGCGCGAUACAAACCAUGUAGUAGGACUCCCCCAAGUCGCCGAGCUAGGGGAUCUGCUGAAAGAGGUGACAGACAAGGUAAGCAAUCAGAGCUCCAGCUGAUUGUUCACCUUCUCCCCAUCUUGCAGCAGCAUGAAGGAUACAACAACAACAACAAAGCCUUUUCCCACUAAGUGGGGUCGGCUAUAUGAAUCCUAGAACGCCAUUGCGCUCGGUUUUGUGUCAUGUCCUCCGUUAGAUCCAAGUACUCUAAGUCUUUUCUUAGAGUCUCUUCCAAAGUUUUCCUAGGUCUUUCUCUACCCCUUCGGCCCUGAACCUCUGUCCCGUAGUCACAUCUUCGAACCGGAGCGUCAUUCGGCCUUCUUUGCACAUGUCCAAAUCACCGGAGCCGAUUUUCUCUCAUCUUUCCUACAAUUUCGGCUACUCCUACUUUACCUCGGAUAUCCUCAUUCCCAAUCUUAUCCUUUCUCGUGUGCCCACACAUCCCACGAAGCAUCCUCAUCUCCGCUACACCCAUUUUGUGUACGUGUUGAUGCUUCACCGCCCAACAUUCUGUGCCAUACAACAUCGCUGGCCUUAUUGCCGUCCUAUAAAAUUUUCCCUUGAGCUUCAGUGGCCUACGACGGUCACACAACACGCCGGAUGCAUUCUUACACUUCAUCCAUCCAGCUCGUAUUCUAUGGUUGAGAUCUCCAUCUAAUUCUCCGUUCUCUUGCAAGAUAGAUCCUAGGUAGCGAAAACGGUCGCUUUUUGUGAUCUUCGCUAGAUUGCUCCGGUCAUUAGUGUGGAUAAGUAUAUAAAUGGAUAGAGAUAGGAAAGCAAACACAAGAUGUACGUGGUUCACCCAGAUUGGCUACGUCCACGGAAUAGAAGAGUUCUCAUUAAUUGUGAAGGGUUUACACAAGUACAUAGGUUCAAGCUCUCCUUUAGUGAGUACAAGUGAAUGAUUUAGUACAAAUGACAUUAGGAAAUAUUGUGGGCUUUUUAAGAUGGCCUCCCGUGCUUUUUAAAGAAUGAUCUCGUAAUCACGAAACUUCUAAGUAUCGGAGUGUGGUGUCGUCUUGACUUGCCUUAUCUGUCUCAUAGGUAGAUGUGGCAUCUUCUCUGGAAGUACUCUUCCUCCAUCCAGGGGUGGUAUCUUUAACUGGUGGAGAUGCACAAGGUAAUGUAUCAAUUUCACUUGAAGCUUACUUGUAGUUUCAGGCUUGGUCAAGCGCGAUACAAACCAUGUAGUAGGAGUCCCCCAAGUCGCCGAGCUAGGGGGUCUGCUGAAAGAGGUGACAGACAAGGUAAGCAAUCAGAGCUCCGACUGAUUGUUCACCUUCUCCCCAUCUUGCAGCAGCAUGAAGGAUAAAGAGAAGAAAAAUGAGAAGAGAUGAUAUGAGAUACUUUUGCUUUUGAAGAAGUAACUUUCCACAGGCUUAUUCUUGAACUGAGCUGGAGGGUUUUCUGGUUUCCUCCAGAGUAUAAGGCCGACUGAAGAAUUUGAGGGUCAAAACAAGUCCAUCAAAUCUAGAGUACGUUCCACCCUGCUGAUAUGGGAUACUUUUGCUUUUGACAGAGUAAUGGAUGUAUCGGCACGUGUGCUGUUACGCUUGUCUCCACAUGCUUCCUUGUAUCCUUCGCACUUGCCCUAUCUGUUCCUCAAGCAGAUGCGGAAUCUUCCCUGGAAACAUAAGAUGUUGAAGAUGAGUACUCGAGAGCAAUGCCAGGUAAGUAAUCAGGUAAGGGGUUCCAGGCAGUCAGUUCCUGGCUGGAAGCUUGAUUCCAAGUGCUGACUGAUUGCUCUCUUUCUCCUUGUCUUGCAGGUAAAAACAAGGCCAAAAGGAAAAGACAGGGAAAAAGCAUGAUAUGGGAUACUCUUGCUUUUAACCCUGAUGAUAUGAGAUAUUCUUGCUCUAGUAUAGCUUGUUUGCAGAGGUAUUAUCGGGGGGAAAGAAAGCUGAAUAUUUCGAAAGGCUUCGUUGGGAGUGCCCUCUCAGAUAUGAUGAAGGGUUGAGCAUUUUUGCAGGUCUGCCUGUCCGUUGGGGAUGGAGGUCGACAUAUAUAGGAGUCUCCCUAACAACAAGUAGUAAUGCUAUUCCUUUACCCUGCUUGGUCAUAGCACGGUAGUGGGAGCUGCCAGUUUCACAUGUUUUAACUCUGUCAGAGCACUUUGAAAAAGUGGUCUGUGGUAUCUGGCUCUCGAGAUUCGGAGAACGAUGCCUCUUCGAUUUUUGAGAAAGCAAUCAUGCUGGGGGUCUGGCUCUCGAGAUUCGGAGAGAGCAGUGUCUCUUCGAUUUUUGAGGAAGUAAUCAUGUUGGGAGUCUGGCUCUCGAGAUUCGGAGGGCGGUGCCUCUUCGAUUUUGGAGCAAGCAAUCUUGUUGGGAGUGUUGUCUCGAAUGUGAGUAAAGGUUGGGCAUGUUUGCUAGUCUACCUUGCCACGAAGCACAAAGGUUGACACACAGGGACUUUCCAAUUAUCCAGCAAUGGUACUGUUCCUUUACCCUCUCUUCGAUUUUGAGAAAGUAGUCAUGUUGGGAGUCUGGCUCUCGAGAUUCGGAGGACGGUGCCUCUUCGAUUUUGGAGCAAGCAAUCUUGUUGGGAGUGUUUUCUCGAAUGUGAGUAAAGGUUGGGCAUGUUUGCUAGUCUACCUUGCCACGAAGCACAGAGGUUGACACACAGGGACUUUCCAAUUAUAUCCAGCAGUGGUACUGUUCCUUUACCCUUGUGGGUAAUAAUAUGGUAGCUAGACCUUCAAAAUUUAUGUGUCUAAACUUUGUUAGUGCUGUUUCUUUGCUAUUCUUUUACCUUUCUUGGUCAGAGCGAUGUAGUGGGAGCUGCAAGCUUCACGUGCUCAACUUUGGCAGAGAACUUUGGCAAAGUUAUCUGUGGUACCCAUGAGCUAUUGUUGCGUGUGGGAAGUGGGUGAUUGAACAGUAAGAUUCAUGUGCUUUCUACUUCACCAGAAGUCUUCGACAGAAUGCCCAUAAUUUCUGCAAAGCUGAGUGUGCGUGUGACAGGUGCUGACAAGGCUAGAAAAGUAGGUGCCUCUUCGAUUUCUGAGAUCGGCCCUCGUGGUCUCUGAGCAGCCCAGCUUUUGAGAAAGCGAGCGCCUCUUCGAUUGAUUCGGAGAACGAUGCCUCAUCGAUUUUUGAGAAAGCAAUCAUGCUGGGGGUCUGGCUCUCGAAGAUUCGGGGAGCAGUGUCUCUUCGAUUUUUGAGAAAGUAAUCAUGUUGGGAGUCUGGCUCUCGAGAUUCGGAGGGCGGUGCCUCUUCGAUUUUGGAGCAAGCAAUCUUGUUGGGAGUGUUUUCUCGAAUGUGAGUAAAGGUUGGGCAUGUUUGCUAGUCUACCUUGCCACGAAGCACAGAGGUUGACACACAGGGACUUUCCAAUUAUCCAGCAAUGGUACUGUUCCUUUACCCUCUCUUCGAUUUUUAAGAAAGUAGUCAUGUUGGGAGUCUGGCUCUCGAGAUUCUGGCUUUUGGAGCAAGCAAUCUUAUUGGGAGUGUUUUCUCGAAUGUGAGUAAAGGUUGGGCAUGUUUGCUAGUCUACCUUGCCACGAAGCACAGAGGUUGACACACAGGGACUUUCCAAUUAUCCAGCAGUGGUACUGUUCCUUUACCCUUGUGGGUAAUAAUAUGGUAGCUAGACCUUCAAAAUUUAUGGGUCUAAACUUUGUUAGUGCUGUUUCUUUGCUAUUCUUUUACCCUUCUUGGUCAGAGCGAUGUAGUGGGAGCUGCAAGCUUCACGUGCUCAACUUUGGCAGAGAACUUUGGCAAAGUUAUCUGUGGUACCCAUGAGCUAUUGUUGCGUGUGGGAAGUGGGUGAUUGAACAGUAAGAUUCAUGUGUUUUCUACUUCCCCAGAAGUCUUCGACAGAAUGCCCAUAAUUUCCGCAAAGCUGAGUGUGCGUGUGACAGGUGCUGACAAGGCUGGAAAAGUAGGUGCCUCUUCGAUUUCUGAGAUCGGCCCUCGUGGUCUCUGGGGAGCCCAGCUUUUGAGAAAGCGAGCGCCUCUUCGAUUUCUGAGAUCGGCCUUCGUGGUCUUUGAGCAGCCCAACUUUUGAGAAAGCAAACGCCUCUUCGAUUUCUGAGAUCAACCCUCGUGAUCUCUAAGCAGCCCAGCUUUUGAGAAAGCAAACGCCUCUUCGAUUUCUGAGCAGGCGCCUCUUCGAUUUCUGAAGCUCCGUCGAGUGCAGAUUUUUAUAGGGGCUGGCAUUAAGUUCCAAAGCACACUUGAAUCUCCACCAGUAGAAGCUUCAUUCUUGCACUUCUAAGAUCUUGAUUUGUCCGACCUCUUCUCUCUUCAACACCUUUGAAAAUGUCUGGCCCCUCCGACCGUCGUUUUGACUUGAACCUUGUUGAAGAGGCAGCCCCGCCUUCUCCAGACAACAUAUGGCGCCCAUCCUUCGUCUCCCCUACUGGUCCUCUUACCGUUGGGGAUUCCGUGAUGAAGAAUGAUAUGACCGCUGCGGUGGUGGCCAGGAACCUUCUCACUCCCAAAGAUAACAGACUACUUUCCAAACGGUCUGAUGAGUUAGCUGUUAAGGAUUCGCUGGCUCUCAGUGUUCAGUGUGCAGGUUCUCUGUGUCUAAUAUGGCCCAACGCCUAUUUGCUCGAACCCGCCAAGUUGAAUCAUUGGCGGCUGAAGUGAUGAGUCUCAAACAGGAGAUUAGAGGGCUCAAGCAUGAGAAUAAACAGUUGCACCGGCUCGCACAUGACUAUGCUACAAACAUGAAGAGGAAGCUUGACCAGAUGAAGGAAACUGAUGGUCAGGUUUUACUUGAUCAUCAGAGAUUUGUGGGUUUGUUCCAAAGGCAUUUAUUGCCUUCGUCUUCUGGGGCUGUACCGCGUAAUGAAGCUCCAAAUGAUCAACCUCUGAUGCCUCCUCCUUCUAGGGUUCUGUCCAGUACUGAGGCUCCAAAUGAUCCCCCUCCGGUGCCUUCUCUUUCUGGGGCUCUACCGACUGCUGAGACUUCUCCUAAGCAACCUUUGUGAAGGCUCCCUCUUGUGUGUUUAUUUUGACUCAUGUAUAUGUACAUAUUUGUAGCUUAUCGGGGAUAUCAAUAAAUAAGCUUUCCUUCAUUUCAACGUAUUGUGUUAAAUACACCAAAGCCUUCUUCGCUAAGUUCUUUGAAUUUUCUUUUGUUGAAGCUUGUAUGUUGAAGCUUUCUGAGUGGAGCAUGUAGGUUGGGGUAGUGUUCCCUUAAUUUCCCGAGUGAGGAAAACUUCUCGGUUGGAGACUUGGAAAAUCCAAGUCACUGAGUGGGAUCGGCUAUAUGAAUCUUAGAACGCCAUUGUGCUCGAUCCUGUGUCAUGUCCUUCGUUAGAUCCAAGUACUCUAAGUCUUUUCUUAGAGUCUCUUCCAAAGUUUUCCUAGGUCUUCCUCUACCCCUUCGGCCCUGAACCUCUGUCCCAUAGUCGCAUCUUCUAAUCGGAGCGUCAGUAGGCCUUCUUUGCACAUGUCCAAACCACCGUAACCGAUUUUCUCUCAUCUUUCCUUCAAUUUCGGCUACUCCUACUUUACCCCGGAUAUCCUCAUUCCUAAUCUUAUCCUUUCUCGUGUGCCCACACAUCCAACGAAGCAUCCUCAUCUCCGCUACACCCAUUUUGUGUACGUGUUGAUGUUUCACCGCCCAACAUUCUGUGCCAUACAGCAUCGCCGGCCUUAUUGCCGUCCUAUAAAAUUUUCCCUUGAGCUUCAGUGGCAUACGGCGGUCACACAACACGCCGGAUGCACUCUUCCACUUCAUCCAUCCAGCUUGUAUUCUAUGGUUGAGAUCUCCAUCUAAUUCUCCGUUCUUUUGCAAGAUAGAUCCUAGGUAACGAAAACGGUCGCUCUUUGGUAUUUCUUGAUCUCCGAUCCUCACCCCUAACUCGUUUUGGCCUCCAUUUGCACUGAACUUGCACUCCAUAUAUUCUGUCUUUGAUCGGCUUAGGCGAAGACCUUUAGAUUCCAACACUUCUCUCCAAAGGUUAAGCUUUGCAUUUACCCCUUCCUGAGUUUCAUCUAUCAACACUAUAUCGUCUGCGAAAAGCAUACACCAAGGAAUAUCAUCUUGAAUAUGUCCUGUUAACUCAUCCAUUACCAACGCAAAAAGGUAAGGACUUAAGGAUGAGCCUUGAUGUAAUCCUACAGUUAUGGGAAAGCUUUCGGUUUGUCCUUCAUGAGUUCUUACGGCAGUCUUUGCUCCUUCAUACAUAUCCUUUAUAGCUUGGAUAUAUGCUACUCGUACUCCUUUCUUCUCUAAAAUCCUCCAAAGAAUGUCUCUUGGGACCCUAUCAUACGCUUUUUCCAAAUCUAUAAAGACCAUGUGUAAAUCCUUUUUCCCAUCUCUAUAUCUUUCCAUCAAUCUUCGUAAGAGAUAGAUUGCCUCCAUGGUUGAGCGCCCUGGCAUGAACCCGAAUUGGUUGUCCGAAACCCGUGUCUCUUGCCUCAAUCUAUGCUCAAUGACUCUCUCCCAGAGCUUCAUUGUAUGACUCAUUAGCUUAAUACCCCUAUAGUUCAUGCAAUUUUGUACGUCGCCCUUAUUCUUGUAGAUAGGCACCAAAGUGCUCGUUCGCCACUCAUUUGGCAUCUUCUUCGUUUUCAAAAUCCUAUUGAAAAGGUCAGUGAGCCAUGUUAUACCUGUCUCUCCCAAAAGUUUCCACACUUCGAUUGGUAUAUUCGUCUGGGCCUAUUGCUUUUUUAUGCUUCAUCUUCUUCAAAGCUACAACCACUUCUUCCUUCCGGAUUCGACGAUAAAAAGAGUAGUUUCUACACUCUUCUGAGUUACUCAACUCCCCUAAAGAAGCACUCAUUUCAUGUCCUUCAUUGAAAAGAUUAUGAAAAUAACCUCUCCAUCUGUCUUUAACCGCGUUCUCUCUGUAGCAAGAACCUUUCCAUCCUCAUCCUUGAUGCACCUCACUUGGUUUAGGUCCCUUGUCUUCUUUUCCCUUGCUCUAGAUAGUUUAUAGAUAUCCAACUCUCCUUCUUUGGUAUCUAGUCGUUUAUACAUAUCGUCGUAAGCCGCUAACUUAGCUUCUCUAACAGCUUUCUUCGCCUCUUGCUUCGCUUUUCUAUACCUUUCACCAUUUUCAUCGGUCCUCUCCUUGUAUAAGGCUUUACAACAUUCCUUCUUAGCCUUCACCUUUGUUUGUACCUCCUCAUUCCACCACCAAGAUUCAUUUUGGUGUGGGGCAAAGCCCUUGGACUCUCCUAAUACCUCUUUUGCUACUUUUCGGAUACAACUAGCCAUGGAAUCCCACAUUUGGCUAGCUUCCCCCUCUCUAUCCCACACACAUUGGGUGAUUACCUUCUCUUUGAAAAUGGCUUGUUUUUCUUCUUUUAGAUUCCACCAUCUAGUCCUUGGGCACUUCCAAGUCUUGUUCUUUUGUCUUACUCUUUUGAUAUGUACAUCCAUCACCAACAAGCGAUGUUGAUUAGCCACGCUCUCUCCUGGUAUAACUUUGCAAUCCUUACAAGUUAUACGAUCCCCUUUCCUCAUUAGAAGAAAAUCUAUUUGUGUUUUUGACGACCCACUCUUGUAGGUGAUCACAUGUUCUUCUCUCUUCUUAAAGAAGGUGUUGGCUAAGAAGAGAUCAUAUGCCAUUGCAAAAUCCAAGAUAGCUUCCCCAUCCUCGUUUCUCUCCCCAAAACCAUGGCCACCAUGAAAACCUCCAUAGUUGCCUGUCUCCCUGCCCACAUGUCCAUUUAAAUCUCCUCCUAUAAAUAACUUCUCCGUCUGAGCAAUUCCUUGCACCAAGUCUCCAAGAUCUUCCCAAAAUUUCUCCUUCGAACUCGUAUCCAACCCUACUUGAGGUGCGUACGCACUAAUCACAUUAAUAAGUUCUUGUCCUAUUACAAUCUUGAUUGCCAUGAUUCUAUCUCCUACCCUCUUGACAUCUACAACAUCUUGUACCAAGGUCUUGUCCACGAUGAUGCCAACACCGUUUCUCGUUCUAUUUGUGCCCGAAUACCAAAGUUUAAACCCUGAGUUUUCUAGAUCCUUUGCCUUACUACCAACCCACUUAGUUUCUUGUAGGCACAUAAUAUUUAUCCUUCUCCUCACCAUAACUUCCACUACUUCCAUAGAUUUUCCCGUUAAUGUUGCUGACAUAUUAAACUACACAACAUCUAUUGUAAUUUAUGUCUUAUUAGUAUCAUCACUUUUGUUCUUUAUUUCAAUGUCUAACAUAAUGAUCUGGUUUCAAUUUGCUACAGGCAUUAUUCCCAGACAAUAGCUAUGGUUUUGAUUGUAGCGGUGACUGAAAAAUUAUUCCGAAACUAACAUUUGAGGAAUUCAAGGUUUGUUAGUUAAUUUGUACAUCAGAAUACCAUGACAAACUUUGAAGUUGUAAUUGUUGACCUUACAACGUAUCUUUUGGUUUGGAGCAUUAGACUUAUAUGUGUUGCUUUCACUUGAAGGCUAACUCUUUAUUUUAGGCCUUGGAAUAUAACUAGGAAAUUGUGCCCGCACGUUGUUGCAGGAACGAAAAUAAAACUAUAGAACAUAUCAUGAAAAUCCAAAUGUACAUAAAUGUUGAGUAACACUAUUAACAUAAACAUAAUAAAGACUGCAUAUAAAAUGUAGUCAAUAUUUUUACAGGCCACUGUUUAUAGUUGUACAAUUUAGGCAAAAAACAUUAGGAAACAUUUUGACAUGGAUGUACAAAAGUGAUGAGUCUGAUAUUUCCCCCUGGUAGCUAUGUUAGGUGUUGAUCAGCAUCAGUUGUUCAUGUGCACAAAAAAUAGGGGUAUCAAUGUUAUGGUGGCCUAUUUACACGCAAAAAAUAUGGAGAAGCACUGAUGUUGUUUUAACAAAAGAUGAUCAGUCUCUUUUCUAUAGCAGCAAAAGUUUGUUCCUUCUGGCAAUAACUGCAAAUAAACGAUGUGCAGAUGGUAAAAAAAAUAUGUAAAUGCUAACUGAGCUGUAAUCAAGUGUGUGCAAAUAUGGUUACAUCAUAUAAAAAAUAGGAAUGGAGCAAAGUUACCUAGUUUUUUUUUUUUUUGGUAGAGGGUCUUUUUUCAUGCUUGUUGGAGAAGAUGCUUUUUUUUCAACAAUUUGAUUGGAACCUGACCAAAAUCCUAGACAUCUACUUCAGAGACUUCCUCUGUCUCACCGUACCAAAUAUAUUAAAGAGAUAGGAAAAAUAGAUUUAGAUCAGAUUGAAAAUAAAUUGAGAAUGAGAAAAAAAUGCUGUGAUGCAGAAUAUAACAUGUUUUUAGCCUCUGUAAAAAGGGCUCUCCUGAUGGAAUCUCUUUUCCUCUUGUGCGUUUCUCCGGUUUUUUCAGCUGGUGUAGUGGACGAUGAAACUGUUGUCGAAGACACUGCAAUUUCUUUCAUAAAAGACUGGUGUUGUUGGUUGGAUCAUUGUGUCCUCAGAAACAUUGUAGAUAAGGAGAUCAUUUGAAUUCAACAAAUUUCGUCGGCUUCCAAACCAAAGGUGAAAAUUUUUCCUUUGGCCUAUAAGUCUGAAAAACUCACUUGGUAAUUGCUUGUGAUCUGUUGAUCUUUGAUUGUAAACCAAAUCUUUGCAUGGCAUGCCAAAGACCUUUUCUCCUAAUUUGCCGAUAAUGAGAGCAUUGAUCUCAUUUGUUUCGUCUUCAAGGACCAAGAACACUUUGUACCUUCAUUCAAAUAGAAAAGCCAUUAAUUAUAGAGGAUACACAGUGUAAUAAGUCAAGAACUACAUUCUCAUAGAUUUUUCUAUGGUAUGGUUUAAUGUUAAUACUAAUCAUAUGAAAAAUAAAAGGAUAGGUAUGCAAAGUUUGAUUUCAAAUUUAAUUAAAUUUAUGGCUUGUAAGUUUGUUACGUGAUCAAUGAACUAUUAAUUGAAAAUAUGUAAUUAAAAACAGAAUAAAUGAUAAGUUUCAGUUUAAUAAGGAUAUGAGACAACGAUCAAUUGACAAACGCAAAAUAUAGUGUUUAACUCGUUACCAAGGAGUUGGCAUUUGAUUUAUAUGUUUUUGGCACAUCAGUUGACCAGUUGUUGGGUCCUUGUACAUUUGUUUGGCACAUGUAGGGCAAGCAGCAUACCACCAUUCAUAUGAUGUGUUAAACCGCUUAAUUGAUGCCUUGCACAAAAAUGUAUCAUCCUGUUAAAUAUCCAAAAAGAUGUUUAGAUAGUUAAUAAUCAUGAAAUAGAAAGCUUAUGUAAAAGAAGUAAAAAUAGAAAGCUUAUGUUUAGAUAGUUCAUAUGAUGUGUUAACUCGUCAAGUCCAAAACGCUGGACUCCAACCACAUGACCAAUAACAUCUACAAAUUUGAAAAAAAGAAAGAAAACCAAAACAUAAUUAGGUGAGGAGAAAAUGUUUCAUAAAACAUGUAUCAAUGCAUUGUAACACACAGCUAUAUAUACAUGCGUACAUAUUUAUUACCUGUUAGGAUAUCAGUCUUGUUCAGCCUGGAUACAAUCUAUUAUAAUCUUGCAAAAAAAAAUCUGCGACACAGAAUAGGCAGAAACACACUUGUUAACUUGUUAAAAACUGUUUUGGCAGUUAACACGAGAUGGGUGUCAUGCGGGACUACUUGACACUGGCCUCUUAUUUUGUUGGUACGAAAAUUCAUAAUCUCGUAGCAAGCACCUGCUUCAAUUUUUGGGACUAUUAUAUCAUAGUUCAUUUCGUCAGAAGACGCUUCUAUCGCUUGUUCCUUGAUAACCAAACAUUGAGAAGGGAAGAAAAAGAAAUUGUCAAAGAUAUCAUGAAUAGGUAAAUAACACUAAAUUUGAAACUUAAAAUAAUAUGAAAACAUUUGCAAAUUACCAACAUUAUAGACUAAGAUGAAUACUAAAUACUGAAAGCCAAGUUAUCAUUGUAAUUAACAGUUUAAAGGCAAUGGAUACCCAUAAAAUAAUUACAUGUCACAUAGACUUAACAUGAGAGUUGAUAUAUUUAAUACUUGAAAUAAUAUGAAAAUAAAUGUAAAUCACAAAUAUUAGAGAAUAAGAUGGAUAGUUAACGUCAAGAGUGAAUUUAUUAGUGUAAUUAACAAGUUAAAGACAAUGCAUAUGCACCCAAAAACAAAUUCUUAUCACAUAGAGACAGAAUGAUAACUAACAUGUAAUUUUCCGAUACAAAAUGAAAGAAUACAGAGAUUAGAAAUGAAUUGGAGAUUGUGUUUAUCCCAGAGAGUAAAAAUGUCAUGUGAUAUGUAUUAGAACAAAUACAAAAUUCACAUGUUAAGAGCUUAUCAAACAGUAUUAUUAAAGAUUAAUUACUGACCUUUUCAUCAACUAAUACACAGUGUAGACCUGCAUAUUUAUCAGUCAUGCCUGAAAAUCUUGGUAUCUAUAUUCUGCAGAUACGAACUUUAAUUUUUCCAAUUUUUUCAUAUGGGACCAAUCGAUCAAGAGGAGUUGGACCUCGACCUUCCAUGUUUAACUGCUGAAAUGAGAUUUAAGGUUUGUGAAUUGACAAAUAAUGCAGAAAGAAAUUUCAAAGAGGCUGAACAAUGAUGUAACAACUACACUUUCAAAACUAUAGACCUACAACAGUUUGUUUAAAAGCGUAACUGAUUAAAAGAAUGAGAUUGCCAAAAGAAAACACAGCACGACCACUGCUUAACUGAACCACAUUCUCAACACACAAACAUAAACGUAGUGAUCCUAUACAUCCAUCAUAUUCUUUUUCUCUGUUUCCAUAUCCCUGAUCCCAAUUCUUUAUCCCAUCCUUUCAGUGUUGUUUUUUGCUCACUCUCAAUGUCACGCCCCUAUCUCGACAUACGUCCAGGCUCGACACAUGACGUCACCAACUACUCGUAUCUCUAACAUAUCCCGCCACCAGGAUAUGCAAAACACAACUCGAGAACCAAUUGCGUAAUAAAUUUUUGUAUACUUUAUGGUUGCAUCUAACCUCUUCGUUAGACUGUCUACGUACCCUCAAUAGAGAUCAAGCCAUUCGUAGUUCAACUUCGCUAUAACUCGACAUAUAACACAAUCUAUUCAAGCCAAAAUGCAUAACAUUCCUCAAUCAAACAUUUGGACUUGACGAGCAUGAAUUAUUCGAUUCAAACUACAUAACAACCCGCAUGACAAUCAAGGUUUCUAUUUCAUCCAUCAUAUACAUCAUUAUGUUUCAACAUAAAAUCACUAUUCAUAUCAAGUAAUAUAUCAAAGAAUCAAUAAAGCACAAUAGUAUCCUCUAGUCGCAUUGAUCACUGAUCUAAUCAUUAUAAUAACAAUCAUAUUCAACAUCCUUCCACAAUCAUCUCAAGUAACCCAUUCCAUGAUAUCAAGGAUGCACGAUAUUAACAUUUAAUUAUGUUAAUCAGUCAAUCAGAUCACAUCUCAAUGCACAAAAUUAAUAAAGGACUUCUAUAUAAUUCCCCUGGAUUUCAAGUAAUAACUUGAUAAUUCAAAUUUAUAUUCACAAAAUUUAUUGUGGGUAAUUCUCAUUCACUCGAAUCCAAGGUACAAGUCUAACUUAUAGAAAUGAGCAAGAGUAGGGAUUCCAGACCACUCAACGGAAUCCAAAUCAAGAUACGAUUCCAGACCACUCAACGGAAUCCAACCACAUCGGCUUCCGGAUCACUUAACGGAACCAAAAUUAUCCAUCGGUUUCUUGCAUGUAAAAUUAGUGACAUCGAUGACAAUCUAUAAACAUCAAGUAUAGAAUUAUGCUUUAUGAAAUCAUAAUCAAGUCACUGACAACUUCGAAGGAGUCACCCAGACAUCCAACGACUUUUUUAAUUUAAAGCACAAGAUUCUCAAAAUCCAUCGUUCAUAUGUACAUUAAAAACUAGGGCUAGAUGGACGCAGUUCGGCCGAAGCCUACAUCUUUGAAGCUAUCUCAAUCCAAACUCAAUGAAACCCGAGGUGGAUACGACCCCGGACCAUCACUCAAAAAAAUCACGGAGUAGGAGGGAUUCCGGACCAUCUCUCAACGGAAUCCAAGUGGAUACGAUUUCGGACCAUCACUCAACAGAAUCGCGGAAGGCCAACAACCAUAUAUACAAUGACUCAAAGAAAUGAGACAAGCACAAGUUACUUAAUUUACAAAAGCUUAACCAAGGGAAAUAAGGCACAAAUACUAAAUUUAGAACGAAUCAACGAAGUGGAAGAUGAAACCAUAUCGAAUCAACAAAUCCCCAUCACCACAGUUUAACGGUCUACCACUAGUCCUCACAUUUCAUCACAACAGGCCAAUCAAACCAAUCAAACCAAUCAAACCAUAUUUCAAUAUAUAUACAUGUCAAAUCUCAUUUCAUAAACCUAAAUUAAUAAAGGACUUCUAUAUAAUUCUCUGCCUGGAUUUCAAGUAAUAACUUGAUAAUUCAAAUUUAUAUUCACAAGAUUUAUUGUGGGUAAUUCUCAUUCACUUGAAUCCAAGGUACAAGUCUAACUUAUGGAAAUGAGCAAGAGUAGGGAUUCCAUACCACUCAACGGAAUCCAACCACAUCGGGUUCCGGAUCACUUAACGGAACCAAAAUAAUUUAUCGGUUUCUUGCAUGUAAAAUUAGUGACAUCGAUCACAAUCUAUAAACAUCAAGUAUAGAAUCAUGCUUUAUGAAAUCAUAAUCAAGUUACUGACAACUUGGAAGGAGUCACUCAGAUAUCCAACGACUUUUUUAAUUCAAAGCAUAAGAUUCUCAAAAUCCAUCGUUCAUAUGUACAUUAAAAACUAGGGCUAGAUGGACGCAGUUCGGCCGAAGCCUACAUCUUUGAAGCUAUCUCAAUCCAAACUCAAUGAAACCCGAGGUGGAUACGACCCCGGACCAUCACUCAAAGAAAUCACAGAGGAGGAGGGAUUCCGGAACAUCUCUCAACGGAAUCCAAGUGGAUACGAUUUCGGACCAUCACUCAACAGAAUCGCGGAAGGCCAACAACCAUAUAUACAAUGACUCAAAGAAAUGAGACAAGCACAAGUUACUUAAUUUACAAAAGCUUAACCAAGGGAAAUAAGGCACAAAUACUAAAUUUAGAACGAAUCAACAAAGCAGAAGAUGAAACCAUAUCGAAUCAACAAAUCCCUAUCACCACAGUUUAACGGUCUACCACUAGUCCUCACAUUUCAUCACAACAUGCCAAUCAAACCAUAUUUCAAUAUAUAUACAUGUCAAAUCUCAUUUCAUAAACUUAAAUCAAUGGCUAAGCAUUAAAAAAAAUUAUUCAAUAGAAAACAUAUUUAUAAACCCAAGUCAUAUCCACAUAGGAUAACAAUUACGAAAAUAAGGUAAUCACCAAUAUCACAUAUAUUAAAGUCACUCACCUGAGGUCCACACUAACGCACUCUAGCAUGGAAUUCAAGGCAUCAAGCUCUAUUACCGCCAAAAACAAAGCACAAGUCCACAUUUAGAUUUCUCUCGAUAAAUUCACAUGCCCAAAACUCUCAUAAGUCUCCCACAACGACAUUUAAUGAGAAUCAAACCGUCGAUCAAAGGUAUGGUCCAUGAUCUUACAUCAUUUGCUCCGUAAGAUCCAACCACUAGAUUUUCACUAGUAAGUUCCUAAGGCCCAACAACUGAUAAAUAUGGUGCUCACAAAAUUGUACAACGAUCCAACGAUCAGAUUGUCAUCAAUCACAUAAACAAGUGGUGGUCCAAUUUGAUCGCCAUACCAAACAAUUGAAUUUCGGGAAACCAAGCUAGACAUAGGUUCAUAGGGUCACUAGAAGGUAUUUGGUACUUGACAACACUCGUGGACAAUCUCACGCACCGCCACACGCGAUGGUAGCCAUGGUGAAGGAUUUGAAAACCCAAUUUUUCAACCUUAACCACAAAGGCUCAAAUUUACGUGGUAAUUAGAGUAAAAAUCCAAUUUCAUCAUGGAAAACCGGGUUUCUAGGGUUCUACACACCCAACUCUAAAACGAAUACGAAAGCACCAACUUGAAGAUUAUGAAGAGUAUACUUCACUCGAAGGAAAUGGUUGACGGAAUCACCGGAAAAAUGAUAAAACCGCCGGAAACCCACAGAACUUUGCUGUCUCUAACUGGAAAAAUAGAUAAGAAAAUGGGAAAUCUAACACUACAGAGAUGUAGGGCUCGUCAAGAGCUUUAAUGAACACCAAGAUCACCCAAAACGGAGAUCGGAUGAAGGAGAUAUGAGCGGAUCAAGUUUGCGGGUUAACGGGUCUAAUUCGCCCCAAAACGGGUUUUUCCUUCUUUUCUCUCGCCACCUUCCCGUGGCUUUCUUUUCCUCUCCUCUUUUUAGCCACUCCCGUGGCCUUUUCCUUCUCUUUUCAUUUUUUUUUAAUUUUUAAUUUUUAAUUUUUUUAGCAACAACUUCAAACGUCCGUAACUAUACCGUUAUAAUCUGGACUUGCAAACGGUUUUCGCCUAUGCGUUCGUAAUCUCGAUAUCUAUUCAACAAUAUAAAUUGUGACCUCGAAUGGUCUGCGGAUUUUAAAUAAUUAAUUUUCCAAAAAAUAAUAUAAAAUUUCUAUAAUACCACUAUGUAGAUUAUACUAAUGAAAUCCAGUAUCUAGAUUUCACACUCAAUCCCAUUUUCUUCCAAGUCUGAUAAAACCCACAUGCAUAAACGGGCUACAAAUCUGCCAAACCCAAAACAAAACCUAACUAAAAAUCUGAGAGAUUAAAACUUUCGCUCAAAAAAACAGUCUAUCUCUCCGAUAAAACAGAAAUAUCCCAAAAUAGGAAUGCUUGGUAAUAAAAUAAUGAAGCAACAAAUGGCAUGAAAUAAUCAAAAAACAACCCUACAAAUUCAAAUAACCGAAACAAAUAAUCAUAUGGCCAAUUCAGUUCGAAAAAAAAAAAACAUCGCACAAAAAACUAAUACCUGACAAAGAACCCAAUUGGGGAUACUGGAAAUUGCAACUACACGAUCCUCCAAUUGACGAUCAGACAGCCGUUCAACCACUGCAAAAACAACCAUAAAAAAACACAAAGUCAUAGCCUAUCAAGAGUGUAAGUAAAAAAAAUGAACAAAUCGAUAUUUCCUGUCCCGAAUUAAAAACUGGAAAGCGAAAACAAAGGCGCUGAAAAACAAAAGCUGAAAAUCAAUUGCACAACAGCAGAAACCAACAAGAAAAACGAAAGACAGAAACGAUAACAAAAAGCAUAAGCAAAACGAAAGAAACGGCAAACAAAGCUAACCAAGCAAAUUUGAAACGAAGAAAAAUGCACAACCAGCUUAAACCACGGCAAAAAUAAGAGAGAGAAGAGACAAAGCCACGGCCAAUUCGAUGAUCGACACGUGGCCAUAAGUGGAAAAGGCAAAGCCGAGCAACACGCCGGGGGGGGGGGGGGGAAGAUAACAAACGGUCGCGGUGAUAAGGCAAUCAGAAGGUAACGUAAAAAAAAUUAGGAUUUAAAUUUUUGUGGUAGAUUUCGUUAGCAAAUUUAAUCCAAAAUUAUUUUUUUUUUGUUACUUGUCUGUUAAAUACAGGGAUAAAAAUGUAUUUUAACUAGUACGCAUUCUUCUUCCUCCCUCUGCGUUUCAUCUAUUUAUAUCUUAAAACAACCCCUACCAGAAAACCACAGAAAAUAAACCAUGAUCAUUAAUCUCUCAUCUUCUCCAUCAUCCUCUUCUUUCUCUCUCAUCAAGUUAUCUAAUUCCAAAUCACUCAUCUCUGAUUUUCCAUCAAAACCUAAAACCCACCACCCAAAACCUCUAUCUUCUUCCAUUUGCUGCUCAUUUUCUUCACUAGACCUUGGUUUUCACUGCAAGGAUCGAUUUUUCAUUGAAAAUGGUAGGUGCCCACAUGGGAAAAGGUUCAAGUUUAGGACUUGUGCGAUUCCUGGCUUCGACUCUGGCAACCUCAGUUGGUUUUGGAGGCGGCUGCUGUGUUAACGGCCAUAAUUGUUGUCCAUGAGAGCGGUCACUUCGUUGCAGCUUAUCUCCAAGGCAUCCAUGUAAGCAAAUGGAAGAAGAUGGAGGUUUUGGGUGGUGGGUUUUGGGUUUUGGGUUUUGGGUUUUGAUGGAAAAUCAGAGAUGGGUGAUUUGGAAUUGGAUAACUUGAUGAGAGAGAGAGAAUAGGAGCGUGGAGAAGCUGAGAGAUUAAUGAUCAUGGUUUAUUUUCUGUGGUUUUUUUGGUAGGGGUUGUUUUAAGAUAUAAACAGAUGAAAUGCAAAGGGAGGAAGAAGAAGGAGUACACGUUAAAAUACAUUUUUAUCCUUGUAUUUAACAGACAAGUAACGGAAAAAUCAAUUUUGGAUCAAAUUUGCUAACGGACUCUAUCACAAGGGUUUAAAUCCUAAUUUUUUUUACCACAAGGGCUAUCUUCCGAUUACCUUAUCACCACGAGGACUGUUUAUCCGAUUAGGCCAAAAUAUAAAGGAAAGGGGCAAAAUGACAUUUCAUAUAGCAUCUUCAAAAUGCCAAAAAAGUGAGCGUUAGAUCAGGGGCAAAAUCGGGUGGGCACUGUUAGUGAACAAUGGUUUUCCCACAGGGUUUUAGUAUAGAUAAUAAUUUCUUGGAGAAUCAACAUUGUUGACAAUUUUUUGAGCAAUAUUAUCCCCAAAUUUUCUUUGCAUGUUACCCUCAACGUAGACAUCAUAUAACCAUCCUUGAACUUCUGAACCAAAAAUUUGAGUUUUAUGAUUAUAACUAAACGUCUAUAAACACAUGAUACAGAUUGAGACAAAUGUCAAAUUUAAAAUGGCAUUAAUCAGGACAGCUGCAAACUCUGAUUUGUAGGCUUUGAAAUGGAGAAGUUACUUCUUGCUUCACUUUAGCAUCAUAGUUCAGCUUCUAAGUUCAGUUCUCAACUAUGAGGUUUCUCAGUUACCUCUUUCUUGUAAUAAAACAUUAGGUAAAUUAUACAAAACUACCUCAACUAUUGAGUAAUUAACAGCUUCAUACCUCGUCUUUAAAAAGUUUCAAUGUCAUACCUCAUCUACGAACUUGUUACAAUUUCAUACAUUCCGUAAGUUGUCUGUUAAUUCUUCUGUUAAAAUGCUGACGUGGCAAGUGACGGGAUCCAUUUUCUAUUAAAAAAUAAUAAAUAUUAAAAAAAAAAGACCCAAACCCAGAUCCCCAUCCCCCCUUCCCAUCUGUCCCCCCUCCUCCUUCUCCUCAUCCUCCUCCGCACCCACCUCACACCCACCCUCUUCCCUUCUCUACACACUCCACUCCUUAAAUCCACACCCAUUCCCCCAUUCAAAACCCCCAGUUCGUCUUCUCCCUCACCCGAGCCCAACCUGCAACUAGACUUGGCAGUUUUUGACACGACACGAAAACGACACGAAAAUAACGGGUUUCGGGUCAACACGAUAACUUAUCGGGUCACUAUCGGGUGACCCGUUAAGAACCCGUUAACGGGUUCUUAACAGGUAUACACGCGGGUAACACGUGGGUAACCCGUUUCGACCCGUUAAGAAAAGAAUUAUUUUAAUAAUUUUAAGGUUUAAUUACUAAAAGAUUUAUUAUAAAAUACAAUAGUCAUAUUAAUAUAUACAAUAUAUUCUAUAUUAAAUAUAUAGUUUUGUAUUAUUGUUCUAUAUAAAUUAUAAAAAAAUUAAAAAAAAGUUUUAGUCAUUAUUUAUUUUUAUUAUGAGAGUUCCUUAUUAUCAUUACUAGGAUAAAUUUUACAUAACAUAUUCUUGUCCAAAAUUAAAAUAUACUGGUAUAGUAUUUGUAUAUGCAAGAACUAAGAAGACAUACAUACAAGUAUGAAAAAUGUGAAAAAAUAUAUAAACACUCGUGAUUUAUCAUUAUUCCUCCACGAAUAAAUAAUUGUUACACUUAUAUUAUCGUUUAGAUUUUUUAAAUCCUUCAAACCCUCAUGAAUAAUGUUUUUUAUUUGAGGGAAAAAUUAAUAAAAUUAAUAAUAAUUAUUGUAGAAGUGUAAAAAUGUAAAAAUAUAUAUAUAAAAUCACUCAUAUAUAAAAAAAUGUAAAUGCUUUAAAUAAAAGAUCAAAUUUAUUCAUUACAUUCUUAUAGGGUCGAGGAGUGUAUCUGUAAAAAAAUCAUCAAAAUCAGAGAUAAAAUAACCGUUAAAUUAUGAUUUUUCGUUUAUAACCGCCGAAAACUUUUAUUCCAUUACGUAAUCUCUAAAUGUUUGUUUUUUACGAUUUUUUACAUAUGCGAUCUCGGAAUGUGUACAAAUAAGUUUGACGGUUGGAUCGUUGAAAAAAGUUUCAUAUAAUGCAUAUUGCGUCAAAACGGUAGAUUAAGCAAACACUUAGAGUUAAUAUUAUACUUCUAUUAAGUAUAAAAUAAGUUUUUGUGGUAUCCACUAGUGUAAAUACUUUAAAUUAAAGAUCUAAUUUAUUCAUUACAUUCUUAUAGGGUCGAGGAGUGUAUCUGUAAAAAAUAAUCAAAAUCGGAGCUAAAAUAACCGUUAAAUUGUGAUUUUUCGUUUAUAACCGUCGAAAACUUUUGUUCCGUUACUUAAUCUCUGAAUGUUUGUUUUUUAUGAUUUUUAACGUAUGCGAUCUCGGAAUGUGUACAAAUAAGUUUGACGGUUGGAUCGUUGAAAAAAGUUUUGAAGAAUGCAUAUUGCGUCAAAACAGUACAUUAAACAAACACUUAGAGUUAAUAUUAUACUUCUAUUAAGUAUAAAAUAAGUUUUUGUGGUAUCCACUAGUGUAAAUACUUUAAAUUAAAGAUCAAAUUUAUUCAUUACAUUCUUAUAGGGUCGAGGAGUGUAUUUGUAAAAAAUCAUCAAAAUCAGAGAUAAAAUAACCGUUAAAUUGUGAUUUUUUCGUUUAUAACCGUCGAAAACUUUUGUUCCAUUACGUAAUCUCUGAAUGUUUGUUUUUUACGAUUUUUUACGUAUGCGAUCUUGGAACGUGUACAAAUAAUUUUGACGGUUGGAUCGUUGAGAAAAGCUUCGUAGAAUGCAUAUUGCAUCAAAACGGUAGAUUAAACAAACACUUAGAGUUAAUAUUAUACUUUUAUUCAGUAUAAAAUAAGUUUUUGUGGUAUCCACUAGUGUAAAUACUUUAAAUUAAAGAUCAAAUUUAUUCAUUACAUUCUUAUAGUGUCGAGGAGUGUAUCUGUAAAAAAUCAUCAAAAUCAGAGAUAAAAUAACCGUUAAAUUGUGAUUUUUCGUUUAUAACCGCCGAAAACUUUUGUUCCAUUACGUAAUCUCUGAAUGUUUGUUUUUUACGAUUUUUUACGUAUGCAAUCUCCGAAUGUGUACAAAUAAGUUUGACGGUUGGAUCGUUGAAAAAAGUUUCGUAGAAUGCAUAUUGCGUCAAAAUGGUAGAUUAAACAAACAUUUAGAGUUAAUAUUAUACUUCUAUUAAGCAUAAAAUAAGUUUUUGUGGUAUCCACUAGUGUAAAUACUUUAAAUUAAAGAUUAAAUUUAUUCAUUACAUUCUUAUAGGGUCGAGGAGUGUAUCUGUAAAAAAAUCAUCAAAAUCGGAGCUAAAAUAACCGUUAAAUUGUGAUUUUUCGUUUAUAACCGUCGAAAACUUUUGUUCCGUUACGUAAUCCCUGAAUGUUUGUUUUUUAUGAUUUUUUACGUAUGCGAUCUUGGAAUGUGUACAAAUAAGUUUGACGGUUGGAUCGUUGAAAAAAGUUUUGUAGAAUGCAUAUUGCGUCAAAACAGUACAUUAAACAAACACUCAGAGUUAAUAUUAUACUACUAUUAAGUAUAAAAUAAGUUUUUGUGGUAUCUACUAGUGUAAAUACUUUAAAUUAAAGAUCAAAUUUAUUCAUUACAUUCUUAUAGGGUUGAGGAGUGUAUCUGUAAAAAAUCAUCAAAAUCAGAGAUAAAAUAACCGUUAAAUUGUGAUUUUUCGUUUAUAACCGCCGAAAACUUUUGUUCAGUUACGUAAUCUCUGAAUGUUUGUUUUUUACGAGUUUUUACGUAUGCAAUCUCGGAAUGUGUACAAAUAAGUUUGACGGUUGGAUCGUUGAAAAAAGUUUUGUAGAAUGCAUAUUGCGUCAAAACGGUAAAUUAAACAAACAUUUAGAGUUAAUAUUAUACUUCUAUUAAGUAUAAAAUAAGUUUUUGUGUUAUCCACUAGUGUAAAUACUUUAAAUUAAAGAUCAAAUUUAUUCAUUACAUUCUUAUAGGGUCGAGGAGUGUAUCUGUAAAAAAUCAUCAAAAUCGGAGCUAAAAUAACCGUUAAAUUGUGAUUUUUCGUUUAUAACCGUCGAAAACUUUUGUUCCGUUACAUAAGCUCUGAAUGUUUUUUUUUAUGAUUUUUACGAAUGCGAUCUUGGAAUGUGUACAAAUAAGUUUGACGGUUUGAUCGUUGAAAAAAGUUUUGUAGAAUGCAUAUUGCGUCAAAACGGUAGAUUAAACAAACACUUAGAGUUAAUAUUAUACUUCUAUUAAGUAUAAAAUAAGUUUUUGUGGUAUCCACUAGUGUAAAUACUUUAAAUUAAAGAUCAAAUUUAUUCAUUACAUUCUUAUAGGGUCGAGGAGUAUAUCUGUAAAAAAUCAUCAAAAUCAGAGAUAAAAUAACCGUUAAAUUGUGAUUUUUCGUUUAUAACCACCGAAAACUUUUGUUCAGUUACGUAAUCUCUGAAUGUUUGUUUUUUACGAUUUUUAACGUAUGCAAUCUCGGAAUGUGUACAAAUAAGUUUGACGGUUGGAUCGUUGAAAAAAGUUUCGUAGAAUGCAUAUUGCGUCAAAACGGUAGAUUAAACAAACAUUUAGAGUUAAUAUUAUACUUCUAUUAAGUAUAAAAUAAGUUUUUUGUGGUAUCCACUAGUGUAAAUACUUUAAAUUAAAGAUCAAAUUUAUUCAUUACAUUCUUAUAGGGUCGAGGAGUGUAUCUGUAAAAAAUCAUCAAAAUCGGAGCUAAAAUAACCGUUAAAUUGUGAUUUUUCGUUUAUAACCGUCAAAAACUUUUGUUCCGUUACGUAAUCUCUGAAUGUUUUUUUUUAUGAUUUUUUACGUAUGCGAUCUUGGAAUGUGUACAAAUAAGUUUGACGGUUGGAUCGUUGAAAAAAGUUUUGAAGAAUGCAUAUUGUGUCAAAACAGUACAUUAAACAAACACUUAGAGUUAAUAUUAUACUUCUAUUAAGUAUAAAAUAAGUUUUUGUGGUAUCCAAUAGUGUAAAUACUUUAAAUUAAAGAUCAAAUUCAUUCAUUACAUUCUUAUAGGGUCGAGGAGUGUAUCUGUAAAAAAGCAUCAAAAUCAGAGCUAAAAUAACCGUUAAAUUGUGAUUUUUCGUUUAUAACCGUCGAAAACUUUUGUUCAGUUACGUAAUCUCUGAAUGUUUGUUUUUUAUGAUUUUUUACGUAUGCGAUCUUGGAAUGUGUACAAAUAAGUUUGACGGUUGGAUCGUUGAAAAAAGUUUUGUAGAAUGCAUAUUGCGUCAAAACAGUACAUUAAACAAACACUUAGAGUUAAUAUUAUACUUCUAUUAAGUAUAAAAUAAGUUUUUGUGGUAUCCAUUAGUGUAAAUACUUUAAAUUAAAGAUCAAAUUUAUUCAUUACAUUCUUAUAGGGUCGAGGAGUGUAUCUGUAAAAAAUCAUCAAAAUCAGAGAUAAAAUAACCGUUAAAUUGUGAUUUUUCGUUUAUAACCGUCGAAAACUUUUGUUCCAUUACGUAAUCUCUGAAUGUUUUUUUUUUACGAUUUUUUACGUAUGCGAUCUUGGAACGUGUACAAAUAAUUUUGACGGUUGGAUCGUUGAAAAAAGUUUUUGGACCGCCAGCAAUAGAUAAUUUUGUAGUAGUGAAACCUUAAAUUUAUUUAACCGUUAAUUGUUAUUUACACUUUAUUCUUCUGACUGAAUUUCAUUUUUAAAAUUUUAUUUUUUGAAAACAUGAUCAUCUGGUGGAUGUAAGAAGAUGAUAUCACGUUUCGAUAUUUACGAUUAACUGAAAUAUGAGUCAAUGUCAUAUAAUUUGUAGAAACUUUAUAAACAUCAAGCAAUAUUUUCACUAACCGUAGAACUCUAAAUAUAAUAUCAACGAUUCAACGAUCCAAACCGUUCAUCUACCGGCACCCUCUAAUAGAUCAUGUUUUCAAAAAAGAAAAUCUAAAAAAACGAAAUUUGAUGAGAACAAUGAAGCAUAAAUGUAAACAACAAUCAACGGUUAAAUUUUGAUCUAUGAUUUAUAUGAUUAUAGUGGCGAAUUUCGAAGUUAAGCUCUUCAUGAAAGUUAUAAAGCUUGUCAUUACGAGUGUUUAUAUAUUUUUUUACACUUCUACAUUAAUUAAAAAACUAUUAAAGACUUUAGGUAAGCGAAAAUAUACUUAAAACAAAAUUGCGUUUUUAUGUUUUGGAUGUGAUAAUAUGGAAUGUAUAUACUUAUUUAGUAUUAUGUUUUUCAUUUGAUUAUUUAUUGGUUUAAAAUAUAUUUUCCUUAACGGGUAACGGGUCGGGUCAUAUUACCUGUUAAUAUUAUUGGGUUGAUUUCGGGUCAGGUCAUUUUACCCGUUUAUUUUAACGGGUGUUACAUGACACGACCCGUUAAGAUAUCGGGUAUGACACGAAAACGACACGAACACGGAAAACACGACACGAAUGCCAAGUCUACCUGCAACCCAGAAGAGAAAAUAAAAAAAAAGCUCAGAUCCCUUCUUGCCCGAGUCUCGACCCCCUUCCCUGCACCCACCCUCUCGAGGAAGAUGAAGAUGAUUUUUUUUUCUUUUCUGGGUUGCAAGUUGGGCUCCGGUGAGAAGGGGGAGAGGUUAGUGAAGCAGCAGGAGGAGGAGGAGGAGAAUGAGCACCAUGGGAGGGAGGAGGAGAUGGAGGAAGAGAAGGCGCUAGGGGGGGUUUAGGUUUGGAAAAGGGGGGACGAAUGGGUUUUGCCAGGGGAGUGGGGGUGGGGGGAUGAGGAUCUGGGUUUGGGUUUCUAAUUUUUUUAAAAAUAUUUUUUAAUAGAAAAUGGGUCCCGUCACUUGCCACAUCAGCAUUUUAACGGAGUAAUUGACAAACAACUGACAAAUGGUAUGAAAUUGUAACAAAUUCGUAGAUGAGGUAUGACAUUGAAAUUUUUUAAAGAAGAAGUAUGAAACUGUUAAUGACCUAAUAGUUGAGGUAGUUCUGUGUAAUUUACCCUAAAACAUUUGACCAGUACUUGUCAGGAUAUCCAAUUAAUUAGGUCAAUUUUUGUCAGCGGUAAUAAUUUGUUUUUGCAGUUUUAUAUGUGUCUCUGUCUCCAAAUAUGAUGAUCUCUUAAUUUGCUUCUAUAGUUUUUGUAAUAUGAUGAUCUCUUAAUUUGCUUUUGCAUAUCUUCUUUGCUUCCUCUGCUAGCUCUAUAUCCAAAUAAUUAUUCCUUAUUUCCUAUUUUUACAAGAAGCAAAUCAUUGAAUACACAUGGAAAAUUAAAAGGGUUUUAGUUUUUGGAUUAGUUUAAAAUUUUUGUUGUUAUUGGUUGUAUUGCUUUAAAAUAUUUGAUGGGUAGUUUGAAAUGGAGAACUUAGUUGAUUGAGUAUUAACUUUUAUUAAAUUAAGACUCUAAGGCUCUAAUCUAAUUUUCAUGCUCAACAUCUCCUCUAUCUUUCUACAAUUGGUAAAACUUUUGUAUUAUUAUUCCAAUUUUGGUUACUGGGUUUUGGAAUUUUCCAUUUUUUUUCUGGGUAAUCAAUAUUGUAUAUAUGCAUGACAAGUAUAAACAAUAUUUUAGGGCAAAUUUAGUUGUUUAAUUUUUGAAUUAGAAGUUUUUGGUUUAUCUAUAUUACGUGAAAUAAAAAAAAAUUAUAAAGCUUUCGUUUUCAUGUCUUAAAGCUUUAAGCUUUACUUGAAAAACGAACUUAAUUUUGGGCUCAAAUUAUUGAAUUUCUUUGUUCUAUGCGUUUGAAUUUCAUUAAAUUUUUGUUAACGUUUGGUUAAAAUCUUCAUUACUGUAAUAUGAUCGAAUUUGCGAUUUAAUUUUUAAUUUUUUUUUGUGACAAUGAGAUUAUGGUAGGAUUUCGUUUAGAUUCCUCGGCCCAAGGAGAGUCUCUGCUUUUGAUAAGAUUGGGGUUGAUGCUAUCUCUGUCACAGCCCGUCCCGGAGAUAUGUAUUAUUUUAUUCUCGAUAAUGUGAAAGGACGGUUUUAUCCUUAGACAUUGAAAUUGUAGUGUAUGUGUGUGACAUAUUUUGGUUCUUGGAUGUCAUGUUCUUGGUUGGUUGGUGACCACGUGGGACACACACACACACAAACCUCAUUCUCUCUCUUCUCUCCCGUGCUUUCUCUCUCAGACUCACUAUCUCUCCUCAUUCUUCGUACGGUCGAGCACCAAACUCACCCAUUCACGCACAGAUCGAGAUCGUGCUUGGUUGUAUUGUCUUCAUCUCCUCACCAUGAGCUCAUCCAUACCAGUUUCAGGUAUGAAAACCUUCGAAAACCUCGUGAACCAAGAAUCUCCAAUUUGAACAUUGUUCAUGCUAACGUAAAAACAUGUGUUUUUGGAAAUUCUAAGCUCACAUGGAGCUUUGGAAGGCCCUCUACAGGCUCGGAGAAGUUCGUUUGGUGGUUUUGGACGUCGGAAUCGAGAAGUCGAAGCUUGGCUGGUUUUUCUCGAAUUUUCCCAGCAAGAUCCCGUGGUUUUUGAGGCUUGAAAGAGGUAUAAACUUGUUCUAUUCUCCAUGCACUUCAUUUUGGUAUAAAGAUCGUGAAAAAUGGUGCAAAAAUGGCCGAGAUAUCAUAGUUUAAAAAUUUCUCAGUUUUCCGGCGCCAACGACGGUUGCCAGAGUUCAGAGGUAGGAGACGACGGAAUAUUCCGACGUAGUCAGUUAGUUUGGACGGAUUCCGUUAGGACUUAACGGAAUAUUCCCCAGUAUAUACUUGAUGGUGUUAACUGACGCCGUCAGUAUGCUUGUCACCUGGCCACGCGUGGGGGUGCGUAGGGCCGUGCCCUUGCUUGCGCGUGGUGGCGCGUGGGUGAUCGAAAUUUUUUUCUAAAAAUAUUGGGACGUGACGUUGUUUAGAUCACGUUGGUAUAUUCAAAUACCAAAUUUGAGCAGUGUAUGAGAAGUUAUUAGCUAGUUUUGUGUAUGUGCUUUAAAUAACGUUUUUAUAGUUAAUUCGCAUAUAGAUGAGACUUGUCCCGAUGACGAGCGUGUUCAAGGGCGACUCAGGGGCUACGACCCUUCGACAUACUAGUGAGUGAGAUUUUGGUUUUCAGUAUAUAUUUAUAUACUUGAUAUUUUCCCAUAAAUAUGUGUUUAAAUGAAAGUAUGCCUUAAAUGUCAUGCAUAUGAAUUUAUAUAUCGUAUAUGAAUUGGUAUAUGAUGCACUAUAUAUAAUUGUGGUGUUGUGGACACUCAGGUAAGCUCAGGUGAAUUAUGGUUGGUUAUGUGAAUUAUCGAUGAUGUGAUAUGUGAUUGAAUAACGUUGAGCUCAUAAAACUGCACCUAGGGUGAUUGUGAUUUAGCCAGAGAUAUGGCACAUGCCUGUUUAUAAUGUCACCUCCCGCACCAUAUGCUCAUUUUGGAUCCAAUUUACGUGCACAGUCUUAUCGUACAGAUCUUAUUUAUGGUUUCGACUUGUAGGUGACUAGCGAUUUAUCACCCAACUAUUAUGUGAGAGUAGUAUUGAGCAUAAAUAUAUUACACCCAGUAUUGUCGUAUAGACCUUUUCAUUUGGUUCCAACUCUUGUGCAGUAUAGUGCCGUAUAAGUCAUUGUAGUGAUUCCGGCUAGAUUGACUUUUGAGCUAUGAAUUCAGCCGUACAGACUACCACAGGGUUCCGGCAUAUAUGUUACAUUUCUAUGAAAUUAUUCUUACAUGAAUUGCUUACUAUGUUAUAUCUUGGCAUGGCAUACAUAUGAAUAUGAUUAUGUGAAGCAUGAUUUGAAUUGAUAUAUUUACAUAUAUAUUUAUGUAUAUGCUUAUAUCUUGAUUAUGGGAAAAAUUAUACAUGUUUUACAGCGAGGGGUUAGAUAUGUUGAUAAAUAAAAUGAUUUUGUAAAACAUUUGUUUUUGCCCACUCAUGUUUUCUAUUUUGCGCCUCUCCAUGUUUUAGGUAAGUUUUCAGUUGCUGGGUGCGAGGACUUCGGCGGUUCUAACCUAUCAAAAUAAUUGUAGAACAUCUUAUGGUACUGUAUAAUUAGUACUUGUCCUACUGGACUGCACCUAGACUUUCUAUGCUUUGAUUAGGAGUAUUUACUUUUGUAUUUUACUUCUAACACUUCCUGUUUAAUAAUGCACUCCAGUAGUUUCAGUUUUAAUUAUUCGUAUAUUUCUUAUCUUAAUUGCUUUCGCAUUGUGCACAUGGCUACGUCACCCCCACGUGACGACCAAUAUGCCUUGAUCUCGAUCGGGGUGUGUCAAUAUCAUGAAACAAAACCCAGGUCUAAAUAUUUGAUAAUUUAUAAUUUCAAGAAAGCCAAUAAGCCUACUGUGGACGCCGCAGCGGCCUAGCGCCGUUUUCCAAAAUCCUCUCUUACUUGGGUAAACAAUUAAGACUUUUGGUUCAGUUUUUAUUAUGCCCAAUUUUGUAUUUAAACCUUAAAAAAAUUUAAACUAAUUUGGGGUUACUGAAAUAGGCAUGCUUGAUGAGUGUUGCAGAGCUGCCAUCCCUGAAUCAGAAGAUGUUCAGAAGGAAGAAAAAGAAGAAGAAGAAAGUCGUGGAAUAUCAAAAGCUUUUAGCUUGUGAAUGUAUGCUUUUCCCAACUCACCUUUUGCUUUUGUUGCACUGAAUUGGUAGAUUGGCUUCAAAAACAUAUAUAUGUGAUUUUUCGUGUAACUAUUUUGUUUAUACCAUAUUUAGGGCCUCGUACUUAGACCUCGUAUAAAUACUCGGGGGACUCAAAUGUAAUUAUGCAAUAAGGAAAGGGGCAAAUAUGUAAUAAGUGAGGAAUAUAAUACAAUCAGUGUGUACGUAGCCCAAACCUUGGGAAGAAAAGGUGUCGGCGACACUCUCAAGAAGCCUCGCGAACGCAAGCUUUACUACCCUGCUCUCAAGCUCUCGGAAGCUAUGGAUAGAAGAGGAAUGAACAACACAGUCGGUGAUCAGGCAAUACAUCUUGUUCUUGUUGCUAAAGUCUGGCAUAUUCCUACUGCAGAAAGUUAUUUCAUUGAUCUUCUUGAAUCAGCGAAGACCCAUCUUUGUUACGGGGCCCUGCUCAACUGUGGCCGCCAAAGCAUCAUCUUCCCCACCAUUUCCCAUCUCUAGUACUACCACCUCAUCCAGACGAUUCCCCACUCAUCCACUGCUUUUGUCGGCAAAAGCAGAAAGGGAAACAAAGAACUUGAGUGCCAUCUGCACUCUGCAAAGUAAAAGUAAAAGUUAAAAAAAAAGGGAAGUAAUGAUGGUGCCAGUCAGAUGCACCGAAAGCACUUACAGCUAUGAAUGUCAAUACCAAGAAUGACUGCUGGGUCCGGUCAAUGAUGAAAGUACAAAUACAUCCUCCUAGCGCUAGUCAGGUACUACUUCCAGAUGGGAGACGAUUGGCCUAUCAAGAACAAGGAGUCCCAUCAAAUAACACUCGAUUUUUGUGGUGAUGGCAUUAUGAGCGUGACCCAUUGAGCAGAGGGUCAGAUUUAUUUUUUGAAUGAUGUAAAUUAUUUUUCUUAUCUUUCGGAGACAUCUGUAUACACCCCGUCAGAGGGUAAUAAAAUAAAAAUAAAAAAAGGCAAGCCCAAAAUAAUAGGCUACAAGCCCAAAGUAAUGGGCUGCAAUGUCAUGUGGAGGGCAAACGCCCAUAUGCCCAAAAAUGUCAAACCCUCUAUUAUCACCAACCAGGUGAUCAAAAGUACGCCCAGUACUUCAAAAUUAUUCGGCAACCCACCGCUAUUACCACCAACCCGGUGAUGAAAUGUACAACCCGUACUCUAAUAUCCUUUGGCACCUGGCCACUCAUACUACCAACCAGGUGAAGAAGGAACUUAUCUUCAUGAGCAUGAGCACUACUCAUGUCAAUCAUACAUAAACAUUCAUGAGUAUCACUUAUAUCAAUCAUACAUAAACAUUCAUAAGCAUCACUCAUGUCAACAUUCAUGAGCAUCACUCAUGACAACAUCCAUGAGCAUCACUCAUGUCAAUCAACAUAAACAUUCAUGAGCAUCACUCAUGUCAAUCAGCUUCAAAAGCUUCAUUUACAGAACUCUAGCUUCAAAGCUUCACUUGCAAAGCUUCACCUACAAAGCUUCAGUGCGGGGUAUACAAAUACCGUCUCCGAACAACCGCCACUUCGGCCCAUACAUGGAUUCAAUUUGAAGUCUUCAGCCAACAGACUCUAUUGACCGAAGACUUGGGGGACUACACUAUACACCAUAUAUGGGGCCUCAACUGGGCCUCAUGAAAAAUAUACACCAUAUAUUGGGCCUCAACUGGGCCUCAUGAAAAAUACUCGAGGGACUUAGCCCAUUACUUAUGUAUGAAUGGGCGAGCCCUUAUUCUAUAAAAGGGACUCAUUCACCAUCAUUAGAGAGUAUUGCCGCCAGCUGAGCAACCGCCUCGCCGCGAGCAUCAACUCUAGCACAUUAUUCAUGUAUUGAGGAGCGAGCCCUUAUUCUAUAAAAAGGACUCUCUCACAUUCGUUAGAGAACAUCGCCGUCAGCUGAGCAACCACCUCGCCACGAGUAUCACUCAUAACCCAUUAUUCAUGUACUGAGGAGCGAUCCUUUAUUUUAUAAAAGGGACUCCCUCACCAUCAUUAGAGAGCAUCAACUCUAGCCCAUCAUCUAUGUAUUGAGGAGUGAGCCCUUAUUCUAUAAAAGGGACUCCAUCACCUUCAAACGCCACAAGCCGAGCCAACCAAGGCAACAUAAGCCACAAGCCGAGCAGUCUCGUAGCAUGUGCUACUUCUGGUUGAGCAUCAUUUCAGAUUGAGCACCGCCUUACAUCGAACAUCAGUUCAAGACAACAUCUAAUUACUUCGGCCCACACAUGGACUGAAUUUCAAGUCUCCAGCCAAAAGACUCUCUUGACUGAAGACUUGGGGGACUACUGUUUAUACCAUAUUUAGGGCCUCGUACUUAGACCUCGUAUAAAUACUCGGGGGACUCAAAUGUAAUUAUGCAAUAAGGGAAGGGGCAAAUAUGUAAUAAGUGAAGAGUCAUUAUUCUAUAAAAGGACUCCUCAUCCUCACAAUUAGGGGGAGGCUCAUUCUCACCCUCAGAUGCCAUUUCUGAAGCCUCUCUCACCCUCUCUUAGAGCUCUCUCUCUCUCCCUCACUUCUCAGAGAAAUAUAAUACAAUCAGUGUGGACGUAGCCCAAACCUUGGGGUGAACCACGAUAACCCUUGUGUCAUUUACAUUUUAUGCAGAUUCACGGUCGGAUUUACGUUGUUCCAAGACAUCCAGUUUUGUGCAUCAACAUAUUUCUUUACAUAAUUACCAAUUGAAGCUGAUUUGAGAUCGUGUAACAUUUCCUUGCCCAACCAAAGAUCGCUGUCGCUCAGAGCUGCAUUUCAUGAAACAAGUUUAUCUCCUGCCAAUUUUGUGUACCCACUUUUUAUUCAUGAGGGUUGGUGCUUGCUUGCAAGGCAAGUUGGUGCUAUUAAGUUUUGCGGUUUUACAAUCUGUUCAUGCUUAAACCUCUUUCAAUUUUUCAAUUCUAUGUAAACCUUGCAGGUCAGGACGGCACCCCUAUCUAGGCAAUGUCAGGAUGUCUAGGCUUGGGUGGAGACGUGGACUUAUGGAAGAGGUGAAGUAGCUUAGCUCUAUCUCAUUAGCUCUUAUCUGUUCUAUUAAUGCUAAGAUCAAUGGUAAAAAGUUAUAUUGAUUUUAUAAUCAAAGAUACAUAUAUUAUAAAAACAGAGGGUAUAUCAUUAAUUUCUUGAUGUAAACAACUUCCUAAGUUGGCUCCAUCAUCUUUCUCCUCACUUUCGAUCGGGUACCGCCUCUACUUACCGCGUUUUGUCGUGGAUCUUUGGGAGGGUGUGUAGAGCUUUAGCUCGGGUGUCUGCACCACCACCUUUGUUGGCCCUUGCUGGUCACUCCCGUUGUUGCUCGCCCUUGUUAGCGAUGUUGCCUGUGGGUUCUUUCUACUUGCAUGCUUGUUUGUUCUCUUGGGGGCUAUUCCAGUGCUGGUUUUGGGAUGAUGAUGUGACCUCUGUCCUCACCACUUCUGGGUUUCUUGAUGGUUUAAUCUUAAGUAAUCGUGGCGGGUGGCCGAUUGGGAUGUGGUUCUGUCGGCGAUGGGUUCUGUGUGGUUUGGUUGUUUGUCUUGGGCUCCAAGGUUGGUCUUGGGCCUUUGUUUUCUGUGUGUUGUGGCCCUUUUUCUUUUGUUGUGUUCAUAUGGUUUUGGGCCUUUGUUGUACUUCUCUAGUUGGUAAUGAAUUUUAUCCUUUGUCCCAAAAAAAAAAAAAACAAUGAUAAUUUGAAGAACCAUUUAAAGUAUUUUGGUAAUUAGCAUACUUAAGCUUAAAUGUGAUAUAUCUGUUUAGUAUUUUUUUGGAUAAAUUACACUUUCAUACCUCAGGUUUGGGGUCUAUUUCAAUUCAUUACAAUAUCUUUAAAACAUUUCACUUUCAUACCUUAAGUACUAUUUUAUUUCAAAAUAAUACAUCCGUUACAUUUUCCAUCCAUUAAUCUGUUAAAUGCUGACGUGGCUGCCACAUAUAUGCCACGUGGCUGCCAAAUGUCUGCCACGUGGCAAAUAAAAUAAUUUUUUAAUUUUUUUUUAAAAACCUGAAUUUUCUCAACAAAAAAAAAUUGAAACACACAUCUGCAAGAAGAAGAAGAAGAGGGAGGAAGAAAGAAAAAGAAAAAAAAAACUGUCCCUCAUCCCCCAGCGACCCAGAAGAAGAAGAAGAAAAAGAAGGAGGAAGAAAAAAAAGAAAAAGAAACCCACAUCUGCAAGAAGAAGAAGAAGAAGAAGAAGAAGAGGGAGGAAGAAAGAAAAAGAAAAAAAAUGUCCCUCCUCCCCCCAACGACCCAGAAGAGGAAGGAAAAAAAAAAAUAGAAACGCACAUCUGCAAGAAGAAGAAGAGGGAGGAAGAAAGAAAAAGAAAAAGAAAUGUCCCUCCUCCCCCUAGCGACCCAGAAAAGGAAGAAAAAAAAAUAGAAACCCACAUCUGCAAGAAGAAGAAGAAGAAGAAGAAGAAGAAGAAGAAGAGGGAGGAAGGGAGCUGGGUCGGGGUGGGGGGAGGGUCGCUGGGCUGGGGGGGACGGAGGGAGGGUCGCUGGGCAGGGGGGCCGGAAGGAGGAUCACUGGGCUGGAGGGAGGACGGGAGGAGGGUCACCGGGCGGGGGGAGGGUCGCCGGGGGGGGGUUCUUCUUUUUUCUUCUUCUGGUCACUGGGGGGAAGGACAAAUUUUUUUUUUCUUUUCCUCCUUCUGGUCGCUGGUUGCAGAUGUGGGUUUCAUUUAUUUAUUUAUUAUUUUUUUUGUUGAGAAAAUUCAGGUUUAAAAAAAAAGAAAAUUAAAUUUUUUUUGCCACGUGGCAGACAUUUGGCAGCCAUGUGGCACAAAUGUGGCAGCCACGUCAGCAUUUAACAGAUUAAUGGAUGGAAAAUCUAACAGAUGUAUUAUAUUGAAAUAAAAUAGUACUUAAGGUAUGAAAGUGAAAUGUUUUAAAGUUGUUGUAUGGGAUUGUAAUAAACCUUAAAAUCUGAGGGGCUACUGUGUAAUUUACCCUAUUUUUUUAUACAGUGAUAAUACUCAAGUAUAAUUUACAUCAUAUAUCUUUUGAAGUACAUAAAACUAUGAAGAAAAAUCCCUAAUUAAUCUGAUUAUGGGGAUUUUGUUUUAUAUCAAAAUAUUGCAGCAGAAGUCACACUUUGAAGAGUUCACGCUGCACAUAAAGAUGAUGAAAUGCUACAUGAGGUAUACUUUUGUUCUGCAAUAUGACCCUUUUUAUUUUAUUUUUAAGACAGAUAAGGUUGAAAAGAAAUUAUUUAGUAUUUUUGUAUCAGUUUUGAGUGCCUAUUUUGGCUUCCAUAUUUGGUCUGUACAUGUGAGGUAUAGAGUGUUCAAUAUGUAUUUGGUUUCUAUAUUGUUAAUGGAUCUAUAGCAAGUCCGCUUCCCUCAGUGUCCCUGGUAACAAAAUUUAUGGCGUGUCUUCGUUCUUUCAAUUAUUUGAAAGCUUCCCUGCUCUGCACUCUUGUACAAAGACUUAUGGUGUUUCAUCAGUUCCAUUUGGUGGUUGGGUGGGAAAUGAAAUUAAAACUCUGCAUUUCAAAUGGUCUAAACCAAAUUGUAUCAAAUGUGAAGCAAAGGGCAAGAGGUGUAGAUUGAAGAACAAUGGCACUAAGAGCGAAAUUGAACUUGUUGACAGGAGGAAACCAAGUAAGGAUAACGCGUCUAAAUCUUAUUUCGCAUUUAUUAUGCUCAUGAUGUUUUUAAUGAUGAUGAUCGGUAUAAUGUGCUACAUGCUGUGAUUUGUCUGCUUUCAUGUAAUUAGCGGCUUAUAUUUAUGGUAACGAUAUUGAUUAAUUUCGAGAAAUGACAUUCUAAUUUUCGCAACUGUCUUUUGCAGGCAAAACAAAGACGUUUGCAAGGGUGAGUUGUGUAUGACUGUUGUUUAGCUUUGUUUCAUCUCCAAAGGACAUUGGAGAAUAAAUGUUUACUCAUGGAUAGUAUCUAUCUAUUUGCAGGAGCAACCCUACGUUCAUUUGUUCUGUUACUGCUGGUCAUUGCAACAUAUCACGCCUAUAACGCUGAAAAAGAGAAUCGAAUGAAAAUUGAUAAGUUUUCGGCGGACUACAAAGAUCAUAAGCCAAGCAUAUAUUCCUAUGCAGAUAUUAAGAGGAUUACAAAUCAAUUCAAGUACAAUUGGGCCAAGGAGCAUACGAAGCUGUUUUUUUUUUUUUUUUUCUGAAUGCUUUGUUGCCAUGAAAGUACUUAACAUUUCCAAGGGCAACGGGGAAGAGCUUGUGAAUGAAGUGGGAACAAUGGGUCAUAUUCACAAUGUCAAUGUGGUUCGCUUGGUUGGUUUUUGUGCUGAUGGAUUUAGAUGAGCUCUGGUUUAUGAGUUCUUUCUCAAUGGUUGGCAUAAGUUGCAAGAUAUUGCUAUUAGCAUAGCCAAAGGAAUCAAGGAUGUGAUCUACAAAUCCUCCAUUUCGAUAUCAAACCACAUAAUGUUUUGCUCGACCAAAAAUUCCUGCCAAAAAUCUCUGAUUUUGUUCUGGCCAAGUUAUGUUCCAAGGAUCAAUCAAUGUCAAUGACUUAAGCGAGAGGGACCAUGAGAUACAUUGCACCUGAAGUGUUUUCCAGGAAUUUCAGAAAUUUGUCUUACAAGGCAGAUGUCUUGAAUGUUGCUGCUUGAGAUGGUAGGAGGAAAGAAGAAUGUUGGUUCAACCACAGACGACACGACAAAUGAAAUCUACUAUCCAAAAUGGAUUUAUAAUCUUCUAGAGGAAGGAAAUGAACAACGGAUCCAUAUUGAAGAAGAAUGUUAUGGUAAGAUUCCAAAGCAACUUGUAAUUUUAGGGCUCUGGUACAUCGAGUGACACUCGGUGGAUCAUCCUACCAUGAAAACGGUGGUGCGGAUGUAGGAGGAGGAGAAAACUUAAUGAUGCAAGCAACCCUAAAAGCCUCCUACAGUUAGAAGCAAUUGUUGAAUUAAAGUAACAUGUAUAUAUAUACGCACCAACACAAGUCAAUUCUGAGAUGAAUCCAAGCCAAACAAUUACAAACGGCAGUUAUUCACCAAAUCACUUUAAAGCAAAAAUUUAAUUAAUAAUACAUUACUGCACUUCCUUAACAAUUUGACUAUCACCUAGCUGACAAUGAACACGUUAGUUCCGCGUUAGAACAUAUUGGGUUCAAUUCAUUGUCUUGAAUAUCACCCGCAGUCACAGGCGCUUCUUGUGGGCAUAGAGAAGGCUUGAGAGGCAUCUGCAGACAUUCAACAUCUCCUCCAAGCAUUUCGACAACUUUGGACAUCGAAGGACGAUCACUUGGUUUCAUUUGAAUACACCAUAAGGCUGUUAUAACCAUCUUUCUUAUUACUUUCUUUUCCUCCUCAGUAAUAUUGUUCAUUUCCAAGUCAUUUCCCACAAUAUACUGAUCGUAUACCCACAACGGGAAGUAGAUUUGGCUUGAAUGCUCUACCAUUGCAUUCAAAUUCUUCCUUCUGCUUGCCAUUUCCAUCAACAACAUUCCAAAACUAUAGACAUCGGCCUUGUAUGAGACACCUCCAAUAUUUUUGUAGAACAACUCGGGAGCAAUAUAUCCCAUUGUACCCCGUGCUGCCGUCAAAGAGACAAUGCUAUUAUCUACAGGAUACAGUUUUGCAAGCCCAAAGUCAGAAAUCUUUGCUUUAAAGUUCUCAUCAAGAAGGAUGUUAUGAGGUUUGAUGUCGAAAUGUAGAAUUUGCAUUUCGCAACCUUGAUGUAGAUAUUCGAUCCCUUGAGCCACUCCAAGAGAAAUCUCGUACAUAGUCUUGAUAGUUAAAGGAAGACUUCCUUCUUUAGAAUAAAUGUAUUUAUCAAGAGAACCAUUAGGCAUGAAGUCAUAUACUAGAGCACGCUUUGAUCCCUCAACACAAUAUCCAACAAGUUGCACCACAUUGGCAUGGUGAAUCCUUCCGAUUGUAGCUAUUUCGCUAAUGAAAUCUUGGUCAUCAGCUUUGGGCUUGCCCAAAACUUUAACUGCUACAAAUCGGCCACUACGUAGCUUUCCUUUAAAUACAGAGCCAAAGCCACCUUUGCCCAACCUGUCCUUAAACUUGCGAGUCAUUUUCUUGAUGUCCGAGUAAGAGUACCUUAUAAGCAUGAAGUUGUUAUUGCAUUGCAGAAAAUCUUCUAUUGUGCCAUGCAUUGAUAAAUGUCUUCUGCGCCAUGUGUAGAUUAAAAAUGCAGUCACAACUAGAACUCCAAAAACAAAUCUGGCUAGGAAAAAUAACCCUGCAUGCAUUGACAAUAAUAUGUUAGAUCCACUGCGUAUUACUUUUUCUUCCCUUUCUUUCCAAAUUACUUUGUCCUUGAUAUAAUUAAAGAGAGAGAAUGGGAAAUCUACAUAUGCGGAUAAUACAAUCUCGUAUUAGUUCUUACCGAUGCAUAUGAGUAUAAACCAUCCACGUACUGCAACAAAAUUAAUUGACAAUGAGUUUGAAAAGUGCAUAAAGUGAAAAAUAAAAAAAUAAAAAAAAUCAAAGGGUGCCUUUAUUGACACCCAAAUUUUAGUUAGUUUCACUCAACUAAAAAAUUUUUGUCAUCAAACUUUUUAAUUUGCCGUCGAAAUUGAGUUCACCCAACCCACCAAGCAGCAAGCACCACUCACCAAAAAACACGAACAACACACACCCACAACUCACCAAUAGAAAGAGAAUGAACACACAGACCCACAAAGAGCUGGCAUCGACGCUGUUGAUGAGGGAGGGACCAGAGGAUGGUGUAGUUUCGUCGGGUGCGCGGUAGUGGUUUUGUCUGUUCAUUUUCUCUUUCUUUUGGUAUGUGGAGGCUGGUGUGGAUUUGGGCGAACUUGAAAAUGAGGGGAAACUAUGAAGUUUGACAAAAUGUUUUAGUUAGGUGAACUUAACUAAAAUUUGGGUGCUAAUGAAGGUACCCAAAAUCAAAAGACUUGAGCGUAUGGACUAAUUAAAUGAAGCUCUUACUGAUUUCUAUUUCUUCCAACUUGCCAGCUGCAAUAGAUACAUACCACGGAAAAGUGAGCAAAGACAUACAGUUACUAUGUUUAAGAAGUACAGAUAGAUCACACAAAAAUAAAAGAAUCUUUUGGAGAGAAACUUCUUACACAAUGAGAUGCGUCCAUGACCUACAGUGAAAAAUGUGACGAAGAAUACACAACAUUAGCAAUAGCUCAUCUAAUCUUCAGAAUUUAAAAAAUCAAGUUUGUCGAUCGAAAACUUGUAAAUAAAACAAAAGGAGAACCCCUUACGGAUUUGGUCCCAUUUAUAUUCGAUUAGGUCCCAAAGAUAUUCGAUUAGGUUCCAUAUAUAUUGAAAGAAACCUACAAGAACAAAGAAAGAACAAGACCACAUGCAUUAGCAUAACCAGUGUGAGGUGUAUAAGUCGUUAGAAAAUAAAUUUAAAAUUCUAGUUUUGUCAAUACAUUGAUUAAUAUAUAUAUGUAUUAUUUUUUCUAAAAAUUUAAUCGUCCCCCUCCAAACUCAUUUUUCUAGCCUCUAGCCCAUCAUAUAUAUAUUUAUCUGAAUAAAAUUCAAUGAUUAGGAUCCAACUGAGAAACUUACCAAAUUAAGUUUGUGUGUCCAUUUUUAUUUGUUUUAAUGGAUCAUGUGCAUUGAAUUUGGCAAGGUUUUGUAGCCAUGAAAUAUGGUUCUAGAUGGAGGAAUUAAUUUGGAUUUUUUUUUUAAUUUCGACAACAAAUUUCAAUUUGAAACAAUAUCUAUUGUUUAAUUUUAUGAAAAUAAUUUACCUACUAUGAAAAUUAAUUUUAUGAAAACAAUAUCUAUUGUUUAAUUUUAUACCUACAUGAUAAUUACAUGAAAAUAGUUAACCUAAUAUGAAAAUUAAUUUUUUGAAAACAAUAUAUAUUGUUUAAUUUUAUGAAGAUAAUUUACCUACUGUAUAAUUACGUGAAAAAAUUUACCUACUAAGAAAAUUAAUUUUUUGAAAACAAUAUAUAUUGUUUAAUUUUAUGAAGAUAAUUUACCUACUGUAUAAUUAUAUGAAAACUAAUGUGCCUACUUUUUUAAUUUGUAACAAAACCAAUUUACCUACUUUUUAUGGUAUUUAGUAUACAUAAAUGUAGAAUAUAUGUUCAUAUAUGGGGUUUAGGUGCCUUCCUAUAUAUGACCCUUGAUUUUACUUUAUUUACAGCACUGCAAUCAAAUGUGUGGCUGAGUUGGAGGGUAUUAUUAAAAGUUAGGAGGAUAAUUUUGUCCAAGGGCUGGGGGCGAAUUAGCAUACAGAGGGCGAUGGGAGCCAUGCCCAUUGCACAGAGAGAGAGAGGGACAGAAAAGGAGGGGAUGGGGGAUUUGAUGGAUGGUCACAGAGAGAGAUUGGGUGUGGGAUGUGAGGGGAGAUUACAGAGAGAUAAAUAAAAGGGAGGGAUCGGGGGAUUUGAGGGAUGGUCAGAGAGAAAUAGUGAGGGAGAGGAUGGGGGGCUGAUUUUCGGUUCCUCCUUCCAGAUUUGUUCCGUAAAACCUGUUGGGUACAAUUCAAUUUCCUCCCCCUUUCCCCUGAACGAAAAAUUCGAAACCUACAACUCAAAACUCACUCAUUUGACCCCCCUCCUUGGCUUUCCACCUUACUCAUCUCCUGGUGGUUCUUUCUCUCCAUACGAUUCGAUUUCGUUGAGUUCUUCGUUGCCCUCAUGAUUUCCCAAUUUGAUUUUUUGGGCGUCCUUAGUCGUCGUUUUUAUCUGGGUUUACUGCAUUGUUGCUUUUAGUUUCUGGAUUUUUAUUUUUUUUGGCGGUUUGAUGAAUCGUGGUUAAUAAUUUCACACCAUGGGAUUUUCGCACUUCUGAUGGAAUUGAGCGAGGGGAUUCGAGGUGGGGUUUUACUGAUAAUUUGUCUUCAUUCAAAUGAAUGGUUAAAAUUUAUGAGUAUUAACAAAUUUUGUAAAUUAUUCUUAUGCAUUUUAUUGAGGGAUAUGGGGAUCUAAUCGAUUUCUCUCUGUAGUGGGAUUGAAAUUGGGACUUUGUGGUACUCUCUCUCGCUCUUCCUCUCUCAUAUGUGUAUGAAGUGAGUUCUGAAUUGAGUUCUUUCAAGGGAACCCAUCAACGGUUUGCUUGCUGGGGGAAUUCGGAGACUACCAGUGUAUGAUUUAGUUAUCAUUUAUUUUUUUACUUAAAUUUAUCCAUAAAUAAUAUGUGGGUAAAUUUAUACUAAACAAUUGUGAUAAGCCAGCCAAUAUGCCAUACGACUUUGAAAGCAUUGAUUUUAUGUAUAGUUUGCAUUUUUGCAUUGUGAAUGUUGAAUUUUGUGUUUAAUUUGGAUUUUUGUGUUUGAAUUUGUAGCAUGAUCUUCCACUGCAGCAUCCAAAUUUUGCAUUUGUAAAUUGUCAAAGAAAAACGAAGUAUGAGGAAAUUAUAGGAGAUUGUGUCGGCUUUGGCCAUGAAGGGUAUCAGCAGUUUACCGCCCCCCCCCCAACACAGGUGAUUAAUCGUUUUUUAGUCUGUGUUCUAUAUGGAUGAGAAAGUGAUUGAAAAAUAUGAUUUUUUUUAUUUGUUGGUUGAUUUUGUAAGGACGAUGUAUUAAUUUUUUUUUUUGGGAGCAGCUUCUCCAUAAAUGGGGGUAAGGCUAGCCGACAUUCACCUCUCCCAGACCCUGCGUAAAGCGUGAGCCUUGUGCACUGGGUACGACCUUGUGUAUUGGGUAUUGUGUAGAACCAGCAAUGCAAGAGCAGGAUCUGAUCAGUCACGCCCGAAAAGGGGUUUGUUUCUCAAAUCACAUUCAUUAGUUAGAUUAUUAAUGUGCGUUGGAAGGCUCUUCAAUAUGAUUUUGUAAUUUCUCAUUUCCGGCAUUCUCUUUUUGGUUUUUGGAGUAUGUAUGUGAUUUGUACUUGAUUAUAGAAUAAAAAUUAAUAAAACACGAGAUGCAGCAAUUAAUUUGCAUCCUUAUGACAACACAUAUAUGAAAGUGCAUUCAAAUUCAAUAUGCGAAUGUGUGACAGGAUUUGCCUGCCUGCUGCUGCUGGUAUGCUUGCUGUUGUUUCUCGCGUUGUUAAUUUUUUGUGUGUGUUGAUUUGAUUAACAAUUCAAGCGUAUCUCUUUUCUUUUUUUUUUUUUUUUUUUUUUUGUGUUGGUUAGCAGCCAGUUUUAUUUAUUGGAUUUUUUAUUUGGAUUUAUGGCACUGAGGGUAUAGGUGAACAGUGAAGCGGUUUGUAUGGGCUCAUGUAACUUAAACAUGUAGUGAGAAGCGAGGAUUUUGUUUUAGUGUUUAUGAUAAUCUGAAGGAAUAUGUAGAUACUAUGAUUUGAGGUUGCUUUCUUAAACCAUGAUAAAGCAGUCCAAGUAAUUUUAACAACAACAACAACAACAACAACAACAACAAAGCCUUUUCCCACUAAGUGGGGUCGGCUAUAUGAAUCCUAGAACGCCAUUGCGCUCGGUUUUGUGCCAUGUCCUCCGUUAGAUCCAAGUACUCUAAGUCUUUUCUUAGAGUCUCUUCCAAAGUUUUCCUAGGUCUUCCUCUACCCCUUCGGCCCUGAACCUCUGUCCAGUAGUGACAUCUUCAAACCGGAGCGUCAGUAGGCCUUCUUUGCACAUGUCCAAAUCACCGGAACCGAUUUUCUCUCAUCUCUCCUUCAAUUUUGGCUACUCCUACUUUACCUCGGAUAUCCUCAUUCCCAAUCUUAUCCUUUCUCGUGUGCCCACACAUCCCACGAAGCAUCCUCAUCUCCGCCACACCCAUUUUUUGUACGUGUUGAUGGUUCACCGCCCAACAUUCUGUGCCAUACAACAUCGCUGGCCUUAUUGCCGUCCUAUAAAAUUUUCCCUUGAACUUCAGUGACCUAUGACGGUCACACAACACGCCGGAUGCACUCUUACACUUCAUCCAUCCAGCUUGUAUUCUAUGGUUGAGAUCUCCAUCUAAUUCUCCGUUCUCUUGCACGAUAGAUCUUAGGUAGCGAAAACGGUCGCUUUUUGUGAUCUUCGCUAGAUUGCUCUGGUCAUUAGUAUGGAUAAGUAUAUAAAUGGAUAGAGAUAGGAAAGCGAACACAAGAUGUACGUGGUUCACCCAGAUUGGCUACGUCCACGGAAUAGAGGAGUUCUCAUUAAUUGUGAAGGGUUUACACAAGUACAUAGGUUCAAGCUCUCCUUUAGUGAGUACAAGUGAAUGAUUUAGUACAAAAGACAUUAGGAAAUAUUGUGGGAGAAUGAUCUCGUAAUCACAAAACUUCUAAGUAUCGGAGUGUGGUAUCGUCUUGACGUGCCUUAUCUGUCUCAUAGGUAGAUGGGGCAUCUUCUCUAGAAGUACUCUUCCUCCAUCCAGGGGUGGUAUCUUUAACUGGUGGAGAUGCACAAGGUAAUGUAUCAAUUUCACUUGAAGCUUACUUGUAGUUUCAGGCUUGGUCAAGCGCGAUACAAACCAUGUAGUAGGAGUCCCCCAAGUCGCUGAGCUAGGGGAUCUGCUGAAAGAGGUGACAGGCAAGGUAAGCAAUCAUAGCUCCGGCUGAUUGUUCACAGUCUCCCUAUCUUGCAGGCAGCAUGAAGGAUAAAGAGAAGAAAAUGAGAAGAGAUGAUAUGGGAUACUUUUGCUUUUGAAGAAGUAACUUUCCACAGGCUUAUUCUUGAACUGAGCUGGAGGGUUUUCUGGUUUCCUCCAGAGUAUAAGGCCGACUGAAGAAUUUGAGGAUCAAAACAAGUCCAUCAAAUCUAGAGUACGUUCAACCCUGCUGAUAUGGGAUACUUUUGCUUUGACAGAGUAAUGGAUGUAUCGGCACGUGUGCUGUUACGCUUGUCUCCACAUGCUUCCUUGUAUCCUUUUCCCUUGCCCUAUCUGUUCCUCAGGUAGAUGCAGUAUCUUCCCUGGAAGCAUAAGAUGUUGAAGAUGACUACUCGAGAGCAAUAUCAGGUAAGUAAUCAGGUAAGGGGUUCCAGGCAGUCAGUUCCUGGCUGGAAGCUUGAUUCCAAGUACUGACUGAUUGCUCUCUUUCUCCUUGCCUUGCAGGUAAGAAUAAGGUCAAAGGAAAAGACAGGGAAGAAGCAUGAUAUGGGAUACUCUUGCUUUUAACCCUGAUGAUAUGAGAUAUUCUUGCUCUAGUAUAGCUUGUUUGCAGAGGGAUUAUCGGGGGGAAAGAAAGCUGAAUAUUUCGAAAGGCUUCGUUGGGAGUGCCCUCUUAGAUAUGAGGAAGGGUUGAGCAUUUUUGCAGGUCUGCCUGUCCGUUGAGGAUGGAGGUCGACAUAUAUAGGAGUCUCCUUAACAACAAGUAGUCAUGCUAUUCCUUUACCCUACUUGGUCAUAGCACGGUAGUGGGAGCUGUCAGCUUCACAUGUUUUAACGCUGUCAAAGCACUUUGAAAAAGUGGUUUGUGGUAUCUGGAAAGCUGAUGUUGCGUGUGAAGAUUACAAACAGCUUUAUCCAAGGGGAUCCGGCUCUUGUAGUUGGGAAAGUGUUGCCUCUUCGGUUUUCGAACAAGCAAUCCUAUCGGGUAUCUGGCUCUCGAGAUUCGGAGAACGAUGCCGCUUCGAUUUUUGAGAAAGCAAUCAUGCUGGGGGUCUGGCUCUUGAGAUUCGGAGAGCGAUGUCUCUUCGAUUUUUGAGAAAGUAAUCAAGUUGGGAGUCUGGCUCUCGAGAUUCGGAGGGCGGUGCCUCUUCGAUUUUGGAGCAAGCAAUUUUGUUGGGAGUGUUUUCUCGAAUGUGAGUAAAGGUUGGGCAUGUUUGCUAGUCUACCUUGCCACGAAGCACAGAGGUUGACACACAUGGACUUUCCAAUUAUCCAGCAAUGGUACUGUUCCUUUACCCUCUUCGAUUUUUGAGAAAGUAGUCAUGUUGGGAGUCUGGCUCUCGAGAUUCGGAGGACAGUGCCUCUUCGAUUUUGGAGCAAGCAAUCUUGUUGGGAGUGUUUUCUCGAAUGUGAUUAAAGGUUGGGCAUGUUUGCUAGUCUACCUUGCCACGAAGCACAGAGGUUGACACACAGGGACUUUCCAAUUAUCCAGCAGUGGUACUGUUCCUUUACCCUUGUGGGUAAUAAUAUGGUAGCUAGACCUUCAAAAUUUAUGUGUCUAAACUUUGUUAGUGUUGUUUCUUUGCUAUUCUUUUACUCUUCUUGGUCAAAGCGAUGUAGUGGGAGCUGCAAGCUUCACGUGUUCAACUUUGGCAGAGAACUUUGGCAAAGUUAUCUGUGGUACCCAUGAGCUACUGUUGCGUGUGGGAAGUGGGUGAUUGAACAGUAAGACUCAUGUGCUUUCUACUUCACCAGAAGUCUUCGACCGAAUGCCCAUAAUUUCCGCAAAGCUGAGUGUGCGUGUGACAGGUGCUGACAAGGCUGGAAAAGUAGGUGCCUCUUCGAUUUCUGAGAUCGGCCCUCGUGGUCUCUGAGCAGCCCAGUUUUUUGAGAAAGCAAGCGCCUCUUCGAUUUCUGAGAUCGGCUUUCGUGGUCUUUGCGCAGCCCAGCUUUUGAGAAAGCAAACGCCUCUUCGAUUUCUGAGAUCGACCCUCGUGGUAUCUGAGCAGCCUUGCUUUUGAGAAAGCAAACGCCUCUUCGAUUUCUGAGCAGGCGCCUCUUCGAUUUCUGAAGCUCCGUCGAGUGCAGAUUUUUAUAGGGGCUGGCAUUAAGUUCCAAAGCACACUUGAAUCUCCACCAGUAGAAGCUCCAUUCUUGAACUUCUAAGAUCUUGAUUUGUCCGACCUCUUUUCUCUUCAACACCUUUGAAAAUGUCUGGCCCCUCCGACCGUCGUUUUGACUUGAACCUUGUUGAAGAGGCAGCCCCGCCUUCUCCUGACAACAUAUGGCGUCCAUCAUUCGUCUCCCCUACUGGUCCUCUUACCGUUGGGGAUUCCGUGAUGAAGAAUGAUAUGACCGCUGCGGUGGUGGCCAGGAACCUUCUCACUCCCAAAGAUAACAGACUACUUUCCAAACGGUAUGAUGAGUUAGCUGUUAAGGAUUCUCUGGCUCUCAGUGUUCAGUGUGCAGGUUCUGUGUCUAAUAUGGCCCAACGCCUAUUUGCUCGAACCCGCCAAGUUGAAUCAUUGGCGGCUGAAGUGAUGAGUCUCAAACAGGAGAUUAGAGGGCUCAAGCAUGAGAAUAAACAGUUGCACCGGCUCGCACAUGACUAUGCUACAAACAUGAAGAGGAAACUUGACCAGAUGAAGGAAUCUGAUGGUCAGGUUUUACUUGAUCAUCAAAGAUUUGUGGGUUUAUUCCAAAGGCAUUUAUUGCCUUCGUCUUCUGGGGCUGUACCGCGUAAUGAAGCUCCAAAUGAUCAACCUCUGAUGCCUCCUCCUUCUAGGGUUCUGUCCAGUACUGAGGCUUCGAAUGAUCCCCCUCCGGUGCCUUCUCUUUCUGGGGCUCUACCGACUGCUGAGACUUCUCCUAAGCAACCUUUGUGAAGGCUCCGUCUUGUUUGUUUAUUUUGAGUUAUGUAUAUGUACAUAUAUGUAGCUUAUCGGGGAUAUCAAUAAAUAAGCUUUCCUUCAUUUCAACGUAUUGUGUUAAAUACACCAAAGCCUUCUUCGCUAAGUUCUUUGAAUUUUCUUUUGUUGAAGCUUUGUGAGUGGAGCAUGUAGGUUGAGGUAGUGUUCCCUUAAUUUCCUGAGUGAGGAAAACUUCUCGGUUGGAGACUUGGAAAAUCCAAGUCACUGAGUGGGAUCGGCUAUAUGAAUCUUAGAACGCCAUUGUGCUCGGUCCUGUGUCAUGUCCUUCGUUAGAUCCAAGUACUCUAAGUCUUUUCUUAGAGUCUCUUCCAAAGUUUUCCUAGGUCUUCCUCUACCCCUUCGGCCCUGAACCUCUGUCCCAUAGUCGCAUCUUCUAAUCGGAGCGUCAGUAGGCCUUCUUUGCACAUUCCAAACCACCGUAACCGAUUUUCUCUCAUCUUUCCUUCAAUUUCGGCUACUCCUACUUUACCCCGGAUAUCCUCAUUCCUAAUCUUAUCCUUUCUCGUGUGCCCACACAUCCAACGAAGCAUCCUCAUCUCCGCUACACCCAUUUUGUGUACGUGUUGAUGCUUCACCGCCCAACAUUAUGUGCCAUACAGCAUCGCCGACCUUAUUGCCGUCCUAUAAAAUUUUCCCUUGAGCUUCAGUGGCAUACGGCGGUCACACAACACGCCGGAUGCACUCUUCCACUUCAUCCAUCCAGCUUGUAUUCUAUGGUUGAGAUCUCCAUCUAAUUCUCCGUUCUUUUGCAAGAUAGAUCCUAGGUAACGAAAACGGUCGCUCUUUUGCAAGAUAGUCCAAGUAAUUUUAACAUAGAUAUAAUUUUUUAUGCAAUGCAUGAGUAUAUGAAAUGUUAAGACGAUAAUAUAUCAUGUGAUUUAAAAUUCAAAGAGAGACAAUGAACCAUGUUUGAUAUUUUGUUUGUCUUGUUUCGUUUAAAUUUGGGCGUUUUUCAGUUGGAUUCAUGGGUUUUGUUUAAGAUAUCAUUUUUGGUUUAGCCAACGCAAAAGUUUACAUCUUUUCUAUGUUGGAUUCAUGGGGUUUUCUUAAGCUUUCAAGUUUUCAGUUUUUGUCAAGAAAUUUAAUCUAGGUUUCAUUUAUUUUUCAAACUAGACACUUUUGUGAAGAUUUUCUUUAUAAUUCAGUAAAUGAUUGCUCCUUUACCUGUAAAUUUGACUUAUGUAAAUUUCCAGGUUGUUCAAAACCCGCAGGGAAGCGCGGGCAAUUUUUCUAGUUAAAUGUCUAAAAGAAACGUAUAAGAGAUUUGGUGGCAUGAUUUUGUAAAUGAACACAAAUUCAGGGACAUCUUUUAUCCAACAUGACAUCAUAUUUAAAAUUUGGGUUUUAUUUAGAAGUUAUAAUAUUUAUGUGGCCUUUUGUCUAGAGUUUAAGAGUUGCCAGGAUUGGAUGAAAAUUUGCUGAGUGUUGGACAAAUGAUGCAGCAUGGAUAUUUCCUUCUAUUUGGAUUGAUGAGGUUGCUCUAUUUGAAGAUAAGAUGCUGGAAAAUCAUGUGGUUACAGUACAAAUGACUGGGAAUAGAUGUUUCCCUCUCAUAAUGGAAGAUAAGAAAUUCAAUGUGUUGAAAGCUGCUUUGGAAGACGGUGCUUAAGAUUGGCACAUAAGACUUGGACAAUUGAAUUUUCAAAGCCUGUAGUUACCUGUUAGUCGGGAAAUGGUACUAUGAAUGCCAAAGUUGAAGCAAACACAAACAGUAUGUGAAGGUUGUGCGGUGGGAACGCAUCACAGAGAAGCCUGUAGCAGGGAGAUAAUGUGGAGAGCAAGUCAUCCACUAGAGUUGAUACACUCUGAUAUUUGUGCAGGUUACAACAUCGGGUGGAAACAAGUAUUGCUUGACUUUCAUAGAUGAUUGUACAAGAAGGUAUUGGUUGUAUCUUCUGAAGCACAAGUCUAAAGUGUUCACUGUGUUUAAACAUUUCAAAGCCAUGGUUAAGCUACAAUGUGGAUACCAGAUCAAAAGAUUGAGGAGUGACAACGGUGCAAUAUCUAUUUACUAGACAUCCUUUGGGAUUCUUCCAUAUUAGAACAAGGAUUCUAUUCUAAAAAGGCCCCCUCUCCCACGGUAUAAAUACACCCAUCUAGGGUUCAUCUACGGUAGCACAAUCUAAACACUUUGAAUUCUCUUGCCCACUGCUUGAGUCUAAAAUCAUUCAUUAACUUAACUAACCUCCCCCCCCCACCCCCCCCAACCAAAGGUUUGCUUACGAUUGUUUCACUAUUUUGCAGGUUGUUCCAGACUACAUGAAUUCGUGCUCGACCGCCUCUUACGGCUCCAAACUAAUUAAUAAGUUUAAGGGGGAUAUGAUGAAGAAGUAUGAGAUGACUGAUCUUGGCUUGCUUUAUCAUUUUCUUGGUAUGUGAAUAGUUCAAACAGAGCAAAAGUAUCUUUAUCAAUCAAAAGAAGUACACUCUUGCACUUUUAGACAAAUUUAGUUUUGAAGAUUGCAAGCCUCUCACUAUAACACUUGCAGUGAAUACGAAGUUGAAAGGAGAAGAUGGUGGUGCUCUUGUAGAUAAAGCUCUUUAUAGGUAGAUUGUUGGUAGUCUGUUAUAGUUGAUAGCUACAAGGCCUAACAUUGUGUUUGAUGCGAUCUUACUCUCAAAAUUCAUGCACAGUCCUUCAAAGAAACACUUUGGUAUUGCAAAAUGGGUGCUAAGAUACAUACAAGGAACCUUGGAUUAUGCCAUUGAAUAUUUGAAAUCCAAGGAAGCAAUAUUAUGCUAAUAGGCUAUUGUGGCUGUGAUUGGAGUAGGGAUGAAAAUGAUUUGAAAAGUACUCCUGGAUAUGCAUUUUCAUUUGGCAGUGGAAUCUGCUCAUGGGCUUCAUCGAAACAACACAGUGUAGUAUUGUCUACUGCAGGUGCUGAGUAUGUUAGUGCCUCUGAAGCUAUUACUCAAGAGAUUUGGCUUUGAUUUAUAAUGGAAGACUUUGCUGAAUUACAAACUUAGGCUACUUGAUUGCAUUGUGACAACACAUCUGCCAUUGUCAUGACAAAAACCAUGUGUUUCAUGAAAGAUCCAAGCACAUAAAUAGCAGGUAUCACUUCUUUAGAGAAUCACUACAAAACAAUAUCAUCAAUCUAUUGUAUUGCAGAUCAGAGGAACAAUUGGCAGACAUCUUCAUCACAGCAUUGUCAAAUAAUCUAUUCUUCUAUCUCAGAAACAUGCUAGGGAUCAAAUCAGCAACAAUCUUAGAAGUGAGUGUUAAUGAUUAAGCAUUGGUGUUGAUUCCUUAGACUGCAAGCUUAGAAGGUAUGGACUGCACAGAGAGAAGGAGGGGGAGAGAGCGCGGAGAGAGGAAGAUGACGGAAGGGUGGGUCUUUUGAACAGAGACCUUGCAGACAAAGGGUGAGGGAGGGAUGGGACUGAUCUUAACGAAAUUACAGGUUUGUUUUCAAUUUCUUAUUUACAUGUUUUCAUAUUCAAUGGCAAUUUGGUUUCUUUUAUUUCAAAUUUAACUUCGAAAAUGUCUUUUAAAUUUAGGUAUUUUGUCUUCAACUCUAUCGCUUCCAUGCUAAUUAAGGUAGAUUAAAAAGUAGGUUUUUUAUUCAAAAUGGUCCUUGAGAUUUGCAUCAUUCAUAAGUUUGGUUUUUAAGAUUUAAAAUCAAUAGAAGUAGUCCUUGAGAUUGUCCACCAUCCAUGAUUUUGGUUCUUCCGCUGAAGCUUUUGGCCGGAAGUUUGAGCAAUUUUCAAAGUUUCGUAACUCAAUCGUUUUUUAACCAAAUUCGACUCAUAAUAUAUCAAAAUAAAGAUAGGAAAGUGUAGAAUAAGAUUAUAUCUAUUUGGAAGCCCAAUUAUUGCCGAAGAUGGUCAGAAAAUAGCCUCAAAGUUGACUGGUCCGAGGGAAAACUGGAACCGGAAAUUCGCUGAAAACUGGGUAAACUUUAAACGUUCAUAACUUCUUCAAUACUCAACAAAAUCAAGUGAUUCAAAAACGAAAAUCAUACUUCUCAACGAGAAGAAGAGAAUGGUACCUUUUUCAACAGCUAACUUGCCGUGGUUUGGUCGGAAAACGGCUCGAAAGUGGCUGUUGAAAAACAAGUCAACAACUUUCAAGCCGUUUUCUGGCCAAACCACGGUGAUUUAGCUAUUGAAAAAGGGUACCAUUCUCUUCUUCUCGUCGUGAAAUAUGAUUUUUGUUUUUGAAUCGCUUAAUUUCGUUGAGUAUUGAAGAAGUUAUGAACGUUUAAAGUUUACCCAGUUUUCCCUCAGACCAGUCAAUAUUGAGGCUAUUUUCCGACCAUCUUCAGCAACCAUUGAGCUUCCAAAUAGAUAUAAUCUUAUUCUAUAUUUUCCUAUCUUCAUUUUGAUUUAUUACGGGUCGAAUUUGGUUAAGAAAUGAUUGAGUUACGAAGCUUUGAAAAUUAUCCAAACUUCCGGCCAAAAGCUUCAGCGGAAGGACCAAAAUCAUGGAUGGUGGACAAUCUCAAGGACUACUUCUAUUGAUUUUAAAUCUCAGGGACCAAACUUAUGAUGAUGCAAAUCUUAGGGAUCAUUUUAAAUAAAAAGCCUAAAAAGAAUUGCAACAGAAACAACUAAAAACCAAGUUGGCCUGCAGGGUUAUCUGUAUGUGUAUUAUAUUGAUAAUUCUAGGACUUAUCAUAUCAUGUUCCUAACUUGAUGCUGUGGGCAUCUUCUCCUAUUAAUAACAGUGGCACCUUAAUUUGAUCAACCAAAUUUGGUGAAGCACCAGACAAACAGAAACCCAUGCAUACAGAGCCAACUGCACUGAAGCAUGAAUUUAAAAAAAAUAAUGUACAUGAUUAUUAUUCCACUACUUAAUUUGUUCCAACUCACCACAAAUUUCUCUUCAUUAUGGUUGUUAGGACAAUAGAUUAGGUUGCAAGAUAAAUUUCCAAAGUUCUACUAGCUUAGGUUUUCAGAAAUCAAACAUGCAAAGUUUCUAUGCAUGUUUUGAAAUUGGUUUUAGGAAGUGGGCUUCCAAGUCUUAACAAUAAUGGACACUAUGAAAUCAGGGUAACCAAUUGGGGAUAACUAUAUACUUCAAAAACGCAUAUUUUACACACACACACACACAUUCUGUCAAGAAUCAGAUUUGAUUGGCACAGAUGAAGAUGAACAAUAAGAAUGAACAAUAAGAGGCUAGCUAGGAGCUGAGUAAAUUGAAUCGAUUACCAUGUUGUAAUUGGCCUAGCUACUCUCUAGUUAUUCUUCAAGGUUGUAUAUAAUAUAUCUACCUAUAUAAUCUCACCCUGUUUCCCCCUUUUGUCUCUCUGUGCACUCAGAAAACAAGCCACCCUAAUUCAAGUUCUCUAUCUUCAGAUCACCAGCAAUAACCUCAUCAAGGUCCUAGGAGGAAUCACGAGGAUUCACAGCCGAAUUGGUAUGUACUUAUGCUUUUGCAAAAAGCCCUUUUCUUGCCAUUUUUCUGUUUUAGAAUUGGGACCAAAAUGAUUAUGAGUGAUUUUGAAAAACACCGAGAAAAAAUGGCUAUCAAGCAAGCAGGCUGUGAGUAUUCAAAAUAUAAUUUUCAGUCAAAUAAAAUAUUGGCACCACAAGCUUUUAAGUAGGGAGGGAUGUUUGAUUAUAUAUUUAAAUUAAGCAAAGAAUCUUGCAUAAGAAAACGAUCCAAGUUGAAGUAAACCAAAUAUAUGGUGCAACAACUGUUAGUUUGGUCAGUCUUCAUCACACUAAUCAAAUGGGCCCGAGGGGUUGAUUUUCACAGUAACCACUUACUUUUUAGUAUGUUCCGGAGUAUUUUAGUGUUUAACUAUUUUUUACAUUUUUGAGGUUCGGAGUGAUUUUUAAAACGAGUCAUGAAUUUUAGUUUUCUAAUAUUACACUCUCUAUGCUUCAGAUUUUCCACAUUUUGACUUGGACUUCUUUUUUUCUUUGUUCUGUUUGAAGAACUUAGUACUUUUGAUUUCAGUAGCAAAAUAAUUUGAACAGGAUGAGAGAGAGAGAGAGAGAGAGAGAGAGAGAAAUAAAGCAUCUACUUGAUCUCUGUACUUUCUCUUAUUCUUAUGUGUGGUUAAGGUUGCAUAUCUGAAUUUUAACCUAUCAUCAUGUAAGUAUUAUAGUGUGUUUUAGAAGCGGGAGUGUGUGAAAUGUGUUGAUGCUGAUGAUGGUGUCGAAUUUGGGGACACUUCCCAGCUAGCAGAGCAAGUAACAGAGAGCUUUUUCCAACUCAAAUUUAAUGAUUCAAGCUGCUUAAGACUUGCAUAACAUUUCCAAGUUGUAGUCGAUGUGCCUGAGUUCUUGAGUACUUCAGUCUUCACUAAUGAAUGUAACACCAUUAAGACUUGGAAUGUCUUUGGGGGGUACGAAAUAACAUUGCUCAUUUCGUAUUUUAUGGGUUCGAAUUUUUUGUCGAGUACGUGAUUCUUGCAAAAGAGUUGUAAAUAUCGUUGUAAAUAUGUGUAAGUAGAGUUGUAAACCCUACCAUUGAACACUUAAUAUAGUUGUACAUAUAUAUAGAAAUUUUUACAUGCUUUGUACAGUUUUAAACACCCACAACAUCGUGCGGGCACACUUUCGCUAGUAUUUUAUUGUACUAGUGCACUCAAAUGUCUGUAGCUAAAUAUGUUAUUAUGAAUUAGUGGAACAUAAGAAAAUAUGGAAAAACAUAAGUGUACCAAAAAGUUCGUACUUAAACAUAGUAUACUAAAUUAGUGUACCGGUAUGUUCGUGCCUACCCUAAACUAGUAUACCGAAAUGUCCAUACCUAAACAUGUUAUUCUAAACUAGUGUACUAAGAUGUUUGUACCUAAAUACAUUGUAAUAAAUUAAUGGCACAUAAGAAAAUAUGCAAAAACAUAGGUGUGCCGAAAAGCCUCUACCAAAAUAUUUUCUUAUAUAAGAUAAUUACAAUAAAUUGGUGAUGCAAAAUGUCAACAAAUAAAAGCUAAUUCAUUUGAAUUCAAAUGAGUAUUAAAAUUUAAUUCAUAUCAGCAUAAAAUUAUAAAUAGAAAAAAAGAAAGACAUUGAAUGCAUAUGCUGCCAUUAAAUAGAGUUUAGGAACUAAAAUCAAUUUUUUAAUCUUGUGUGAGACAUUUUUCUAAAUUUUAUUUUAUUUAAGGAUUAAAAAUAUAGUUUUCUAUUACUUAUAUUUCUGACUACAUAUGGUUAUUACUUUAGUCGAGAGUUGACGCACCUGGAAUGGUGUCUGGAAAACAUGAUGACCCAUAAUUCCAGCCUUGGCAGCGUAUUCCAGGCCAGAAAUGAAGCUCAAAGCCAUACACGAGAGCAUUGUGUAUGUCUUUAUAAGAGACGUUGCUGUAGUCCUUAACGGAGUAGUCAAAGUGACCCAAAUUCAUCCAAGCCCUCCCCUCUGCACUGCAACCCUCAUCCAAUUCCCAUACUUCCAUGUACUCCCCGACCAUGACGUAGCUAUACGUUUUUGGUUGGCUCGAAGAAGUAGAACUUGUAUUAUUCAAGCAUGGAGCAGUGUCCACGUACAGAGAAGAAUUCAAUGGAUUCGAACAUUUCAAGUAAUAUAUAGAUGUUAAAUUCCCUCGUGAAUAAUGUUCAUAAUAAUUUAAAGUAUUGUGCGGAAAAUUUCGAGGCAUGGAAGAGCAAUUGGUGUUCACAAGGCCAGGAUCUAGAAGUCGGAUUGUUUUGUCGUUGUAGUUGAUUGCCUGGACGUAGUAUUUUCCGGACGAAGGUAGGUAUAGUACUGUAAUGUUGCUCUCACAGGACAGAGUAUACCUUACGUCGCCACAAUAUUUUGGAUCAUCGUUCAGUCGAAAAGGAUAGCUUAUGUUGUGGACAUGGCCGCAGGAUGAAGUACAGGACUUGGCACUGGUGUCGUCCUUAGCGUUACAAGUUCCACUGCAGAAGCUAAGAAGAAGAAAGGCUAAACUUAAGGUGAAGGACCUGCUUCCACUAAUUUCCAUUGGAGAGAGAGAGAGAGAGAGAGAGAGGUGUACUAGUUCACACCAAGUAGUCAUAUAAUAUAGGAGGGGUUAAGGCACCUUCCGUGAAAUUGCAGUUGAAAUAUCCUAGAGAAAAAUCGGUCGUCAAUGGUAUCCUAGAGAAAAGUCGGUCGAUGGUGUUUGAUACGGUCAGUCAACGGUGAAGACAGUUGUGAAACAAUAAUGCUCUCCCCCGCUCUCUUUAUUAUAUAUGUCUUUCAUUAAUGGAGGAUACUGCGUAAUUACUACGCAUAUAUCUCUGCUUAAUCACACAAAACAAAAAAUACCAUGCGCCUAUAGAAAAUUUGACUUUUUCCCUAAAAAUUAAUUUUCUUUCACCUCCAACCCAUCAUAUAUAUUCUAUAAGAUAAGAAUAACCCAUUGACUAGCUCCAAUUAAGCAAGUUUCUUAACUUGCUUGAUGACUCUGAUCAUGUGUAAUUUUGGGGAAUUGGAUGCUAUUUUGUCUCUACUUUAUUAGGCUUUUUCAAAUGGUUCUUUCACAUUUUUCAAAUGGUUUACAAUCUCUCUUCAUUUUUAUUUUUUGCAAGAAUGUAUUUAGUUUUGGUUUACAAUUUCACCUAGCCAACCAAAUGUCGUAAAUACACUUGUGACUCGUUCAUCACUGAUUCAUGAAAAUGUGUCCUACUAUAUAAGCAACAAAUUCAAAACCAGGUUGAAAACUUAUGUAUGUAACUAAGGACUCAUGAGAAUUGUAACCAUUGUACCUAAGUACCAUAUGUGCUCGAUAGCUUGAGGUGUUUGUCUGACUACGUAAGUACAUUGGAGGUUUGUUGGAUUGCUUGGGUUUUCACUUGAAACCAGUGGCUGGCCAAUAUGCAUCACUUUUCCACAUAACUUUUAUGCAAAAAUCUUUCCUUAAGUUUUUACAUCACAGUUCUUGACUAGCUUCAAUAGACAUAUUGUUGUCAUGCUUGCUUAGUUAUGAUCCUUCAAAGUUUCUAUGUUCUCAGUUUCCCCUUCAAAUCGAUAUGUUUUGUAACUUCUUCUUUUUUUCUUUCUUCAGUACUUUUAUAUACUGAGAGCGAUAAUUCCGCGACUUGGUGAGAUUGGAAUGAUAAAUUAUUAGUGAGCCUUCACUUUUUCUUGAACAAUAAUCACUUUAGGAUGAGUUACAUUACCAACUAGAGAGAUUGGUCUAGUCACAUCUCUUCAGAAUGUUGAAAUAAGUUUCAAGUUUAAUCCAUAGCUCAACCAAAAUAAAUAAGAUAUUGUUGAUUGCACAUUGAUUUAUAUGAGAAAAUAAAUAAACUACUAGUAAGGAAACUGUUGGCAAGUGUUGAAUUGUUCUGGUAUUUAAGGUCUUCUUUUUCAACCUGCUGUACUUCUAGUGUAAACUUUCCUUCUUUUUUAAUGUAGAUUAGCAUAGAAUAUCGCUUAUGAUUAGAAGAAGAAAAAAGAAAAAUAAAAAGGAAACUAUUGAAUUUUGUUCAAAGUCUAGGUCGUAGUUCUUCUCUAGAUUAGAAGAAGCAGUUUUUUUUUUUUUAAGCAUAGCAAUACCAAACUGGCCCCUAAACCAACAUAAGACAAGUGAAUAAAAAACUACCACAUUGAAUUCCUAAGUAGGUAGCAUUUUACACAUCGGAGAUGCUCUUAUACUAUCCUUUUUAUAAUUUUAUAUUAUUCUUGAGUGGCAUCACUCAUCUUUGGUGCAUCCAAUGGAACCCAGUGGAUCUAGAUCGUCCAUCCAUUAAAGUGGAGGUUCAGAUGUUGGAAGGAGAGAACUUAACCAUGCCUCCAAAUUCUUGUGCCUAUACAGGUCUUGCACGAACUAAUACAAGUCCGCCUGCAGUGCCGGUAUAUUAGACUUCCAUGACUAUCGUGGUCUUUGGGGUUAACUGAAGAAUUUCCGAGCGAAUGGAACCACAUGUAACACAGCUAAGCCUAAUUGAUAGCGAUUUUACCACUUUUAAAACAAAGGGUUAAACCAUAGAAAAUUCUUGCAAGAGACAAGUGUUUGUAGUAUAGAAUGGCUCAAGCAAGGUCGAUCUCCUCAGGGACUGAUAUAAACAAUUUACGAGUUUUUGUGUAUUUAACUUAUUUAACUCUAAAAAUUACACUAAUUUGACGAAACUAAAUAUUACUGGAUGUGACUUAAACAAUUAUCUAAAAUGGGAAUUGGUUUAUAGGAAUAAUGAUUCAACUAAACAAAACAAGUAAAUGAGAAAAUUCAAGAUAAAAUAAAUGAUUGAAGAAAAAUAGAUUGACAAUAUGCUAGAGUUCAACCUUUACCAACAACACUCAUACGUAGCUUUUCCAAUUGCUUAAAUAAUUGAAAACACACAUGCUUUGAAAGUUGGAUUUUCCUUGUGUAUGUUUUACUUGUGACAUUCAAGCUAAAACGCAUACCACUACAUGCAACUUAUCCAUGACAUUUGGAUUAAAUAUAAACAUGAGUGAUUCAUUAAUCUUGGUGAAAAUCCUUUUGUUAAACCAUGUAAUCCCUAAGAGCAUGAUAUUUACCUUAGGAGAGUACAAUCCUCAAUCACAAGAAGCACAACCAAUUUUAACGUGACAUUCGUUCAAAAUUGCAUCCGAUAACUUUUCUAAGCAUCCUAAUGGUGAUCAAGCAUCAAGGUACAUAGAUAGUUUAAUUCAGUGAUUGAAAAUAUCAAAGCAAGCAUGUAACAACACUUAAGCAAUUGAAAAAUAAAUCUACGUAUUCAUGUUGCCGCUCAUGGCCUCACUCUAGCAUAAUAAUUUAGUUACACAUAAUUAAUUUGAUACAUAAGAAAUUAUUCAUAAAAGAAAAUAAAUAACUAAGAAAGAAGACACCCGUUUCUUUUCUCCCGUCGCAAGUCUAUGUGAAAUUUUCCGUGUGCACUGCCUUCUCCUGCUCCUCCCUCUGUUUCCGUGCUCUGCCUGCACUCCUGCUUUGCUCCCUCUGUUUCCGCACCUCUCCUCUAUUCCCUGUGCUUCUGCUUCUGUCCUUCUGCUGCUCGCCAGUCCGAGUCAACUGCUUCUUAUUCUUUUAUUUUCUUUUCAGUCCUGCGCACUCCACUUCCUUCCCACUCUUCUCUGUUUUUUAUUUGUUUAUUUUUUUCUUUUCUUUCCACACCUCUUUGUCUGCCAGUCUGUCUUUUUUAUUUGUUUCUUUUUCUUUUCGUCACUGCCUCAAUGCUCUCUCCACUCUGUCAGAAUUCUUCCAUGCUGUUUUUCCACUUUGUUUCCUGCCAUCCUCUCUGCUCCUUUGUCCGUGUCUUCACUUUUCUUCCUUUUAAUUGAAAUUAAUCCUAAAACACAUUUAACUGCACAAUAACACAAGGUAAGGUAAAAUGUCAUAAUUAUAACACAAAAACAUCACAAAGACUUUAAAAAUAGAUGGUAUAAAUGUAUGAAAUAUAUGAAUGAUCACUAAUCGACAAUGAUUCAUACAGCGACAGAUGAGACGCGCAAAGCAGCUUCAAAGAAAGCACUAUACUGCUUUAGUUAUGUGCUAAGUUGCAUGCAUGGACGCUUCAAUACACUAGCGUGUGACGUAUCAGACACAAAAACAAACACAAAACUUCACAGACACUCUUGGACACUUGUCCAACACUCCACAUGGCAUAUCGUUGACUUUGACUGACUGACACUUUAGGGAUACACGUAGGACAUUGUUAAAAAAACACGCCAGUGGUAAUUGUAAAAUUAAAUUAAAAUUUUAGGGUAAAAUUGAAAUAUGAAAAAAUUGUCUUAGGGUAAUAUGAAAAACGGAUUUAGAGGUAAAUGUAAUGUUGUAUUUUGUUUGGAUGAAGAAAUUUAAUAAUACUAAGGAAUUUUAAAAUGAAAUUUUAUUUUCUAGAAUUUCUGAAUUUUCUUAUUUGGUUAACUUAAAAUGAACAAGAGAAUUUGAAUACGGAAUUUAUUUAUUUAUUUUUAAACUCUCACUCAUAGAAAUUUAAAAAUGACACAUAUUUACAUGAAAUUUAAAUUUGGGGAUUCGAGGUCUCAAAUUCCAAGUUUUUUUUUCUUGCAAAGAUUCUAAAUUUCUAUUUUUAUGAAUCGAAAAAAAAGAAAUUGGUUUGUGCCAAUUUAUAAAUUCUAACGUUUGUCAACUUAUAUUGUUGCCAUACUUGCUUAGUUAUGAUCUUUCAAAGUUUUGAGCUCUCAGUUUCCCAUUCAAAUCGAUAUGUUUUGUAACAUUCUUUUUUUUCUUUAGUACCUUUGCAUUUUAAGAGCUUUAAUUGCGCUACGUGAUGAGAUUGUAAUGGAAUUAUUAGUGAGAAUUUCUUGAACAAUAGUCACUUUAGGAUGACUAGUACAAAGAUGUCAAAGUGAAGUGGGCCCUUACCAUUGACCUGCUAGGGGCACAGCCAUCAUUAUUGACCCCGAAAAGUAUGCAUGCCAAUAAAAAAUAAUUUAGUCAAAUUCUUUCUUUUUUUCAAAUAAGUAACUCAAUUUCUAAUAAACUCGAAUUUGCUGACUAGUGGGUUCUUACCUAAAUUAUAUCUUGUUUUGUCUAUGACAUUUUGAACUCCAUAAGCAAAUUUAUUGUUUCAUCUAGUUAUAUAUCUUUACACAUUAGUCACUUAAAAGAGUGUUAUAACAUUAAUUACGUAAAUGAGUGUUGUACAAACAAAAACAAAAGAAUAUCUCUUAGAUUAUUGGUGCAAAUAUCAUAUAUCAUCACAUGAUUCACCCCAAAUGUUUCGUUUUCAAUGCCAAGAGUAAUGAUGAUUACAUGUGUGUCAUUGUUAGAGGCUACCAACAGAGAGCAUUUGUGUAGUGAUUUUGUAUGUUUGCACGAGAUUUGACUUCUCAACCAAACUUUGAGCACCGAAUAGGAUGCUGGUUCGAUUAUGUACUUUUUUAUGCCCUGAGAACUGAGAACUAUGAGUUUCUCUGUGUUCUGCUUGCCUAAAAGCAUACAUUAACAACCUUGGGAUCACCUAAAUUCUAUUAAUAUAGCAUGAUAUCAAUUUAUCAAUAAAAUUAUUAAUUUACAAAGAUUAUUUCUUUUCUUGUGCAUCCAAUGGAACCUAGUGAUCUAGAUCGUCCAUCCAGUAAAGUGGUGGUUCAGAUGUUGAAAGGAGAGAACUUAACCAUGCCUCCCAAUUCUUGUGCCUCCACAUGUCUUGCACGAAAGAAUAAAAGUCCUCCUGCAGUCCCGGUACAUUAGGCUUCCAUGACUUCCGUGGCCUUUGGGGUUAACUCAAGAAUUUCCAAGCGAAUGGAACCACAUAUGAGUAUGACACAGCUAAUCCUAAUCGAUAAUGAUUACUACAGCGACAGAUGAGCGCAAAACAACUUUAAAGAAAGCACUGUUACUAGUACUUUGUUAUGUGCUAAGUUGCACGUGUGAACACUUCAAUACACUAGCGUUUUACGUAUCAAACUCAAAAACAAACACAACACUUAGUCGACACUCUUGGACACGUGUCCAACACUCCACGUGCCGUGUCGUGGACUUUGACUGAAGGACACUUCUUGGGCACUUUUAAAAUUGAAUUAAAAUUUUAGGGUAAAAUUGAAAUAAGGAAAAAAUUAUUUUAGGUAUAAUAUGAAAAAUAGAUUUAGAGAUAAUGCUAGAGAUCGCAAAUUUCUCUCUUGACGUAGGAGGCAGAUUGUCUGCCCUCCUGUUUGGAUGCCCUUCCCAUCCUCUUCUAUUUGUGCAGUCACGGUUAAGCCACGUCAACAUUUUAUAUUCUUAUUGCUUUUUGUCUUAUUAUCUCUAUAAAAAAAUUAAUAUAAAAUGUUGACGUGGCUUAACCGUGACCGUACAAAAUGGGAGGGGAUGAGGAUGACACCCAAACAGAGGGCAGACAAUCUGCCUCCCUUGACGUAAUAACAUGAAAAUUAUUGAUGACUUAAGUGUACGUGAAGCAGCUCUAGUCAAUACUCAAUUGCAAUUUGGCCCAUUUUUCUAAAGCGUGUUUGAAGCCGAGUCAUUGUUGGAAAUCUGCAAGUUCAGUUUCAUAAUUUCAUGCACUUCUACAUGAUAAGUUUCAAAAUUUCUUGCACAUCUACAAGAUUAAUUUCAUAAUUUUUUGCACUUCUGCAAUAGCAGUGUCAAAAGUUUUAGAAUUCUGCAAGGUUAGUUUCAAAAUUCCUACAUUUCUACACAAAUUUCAAAAUUUAUGCAUCAAAAUAAAACUCAAAACCUCAAAUCGAGUACUUUCAAAAUACUAAAAUCAAAACCAAAGAUCAAAAGUUUCAAUCAUUGUCAAGAAAAAAUAAAAAAUAAAAGGUUAUAGAGGACGGUGUCAUUCCACACUACAAGUUUAUACAAGUAUUGUCCUUUACUAAAAGGCUAUUUGAGGACUGAGGAUUUAGGGUUUAAGGUUUCGAAUGUAGGAGGGCAGUAAUCACGGACAACUUCUUCGAAAGAAAGGAGCAAAGAUCUAACUUCAUCCAGCAAGUGCCUUUCCAUACUCAAAUCCUCCUCAUGACAGGAGUCAGUACGAAUUUCACCUAGCCAACCAAAUGUCGUAAAUAAACUUGUGACUCGUUCAUUCACUGAUUCAUGAGAAUGUUUCCUACUAUAUAAGCAGCAAAUUCAAAACCAGGUUGAAAACUAAAUUAUGAAACAAGGGGCAACUUUUAUCUUGAGAAACCAUUUGAAAACUUAUGUUCUGUCGUAUGCAAGAAGGUAUUUCCUUUUGUGUUUUAAUUCUGCACUUAUUUUUAUUUUUUCCACAUAAAUAUAAUGUGCCUACAUUAUUUUUCUAUGGAUUAAUUUACCUACUUUAAUUAUUUUAUAUACCUACGUUAUUUUUUCUUGAAUCUUUUCACACUCGACCAAACUUCUCUUGGAAUUUUAAUUAGAUGAAACAAUAUGAAUCUUGAACAAAGCAACGCAAAACGUAAUACUGAGAGAUUGAAUCAUUGAAGUGACGUGGAGCUGGGUACUCAACACUCAUAGGAAAUCAAUCCAAGAAUGAAAACUCUCUUAUCACUUUCUAUCCAAAAUUUUGGAAUUAUGUGUGUGUUCCAACGAUUAUCCGAAGGAUUAUUCUUCUUUUAUUAAAUUUAUAAGGAAAAUUAGCAUGGGGCAUAAAUGUUGAACUGUGAAAUCCCGUCUCCGGAAUUUCACCAUUCAUUAUGUAUCUCGCAAUUUAAAUUCGUAUUUCACGUUUAUGUUAUUUUUAUUACUUAAUUUUAAUUCCGCAAAUUUUGAGCUUAAAUCGAAUAGUUAUCGGGUUUGAAUUUUCGUAAUUAAUCUUUAAGACUCGUUGACCUUUCGAGGUCACAAGUAACGUUUUCGAAUAGAUCUCGAAACCACGAGCACAUAGGCGAAAGCCGUUUGGGAGUCCGGGUUUUAACGAUAUAGUUACAGACAUUUGAAGUUGUUACUAAAUUAUAGAUUUUAAAUUUAUUUUGAAACUCCCACCUUGUGGGAAAAGGACUAAUGAGAUAAGAGAGUGAGGGACCAAUUAGAAAUGGGAGAGAAAAGGAGAACGAAUCAGGAAGGAAGGGAAAAAGAAAAAAGAAAAAAAAAGGAGGGACUGGAUGCUGCCAGGUGGCAGCGGGAGAGAGAAGAAGAUGAGGUUGCGGGAGAGAAAAGGAAGGGAAGAGUGACCAAUGGAAGGAGAGAGUAAGGAGGGGAAGGAGAGACCCAAAAAUGGGUCAUUUUUCACCCGCGAACUACCAUUUUUGACCUGGCCAUAUCUUCUUCAUCCGACUUCCGUUUUGGGUAAUCUUGGUGUCCAUAGAAAGCUCUUGACGAGUCCUACAUCCCUGUAGUGUUAGAUGUCUAUUUUUCCUUUCCAUUUUUCUAGGUCGAAGCCACAAAGUGCCUAGGGUUUUCCUGCGAGUUUUCUCAUUUUACAGUGAUUCCGACAAUGAUUACCGUCGAUCAUCACUACCAAUAGACUCCUCUCAACCCCUGGACCAAGGCCCAAGCAUUGGAUGAGGCGUCGAAGUUCGUUUUGGCGAUGAAUCGAGGAACACCCAUUUCUAGGGUCUCCAACGUGUUUGGAUGAAAUUGAGACACUUCUCGGCCGAAUUGGACUUGGCCACAGGUAUGAAAAUUGAUCCCCACACUGAGAUAUACUUGCCUGUAAAUUUGGUAAUUUUUUGAAAUUGUUGAAUUUUUCGGCGAGUCGGGGCGGCCGACCGCCACCGGCAGCAGUGCGGGCGGCGGUGCUUCGGCCAGUGGGCCGACGAUGCCUUUCUAAGUUCAAUUAGAUGUGCUGGAUUUGUAUUUGAUAUUCGUAUGACGUGGUUUGAUCGUUUGAACCUAAUUUCAUUAUGAUACAUUACUUGAUCAAAAUAUGAAUUGACGAUCCGACCGUCGGAUCGUGAUGAAAUUUUAGUAUGUUGUUCUAGAGGAAUAAUGUGGAUUUUAGAAGAUUACGGAUCCAAAAUCCAUGUGUAGAUCUUCUGGAUCAAAUUACGUAGAGAUGUGGACCCCACCGUUGAUCUGAAGUUGACUUUUGGUCAAUAGGUAUUGAAUCAUUUAUUUUACUAAAAUUAGUAUUGCUAGAGACUCAAUGAGGCUUUGCGGACUUGUCUUGGUGAGUGACUUUAAUAUAUGUGAUAUGGUUUUUACCCUGUUUUCUUAUAAGUAUCCUUUGUGGAUAUGACUUGGUUUUGUAAAUGUGUUUUCUGUUAAAAUGUGAUUUUAUAAUUGGUCAUCGAUCUAUUUUUAUUAAAUGUGAUUUGAUUUAUGGAUUGGAAAUAUUUGUGAAAAGGUGAAUUGAAGUGCAUAUUGAAAUAUUUAUGAAUUGUGUUAUAAAUAUACAUUUGAAAUGUUGAGAAAUGCGAGGGCUAGUAGGGGACCGUUACCCUAGUGUCACGGGGUUAGGUGACACCGAGUCUGCACCAUGUAGCAGUGGUACAUGGAUGGUCUUACUUGGUUAAUCCGCAAUGGGGGACCAUAUUAUUUAUGGAUCGCACUUGGUUAAUCCGCGAUGGGCGAUCCUUAUGGCCAUGUAUACUUAGGAGUGAUAAUGCUUAGUUAAUUCACGAUGGGUGAUCACUGCCUAACAGUUUUAUAGGUGUGACUUUGCUUGGUUAAUCUGCGAUGGGCGAUCCUUAUGGCCAUACAUACUUAGGGGUGAUCAUGCUUGGUUAAUCCGCAAUGGGUGAUCACUACCUAGCAGAUUCAUGGGAGUGACUCUGCUUGGUUAAUCUGCGAUUGGGGGUGGGGGGGGGGGCGCGGGGAGGGUCACUACCUACAUGGUUACUCAGGGGGUGGCUCUGCUUGGUUAAUUUGCCAUGGGGGGCCACUUCUUGUUUGGUUACUUAUGUAGGCUUCGGCCGAACUGCGUCCCUCUAGCCCUAGUUUUUAAUGUACAUAUGAACAAUGGUUUUUGAGAAUCUUGGGGGUUUGAAUGGGAAAAGCCGUUGGAUGUCUGGGUGAGUCCUUCGGAGUUGUUGAGACUUAACUAUAUUUUCAUAUUUACAAACUUAUAUUUGAGGUUUAUAAACUGUGAUCGAUGGUCUUUUCUUUUAUUGAUUAUCACAUACUUGUAUUAUUGUCACUCACCUGAGCUCCGCAACUUAUCCAAGUUCCGUUUGGCCGGUGCACCAUUCUCAUGAUGGAGGCACUGAUUUUACAUAUGAUAGGUUUGGGUAGAUUAUGAGACACCACUUGAUAUUUUGGUUCCAUUGAGUGGUCUGGAAUCCUUGCUCUUGCUCAUUCCCAUAAGGUUAGUCUAGAACCCUAGAUUCGAGUGAAUGAGAAUUACCCACAAUAGAUGAUAGGAUUUUUACCACCUGCACAAAAGGGUUAAAAACACCUAAAAUACUUGCAAGAGAAACAAGGUUAUCGUAGUAUAAUUGGCUCAAGUAAGGUCGUUCUCAACAAGGACUAAUUUAAAUAGAUUGACGUGAAAUCAAUUCCCAACUAAUUAAUUAAAACAAAGUCUUUGAAAAAGGUGAUUUAACGGCCUAAAUUAAGAAAAACGAAUUUAAUUAAAAAGAUUACUUAAAAACCCCAACUGGAAGGAGGAAGAAACAAUUUUUACAAUUCAAAGUGAGAAAGUACUAGGGUUCUGCCGUCACCCUAACAAUCCUAUGUAACUCUUCUAAAUUACUUAUGAACCAUACAUGCAUAUCUUGAAGGUUAGGUUUUCCUAGAGUAUAUCCUACCUGAAACCUCCAACAUAGAACAUAUAUCUAACAUGCAACUCGUCUGUUGUGUUCAGAUCGAAUGUGAACAUGCAAGACUAAUUAAGUUUUAUGAAAACCCUUUUGAAAAAACCAUAUAACCCUUAAAACGUGUCGUCCAUCCUAAGAGGUUGCACAUAUUAACCACAAGAAGCCUUAGUCAAUUUUAGGGACAGCCCUCUACCAAAAUUGCAUCAAAUUACUUUUCUAAUUAUCCUAAUGGUCGCGAAUCACUAAGAAAAAUAGAUAGUUUAAAGCACAGUGAUUAACAAUCCAAAACUUGCAUGCAUGAAUUCAUAAGCAAAUUAAAAGAGACUACAUAUUCUUGCUAAGGAUCAUGGCCUCACCCUAGCAAAAUAAAAUUAGUUACGCAUAUUCAUAAUUAAAAUCAACAUAAUUGUAUUAAACUAGAAAAAGAAUGAAAACACCUUGUAGAAUAAAAUUUGAAAAUCUCUAAACUUUGUCCCAAAUCUUCUCUCCAAAAAAUUGCAUGCGUUCUCUCUCUAAAAAAAACCCCUAGGUCUGCCAAAAGGCUUAUUUAUACUACUCUAAAUAAAAUCCUCCUAAUAAAAGGUCUUAGAAUAAGACUAGGAAACUAAAUAAAUUGAAAUAAAUUAGGAAACCUAAUCCUAAAUUGGCUUGGUAAAUUUGCCCAAAAUUCUGCACAGCCACGUUCUGGACCCAAAUCAGCUCCAAAACUAGCCCAAAAUUUAUGAACUUAAACUUUGACUAUUCUGAACACUUCUCCAGAAGGUCACGAACCCAUCUGAAGUCAUCUUAGGCUCCAAAAACACAGUUUAAGCCUAGAAACGUCAAUUUCCAACAACGCGCACUGCUCCUUCAUUUAAUCUCCAAAAAAUAACCGCUUGGUAGAAAUUGCUGAGAUUUUGACACGAACAAGCUAAGGAACAUACGAAAUCACUCCAAAAUUCGUCUGUUUGGUCAUGUUUUGCUCCAGAGGAAGUCAAAUUUCCUAUGUUGAAAAUAUAAAGCACAAUAUCAAAAUUCUAUCAAAAUAAUUAUCAAAUUAUACUAAGAAUAGGGUGAAACAUAUAAUAUAAUUUUGACUCAUCAAUAGACCUUGUGAAUAUAAAAUAGAUUUACCAUGUUAUUUCUCAUAAUCCAAGUAGGAAAUUAUUUAGAGUUCCUUGUUUAAAUUUGUGAAAUGAUAUGUUACUACAUUCAUUGAUUAACAUAAUUAAAUGCUAAGAUCAUGUAUCUUUGAUUCAUGAAUUGAUUGAUUGAUGGGAUUGCGGAAUGACCUUGGUUAUGGUUGUUAUUAUUAUGAUUAUUUUAGUUGAUCAAUGUGGCUUGAGAAUAAUAUGUGCUUCGUUGGUUAUUAGAUAUGUUACAUGCUGUGGAUGGAACUAUCAUGCUGAAAACAUGGAAUUUAUAUGAUGGAUGGAAUGAGAAUCUUGAAUGGCAUGUUGGUUUGUUUUGUAGCCUAAACUUGGUAAUGUCAUGCAUGUCAAGUUCUAAUAAUUGAUUACAGAAUGUUAUGUAUUCCUGUUAGAACGCACUAGAAUAAAUGUCUAAAUUAGUGAACGACGAACUAUGAAUGACUUGAUCCCUAAUGAGGGUAUGUAGGCAGUCUAAUGAGGAGGUUAGAUGCAGCCAUAAAGUAUACGAAAAAUUACUAUGCGAUUCGAUUCUCGAGUUGUGAUUUGCCAUAUCCCGGAGGUGGGGUAUGUUGAGAUACGGGUAUUUGGUGAAGUCAUGUGUUGAUUCUGAAUGUAUGUCGGGAUCGAAGCAUGACAUGAACGAAUAAAUUUUCCUCGACUUGGAAAGGGAUUGUGACUUUAACACGCUAUUUUUCUUCAUCUUAUGCAUCAUGUUUAUCAAAAGACAAAUAAUAUGACUUCACAUAAGGAGAGAAUAAGAGUAUUUUCCUUUGUAAAAAUCAACUUUUGUUUAAGAAGAUGUGGAUGCUGAUUGAUGCACCAUGUGAAUACGAAGAACGACCUUGGAGGGAGAUGAGAUAUUCAUUAGAAGCUAGCGAAAAAAAAAAAGUUAAUAAUGAUUUAGUCAAAAAGCAAGAAAGCCUCAUUUUCUAAGUGGUAGUCAUUAACACGAUACUUGAUAAGGAGAAAAGUCAUAGUAUUUUAUUUUACUGGGAACGAGGGUGCAAGGUCUCAAUUGGAAUAUGAGAUGAAGUUUCUACAUAACUAUAUAUGACAAAGAAAGAAGUCUAAGUUUGUAGGUGGUAGGGCUUUUAAUUGAUGUGAGUUUGUUGAGAAAUGAAGAUGAGCAUGAAUACUGACAUCGAUGCGAGUUAGUGAACACGAUGCUUCUCCUUUGGCCUUUUAAUAUGAUAAUACCGGAAAACAAGUUGUUACUAAUAUAUGUAUAUCUGAUUGGUGGACUAAGAUGUACAGUACGAUUUUUGAUAGAGUAAUGUUAUGGAAACUAAAUUUGUAGACUAGAUUUUGAAAACUAAAUGACAUGGAAUCCUUACUUAUGUGCUCAUUUCCGAUUAGUGACACAUCAUUUAGUUUGUAAAUUUAGUCUACAAAUUUAGUCUCCUUAACAUUACUUUUUUUGAUAACUAGCGAAGAUGAACACUCUCAUGACAAAAUUUAUCUAAAUAGACCUAAAGGCAAGACUUACGAACUUCAUAUGCAGUGGGAUAAAAUCUUAAACUAAUUUCCAUUUUUAUUUUGUAGUUGAUAGGGAUUUUACCACCUCCAAAGGUAGAGAUAAAAACACUUAAAAAUACUUGCAAGAGUACAAGGUUAUCGUAGUAUAGCAGCUCAAGCAAGGUCGUUCUCCACAGAGAUUGAAUGAAUAAUUUAUGUAAAUAUCAAAUCUUAAUUAAUUAUUUGAAAACAAAGUUUGGAAAAAGGUGAUUUUAUGACCUAAAAUAGUAAAAAUGAAUUUAAUUAAAAAUAAUUAAAUAAAUUGGCAAAGUAAAGAGAAUAAAAGAAAAUAGUUUUGAAAAUAAAUUUGAGCACUAUAGGCCGUUCUGCCAUCACCUUAACAAUUUUACGUAGUUCUUCCAAUUACUUAUGAAUUACGUAGUUCUUCAAGGUUGUAUAUAAUAUAACUACCUAUAUAAUCUUAGCCCGAGACAUGUAUAUAUAUAUAUAUAUAUAUAUAUAUAUAUAUAUAUAUAUAUAUAUAUAUAUAUAUAUAUAUACAUGUCCUGAGAAAUAUGAACAAUUAAAGGGUUUUCUAUUCAAAUUUACAUGGGUUUUGUUUGCAGCCUCGGAUCAUACAUGUGCAUUUAAUUUGGUUUUGUUUUCAGUUUCAAGAGACCCUGACAUUUUUCCUUUUAUGGGCCUUUUCUUUGCAGACUCGGACGCCCUUUGUGCUCAAGGUAGGGGCGGAGCCACCAAGGGACUAGGAUAGUCCCUGGCCCAUCCUGACUUCAUCUGAGGCAUGAACCUCAUGGAAGAAGAUGAAGCAAAUGACGUCGUUAAACUGUUUUGAUUUUAAAUCUUUUCGGCUGUCUAAUGCAACGAUAAGUUUGGCAGGGGAGUUUUAAAAGAGAUGUGCAAUUUUAAAUGGAAAAAGCAACCCCACUUCUGGUUCGAUUCUCUCACCUAACAGUAAUAUACACCCUAUAAUUUUCUAAAGCAACCCACCUUCUUUAUUUGCAGACCUCUCCCCCUUUUCCUUCUUUUUCUACUUCUUUGUAUUUUCUUUAGCCUUCCACAACCUACCUCUUACUUGGUUGUUUGGGUUUUUACAUUUUUUUCUUCUUAGUAUUGAAUUUAAGAGAAUUUUUUCAAUUUUAUGAGGAUUACACAAAUUGCAUAUGUCAACAUGUUAUGAAUUCAACUUUUUACACACACUUAUAUAUAUAUAUAUAUAUAUAUAUAUAUAUAUAUAUACACACACAUAUUUGUGAAAUACCCCUCCUCAUUCAGAAUUUUGGCUCCGCCACUGGCUCAAGGAAAACAAUUUCAACUUUUUACUUCUAAAGUGUUGCUCUUAUUUAGCAGCAGGUAUUCCGUUGUAUACAAUAAUAUGUUUUGUGUUAUGCUAGGAACCCUGUUUCCUUCUUUUGUCUCUCUGUGCACUCAAAAAACAAGCCACCCUAAUUCAAGCUUUCUACCUUCAGAUUUCCACAUUUUGACUUGCUUUUUUUUUUCUUUGUUUUGUUUAAAGAACUUAGUACUUUUGAUUUCAGUAGCAAAAUAAUUUGAACAGGAUGAGACAGAGAGAAAUAAAGCAUCUAUUUGAUCUCUGUACUUUCUCUUAUUCUUAUGUGUCGUUAAGGUCGCAUAUCUGAAUUUUAACCUAUCAUCAUGUAAGUAUUAUAGUGUGUUUGGGAAGCGGGAGUGUGUGAAAUGUGUUGGUGCUGAUGAUAGUGUCGAAUUUUAUGUGUCGUUAAGGUCGCAUAUCUGAAUUUUAACCUAUCAUCAUGUAAGUAUUAUAAUGUGUUUGGGAAGCGGGAGUGUGUGAAAUGUGUUGGUACUGAUGAUAGUGUCGAAUUUGGGGACACUUCCAGCUAGCAGAGUAGGUAACAGAGAGCUUUUUCCAACUCAAAUUUAAUGAUUCAAGCUGCUUAAGACUUGCCUAACAUUUCCAAGUUGGGGGGGGGUAGGAAUUUAUGGGUUUGAAUUUUUGUCAAGUAUGUGAUUCUUGCAAAAGAGUUGUAAAUUUGUGUAAGUAGAGUUGUAAACCCUACCAUUGAACACUUAAUAUAGUUGUACACUUAUAUACAAUUUUUUACAUGCUUGGUACGGUUUUAAACACCCACAACAUCACGCAGGCACACUUUUGCUAGUAUUUUACUAAACUAGUGCACUCAAAUGUCCGUAGCUAAAUAUAUUAUAAUGAAUUAGUGGAAUAUAAGAAAAUAUGGAAAAACAUAAGUGUACCAAAAAGUCCAUACCUAAACAUGGUAUACUAAAUUAGUGUACCAUUAUAUCUGUACCUAAAUAUAUUAUACUAAACUAGUAUACCGAAAUAUUCAUACCUAAACAUAUUAUAUUAAACUAGUGUACUGAGAUGUCUGUACCUAAAUACAUUUUAAUAAAUUAAUGGCACAUAAGAAAAUAUGCAAAAACAUAGGUGUGCCGAAAAGCCUCUACCAGAAUAUUUUCUUAUAUAAGAUACUUACAAUAAAUUGGUGAUGCAAAAUGUCAACUGUUUGUACCAUACUUGACCAAUCCCGAAACUACUGAGCACCGGUCAACGUUAUACCGUCAAGGACCCAGAAGAGCUUCCCUUCAACCAGGAGGCCAAUCACAAUGCGACACGUGUCGACAUCAGAAGCCAAUCACAGCUCGACACGUGUCAACAUCAGAAGCCAAUUACAACACGACACGUGUCAAUGUUAGAACAAAACUAGAAACUCUCUUCUAUAAAUAGGGAUCAUUCUCCCACAAUAAUCUCUAAUGUCAUUUUGUACUAAACUAUUCACUAGAACUCACAAAAUGAGAGCUUGAACCUAUGUAUUUGUGUAAACCCUUCACAAUUAAUGAGAACUCCUCUACUCCGUGGACAUAGCCGAUCUGGGUGAACCACGUACAUCUUGUGUUUGCUUCCCUGUCCCUAUUCAUUUACGUACUUAUCUUCACUAGUGAUCGAAGCAACCAAGCGAAGGUCACAAACCUGACACUUUCUGUUGUACCAAAGUCCUCGCUGAUUUUGUGCAUCAACAUUUGGCGCCGUCUGUGGGAAACGACACUUAUUCCCACUCUCUUCAGCUUUGUCAAGCUGGUUUCCACUGCUCGUACACUCUCUUUUGGCCAAGCAUCUCUCUCCGACAUGGGGAGCGAAAGAAGCCAUAGCACACAGAAUGACACCCCCAUUGGACCUAGUAUGAAGCAACGAAAGCAGGAAGGAAAUAGAGUUACUCUUCAAGCUAAAGUUGAUGAGUUAGAAGCUCAGAACAACAAGAUAGUGAUGAGGAACGAGGUUCUCCAGGAGCAGUAUGAAAAACGUUUUGAGAUGCUUCACGAGGCUAGGCAUGCUCAAGCACACAAGCUUGUCGCCCCUGCUGAGGUCAACAAUCAUCUGAAUGCCCCCCAACACGAAGGGUCACCGAUAUCCAACACGGACAUCCCUGAUAAGGAUCGAGCUACACAUCAAUGUGAUAAUCAACAUGAGACUUCUCUCAACCCAGCUGCUUCAACCCGAAGCAGAAGGAGUAGAGGAAAGCACCUCCUCACAAAAGGAGUGGAAGGAUCAAAAGCCGUCUAUCGCGAUUGUCGAGACUUCCUAAAGCAACGUCGAGAGAAUCCCAUCCACAUAAGCUCGAAGAUCAAUGACCCAAGAGUUUCUGAAAGACUCGGUCCUCUCCCACGACCCAGGCCAGCAGUUAAUCUAGGGAAUGGGCAACAAGUCCCAGAAGAACAUGAAGGUACAGGGGACUCGGAAAUGUUCCGACAUACUCACUCUAGGAGUCAGUGUGAUGAGUCCAAGGAAAAAUCACGUUAUCUUGAUCAAACUUUCCUACUUACAAGAGGCGAUGGGGACUUACGGAAGAAACCUUCAGUGGUGCACGACUCCACUCAGGACCCCCUUGUCCUACAGCUCCUGGAGGAAGUAAACAAGUUGAAGGCUGAACGUCAAGCCGAGAUACCUGACUGGAACCAACCCAGGCCUGGGCCCCUCACAAGAAGGAUCCUCAACACCCCCCUCCAAGCAAAGACAAAGCAGAAGCUUGGCUUACAACUCUAUACUGGAAAGGAAGACCCGAUUGAACACCUUAACCUCUUUGAGUCCACCAUGGUAUACCGGAGACACACCGACGAAGAACGGUGCCUUCUCUUCCCCUCCACCCUCUCUGGCUGAGCUUUAAAUUGGUAUUGCCGUCUUCCGCCUGAGACAGUAGACUCAUUUGAAGAGUUGAGGAAGCUGUUUGUCUCUCAACACAUCUUCCAGACCGAUCGCUUGCAUUCCGCAGAUGACUUGUACACUAUUCGCCAGAAGCCAGAUGAGUCAUUACGAAAGUAUGCUGGCCGCUUCAGCCAUGAGUAUUCUCGUUGCGCUGAGGCAGAUGACAAGACUGCCCUCAAGGCCUUCACGACAGGCUUACGUGACUGUUUCUUCAAGUACAUGAUCAAUGCCAACACUUGGAAGACUUACUCUGAGGUGAUGACACAAGCUUACAACCAUGCCUCAGCCGAGGCAAGGACAUAUCAAGGGAAACCCCUUACAGUAACCCCUUAUCAGCAAGUAGGGAGUGGAGGCCAGAUCCAACCAAAUGAGAAGACCUCAACCUUCCAAACGGUAGCAGCACACCCCCUGCCUCAUUUAAUGCUUCGCCAAGUCAGCAGACAUAUCAAUCCCAGGGCAAAAGGAAAGAUUUCCAUCCUCACCAAUCUCAUUUUAAUAAAAAGAAUAAGGGGCACUAUCGCGAUAACUCAGGAUAUCGUCACAAUAACGCCCGUCCCCAAGCAGUCAAUGCAGUGGGCCAAUCACGUGUCAAGACAGGCCCUACCCUCGGUAUGAGACAUACACACCUUUGAACGCUACAUGCGCGGCCAUCUACCCCAGUAUAGCUCAUUUGAUACCAAAGCCAAAGCCAAGACAGCCAGAUUACAAGUCCACGAAAAACACGGGCAUGUUUUGCUGCUACCACGAGUAUAAUGGCCAUGAUGGCGAGAAGUGCGUCAUCCUCCGUGAUCAUAUUGAAGCUUUGGCACGUGAAGGAAAAAUUGAUCAGUUCCUCCUUCACCCUCCAAAGGAUAACCGUAACCAACGCCAGGUGAAUGUGAUAUAUUCUAUAAGCGGCGGCAUACCUAUGUCUGAAUCUUCCAAUAGGGCCAUGAAAAACAGUGAACAAACUUUGAGACCUGGCCAUCAAGUGUUUCACGUGGAAGACAUCAGGGGAGGCAAGUAUCAAAAGCCUAACUGGGAUCCAAUAUGUUUCUACCCUGAGGAAGAAAGAGGUAUCAUCUACCCUCACAACGACCCGCUGAUCGUGGAGGCUCACAUAGCAAAUUUUGAUGUGAAACGAAUCCUGAUAGACACAGGUGCUUCAGUCAAUAUCAUGUUUGCUGAAGCUUUCAAGGCACUUAAUGUAGCUGAACACUUGCUCGAUCGCUCGAUUUCUCCUCUGAUAAGCUUCUCUGGCGAUAUCGUGCAACCUUUAGGGAGUAUACACUUACCCUUCACCAUUGGUACAGGCCCCUACACAGCUAUUAUUACCACUAACUUCCUAGUGGUCAAUUGCCCGACGGCAUACAAUGUCAUCUUUGGGCGCACAGGCAUCAAUGAUCUCAAGGCCAUGGUAUCCAUACAUAUGUUGUUGAUGAAGUUUCCAACCCCUUUCGGCAAUGGAUACAUCAGGGGAGAUCAACUUAGUGCUCGAUCAUGUUACAACACUUCAGUUAAGCAACAACACCUGCCUGUCCCCAAGGAGACCCUCUCUAUACAUAACCAGGUAGUAAAGACCAGUCCAGAUGAAGCCAACUUGAAUCUUCAUGAUGGCAACAGUCAACCCGACGACCCUCGAGAUGACUCAUUCACCCAGCAAGCACAACCCGCUGAAGAGUUAGAGAAUGUCUCUAUCUCCAAAGACCAUCCAAAUCGCAUGGUGAAGAUUGGCACCACUUUGUCACCACCCCUUCGGUUGUCGCUGAUCUCUUUUUUGUAAGAGAACACCGAGGUCUUCGCUUGGUCAUAUAAAGAUAUGCCGGGCAUCUCUCCCGAUAUCAUCUGUCACCACUUGAGUAUUGAUCUCAAGACCAAACCAGUAAAACAGAAGCGAAGAUCUUAUGAUGUUGAACGAUACGAGGCGAUGAAAGCAGAAGUGAAAAACUCAAGGACAUAGGCUUCGUCCGUGAAGUCAAUUACCCAACAUGGGUAGCAAAUGUUGUCCUUAUUAAGAAAAAUCCGACCAAGGAAAGUCUCUUGCUUCAGAAGGUCUUGUGGAGAAUGUGUGUCGACUACACCGACCUAAACAAAGGAUGCCCGAAGGAUAGUUUCCCCCUUCCUCUCAUUGAUAGACUUAUAGACUCUACGGCAGGGUGUGAGCUCUUGAGCUUCAUGGACGCUUAUUCAGGAUACAACCAAAUCCUCAUGAACCCCUCAGACCAAGAACACACAGCCUUCACUACUGACAGGGGACUAUAUUGCUACAAAGUCAUGCCUUUCGGCCUAAAGAAUGCAGGAGCAACUUAUCAGAGACUGGUCAAUUCAAUGUUCGCCGAACAGAUUGGGAAGAGCAUGGAAGUUUACGUUGAUGAUAUGUUAGUCAAGAGCAAACAUGCUGACCAACACAUCACCAACCUAUCUGAAACUUUCACCAUUCUAAAGAGGUAUCGAAUGAGGUUGAACCCCAACAAAUGUGCCUUCGGCGUGGGCUCUGGCAAAUUCUUAAGCUUCAUGAUUAGCCAACGAGGCAUUGAAGCUAACCCCGAAAAGAUCAAAGCAAUCCUCGACAUGAAAGAGCCAGUAACUUCAAAAGACAUCCAAAGCCUUACUGGCAAGGUGGCAGCCUUAACCAGAUUCAUCUCUAAGGCCACAGACAGAUGUGCUCCUUUCUUCAAAACAUUCAAGGGAAAUAAGAAAUACAUUACAUGGACGGAGGAAUGUGCCAAGGCAUUCAGGAACCUCAAAGAGUACAUGAGUAAAGCCCAUCUGCUCUCCAAACCAGAAGUUGGUGAUACUCUCAUUAUCUAUCUAUCAGUUUCGGCUUCAGCAGUCAGUUCUGUUCUUAUUCGAAAGGACAGUGGUGUCGAACGGCCCGUCUACUAUGCUAGCAAGGCCCUACAAGAUGCGGAGACACGAUACUCCAACAUUGAGAAAUUAGCUCUAGCAUUGGUCAUGUCUGCUCGAAAACUUUGCCCUUAUUUCCAAGCACACGCCAUCAUCGUGCUUACCAAUCACCCUCUUCGACAGAUACUCCAGAGUCCUGACACGUCUGGGUGAAUGAUUAAAUGGGCGAUAGCAUUGGGUGAGUUUGACAUCUCCUACCAACCAAAACCAGCCGAAAAAGGGCAAGCAGUAGCAGAUUUCAUCGCCGACUUCACAUAUCCUGUUGACAUUGCUUCUACACCUGAAGCAGUAGCUUCAUUACCAUCGGAAACUCAGAAGAUAGAAUCAACAACCCCAUCAUGGAGUCUGUAUGUUGAUGGCUCAUCCAACCAACAGGGCUGCGGAGCAGGAUUAGUCCUCACUACCCCGGACAAAGUGGCGAUAGAAUACGCUUUUCGUUUCAAAUUCAAGGCAUCGAACAAUGAGGCCGAAUACGAAGCCCUUCUAGCAGGCUUACGUUUGGCCAAGCACCUUGGGGUUAAACAAAUUGAUAUCUUCAGUGACUCCCAAUUAGUGGUCAACCAAGUCACGAACAACUUUGAUGCUAAGGAUAGCUCCAUGGCAGCAUAUCUUGCGCAAACACGACUUUUGCUCAAGCACUUCCACUACCAGAUCACCCAAGUUCCUCGAGCGGCAAACAGUCAUGCAGACGCUUUAGCUCGCCUCGCCUCGGCAGUGGAAGACAAGAUUGGGAGAAAAAUUCAUGUCGAAUUGUUGGCAGCACCAAGCACCAUGGUCGCGGAGGUGUGCAAUUUACAACAAUGAGAUAGUUGGAUCACCCCAAUUUAUAAAUUCCUUGCCCAUGGCACCCUUCCAAAUGACAAAGUCCAAGCUAAGCAGAUUCGAUACAAGUCUGCCCGCUACCUGAUCAUUAAUGACUAACUCUACAAGCGCGGUUUUACCCUGCCAUACCUAAGAUGCCUUACACCUGCGGAGGCGGAAAUUGUCCUUCGGGAAAUACAUGAAGGAGUCUGCGGAGAUCAUGCUGGGUCUCGGUCCCUAGCACACAAGACUUUUCGCCAAGGAUACUAUUGGCCAACACUCCACCAAGAUGCCAUCAGAAUAUCUCGCUCAUGUGAUAAGUGUCAACGCUACACAACUAUCCCUCACUCCCCUCCCGAGCCGCUUACUCCUAUGAUCAACCCUUGGCCCUUCGCCCAAUGGGGACUUGAUUUGAUCGGCCCAAUGCCUGUAGGGAAGGGCAAAGUCCGCUAUGCAAUCGUUGCAGUUGACUACUUCACAAAGUGGGCUGAAGUAGAACCCUUGGCAACCAUUACUGAGGGAAAAAUAGAAGACUUCGUAUGGAAGAACAUCCUCUGCAGAUUCGGCAUUCCCAAUGCGAUAGUCACGGACAAUGGGCGGCAGUUCGACAACAAGAAGUUCAAGAUGUUUUGCUCUAAGUUCAACAUCAACUUAUGUUUUGCCUCUCCAGCCCAUCCCCAGUCUAAUGGACAAGUCGAGGCCGUUAACAAAAUAAUCAAGCGCAUUCUGAAAACUAGCUUGGACAAAGCUAAAGGUUGUUGGCCAGAAUUCGUACCCCAAGUUCUUUGGUCAUACCGCACUUCAUAUCGGACUUCCACAGGAGAAACUCCAUUCUCACUUGCUUUUGGUACAGAAGCAGUUGUCCUGGUUGAGCUUGAGCAAGCAACAUACCGAAUCCAGAAUUACAUGCAGAGUGAGAACGACAAACAACUCACCCUCAACCUGGAUCUAGUCGAGGAACACAGAAAUCAGGCUCACCUGAGGAAUGUCGCCUACAAGCAGCGCAUUUCCAACUACUACGACUCAAGGGUCAAACCUCGCUCUUUCAAAGUGGGAGACUGGGUACUGAAGAAAAGAUUACUAUGUGAUAGGGUCCCGAGUGAAGGAACACUCAGUCCUAACUGGGACGGACCGUUCGAGGUCGUCGGCAUCAGCCGCCCUGGCUCCUACAAGCUCAGAAACUCCGACUGCAAGACCCUUGGCCAUCCAUGGAAUGCUGACCACUUGAAGUAUUAUUACAAAUAGACUCACAUUGUACAAGUGUUAAGCUACAUCCGUUCGGCAUCCUAUGUAACAAAGACCAUUUGGUAUGAAUUCAAUAAAGAGGUGAUUUAGCCAACUCGGCCCUAAACUCUUUUACAUUCUGAGCAAUGAAACACUCAAGUGUUGAAGCUUCAACGCAAAUGUUUCCAAUACAAAAUCAAAUCUAAGUAUGUGUCAACAAGACUAUACAAAGGAUCUAUGCAAACAUAGUCAAACAUUCAUCAAUGAUAGGGCAAACACUUGAAGCUUGAUAAUGCAAACACUUGAAGCUUGACAAUACAAACACUUGCUUGAUAAUGCAAACACUCAUAAACAUACAAAACAAAAAAAACUCUCAGGCUUAUAACAUGGCACAUGCCAUACAAACAACAAACUAGUGUAGGUAGAGUACAUGCAGAAAGUGAAAGCACUUCUAGUCAUCCUCAUCUGAGGUUGAACCCCUGAUCAUAUCACUAUGAGUCCUACCGCCAUUUUCUGCAUUUCCAAACUCAUCAUCACCCUGAUGACUCUGCUCAUCAGCACUAGCCUCAUCACCAGACUCAUCUGCACUGCUAGAAUAAACGGCAAGGUUGAAGGUUUCACCUUUUCGAUGAUGCUCAUCUAUUUCUUCACGAUAUUUUCGAAGAACGCUUCCAUCAUCAUAACGAUCAAGGACAGCCAUCCAUUUCCUUUUUUCAAAGUGAACUUCCCGGGUACAGCGAGGUCUAAGGACAUGGAGAAAGGCCGGGGAACCCAAGAACUCCUUCACAGCAGCUUCCUUCUCAGUCGGGAUACUACUCUUCAGCUCAGAAACCUCAACCAAGGCACUAUCCAACUCCCCUUUAACCUUGGAAACCUCGAGCAAAGUUGUCUCCAACUGUUUCUUAGUCGCCUCCAACUGUACUUUGAGUCUCAAGUUCUCACCAUUCCGCCUCUUCAAACUCUCAAAAUGUUGAUCCCUGACUUCAAUGGCCUUAGCCAAAGCUUUGCUCGUCUUCCUGGCAUCAUUCACAAGCUGCUUAUUCUCUUUCAGUUUCACCUUGCACCGCUCAGCCUCUCGCAGUCUGUCGUGAUACUCAGUCAUGACCUGCAUGACAAGACGAUCAUCGCUACCAAAAUAAUGCUAAUAAAGAGGAGAAAACAAGGAAAUGACAAAGUAACACUCACAUAUGAAGACAGCUUCAACAUCCGGUCACAAUCCGAUUCAUCUUUAGCUAAAGGCUCUCCGAGCUCAUCGAAAGUGAAUCGACGCCCUGCCAGGCAAUUGUUGAUAUACCCAAAGUCCUUUGGUCGCAUGGCAACCUUCAAAUCCUUCCAAGGGACACUGCCAACCUCUUCUUUAUCUUUACCCUUGCUGCUAGAACUAGGAUCACCUUUCUGCCCAAUGUGCUCCCUAACUGGAGGAAAGAUAGGAUUGAUAGUAGGAAGAUGAGGCAACAAUCGCCUAUCUUCCCCGGCAACUAUGGCAGCAGCACAUCCAAUGGCCUCAGCUUCAGCUUUCUUCGAGGCAGCAACCUUGAGGACUUCUUCUCGAGACUUAGUUUUAAUGAUUGGUCUCACUCGGUGCUUGCGAGCUUCCUUGUGAAACAGGAUGUCUUCUGAAGGAACUAACAUGGGCAUUCUCCUUUUCUUGGUGCUAGUCUCCACUUUCUUGCCCACCUUCUCCACUGAACAAGGAAAAUCAAAGUAAGGAAUACCACAUUAUAUAUCUAUAUAAAAAAAAAAAGGGAAGAACAAGGAUCAAGUGAGGAUACAACUUACUCGCUCGUCUCUGGCACUCGGAAACUAAGGGCUGGAAACCGUACUUUCGAAACAAGGGUCGUAGCUUACCCAAGUGUCUAUCUUCUUUAGGCACCCUCAGCACUUUCUCUACAUCAGCUAGCUCCUGUCCGGAGAGUUUGAUGGUGCCUCGUGUCACUGCAUGAAGAAAAAUCUUAGAAGCAAGAGAAAAUCACAACAAUAGCAAAUAAUGAGAAAAUGGAUACAUUACAACCUACAGUCUGGAAGUGAGUAGGAACACGUCGCUCAGGCGUGACACCCUUAGCAUGCUCCCAAUCAUUAUAAAGAAAGCACCAACGUUUCUUCCAUGUGCAGUACGCCUUUCUCUUAUCAAAGACAACACGCUCUCUCUCACUCCGACAUGCACAUUCAGCAUAACCAGUACAUGCUUUCACCGGGCGCAUCUUAUAACAGUAGCGCCACUGAUGGAAGGAAGGUUCACCUAAUCCACACUCCAUCCAUAUAAUAUAAAACCCGAUCAAGGUAUCCCAGAAACCGGGGUUGAGUUGCCCCGGUGCAUAACCAAUAAAAGACAGCAUCCGUUGCAACCACGGAUGCAAAGGUAAAUUUACCCCCAAGGUCACUAAUGUCUGGGUAUAGAACAUAACAUGACCCGUGGGCGGCUCAGAAGGCAAUUCUUCACAACGCACCAAACGUAUUCCUACACUACGGGGGAUACUACAUGAUCGCCUUAGGGCCUCAAGCUGCUUUUCGAUAUCUAACAAGUUAUUUUCUAAAUGGUCCGCUGUGAACUCAGAGCGAAAUAUGGGUAUGGCGUCACAAACAACCCCCUCACCCACUAGCAUGGAGGAAGAACCAAUAUUGGCUAAGGUUUGACAAUUGUGAGGAUCAGAACGAAAUAUGGGUAUGGCGUCACAAACAAACCCCCUCACCCACUAGCAUGGAGGAAGAACCAAUAUUGGCUAAGGCUUGACAAUUAUGAGGAUCAUCCAACGUUUCUUUCAUACCAGACUCUAACAAAGGCCAUGAAGACCCUGACAUGGCAGGCUCAAACCUAGAGCUAGAGCUAGGGGAGCCCUCAUCACUAAGACUUCCAGACUCCGACAUCUACAAACAAACAGAAACAAACUCUAUCACUACAUGAAGGAUCAAAACAUAAGGAAGCUCAUAGGGCAUGCAGAAAAGCUCAACCAGUUCCUUAUGUUCUUAACAGAAUACAUGAACACUCAAACAAUNNNNNNNNNNNNNNNNNNNNNNNNNNNNNNNNNNNNNNNNNNNNNNNNNNNNNNNNNNNNNNNNNNNNNNNNNNNNNNNNNNNNNNNNNNNNNNNNNNNNNNNNNNNNNNNNNNNNNNNNNNNNNNNNNNNNNNNNNNNNNNNNNNNNNNNNNNNNNNNNNNNNNNNNNNNNNNNNNNNNNNNNNNNNNNNNNNNNNNNNNNNNNNNNNNNNNNNNNNNNNNNNNNNNNNNNNNNNNNNNNNNNNNNNNNNNNNNNNNNNNNNNNNNNNNNNNNNNNNNNNNNNNNNNNNNNNNNNNNNNNNNNNNNNNNNNNNNNNNNNNNNNNNNNNNNNNNNNNNNNNNNNNNNNNNNNNNNNNNNNNNNNNNNNNNNNNNNNNNNNNNNNNNNNNNNNNNNNNNNNNNNNNNNNNNNNNNNNNNNNNNNNNNNNNNNNNNNNNNNNNNNNNNNNNNNNNNNNNNNNNNNNNNNNNNNNNNNNNNNNNNNNNNNNNNNNNNNNNNNNNNNNNNNNNNNNNNNNNNNNNNNNNNNNNNNNNNNNNNNNNNNNNNNNNNNNNNNNNNNNNNNNNNNNNNNNNNNNNNNNNNNNNNNNNNNNNNNNNNNNNNNNNNNNNNNNNNNNNNNNNNNNNNNNNNNNNNNNNNNNNNNNNNNNNNNNNNNNNNNNNNNNNNNNNNNNNNNNNNNNNNNNNNNNNNNNNNNNNNNNNNNNNNNNNNNNNNNNNNNNNNNNNNNNNNNNNNNNNNNNNNNNNNNNNNNNNNNNNNNNNNNNNNNNNNNNNNNNNNNNNNNNNNNNNNNNNNNNNNNNNNNNNNNNNNNNNNNNNNNNNNNNNNNNNNNNNNNNNNNNNNNNNNNNNNNNNNNNNNNNNNNNNNNNNNNNNNNNNNNNNNNNNNNNNNNNNNNNNNNNNNNNNNNNNNNNNNNNNNNNNNNNNNNNNNNNNNNNNNNNNNNNNNNNNNNNNNNNNNNNNNNNNNNNNNNNNNNNNNNNNNNNNNNNNNNNNNNNNNNNNNNNNNNNNNNNNNNNNNNNNNNNNNNNNNNNNNNNNNNNNNNNNNNNNNNNNNNNNNNNNNNNNNNNNNNNNNNNNNNNNNNNNNNNNNNNNNNNNNNNNNNNNNNNNNNNNNNNNNNNNNNNNNNNNNNNNNNNNNNNNNNNNNNNNNNNNNNNNNNNNNNNNNNNNNNNNNNNNNNNNNNNNNNNNNNNNNNNNNNNNNNNNNNNNNNNNNNNNNNNNNNNNNNNNNNNNNNNNNNNNNNNNNNNNNNNNNNNNNNNNNNNNNNNNNNNNNNNNNNNNNNNNNNNNNNNNNNNNNNNNNNNNNNNNNNNNNNNNNNNNNNNNNNNNNNNNNNNNNNNNNNNNNNNNNNNNNNNNNNNNNNNNNNNNNNNNNNNNNNNNNNNNNNNNNNNNNNNNNNNNNNNNNNNNNNNNNNNNNNNNNNNNNNNNNNNNNNNNNNNNNNNNNNNNNNNNNNNNNNNNNNNNNNNNNNNNNNNNNNNNNNNNNNNNNNNNNNNNNNNNNNNNNNNNNNNNNNNNNNNNNNNNNNNNNNNNNNNNNNNNNNNNNNNNNNNNNNNNNNNNNNNNNNNNNNNNNNNNNNNNNNNNNNNNNNNNNNNNNNNNNNNNNNNNNNNNNNNNNNNNNNNNNNNNNNNNNNNNNNNNNNNNNNNNNNNNNNNNNNNNNNNNNNNNNNNNNNNNNNNNNNNNNNNNNNNNNNNNNNNNNNNNNNNNNNNNNNNNNNNNNNNNNNNNNNNNNNNNNNNNNNNNNNNNNNNNNNNNNNNNNNNNNNNNNNNNNNNNNNNNNNNNNNNNNNNNNNNNNNNNNNNNNNNNNNNNNNNNNNNNNNNNNNNNNNNNNNNNNNNNNNNNNNNNNNNNNNNNNNNNNNNNNNNNNNNNNNNNNNNNNNNNNNNNNNNNNNNNNNNNNNNNNNNNNNNNNNNNNNNNNNNNNNNNNNNNNNNNNNNNNNNNNNNNNNNNNNNNNNNNNNNNNNNNNNNNNNNNNNNNNNNNNNNNNNNNNNNNNNNNNNNNNNNNNNNNNNNNNNNNNNNNNNNNNNNNNNNNNNNNNNNNNNNNNNNNNNNNNNNNNNNNNNNNNNNNNNNNNNNNNNNNNNNNNNNNNNNNNNNNNNNNNNNNNNNNNNNNNNNNNNNNNNNNNNNNNNNNNNNNNNNNNNNNNNNNNNNNNNNNNNNNNNNNNNNNNNNNNNNNNNNNNNNNNNNNNNNNNNNNNNNNNNNNNNNNNNNNNNNNNNNNNNNNNNNNNNNNNNNNNNNNNNNNNNNNNNNNNNNNNNNNNNNNNNNNNNNNNNNNNNNNNNNNNNNNNNNNNNNNNNNNNNNNNNNNNNNNNNNNNNNNNNNNNNNNNNNNNNNNNNNNNNNNNNNNNNNNNNNNNNNNNNNNNNNNNNNNNNNNNNNNNNNNNNNNNNNNNNNNNNNNNNNNNNNNNNNNNNNNNNNNNNNNNNNNNNNNNNNNNNNNNNNNNNNNNNNNNNNNNNNNNNNNNNNNNNNNNNNNNNNNNNNNNNNNNNNNNNNNNNNNNNNNNNNNNNNNNNNNNNNNNNNNNNNNNNNNNNNNNNNNNNNNNNNNNNNNNNNNNNNNNNNNNNNNNNNNNNNNNNNNNNNNNNNNNNNNNNNNNNNNNNNNNNNNNNNNNNNNNNNNNNNNNNNNNNNNNNNNNNNNNNNNNNNNNNNNNNNNNNNNNNNNNNNNNNNNNNNNNNNNNNNNNNNNNNNNNNNNNNNNNNNNNNNNNNNNNNNNNNNNNNNNNNNNNNNNNNNNNNNNNNNNNNNNNNNNNNNNNNNNNNNNNNNNNNNNNNNNNNNNNNNNNNNNNNNNNNNNNNNNNNNNNNNNNNNNNNNNNNNNNNNNNNNNNNNNNNNNNNNNNNNNNNNNNNNNNNNNNNNNNNNNNNNNNNNNNNNNNNNNNNNNNNNNNNNNNNNNNNNNNNNNNNNNNNNNNNNNNNNNNNNNNNNNNNNNNNNNNNNNNNNNNNNNNNNNNNNNNNNNNNNNNNNNNNNNNNNNNNNNNNNNNNNNNNNNNNNNNNNNNNNNNNNNNNNNNNNNNNNNNNNNNNNNNNNNNNNNNNNNNNNNNNNNNNNNNNNNNNNNNNNNNNNNNNNNNNNNNNNNNNNNNNNNNNNNNNNNNNNNNNNNNNNNNNNNNNNNNNNNNNNNNNNNNNNNNNNNNNNNNNNNNNNNNNNNNNNNNNNNNNNNNNNNNNNNNNNNNNNNNNNNNNNNNNNNNNNNNNNNNNNNNNNNNNNNNNNNNNNNNNNNNNNNNNNNNNNNNNNNNNNNNNNNNNNNNNNNNNNNNNNNNNNNNNNNNNNNNNNNNNNNNNNNNNNNNNNNNNNNNNNNNNNNNNNNNNNNNNNNNNNNNNNNNNNNNNNNNNNNNNNNNNNNNNNNNNNNNNNNNNNNNNNNNNNNNNNNNNNNNNNNNNNNNNNNNNNNNNNNNNNNNNNNNNNNNNNNNNNNNNNNNNNNNNNNNNNNNNNNNNNNNNNNNNNNNNNNNNNNNNNNNNNNNNNNNNNNNNNNNNNNNNNNNNNNNNNNNNNNNNNNNNNNNNNNNNNNNNNNNNNNNNNNNNNNNNNNNNNNNNNNNNNNNNNNNNNNNNNNNNNNNNNNNNNNNNNNNNNNNNNNNNNNNNNNNNNNNNNNNNNNNNNNNNNNNNNNNNNNNNNNNNNNNNNNNNNNNNNNNNNNNNNNNNNNNNNNNNNNNNNNNNNNNNNNNNNNNNNNNNNNNNNNNNNNNNNNNNNNNNNNNNNNNNNNNNNNNNNNNNNNNNNNNNNNNNNNNNNNNNNNNNNNNNNNNNNNNNNNNNNNNNNNNNNNNNNNNNNNNNNNNNNNNNNNNNNNNNNNNNNNNNNNNNNNNNNNNNNNNNNNNNNNNNNNNNNNNNNNNNNNNNNNNNNNNNNNNNNNNNNNNNNNNNNNNNNNNNNNNNNNNNNNNNNNNNNNNNNNNNNNNNNNNNNNNNNNNNNNNNNNNNNNNNNNNNNNNNNNNNNNNNNNNNNNNNNNNNNNNNNNNNNNNNNNNNNNNNNNNNNNNNNNNNNNNNNNNNNNNNNNNNNNNNNNNNNNNNNNNNNNNNNNNNNNNNNNNNNNNNNNNNNNNNNNNNNNNNNNNNNNNNNNNNNNNNNNNNNNNNNNNNNNNNNNNNNNNNNNNNNNNNNNNNNNNNNNNNNNNNNNNNNNNNNNNNNNNNNNNNNNNNNNNNNNNNNNNNNNNNNNNNNNNNNNNNNNNNNNNNNNNNNNNNNNNNNNNNNNNNNNNNNNNNNNNNNNNNNNNNNNNNNNNNNNNNNNNNNNNNNNNNNNNNNNNNNNNNNNNNNNNNNNNNNNNNNNNNNNNNNNNNNNNNNNNNNNNNNNNNNNNNNNNNNNNNNNNNNNNNNNNNNNNNNNNNNNNNNNNNNNNNNNNNNNNNNNNNNNNNNNNNNNNNNNNNNNNNNNNNNNNNNNNNNNNNNNNNNNNNNNNNNNNNNNNNNNNNNNNNNNNNNNNNNNNNNNNNNNNNNNNNNNNNNNNNNNNNNNNNNNNNNNNNNNNNNNNNNNNNNNNNNNNNNNNNNNNNNNNNNNNNNNNNNNNNNNNNNNNNNNNNNNNNNNNNNNNNNNNNNNNNNNNNNNNNNNNNNNNNNNNNNNNNNNNNNNNNNNNNNNNNNNNNNNNNNNNNNNNNNNNNNNNNNNNNNNNNNNNNNNNNNNNNNNNNNNNNNNNNNNNNNNNNNNNNNNNNNNNNNNNNNNNNNNNNNNNNNNNNNNNNNNNNNNNNNNNNNNNNNNNNNNNNNNNNNNNNNNNNNNNNNNNNNNNNNNNNNNNNNNNNNNNNNNNNNNNNNNNNNNNNNNNNNNNNNNNNNNNNNNNNNNNNNNNNNNNNNNNNNNNNNNNNNNNNNNNNNNNNNNNNNNNNNNNNNNNNNNNNNNNNNNNNNNNNNNNNNNNNNNNNNNNNNNNNNNNNNNNNNNNNNNNNNNNNNNNNNNNNNNNNNNNNNNNNNNNNNNNNNNNNNNNNNNNNNNNNNNNNNNNNNNNNNNNNNNNNNNNNNNNNNNNNNNNNNNNNNNNNNNNNNNNNNNNNNNNNNNNNNNNNNNNNNNNNNNNNNNNNNNNNNNNNNNNNNNNNNNNNNNNNNNNNNNNNNNNNNNNNNNNNNNNNNNNNNNNNNNNNNNNNNNNNNNNNNNNNNNNNNNNNNNNNNNNNNNNNNNNNNNNNNNNNNNNNNNNNNNNNNNNNNNNNNNNNNNNNNNNNNNNNNNNNNNNNNNNNNNNNNNNNNNNNNNNNNNNNNNNNNNNNNNNNNNNNNNNNNNNNNNNNNNNNNNNNNNNNNNNNNNNNNNNNNNNNNNNNNNNNNNNNNNNNNNNNNNNNNNNNNNNNNNNNNNNNNNNNNNNNNNNNNNNNNNNNNNNNNNNNNNNNNNNNNNNNNNNNNNNNNNNNNNNNNNNNNNNNNNNNNNNNNNNNNNNNNNNNNNNNNNNNNNNNNNNNNNNNNNNNNNNNNNNNNNNNNNNNNNNNNNNNNNNNNNNNNNNNNNNNNNNNNNNNNNNNNNNNNNNNNNNNNNNNNNNNNNNNNNNNNNNNNNNNNNNNNNNNNNNNNNNNNNNNNNNNNNNNNNNNNNNNNNNNNNNNNNNNNNNNNNNNNNNNNNNNNNNNNNNNNNNNNNNNNNNNNNNNNNNNNNNNNNNNNNNNNNNNNNNNNNNNNNNNNNNNNNNNNNNNNNNNNNNNNNNNNNNNNNNNNNNNNNNNNNNNNNNNNNNNNNNNNNNNNNNNNNNNNNNNNNNNNNNNNNNNNNNNNNNNNNNNNNNNNNNNNNNNNNNNNNNNNNNNNNNNNNNNNNNNNNNNNNNNNNNNNNNNNNNNNNNNNNNNNNNNNNNNNNNNNNNNNNNNNNNNNNNNNNNNNNNNNNNNNNNNNNNNNNNNNNNNNNNNNNNNNNNNNNNNNNNNNNNNNNNNNNNNNNNNNNNNNNNNNNNNNNNNNNNNNNNNNNNNNNNNNNNNNNNNNNNNNNNNNNNNNNNNNNNNNNNNNNNNNNNNNNNNNNNNNNNNNNNNNNNNNNNNNNNNNNNNNNNNNNNNNNNNNNNNNNNNNNNNNNNNNNNNNNNNNNNNNNNNNNNNNNNNNNNNNNNNNNNNNNNNNNNNNNNNNNNNNNNNNNNNNNNNNNNNNNNNNNNNNNNNNNNNNNNNNNNNNNNNNNNNNNNNNNNNNNNNNNNNNNNNNNNNNNNNNNNNNNNNNNNNNNNNNNNNNNNNNNNNNNNNNNNNNNNNNNNNNNNNNNNNNNNNNNNNNNNNNNNNNNNNNNNNNNNNNNNNNNNNNNNNNNNNNNNNNNNNNNNNNNNNNNNNNNNNNNNNNNNNNNNNNNNNNNNNNNNNNNNNNNNNNNNNNNNNNNNNNNNNNNNNNNNNNNNNNNNNNNNNNNNNNNNNNNNNNNNNNNNNNNNNNNNNNNNNNNNNNNNNNNNNNNNNNNNNNNNNNNNNNNNNNNNNNNNNNNNNNNNNNNNNNNNNNNNNNNNNNNNNNNNNNNNNNNNNNNNNNNNNNNNNNNNNNNNNNNNNNNNNNNNNNNNNNNNNNNNNNNNNNNNNNNNNNNNNNNNNNNNNNNNNNNNNNNNNNNNNNNNNNNNNNNNNNNNNNNNNNNNNNNNNNNNNNNNNNNNNNNNNNNNNNNNNNNNNNNNNNNNNNNNNNNNNNNNNNNNNNNNNNNNNNNNNNNNNNNNNNNNNNNNNNNNNNNNNNNNNNNNNNNNNNNNNNNNNNNNNNNNNNNNNNNNNNNNNNNNNNNNNNNNNNNNNNNNNNNNNNNNNNNNNNNNNNNNNNNNNNNNNNNNNNNNNNNNNNNNNNNNNNNNNNNNNNNNNNNNNNNNNNNNNNNNNNNNNNNNNNNNNNNNNNNNNNNNNNNNNNNNNNNNNNNNNNNNNNNNNNNNNNNNNNNNNNNNNNNNNNNNNNNNNNNNNNNNNNNNNNNNNNNNNNNNNNNNNNNNNNNNNNNNNNNNNNNNNNNNNNNNNNNNNNNNNNNNNNNNNNNNNNNNNNNNNNNNNNNNNNNNNNNNNNNNNNNNNNNNNNNNNNNNNNNNNNNNNNNNNNNNNNNNNNNNNNNNNNNNNNNNNNNNNNNNNNNNNNNNNNNNNNNNNNNNNNNNNNNNNNNNNNNNNNNNNNNNNNNNNNNNNNNNNNNNNNNNNNNNNNNNNNNNNNNNNNNNNNNNNNNNNNNNNNNNNNNNNNNNNNNNNNNNNNNNNNNNNNNNNNNNNNNNNNNNNNNNNNNNNNNNNNNNNNNNNNNNNNNNNNNNNNNNNNNNNNNNNNNNNNNNNNNNNNNNNNNNNNNNNNNNNNNNNNNNNNNNNNNNNNNNNNNNNNNNNNNNNNNNNNNNNNNNNNNNNNNNNNNNNNNNNNNNNNNNNNNNNNNNNNNNNNNNNNNNNNNNNNNNNNNNNNNNNNNNNNNNNNNNNNNNNNNNNNNNNNNNNNNNNNNNNNNNNNNNGCUCUUCNNNNNNNNNNNNNNNNNNNNNNNNNNNNNNNNNNNNNNNNNNNNNNNNNNNNNNNNNNNNNNNNNNNNNNNNNNNNNNNNNNNNNNNNNNNNNNNNNNNNNNNNNNNNNNNNNNNNNNNNNNNNNNNNNNNNNNNNNNNNNNNNNNNNNNNNNNNNNNNNNNNNNNNNNNNNNNNNNNNNNNNNNNNNNNNNNNNNNNNNNNNNNNNNNNNNNNNNNNNNNNNNNNNNNNNNNNNNNNNNNNNNNNNNNNNNNNNNNNNNNNNNNNNNNNNNNNNNNNNNNNNNNNNNNNNNNNNNNNNNNNNNNNNNNNNNNNNNNNNNNNNNNNNNNNNNNNNNNNNNNNNNNNNNNNNNNNNNNNNNNNNNNNNNNNNNNNNNNNNNNNNNNNNNNNNNNNNNNNNNNNNNNNNNNNNNNNNNNNNNNNNNNNNNNNNNNNNNNNNNNNNNNNNNNNNNNNNNNNNNNNNNNNNNNNNNNNNNNNNNNNNNNNNNNNNNNNNNNNNNNNNNNNNNNNNNNNNNNNNNNNNNNNNNNNNNNNNNNNNNNNNNNNNNNNNNNNNNNNNNNNNNNNNNNNNNNNNNNNNNNNNNNNNNNNNNNNNNNNNNNNNNNNNNNNNNNNNNNNNNNNNNNNNNNNNNNNNNNNNNNNNNNNNNNNNNNNNNNNNNNNNNNNNNNNNNNNNNNNNNNNNNNNNNNNNNNNNNNNNNNNNNNNNNNNNNNNNNNNNNNNNNNNNNNNNNNNNNNNNNNNNNNNNNNNNNNNNNNNNNNNNNNNNNNNNNNNNNNNNNNNNNNNNNNNNNNNNNNNNNNNNNNNNNNNNNNNNNNNNNNNNNNNNNNNNNNNNNNNNNNNNNNNNNNNNNNNNNNNNNNNNNNNNNNNNNNNNNNNNNNNNNNNNNNNNNNNNNNNNNNNNNNNNNNNNNNNNNNNNNNNNNNNNNNNNNNNNNNNNNNNNNNNNNNNNNNNNNNNNNNNNNNNNNNNNNNNNNNNNNNNNNNNNNNNNNNNNNNNNNNNNNNNNNNNNNNNNNNNNNNNNNNNNNNNNNNNNNNNNNNNNNNNNNNNNNNNNNNNNNNNNNNNNNNNNNNNNNNNNNNNNNNNNNNNNNNNNNNNNNNNNNNNNNNNNNNNNNNNNNNNNNNNNNNNNNNNNNNNNNNNNNNNNNNNNNNNNNNNNNNNNNNNNNNNNNNNNNNNNNNNNNNNNNNNNNNNNNNNNNNNNNNNNNNNNNNNNNNNNNNNNNNNNNNNNNNNNNNNNNNNNNNNNNNNNNNNNNNNNNNNNNNNNNNNNNNNNNNNNNNNNNNNNNNNNNNNNNNNNNNNNNNNNNNNNNNNNNNNNNNNNNNNNNNNNNNNNNNNNNNNNNNNNNNNNNNNNNNNNNNNNNNNNNNNNNNNNNNNNNNNNNNNNNNNNNNNNNNNNNNNNNNNNNNNNNNNNNNNNNNNNNNNNNNNNNNNNNNNNNNNNNNNNNNNNNNNNNNNNNNNNNNNNNNNNNNNNNNNNNNNNNNNNNNNNNNNNNNNNNNNNNNNNNNNNNNNNNNNNNNNNNNNNNNNNNNNNNNNNNNNNNNNNNNNNNNNNNNNNNNNNNNNNNNNNNNNNNNNNNNNNNNNNNNNNNNNNNNNNNNNNNNNNNNNNNNNNNNNNNNNNNNNNNNNNNNNNNNNNNNNNNNNNNNNNNNNNNNNNNNNNNNNNNNNNNNNNNNNNNNNNNNNNNNNNNNNNNNNNNNNNNNNNNNNNNNNNNNNNNNNNNNNNNNNNNNNNNNNNNNNNNNNNNNNNNNNNNNNNNNNNNNNNNNNNNNNNNNNNNNNNNNNNNNNNNNNNNNNNNNNNNNNNNNNNNNNNNNNNNNNNNNNNNNNNNNNNNNNNNNNNNNNNNNNNNNNNNNNNNNNNNNNNNNNNNNNNNNNNNNNNNNNNNNNNNNNNNNNNNNNNNNNNNNNNNNNNNNNNNNNNNNNNNNNNNNNNNNNNNNNNNNNNNNNNNNNNNNNNNNNNNNNNNNNNNNNNNNNNNNNNNNNNNNNNNNNNNNNNNNNNNNNNNNNNNNNNNNNNNNNNNNNNNNNNNNNNNNNNNNNNNNNNNNNNNNNNNNNNNNNNNNNNNNNNNNNNNNNNNNNNNNNNNNNNNNNNNNNNNNNNNNNNNNNNNNNNNNNNNNNNNNNNNNNNNNNNNNNNNNNNNNNNNNNNNNNNNNNNNNNNNNNNNNNNNNNNNNNNNNNNNNNNNNNNNNNNNNNNNNNNNNNNNNNNNNNNNNNNNNNNNNNNNNNNNNNNNNNNNNNNNNNNNNNNNNNNNNNNNNNNNNNNNNNNNNNNNNNNNNNNNNNNNNNNNNNNNNNNNNNNNNNNNNNNNNNNNNNNNNNNNNNNNNNNNNNNNNNNNNNNNNNNNNNNNNNNNNNNNNNNNNNNNNNNNNNNNNNNNNNNNNNNNNNNNNNNNNNNNNNNNNNNNNNNNNNNNNNNNNNNNNNNNNNNNNNNNNNNNNNNNNNNNNNNNNNNNNNNNNNNNNNNNNNNNNNNNNNNNNNNNNNNNNNNNNNNNNNNNNNNNNNNNNNNNNNNNNNNNNNNNNNNNNNNNNNNNNNNNNNNNNNNNNNNNNNNNNNNNNNNNNNNNNNNNNNNNNNNNNNNNNNNNNNNNNNNNNNNNNNNNNNNNNNNNNNNNNNNNNNNNNNNNNNNNNNNNNNNNNNNNNNNNNNNNNNNNNNNNNNNNNNNNNNNNNNNNNNNNNNNNNNNNNNNNNNNNNNNNNNNNNNNNNNNNNNNNNNNNNNNNNNNNNNNNNNNNNNNNNNNNNNNNNNNNNNNNNNNNNNNNNNNNNNNNNNNNNNNNNNNNNNNNNNNNNNNNNNNNNNNNNNNNNNNNNNNNNNNNNNNNNNNNNNNNNNNNNNNNNNNNNNNNNNNNNNNNNNNNNNNNNNNNNNNNNNNNNNNNNNNNNNNNNNNNNNNNNNNNNNNNNNNNNNNNNNNNNNNNNNNNNNNNNNNNNNNNNNNNNNNNNNNNNNNNNNNNNNNNNNNNNNNNNNNNNNNNNNNNNNNNNNNNNNNNNNNNNNNNNNNNNNNNNNNNNNNNNNNNNNNNNNNNNNNNNNNNNNNNNNNNNNNNNNNNNNNNNNNNNNNNNNNNNNNNNNNNNNNNNNNNNNNNNNNNNNNNNNNNNNNNNNNNNNNNNNNNNNNNNNNNNNNNNNNNNNNNNNNNNNNNNNNNNNNNNNNNNNNNNNNNNNNNNNNNNNNNNNNNNNNNNNNNNNNNNNNNNNNNNNNNNNNNNNNNNNNNNNNNNNNNNNNNNNNNNNNNNNNNNNNNNNNNNNNNNNNNNNNNNNNNNNNNNNNNNNNNNNNNNNNNNNNNNNNNNNNNNNNNNNNNNNNNNNNNNNNNNNNNNNNNNNNNNNNNNNNNNNNNNNNNNNNNNNNNNNNNNNNNNNNNNNNNNNNNNNNNNNNNNNNNNNNNNNNNNNNNNNNNNNNNNNNNNNNNNNNNNNNNNNNNNNNNNNNNNNNNNNNNNNNNNNNNNNNNNNNNNNNNNNNNNNNNNNNNNNNNNNNNNNNNNNNNNNNNNNNNNNNNNNNNNNNNNNNNNNNNNNNNNNNNNNNNNNNNNNNNNNNNNNNNNNNNNNNNNNNNNNNNNNNNNNNNNNNNNNNNNNNNNNNNNNNNNNNNNNNNNNNNNNNNNNNNNNNNNNNNNNNNNNNNNNNNNNNNNNNNNNNNNNNNNNNNNNNNNNNNNNNNNNNNNNNNNNNNNNNNNNNNNNNNNNNNNNNNNNNNNNNNNNNNNNNNNNNNNNNNNNNNNNNNNNNNNNNNNNNNNNNNNNNNNNNNNNNNNNNNNNNNNNNNNNNNNNNNNNNNNNNNNNNNNNNNNNNNNNNNNNNNNNNNNNNNNNNNNNNNNNNNNNNNNNNNNNNNNNNNNNNNNNNNNNNNNNNNNNNNNNNNNNNNNNNNNNNNNNNNNNNNNNNNNNNNNNNNNNNNNNNNNNNNNNNNNNNNNNNNNNNNNNNNNNNNNNNNNNNNNNNNNNNNNNNNNNNNNNNNNNNNNNNNNNNNNNNNNNNNNNNNNNNNNNNNNNNNNNNNNNNNNNNNNNNNNNNNNNNNNNNNNNNNNNNNNNNNNNNNNNNNNNNNNNNNNNNNNNNNNNNNNNNNNNNNNNNNNNNNNNNNNNNNNNNNNNNNNNCAACUUGGCGGGUUCUAGCAAAUAGGCGUUGGGCCAUAUUAGACACAGAAGCUGCACACUGAACACUAAGAGCCAGAGAAUCCUUAACAGCCAACUCAUCAGACCGUUUGGAAAGUAGUCUGUUAUCUCUGGGAGUGAGAAGGUUCCUGGCCACCACCGCAGCAGUCAUAUCAUUCUUCAUCACAGAAUCCCCAACGGUAAGAGGACCAGUAGAAGAUAUGAAGGAUGGACGCCAUAUGUUGUCUGGAGAAGGCGUGGCUGCCUCUUCUCCAAGGUUCAAGUCAAAACGACGGUCGGAGGGGCCAGACAUUUUCAAAGGUGUUGAAGAGAGAAGAGGUCAGACAAAUCAAGAUCUUAGAAGUGCAAGAAGGGAGCUUCUACUGGUGGAGAUUCAGGUGUGCUGUGGAACUUAAUGCCAGCCUCUAUAAAAAUCUGCCCUCGACGGAGCUUCAGAAAUCGAAGAGGCGUUUGCUUUCUCAAAAGCUGGGCUGCUCAGAGACCACGAGGGCUGAUCUCAAAAAUCGAAGAGGCGCUUCCUUUCUCAAAAGCUGGGCUGCUCAGAGACCACGAUGGCCGAUCUCAGAAAUCGAAGAAGCACCUGCUUUUUCAGCCUCAUCAGCACCUGUCACAUGCACACUCAGCUUUGCGGAAAUUACGGGCAAUCUGUCGAAGAUUUCUGGUGAAAUAGAAAGCACGUGAAUCUUACUGUUCAAUCACCACUCUCCACACGCACCAUCACUCCUCGGGGUACCACAUAUAACUUUGCCAAAGAUCUCUGACAAAGUUUAGGCACGAGAAUUUCGAAGUUCCAGCUACCCUACUAUUACCCACAAGGGUAAAGGAACAGCACCACUGCUUGACAACUGGAAAGUCCCUAUGUGUGUCGACCUCCGUGUUCUGCGGCAAGACAGGCUGGCAAGAACGUCCAACCUUUACUCACAUUCGAGAAAAGACUCCCAACAUAAUUACUUUCUCAAAAACCGAAACAGCACCGCUUUCUGAAUCUCGAGAGCCAGAUCCUCGACGGGAUUGCUUGUUCGAAAACCGAAGAGGCACAGCUCUCAGAACUUCGAGAGCCAGAUUUCCUUAGAUAAAGCUUGUCUGUAAUCUUCACACGUAACAUCAGCUUUCCAGAUACCACAUACCACUUUUUUCAAAGUGCUCUGACAAAGUUAAAACACGUGAAGCUGGCAGCUCCCACUACAUUGUUGUGACCAAGAAAGGUAAAAGAAUAGCAUUACUACUUGUUAUUGGGAAAUCCCUAUAUACAUCGACCUCCCUCCUCAACGGACAGGCAAACCUGCAAAAAUGCUCAACCCUUUCUCGCAUUCGAGAAUGCACCCUCAACAUAACCUCUCGAAAUACUCAGCUUUAUUUCCCCCGAUAAUACCUCAAGCAAAUAAGCCACACCAAGAACAAGAGUAUCUCAUAUCAUCAGGGUCGAAAGCAAGAGUAUCCCAUAUCAUGCUUUCUCCCUGUCCUUGUCUUCGUCCUUGUCCACACCUGCAGGACAAAGAGAAAGAGAGCAGUCAGUCGGAACCUGAAAUCAAACCUCUAAUCUGGAACUGACUGCCUGAGACCUUUGCAUGGUUGCUUACUUAGCAUUGCUCUCGAGAACUCAUCCUCAACUGCUGUCAAGGUCAUGAAUUCCACCGGCACAUACCUCAUGACAGGUUGAUCAGAUAUUGGCUCUUUACACUGAAGCUGCCAAGCGUGGAUGAGUCACUAUGAAGGAAUGUUCUGAAGGACCAUUUAAAUGCAAAGGUUGCACACCACUUCUUCCAUGCAAAAGAUUGAAGCAGAAGGUUCAACGGUGAGCUGAAACAGAUCACUACAGCACGACACCUUUCCAUACCACAUUCAUUAUUCCGUCAACAGCAAAAAGUAUCCCAUAUCAUCAAGGUCGAACGUACUCUAGAUUUGAUGGACUUGUUUUGACCCUCAAAUUCUUGAGUCGGCCUUAUACUCUGAAGGGAACCAGAAAAACCCUCCAGCACAGUUCAAGAAUAAGCCUGUGGAAAGUUACUUCUUCAAAAGCAAAAGUAUCUCAUAUCAUCUCUUCUCCAUUUGCUUCUCCUUAUCCUGGCAGCUGAAUGAGAGACAGGAGGAAAGGAGAACAAUCAACCGGAAGCCAAAGUCGAACCUCCGAUCCUGGGUUGCUUGCUUGGAAGUUUGACUGCUUACCUUGUCUGUCACCUCUUUCGGCAGAUCUCCUAGCUCGGCGACUUGGGGGACUCCUACUAUAGGGUUUGUAUCGCACUUGACCAAGCCCGAAACUACAAGUAAGCUUCAAGUGAAAUUGAUACAUUACCUUGUGCAUCUUCAUCGGUUAAAGAUACCACCCAUGGAUGGAGGAAAAGUACUUCCAGAGAAGAUGCCACAUCUACAUAUGAGACAGAUAAGGCACGUGAAAAUGAUACCUCACUUCAGUACUUAGAAGUUUCGUGAUUACUCAAUGGCUUGGAUCUUGCAAGUCCCCAACCGAGGAGCUUCCCUCACUCGGGAACUUAGGGGAGCACUAUUUGUACCAUACUUAACCAAUCCCGAAACUACUGAGCACCGGUCAACGUUAUACCGUCAAGGACCCAGAAGAGCUUCCCUUCAACCAGGAGGCCAAUCACAAUGCGACACGUGUCGACAUCAGAAGCCAAUCACAGCUCGACACGUGUCAACAUCAGAAGCCAAUUACAACACGACACGUGUCAAUGUUAGAACAAAACUAGAAACUCUCUUCUAUAAAUAGGGAUCAUUCUCCCACAAUAAUCUCUAAUGUCAUUUGUACUAAACUAUUCACUAGAACUCACAAAAUGAGAGCUUGAACCUAUGUAUUUGUGUAAACCCUUCACAAUUAAUGAGAACUCCUCUACUCCGUGGACGUAGCCGAUCUGGGUGAACCACGUACAAUUAAUGAGAACUCCUCUACUUAUCUUCACUAGUGAUCGAAGCAACCAAACGAAGGUCACAAACCUGACACUUUCUGUUGUACCAAAGUCCUCACUGAUUUUGUGCAUCAACAUCAACAAAUAAAAGCUAAUUCAUUUGACAGCAGGAUUCAACGUUUAUGUGUGCAUUAUAUCUUAAAAGUAAUUCAGCAUUAUAAGGAACAACAAAACCAUUAUCAAUUUUGAUCCAUUUUUUAUGACAUAUUUUGUAUCAUCAGUGUCUAUAAAUAGGAAACCAUUGUCUUAAAAAAUUGUCUCAUUUUUAUAUGGCUUAGGAAAGUUUUUGGAACACUUAUUUUCCCACAUGCAAGGAGAAUUUUGAUUAAUAUGUCCACAUGGACCAUGAAUCAUAAAUUGGUUAACAAUUUCGUAAAGCUGAGGAUUGACAAAUUUGUUUGGCAACUCAGCAGAAAUAAUUGAAUCUAUAUCUGAUGCCAUAUAACAUUUGAAAUUUGAUUUCAAUCAUAUUAACAUAUGAGAAUGAGGCAAACAUAUUUUUUGAAAUUCAAUUGUACAAACAUCUGUUUCCAAAAAUAAUUGAAACAGACAAAAACCCAAAAAAAAAAAAAAGUUAGCAUGAUAAAGCAAAAAAAGGGAAACAAAUUUCAGAUAAGGGAAAAAAUAAGUUUUUAGAAACUUACCUGCCUCAACUUGUCCAAAGGGUUUUCUAGAUUUAAUGAAACCGAGCAUAUCAUCAAGUUUCAUUUUAAAUAUUCUAGAAAUUAUAUCAGGCCUGUCCUCAGGUUUGUAUCCCAUUUUUUUUUUUCAAUUUCUCUUAUAAUUUCUGGCCAUUUUACUUUGCAUGUAAAGGUUAUGAACAAAUCAGGAUGACCAUAUUCUCUACAAAUAGCCAUAGCAUCUUGAUAAUUAUUAAUCAUAUAUCUAGGACUUCCUGUGUAUGAAGCAGGCAACACAAUUUUUUGGCCUAACUUGUUUGCAUCAUUGUCACCUCUUGACAUUGCAUCGUAAAUUCCCUUGUAAAUUUCACUUCUUAAAUUUUUCAGAUUUUGUCUAAUAUAAUCCAACCUAUCUUCUUCAAGUGUUGCAUAGGAAUCUACCAAAUAUUGUUGAAAAAGUCUACCACAUUUUAACAGUGUAGUUAAGUAUGGAUCUCUUUCUUGAAUUUGGUAAGCUAUAUAAGUUCUCAUAGGUAUUCUUUGUCUCUUCGUUUUUGGACCGUUAUAAUUUUCAUUCCAUUGUAAAUCUGGUCUAUACUCAACUUCACCAUAUGGAAAAAGAAUAGGAUACUGAAGGGCCAUAAAUUUUGGAUUCAAUUUUGUAACACACUUUAAUCCUUUUCUUUUACAAUCUACAAUAAUAUCUCUAUUAGAGUCAGAUAAACCUAUAUCACCAAUUAUUAAACCACCUAUUUCAUCACUUGUUGGUUGAUCAUAUUGCUUGCUAUCAUUUGGUUGUCUCCCUAACAACGUAAGUUUUAAAUUGGUCAAACCAUCAGUUUCAUAUUUGUCUCUUGUUGUUUGAAAAAGUUUGACCAACUCAUUUGAUUCAUCAAACAUUUUAAUCAAGUUUUCCACAAUUUUUGAAUCAAGUUUUUUAUUUGUUCCAUCACAAUCAAAAGCUCUAAGUUGAUUCUGUAUUUCAUUAUAUAUAUCAUAAACAUAUAACUGAGCAAAUUUUGGAGACUCAUUAUCAACAGGUAAAAGAGAACCCAUCAAAUGACAAAUUUGACCACUAAUCUUAAAAAUGUAAGGACUUGAUCCGUUAUUCAUUGAGUGAUCAACUUUUGCUCCCAUUGAAGUAAAUGAAAACAUAGAAUUGUAAGCUCUAAUAUUUUCUCGAAAUGAUAAACUCUUUUACUUCCUUUUGGAUCAAGCAAGGAAUCUAAAAAAGAUGGUGUUGGCUUUGGACUUGAAAAUUUAAUUUUUCCUUGUUGACAACAAAGAGUAAAAAUGGGUUGAUUUUUUUUUUUCUAGCUUUGUUUAAGAGGCUCUUUUAACCAAAAAUAUGCACCACAAUACACGCAUUUAUAACUUUUAUCACCCAAAUCCAUAUCUUUCACAACCCCUACAAAAAAAACAUAUAUAAAAAGAAAUGUAAUCAAUACAUGGAAGUAACUUAAUCCUAAAACCAAGCCUAAAGAAAACAAUUAUUGCAAAAAAUUAAAAACAUACCGUUUCUAUUUUUUUUUUUUGGAAAAAGGCCUGACCCUUCUUCAUGAGACAACAAUUGUCAGCAUCUACGGUAUUGAACAAACUCACAACGUUUUUCCCUUUUUUAUCAAAGGUGUACAUGGUUUUUUCAAACGGGAUGAUGUCCAACAUUUCAUUAUCGUUAACAGAGUCAAUCACACAGUGGUUAGUAGAAGAUCUACCGGAGGAACAUUGAUAUUCAACUGAUGAAUAUUCGCAAAUAAAUAUGUCAAUCGCAUACAUAAUAACAUCUUCAGAAUUAUGCCUAUAACUCGCUCUACACAUUCUUUUUCGCUGGUGACCAUCGUCAACCAAUGUAUUACAUUCACUAUCAGUAACGCUUUUGUUUCGUUUUAUAGCAUCUUUUGUUUGAUCAUUUGUACAUUUUUAGACAUGAUGGAAACCAACCGUUACAACUUUUUCAUAAACAAACAACUGGACAACAGAUUAAAAAAAAUGAAAAAAAUCAAUAAAAAGAUAAGAUAUAUAUGAAAACAAUAAAGAUCACACAAAAACUAAUGACAUGUCUGAAUCAAAAGUUUCAUUUCAAUUUAACAAAAUGCAAAAGAAAACUGCAUUGUUAAAGUUUUAAUAAAUAAUUUCAGAACUUUAAAAAAGUUACCUUGAGGACAAAGCGCCUUGGAAGUUGAGGACAAAUAGCUUUAAAUCCAAAAUACUCAAGAUUUUUCAAAUUCUGUUAAAAAAAAAAAAACACAUCACCAGAAAACUCAUUACAACAAAUAAACACUUAUUUGUUCACAGGAACUAUCUAUUGUAAUAUAUGAUGAUGGUGCACGGUUGAGUGUUUAAGUUUAUUAAAUAACUGAAAGUUGGGGGUGGCUGGGUACAUGUUUUCCUUUCCUUUCGUUUUUUUUUUUUUUUUUUUUGGUGUUUAUUUAAUAUCUCCAAGUCAACGGUAGUAGUUCCUAGGAAAACAAAAGUUGAGUUAAUUAUUAAAACAAGGAAUACCAUAGUUCACCAAUGUGACAGAGAUGCACUGUGUGUGCAAGAUUAGGGAUGAGUGCGGAUGUACUUACGCUACCAAAAAAUCUAAGCAGAAUUGAUUACUGAUUUUAAUAAUUAAAAUCAGAUACAAUUUUUCAAAAAUAAAUGCAAGGUGAUGGGUAAGUUUGUCAAUGAAACGAUUUGAAGUCAUAUCUUUACAGGUAGGAGAUAGCAGAUAUUUGCAUUGCAUAUCUUAGCAGAAUGAGCAGAUAUGAAGGAAAAUUAGAUUUAUUCAAUUUCGAUAUAAAGAGAAUUAAUUAAUGCAGGAACAACGUUUGUGCACAUUGAGAAUCAAAUUAACUAAUUAACUUACUAACCCGUAUUGUAAAUUUCACACCUAUACUCAAAACAAAUUUUGUAACCAAUGUCCCAAAAAAGAGGCAAAAGGAAAGAAAAAAAGCCUUUGUAUGGUAUACUACGGCGUUAUCUGUGUAACCGAACUCAACCCAGCAACCUUCUUGUAUACUUGGAAAUUUGUUACAGAUGUUAUGGCUGCAGAAGAAAAUAUAUCUUUCAGCAUUAAUAUCAUUAAGACUUAAGUAUAAUACCAUAGUUCACCAAUGUGACAGAGACACUGUGUGUGGAAGAUUAAUGAUGAGUAUGGAAGUAAUAAUGCUAUCAAGAAAUUUAUGCAGAAUUGAUUACUAACUUUAACAAUUAAAAUCAGAUACAACUUUUCAAAAAUAAACCAAGGCCAUGGGUACACUUUGUCAAUGAAACAAUUUUAAGUCAUAUGUUUACAGCUAGGAGAUCGCGGAUAUUUGCAUUGCAUAACUUAACACAAUGAGUGAAUAUGAAGGAGAAUUAGAUUUAUUCAAUUUCGAUACAAAGAUAAUUAAUUAAUGCUCCUUAGACAUCAAUUUGAUUAAGAUGUGUGCCUGUCUUCUCAGUUUUUGGCAUUAUAGAUGUGGGUGGUAUAAAUUUUUACUUAAAAAAUUGAACUCGAAAUGAAAACCUAGGUGAGAAAGCAUGGAAACAACUCUUGUGUACAAAUGACUUGUACGAAUGAAUUUUCUUGAGAUUUGAUCCCAGCUUUUUGAUAAUUGUCAGCUUUUAUAACUCAAACCAUUUCCAAUAACUAUUUGGUUAUAGGAUGAAUAAUUAAGCAUAAAAAAGUGAGUUCAUGCUUAUGAAAUUGAGAAGGCAGGCACACAUCUUAAACAAAUUGAAAAAUGAUGUCUAAGGAUUACAUAUAGCAUAUUUCAGCUAAUGAUACAACGGCCAUUGAAUUCUGUAUUGCAAAUUUGGCUAUUCAAAAGCCUCUGAAUUUAUAGACUAAAUCAGGAUCGCAUUAUUAAAUCAUAUUAUCAAAUUGGAAUACAAACAUUGAAAAAUACAUGAACUCAUGCGCAACUUUGAUUAAUCCAACAUUAAUAUCGGAUCUAUCUUGAGAGAGUACCUUCUCACAGAUCAAAAUAGUCACAUCUUACUUUCUAACUCUUUCGUAUAGGACCUCAUCCUUCUCACAGAUCUAUAUCUACUUCUAGAUAGCCUUUAGGAUUUCCCUGGCUUAGCACAAGAAUUCUAUCCUUAAAAGAACUCUCUACUGACUGGUAUAAAUACACCAUUCUAGAGUUCGUCUCUGGUUGCGCAAUCAUCGCACUCUAACUCUUUUGCCCACUGGUUAAGUCUUAUACUUGCUUAUUAACUUGACCGUCGGAGAGUCUUUGGCUAACACACACCCCUUAGGUCUUAGGCUUGCUCACGUUGUUUGCUGUUUUACAGGUUACUCAAAUUUGUGCCUCCACCAUCUGCGAUAGUGACGAAUUUGGUUCCAACAAUUGGUUUUUUCAUUGAGAUAGAACUCAUAUUCCUCUCGACUAGAUCACUCUACCCAUUGAGGCCCCUCUUAAAUGAUUGAGAUGUGACUGUGCCAUCUUCCCACAUGAAAAAGAUAUUUCCUUCAUGGAAAAUGUAUGGGAAAACAUGUUAUAGAUACAUGCGUCUAUAAAAGGGCUUCGAAGAAGUUCACGAGCCAAGGAAUAGGCAAAACUCAUUAACCUUGAGAUGCGAGUAAAGGCUAUUGAAGUUAAGGAAUGGGUAAAUGACGGAUCAGAAGUCAACAUCCUCUUUAAGGGUGUAGCUAAGAGGAUCGGCAUUCUUGGCAACAUUAACGAGGGUAAGACCAUCUUCCAAACCCUUAACGAAGCCACUGUCCAGUCGUUGGGAACGGUAAAACUAACAGUUCAAGCAGAAUCACAGUCACCUGGUGACCUUUCAUAUUAUGGUCUGCCUAAUCUUUACAAUGCCAUUCUCAGCCGAAACUGGUUGCACGAGAUGAAAGUUGCUCCAUCAACCUACCACCAGCUGCUUCGCUACCCCAUAGUGGAUGGAGUUUAUAGAGGGCGGAAUGUUUGAGAAGGCAAGGAAGCUGACAGAUACCAAAACCUUUUAACUCUGAAAUGGGGGCAGGAAGAACAUACAAAAACAAGAUAAGAGCUGGAGCCCAUCCCAGACACAAUACGACAGUUUUCCAUCCUUUAUCCGAUCAAUACACUAAGACAAGUGGAAAGCAAAAGAUUUUCCAUGGGUUUAAUACCUAGUACCAAAAUAAGGUGGUACUUCGGCUAUUGUGAUGGGAAUCUUUAUGAACGCAAAGUUUGGAAGGUAAUGUUUGUCCGAAUCAACAUUACCAGGGGGCUUCGAGCUUUGUGUUCUGCUUUAUUACUCAUUACUUCGAAGUUAACGUACUUCGGAAAAAUUGUCGGAUUAAAUCAUAUUCUACAAUUUUAAAGCAAAGGAUGGAAAGUCUCCCAAGCACUUAGUAACUUGGGUAAGAGCUAUUUAGACACAGGCAUAAAUGUCAUCCAAAACACCAUGCAUUCACAAGUAAAUUGCAACAAAAUAAGAUAUCCCAGAGUACCAUCACUAGGGAAAGGAUGUUCAAGUUAUAGAAAGGACAUGCCCUCAUCCUAGCAAAUAACAAAUUAACGCAAAACAUUGCCAACAACCUUUUUUGGCAACAACUUCCCUUUUGGCAGUAGUUAAAGGAUAUGCAAAAGUAUUGGCUGAUGGAUCACCACUGGAAGCAUAUCCUCUUAUUCGAAUGCCUCAAAGUCAGAAAUUUCACUCAGUAAAUCUUUAAGAGCAGCAAAAUCAGCAUCCCGGAUUUCUUUCAGAAUCUGGUAGUUGUCCCAACCUCCCAAAUGAUCUUGCUACGUGUAGCCAAAGAUAUACCCAAAGUUGUACCCCUCCGCAUAUUCUUUUGCGAGCACUUUCUUGUGAGAUGCACGCAGGCCCAUUAUUUCUGACUCAUGCUCAUCCUUGAGUUGUUGAAGAUCUGCAAGGUGAAUCAUCUCACGGAAAAGUCUUUCCACCUCUGAUUGGAGACUAGUCCACUCCCCUUCUUAAGCAUUCCGUUUCGAAGACAACGUUCGCAUUGAUUAGGCUUCAAGGCGCACCAAAGUUUGCUCCGCCUCAACUUUGGCUCCAACUUUUCCUGCAGUUCAGCAAGAGUUGCCUUGUAUUCAUUCGCUUUAACAUAUUCAAGAGUGGCUUCAUUUAAGAAUUUCUCUACCUCUACCUUAUGGGCUACUCUCAUAGUUUAUUGCUCUACUUGUACCCUCCUGAGCUCCGCCAAUUGAGCUUGCAAUUGUUGCUCGAGCUGCAUUUGGCCUCUAAUUCGUGCAAGAAAGACCGCUCAAGAAGAAAAAUUCACUUCGCUUGGUCGAAAAGAGUCGCCUUUGUUCAGACAUCAGCCUGACCAACACAAGUAAGGGAAAGGAAAAACAAAAUUACUAAAGUUAUUUUGUAAGAAAAGAAUGAAUGAUUACCUCAUAUCGACUUUCGUGACAUUGCAUCAUGGCAUCUUCAAAGGACGUGCGAGCUUCCUUGUAGUUUGCAGAAAAAAACUGCAGAGCCAAGAAGAGCUCAGGUAAAGUCUGCGUUUUGAAGUCUAUUAGUGUCCAUUAAGAAGGCAACGUGAUUUAUUGAAGGCUUAAUGACAAUCGAGGGCAGCACGCCCCCUUCAAUUCUGGUUAAAGUCGCCAGCAAGGGAAUGUUAGCUUCGAAAGGCACCUUGACAGGUUCGGGUAAACUCCUUGUCGCUGGAGGUGUCAGAACUGGGAUAUAAAAAGGUUUAAGGACUCGAACAUCAUUCAAAAGUGGAGGCAAGCUUGGAUUCAGGUGGUUGUUGUUGCGUUAGUUCUUGAGAUGGAAGGAAGAAAGGUUGAGAUUCUCUUAUGAGAGGAUGCGGAGCAGAAGUAUCUGGAGUUAUAUUUAUUGAAACAGUAUGACUUCUCUUUCUCCUCACAGUGGAAUUUCUUCCUUUUCUUUGGGAUUCUCUGGUACCACCUCUAUUUUUGGUAGUUCCCCUUCUUUGGGAUUCUCGGGUACCACCUCUAUUUUUGGUAGACGUAUUUGAAAAGGUGUAGCUAAUGACAUUGAGGAAGUUUUGCUGGACCAUUUUCACUUUUUUUUUGCUGGAGUGGGAGAAAUUUUGGGUUUAGGAUGAUGGGCCCCCUUAUAAACCUGUUUCACUUCGAUCCAAUUAGGAUUCAGAAUAGGGAAAAUAGAGCAAUGAUUGAUGACUAUAUUAUUCCCCUAAUCUCAAAAUCGAACUGGGGAAGUCAUCCAAUUCCAAUUAUGGUGCUUAAUAAGGAUUUGCAUUGCCUGAUUGAUCAACUCUGGUCAACACGCGCCAAUAUUCUUUAGGUCAUUGUUCAGACAAGGGUUGCGAGAAGUGAUGUUUUUAACUCUAACCCCUAAGAUGUCACCCUCUCAAUCACCAUCGACUACCCAGACAUCCUUGAACCAAUCUUUAUCUUGCCAAGGAAAAUCUAGGAUAUAUGGCGUUCAUAAUAGGCUGGGUUUUGGCAUGAAAUAGUAAAGGUCGUCAGAGGUUCUUCGCACGUUGUACAUCAUCCUGAAUUCUUGGAGCCCGAGAUCAGACCUUUACCAAUGAUUAGACAAAGCACGUGAUAAGUUUGAAGGCAGCUAGGGCCAAGUCACAUAUAGCAACGUCAUAACUGAUCAGAAUACCUUUUACAAGAUUAGACAAAGGGAAUCUUAGGCCUAGGGAUUAGACGAAGCAGGAAGAUCGACUUGAACAUUUUGCUCAGGUUCCCACCAAACCCUACAUUGGUUUAAUAGGUCUUGAUGGCUUUGAAUGAGGGCCUUGCCUUCUUCUUGACUACAUAAACUCAUCAAUGGAAGAUUGUACGGAAAGUUCUUUGAUGAUUUUGAAGUUUUGCUCGAAGAAACAGCCAUUAGAGAAGACUGAAAGGAUUUAAAAAUUUGAAUGUGUGGGUGAAAAAGUUGAAACCUUUUUCCUUGACUGAUUUGAGGAUUUUUUGAAAGAUGAAAGGAAAGAGCUUGAGGUUAUAUAGGUGGAAUGUUGCGAAGUAGUCCAGCCGUUAAAUGAAGUCCCACCUCUCUAGGGAUUAAUAAAUUCGACAAGUAUUUUUGACAUAAAUUUCUCCUUUUUCAUGCAUAUGCAACAAAGAUAAACUUCAUCAUUGGGACCUUUGGUGCGUUUGGUACGUGGGACGGGACGGGACGGAACGGGACGAGGCGUUCCGUCCCGCGUUUGGUGCGCCAAAAAUGGGUGGAACGGGUUGUUCCACAGGACAGAUUUUGGGUGUUUUUGCGUCCCACCUCCCCCCCUGGAACGGGUUUGUUCCACGUAUGUGGAACGCAAUGUUUUACCAUUUUAAGACAAAUAUACCCCAUGUCUUUUUCAAAAAUUACACCUUCAUUCCGUCCCGUUCCGUUUCGUCCCGUCCCGUUCCGUCCCGUCCCGUCCCGUCCCGUCCCGUUCCGUUCCGUCUGCGUACCAAACGCACCCUUAUGGCACAAUACUCGAGACAACACAUCUCAAUUUGGAAUGUCUCGUCGACUCUAUAAAAAGGGAUCACCUAAUGAAGAUUGAAGGCUAAACAAUCCGUAUUCCAGCUUACUUUGAAAGGCAUGGUCUUGGUCUUUGAAUAACUAUCCAUCCUCAAGGGGAACAAGUUCCUUUUAGAUACAUAUAGUUAGGGGCAAUUGGGGGACCAUGAUUUGCCAGAGCCGAAGUCGGGCUAAUCAAAAUAAAGUUACCUCAAAAGUUCGGUUAUGGUCUUAACAUGUCAAAGCGGAGCUAGAUUAACCGAGCUGUGGUGCCACCAACAUCCUGUUCCGGAGCAGUGUCCAAAGUCCAAACGAUUUCACUGAGAAUGACCAUACUUGUUCCGCAAGACACUGGGAUAUGAUCUGGUAUGGAAUCAACCAAAUCUUCUAUAUGUCUUGGAGUUCAUACAAUCUAGGAAUUGGUAUGCACCACAAGUAAUCACACUCCUAAAGAGGAUGCAAUAUCUACUUCUAGAUAUCCUCUAGGAUUCUCCCAGCUUGACACAAGGAUUCUAUCCUAAAAAUGUCUCUCUCAUGACUGGUAUAAAUAUACCCUUCUAGAGUUCGUUUCUAGCAACACAGUCGUCGCACUCUAAUUCUCUUGGCCACUGAUUGAGUCUUAUACUUGCUUACUAACUUGAUCGCCGAAAAGCCUUUGGCCGGCACACAUUCCCCCUGGGCAGUUUUAGGCUUGCUCACGAUUGUUUGUUAUUUUACAGGUUGCUCGGAUUUGUGCUUCACCAUAUGCGAUGGUGUGCGAAUUUGGUUCAAGCAACCGUGUUGACAAAAAAAGUCAACAUAGGUUCAAGAACUGGACCGAACCAUUCAGACCGUCCUGACAUAAUCGCUCCAAACUAAACCGAACUAAACCGUGACUAUAAAAAAUUUGUAAAAAUAAAAAUAACACAAUUGGCAACCUGAUUCUGACUACAACUCUAAAAUCAUCCUCCAGUGAUCGGUGUAUGUACUUUUGGAAAUUGAAUGCAUUGUUGUUAAGGCAGAUGAGUCUACAAAAUUUGUGAAAACAUAUUUUAGAUAUAAACUACUGAAAUGUGAGAAAUAAGAACCAAAUAACAGUGAAAUGAAUGAUAUAAGACUUAUAUUUCCGAACAACAAUGCAUUCGAUUUCCAAAAGUACAUUCAACGACCACUGGAUGAUGAUUUUAGAGUUGUAGUCGGAAUCAUCCUCCAUUGAUUUGAUAUAAAAACAUAUUUGAUGGGAUUUAGUAGCAAAUGUUGGAUUGUAGAAUCUAAAAACGGAUUGAGAGGCUAAAGUGUAAUUCGGAUAUUAGUACUACAGCCUAGUAGCGUACUUGUAAGUGAGAGAUCUUAGGUUUGUAUUUCAGGAAUAAGGAGUUCAUAGCGAAUUUAUUCCAUAUAUAAUUGUGCAUAUAAAAUAAUGUAAUUCGAAAAUUAAUUUAGUGACCAUGCUACAAUUAAUUAUAUCAUCAAUUUUGGAAUCCCUUUCUUGGCUUAUGUCAAAAUUCAAACAAAUUUAAACCUGUUGUAGGCCUAUUUAACUAAACUACACUAAGGUGUAGAGAGAGAGGGGGCUGGCAGUAGCAAGAGAGAGAGGAGAGAUUUAAUUGUGAGAUGUGUAUUGUAUCACCCCAUUGUGCCUUUAUUUAUAGUAGUAGGAUAGGUAAAAACUUUACCUUACUAGGAUUACAAUUUUUAUUAAGUAAUCAACUCCUAAUAGGAAUACAAGAGAUAUUCCUAGAUUCACUAGGAUUUACAAAAUCACAUUCUUAUUCUAAAUAUGACUGCAACACUCCCCCUUGAGUGUGUAAAUACUCAACAAGCCGUCGCAUCAGAUCUUCAGCAGAUAAGGUAGAAUAGUUGAUGAAGUCAGUGGCACAAUGGGUGAACGCAACUCUCAAAUUUAAGAAAGUAUCCAUUGGUAGUAAAACUCAUAAAACCUCGCUAUAGUAAAACUCAACAUGGGAGAAAAACUCAUAGACUAAGGAGAAAAGUGAGAAGUAUGCAUAAUGUCUAAAACAAACGUCACACAAGAUGAAAUUAGUGAACUCAACGGAGUAUGAUCAUCCCAGGAUAGGUGCCUCAUCAAAAUCUUGUUAGGUAGCAAUAACCCAGUAGGAAAAUGCUCUUAAUCAUAGGAAAAAGAGUUCAUUAAGGUCAAGUGAGUAUGCUUCUGGAUACUCCCCCUGAGUUAGACAUAACUUCUAAAUAAGAAAACUACAAGUGAUUCAACUCAGAUAAUUUAAGCAUAUCGAUUCCUUGGACGAGCUUCUGAAAAGUAGACUUAGGUAAUGACUUGGUGAAGAGAUCAGCCAGGUUGUCCUGGGAACGGAUUUGCUUGACUUUAAUGUUCUGAUGUUGCUGCUGCUAAUAAGAGUAGAAGAAUUUCGACACUAUGUGCUUGGUGUUGUCUCCCUUGAUGUAUCAAUUUUUAACUGCUCGAUACAUGUUGCAUUGUCUUCAAAGAUCAUCGUAGGAAGGUCAACGACGGAAGUAAAACCUCUAGAGCUUCGAAUAUGUUGCAUGGCUGCUCUCAACCAAAAGCACUCACACGAUGCUUCAUGCAGGGCGAGGAUCUCAGCAUGGUUCGAAGAAGUCGCAACUAGCGUUUGCUUGGUAGACCUCCAAGAUAUAGCGGUGUCUCCAACGGUAAAGACAUAAUUGGGAACGUGUCCUAUAUAGGUCAGACAGAUAUCCAGCAUCUGCAUAACCAACAAAGCAAGAAUCAAUCCAAGAACUGAUAGGGGCUGCAACACUCGAAGAUUCGGGGGUAUAAAACAAGCCCAAAUCCAUCGUACCCUUGAGGUAGCAAAAAAUGUCUUUAACAAUAUUCCAGUGCUUGCAUGUGUACGCAUUACCGUAUCUUGCCAAACGAUUAACAACAAAGGAAAUGUCAGGUCUAGUGCAUUAAGCCAAGUACAAUAUAGCCCCAAUUGCACUUAGGUAUUGAACUUCGAGUUCCAAAAUCUCUUCCUCAUCCUCCUUUGUAUGGAAGGGAUCUGGUUUAACAUCUAGAGUCCGAACGACCAUAGGUGUACUCGAAGGCUUUAUCCUAACAUCGCAACACCUUCUGGGUAUAGUUUGGUUGAUGUAUUAGGAUUCCAUCUGAACAAUGCUCGAUCUCCAGGCCGAGGCGAUAUCGAGUUUUCCAAAGAUCUUUCAUCUCAAAUUCCGAUUUCAAGUGUGUAGCAAUUUCUUCAAGCUCUGUGAGAGUUCCAAUGAGGUUCAUGUCAUCGAUAUAAACUGCAACGAUUGCAAAUCUAGAAUGUGGUUUCUUUAUGAACAUGCAUGGGCAUAAUUCGUUGUUCACAUAACCCUGACUUAUCAAAUAUUCACUCAGACAGUUAUACCACAUCCGCCCGGAUUGUUUUUGAAUCCUUAGAGUGACAUCCUCAUUCUAAUAGAGAAAGUGUUCCGUGGUUUAGAACUAUUUGAACCAGUCAAUGGAAGUCCUUCUAGAACUUUCAUGUAUAUUUCUGUAUCUAAAUCCCCAUAGGAUACGCGGUUACCACGUUCAUAAGCUGCAUAUUCAGCUUUUCAGAAACUACCAAACUGAUAAGGUAGCGGAACAUUAUGACGUCUAUUACGGGGGAAUACGCCUCCUUGUAAUCAAUCCUAGGGCAUUGAGAGAAGCUUUGCUCUACGAGGCAUGCUUUGUAUCGCACUAUUUCAUUCUGCUCAUUACGCUUCCUCACGAAAACCCACUUGUAGCCAACGAGCUUCACAUGUGGAGGAGUAGGAGCUACGAGCCCAAACACCUUAUGUUUUGCAAGUGAAUCAAGUUUGACCUAGAUUGCUUGUUUCCAGUUUGACAAAUUUGUUCUACAUCGGCAUUCAUCAACAGAACGUGGUUGCAUGUCAUCACUAAGCAUGAUGUCAGUAGCUACUAAGUACGCGAAUGCAUCGUCGAUGAUCAUCUCAUUCUUAUUCCAAACCUCAUCCAAUACUGCGUGGUGGACCAAAAUCUCACGAUUCUCAAGAAACCAGUUUAUCUCAUCUAAGACAUCACCGUAAUCUAGAAUAACCUUCAUGCGUUGGAACGGAUGAGUGAGUGAUGGUCAGAUUCAAACUGGGGUCACUAGUUGGUGCUGAUUUCCUCUUUCGGGUUUGUGAAUCCUUUGAACCAAGGGGUCUACCACGCUUCAGGAUUGGAGCAUAUGAUUGGCUAGCUGCCAAUGUACUAGGCCACGUGGAAGGUACAGCCUCCCCACCAUCGGGGACGGUCCGGCCUUCCCAGGCAGGAUAGUGACGUAUAUGGGAUACGUAUAUCCUUGCAGGUGCGUUUGCAGCGGGUAUAUGUGAUAUUGUCACCUUUGCUAGAUUGGUAAAAGCAUCUAGUAUGCUCUAAGCAAUGCUCUGAAGAUCUAUAAUUUGGCGCACCUCAGUUUCAAACUGAGCAGUGCGGGGUUCUAAAUAAGACAUAGUGGGAGCAUACCAUGACAAUUCGUGGCAUUCUCCAGGAACAUUAGCAUGUUUAUCUCCUCCUAACGACAGGAAAACUGUCUCAUCAAAGUGACAAUUUGCAAAAUGUGCAGUAAAGAGUUCUUCUGUUAAGGGUUCUAAAUAGUGAACAAUUGAUGGCGAAUCAUAAUCGACAUAGAUUCUCAUUUUUCUCUGAGGACCCAUUUUGGUACGUAGUGGCGGCGUUAUUGGCACAUAAAUAGCGCACCCAAACACCCGUAAAUGAGAGACGUCAGGCUCGUAUCCAAUGACCAACUGUAAUGGUGAAUGUGGUUGGGUAGCGGUGGGCCUCAGGCGGACCAACAUAGCUGCGUGCAAUAUUGCAUAGCCCUUGGCAGAUACCGAUAGUUUGAUUCACAUAACCAAAGUCUGAACUAUUAACUGAAGGUGCUUUAUGAAAGCAUUUGCCAGGUCGUUUUGGGUGUGAACAUAGGGUACAUGAUGUUCCACAUCAAUCCCUACUAACAUGCAAUAAUCGUCAAAAGUUUGUGAUGUAAACUUUCCAGCAUUAUCCAGUCGAAUCGACUUAAUCAGAUAAUUAGGAUGGUAAGUGUGAAAUCCCGUUCCUGGAUUUCACUGUUAUCACCUACAUAUUUGUAUUAUUGAGAUUUUAUAUUAUUUCUCGAUAAUUUAUUUUAAUUUGUUGAAUUUAAAUUUUAAUUAAAUUAGUUAUUAACGUUUGAAGUUUGGGGCAUUUUAAAAAUAAAUAGAAAAAUCUAGAAUUCUCUUAUCAAAUAUGGUGUGCCACAUGGGUGGCCCAGAUUUAAUGAAAAGGAAAAUGGAUGGUGGAGAUGCAAAGGAAAGGACUUGAGAGAGGAGUGGAGAGCAUGGGCACUGCCCAAUUAGAAAUUAAGAAAAGAGGGAAAUGAGAGAAGAAAAAAAUGAGGGAAGAAAAGGAAGAAACGGGUUUGUACGACCCGUGGGUAUUGCCGGCCACCCAUCUCCAUUUUCCGACGAAUUUCUUCAAACAACCACUUGGAAACACUCUCUUGACCUUCCCUCUACAUGUUUCACCCUAAAAAUCAAAGGUUUUGGACUUGAAUUAGGGAGAAACCGCAUUAAGGGUGCGGCGGGUGUGUGUGUCAAAUCUCCCAAAUCCCAAAUGUUUACACACAAUGACCAAUCAAAAGACUUCCCUUAAGCCCCUGAACAAAGCCCAGGCAGUGGUGGAGGCGUCGGAGCAAGUUUGGAGGUCGAAUUGGAGCACACCCAAUUCUAGGGUUCUUACGGGUUUUAGAGAAAUUGGAGCACUUCUUGAUAAAAUUGGCCUUGGUCACAGGUAUAAAUUUUACUCUACUCAUUGAGAUCUUCAUUUCUGUAAUUUUUGGUAAUUUUUAAAAAUAGUUGAAUUUUCCGGCAAAUCGGGGCGGCCGACCGCCACCCGCGGCGGCGACCCGGCCAGCAGGCCGACGAUGUCCUUUUAAGUUCAAUUAGAUGCCUUGAUUUCAUAACUGACAUCCUUAUGAUAUAGUUUGAUUGUUUGAACCUAAUUUCAUUACGAUAUGUGGUUAGGUCAAAAUGUGAUUCGACGAUCCGACCGUUGGAUCGUCAGCAAACUUUAAUGCGUCAUAGAAUGUAAUAUUUGAGGAUGGUUUGAAUUGAUGGAUUGGGAAUCCGAUGUACUGAUCUUCCUAAUUUGGAUUUCUAAGUUUGUAAAAUCAAACGUUGGUCGCCACUUGAAAUUGUAAUUAGCGGGGAUCCGACCGUCGGAUCAUGAUAAAAUUUUGGUAGGUUGUUUUAGAAGUAUAAUGUGGACUUUAGAAGGUUACGGAUCUGAAAUCCAAUGUGCGGAUCUUCCAUAUUGAAUUGUGUAGAAUUGUGGAUCCUACCUUUGACCGAGAGUUGACUUUUUGUCAACAUGUCUCCAAACGUUCUUAAUGCUAAAUUUAGUACUACGAGAGACUUAAGUGAAGUCUAGUGGACCUCCAUUGGUCGGAGAGUGACUUGAAUAUUUGUGAUACGGUUAUUACUUUAAUCAUUUAUGUUAAAAUCAUUUAUGAAUAUGAAUUCGUCUUAUAAAUAUGAUUUCUAUUGAAAUGUGAUUUUCAUAUAUUUAGCCAUAGACUUAUGUUUAUUAAACAUGAUGUGGCUUGUGUACUGAUGAUAAUGGUGAAUAUGUGUGUUUAAUUAUUUCUAGUAAUGCAAAGGAUAAGUAUGAUAGAUUUUAUGGCAAUGUGAUCUUAGAAUCCUAUUAGAAGUAUUUUGUAGAACUUAUAUGCUUGUGAGACCUAUUAGGUGGUGGUCAUGAGAAGUGGAUAUGGUAGGUGACUACGUUGUAAGUAUAGAGGGGAUGAGGGUUAGAUAUACUUGGUACAUUCAGUGGGUACCAUAUCCACAUGGAUUCCGUUGAGUGAUGUUCCGGAAUCAUAUCGUUGUUUGGAUUCUGUUGAUGAUGUUCCGGAAUCGUAUCGUUGUUUGGAUUCCGUUGAGUGAUGUUUCAAAAUCGCAUCGUUGGUUGGAUUUCGUUGAGUGAUGUUCCGGAAUCGUAUAGUUGUUUGGAUUUCGUUGAGUGAUGUUCCGGAAUCUUUGGAUUCCGUUGAGUGAUGUUCCGAAAUCGCAUCGUUGGUUGGAUUCCGUUGAGUGAUGUUCCGGAAUCGUAUCGUUGGUUGGAUUCCUUUGAGUGAUGUUCCGGAAUCGUAACUUUAAUAUGUGUGAUAUUGGUGAUUACCUAUGUUUCAUAAUUAUGACCCUCUGCAGAUAUAAAUUGGUUUUAUGAAUAUGUUUUCUAUUGAAUUGUCAUUUCCAAUACUUAGACAUCGAUUCAUGUUAUGAAAUGGGGUUUGGCGUGUAUAUUUGAAUUAUGGUUUGAUUUGUAUGAUUGGCAUGUUGUGACGAAAUGUGAGGACUAGUAAUGGACUGUUAACCAUUGUGAUGGAGAUUGGUUGCUUCGAUAUUGUUUGAUUUUCCGCUUUGUUGAUCAGUUCUAAAUUUGGUACUUGUGCUUAAUUUCCCUUUGUUGAGCUUUUGUAAAUUAAGUAACUUGUGUUUGUCUCAGUUAUUUGAGACGUCGUACAUUAUGGUUGUUAGCCUUUCGUGAUUCCGUUGAGUGAUGAUCCGGGAUCGUAUUCACCUUGGGUUUUAUUGAGUUUAGAUUGUCAUAACUUCAUAGAUGUAGGCUUCAGUCGAACUGUGUCGCUCUAGCUCAGCAUUCCGAUGAAUUGUAUGUGUUAUUGAUGAUAUGGUUAUUGGCAUUAUUGAUUGAUGUGAUAAUUGGAUGGUGUUGGAAUGCAUAUGUGAGGGUGAAUGACAUUAUGACUAGAGAUUAUUAUUGUGCUUAUUUAAAUGUUCCUUGAGGUGCCACAUAAUUGAAUUGUGGUAUUAUGUUGAGACCUAGUAGUCUAUGUGAUAAAUGUUCGAGAGUAAUGAAAUGGUGAACUACGAAUGGCUUGAUCCCUAUUGAGGGUACGUAGGCAGUCUAAUGAGAAUGUUAGAUGCAGCCAUAAAGCUAGAAAAGAAAAAAAAUUAUUGUGAAAUUUGGACCUUGAGUGGCCUUCUUUCAUAUCCUGGAGGCAGGGUAUGUUAGAAGUUCGAGUUUUCAGUAACAUCACGUGUCGAUCCUGGGCGUAGGUCAGGAUCGGGGCGUGACAGUAAGCCCUUACCUUAAUAAUUUGUGCUAGGUGUUUAGCAAAUGCAGCAUUGCGUGUGGACAAUAGGCAAACAUGUGACCAUCGUGUCGAUGCAUCAACCAACACCAUAAAAUAUCGAAAUGGUCCGCAUGUUGGUUGGAUAGGUCCACAAAUAUCCCCUUGAAUCAUCUGAAGAAACUUAGGAGGGGGUCAUGAAGAAACAUAAGGAGGUAACUGAUGCCCAUGUGAUGAUUUGAGGAUACAACGCAUCAUGUCAUGUCCAGGAUGUACUAAACUAUCAUGCCAAAGUAGCAAAAUGUUCUGGAACUCAGGCAUAGGGUCGGCCAUAUGAUGAGCUUCUAUGCCACGAAUGGUUGUGAUGUACAACCCAUUCGGGAGACGUUCCAACUUCUCAUGAAUACGUUUUUGGGCCAUAUUCGUAAGAAGUGAUACAAAGAAAUUCAGAAUCAUUAUCUUCAGUGGUUUCAAUAUGAUAUUGAUUAUCUCAAAUAUCUCUAAAGCUUAGCAACGUUCUUCCGAAACAUGGAGAAUAAAGUGCCUCCUUAAUGGUUAAGAUUGUACCAUUGGACAACAUGAUACAGGCUUUUCUGUAUCCUUCAAUCAGGUUGGAUGGGCCUGAUAGAGUUGUCAUCAGAGCAUUCUUGGGUAUUAAGUUAGUAAAUAAUGUCACUCACGCAAGAUGGUGUGCAUGUUAGCAUUAUCAGCCAGACAAUUAACUUCCCCACUAGACAUACCUAGAAAGAAUUUAAUUGAAUUGGUCACAUGUAUAAAUGUAAGUCCAUUCAUUAAAAUAAGCAAUUCGAGAAAAUAAUAUCCAUCAAAUAACAAUCCAUAAUUCAAAACAAACCAAAACCAAACAAAUUAUUCCAAAUACUUAGAAAAAUUGUUCAAAAUUAAACCAUGAACCUAGAAAAAUAGGGGGGAGGGUUCGGCCACUCCUAGUGAGUUUGGCCACUAGGGGUAAAACACCCUAAAACAUGUCUAAAAUUCAUUCUUCCAUCGGAGCUGAUGCCUCCUGAAAAUCCAAUAUCUCCAUUGAUGUAAUAGUAUCUUCCGAAUGUUCCACAUAUGCAAAGUUAGACUCACGACGGGAAUGAUACUUGGCAAUAGCCUUGGGGGUAGCUCGGCAUACGCAUGACCAAUGAUCCUUUGGUCCACAGCGGUAGCACAUGUCCAUUUCAGUGGAAGCAGACUGAACGGGAGCUUUGCCCUUGUUCUUGAAGUUUGGGGCCUUAGGGGCAACAGGUGGAUGCUGCUAGGUCGGAUUUCCUCCCUUAGGGCCGACACUCUAUUGACUUUAGGCCCGUUGUUGGGCUUACCGCCUAUUAUCAUAGCCACGACAAUUCUUUCGUCGUUUGUGGCUGCUAGAAUUUCUCGUAUGUACUUCAAGCGAGGUGUUUAAGCUAGUCGGUCAGGCUUGAUGAUUCUUCAUCAAAAGUUGGUUCUACUUUCAACAAGAAGUAGUACAGAGAUCAAAUCCAAAAAUUUGGUGAAUUUAUGUGCCCUAUAUUGUUACUGCAGGACAAUAUUGGUUGCAUGGAAGGUCGAAUAGGUCUUCUCUAUAAGAGAUCUGAUUCGAUUAGUUCCACUUUACAGAACUUUAGAAGUGAUCGGAUUCUACAAACUUCAUAGUUGUUUCAUUCAUGGACUUAAAGUCUUGGAAGCAAAGAUGUCGCCAAACGUGUCUUGCUUCAGGCAAGUAGAGGUCUUUCUAGUGAUCAAAACGGUUGGCCAGAACAAGCUAGAAGGUGUGUGGGUCCUCCUUAAUGAGGUACUCGGUCUACAGUGCAUCAUGGAUGUGUCUUCGAAUGAAGAUCAUUGCAGUAGCUUUUUCAUCUUUGUCGAUGGGUUCAUCAUCAAUUGGUUCCUCGAUAGCGGCUCGAAAACUCUUUGCAGUUAGAUGGAGCUUCACAUCUUGAACCCACCUCAGGUAGUUUCUUCCAGAUACUUCCAGAGCGGUGAAAUCAAGCUUUUUUAAGUUCGACAUGUCCCUAAAACAAAGGGUACAGAAAAAACGUGAUUAGUCAUAUGGUGAUCCAUAGACAUAUAUCGUAGAACAUUCAGGUUCUAUAGACAUGUAUUGGUUUAAUUUAUGCAUGAAAGUUAUAGGUUUCAUGUGGUAAGUUUUGAAUGAAAACUUCAGGUUUCAAAGGCACUAAAUAUGAAACUACAGGUUCAAUUUAGUUUUAUGAACGAUUAGUUCAUGAGUGAAAGGUUUCUGCAAGAAACACAGAAUGCAAUAUGUUGAUUUAAGUAUAGUGGAUUUGAGUUUCUUCGGGAACUCAAGUGUGAGAGCUUCGUUACUACGAAAGUAUGCCAACGGUUCAAAGUAUAAAAAUAAAUUAUUAAAUUGUUAAUGUCCAAAAGUGAUCUUUAGGUCAAUAAUUUUGGAUUCAUUAUCAUAUUAAUGGACUGCAUGUCACUUUUAAUUAAUGCAAUAGAUCGGGACUAAACGGGGUCGAUCGUGGACGCAAAAUUAUUUGGGAAAAUGCCUUGCAGGUUCGGCUGCAAGCAUGUUGGGCCUCGAUGAGGCCAACAAGCCUCAGGCUGAAAGGCUUUGGGGAGCCCAAUAGCCAAGGCUGUUGGCUUUAGGUCGAAAAACAUAGCCCAAAAAUUUGGGCUUGGGUUGGCUGCAGAAGGGCAACCCACUGGUGGCUGUAGGCCACGAGCCGAGAGGGGACACAGGUGCAGGCCUAGCGGAUUGCUGGCCUUGGGUUCAAGUAGGGAACCCAGUCGAGGCUGGGUCCGGGUAGGGGCAAGCUUCAACCCAGUGCACAAGGCUGCGGGAAGCGGGGCAGGGCUCAGGACAAAGCCUAGCAGCCUUUUGCUGCUUGCAGUUUUGGGCUGAGAAUAGAGGGAAAAAUCCAGGGAAGGCUACAAGCUUCCGUUUGGAGGUAGGUUAGGCAUAAGGCCCGAGUUAAGCUAGCCAGGCUGAGGCCUGGUGUGUCCAUGUGCUCGCAACAAAGCCUAGAGGGCUGCUGCCAAGGUCCAAACGUCAAAACGACGUCAUCCUGGUGGCGUGCUCCACACGGCUGAGCUUCAGGUCAAUGGUGGUAGUGUGGCGGAGCCACGGUGGUAGUGUGGCGGCUGUGCCGCAUGUUCCCAAUAUAUAUUUUUUUACAUCCAUAAGGUUUGAAAAACCCUAUAUUGCUUCUAAUUUAUUUAUAUAUUUUGACUCACAAUUCCACAUUGCAAUUUAAUUGGUUAAUGCAUGAAACAUAUAUAUAUGUAUAUUGAAAAAAAUAUGAAACAUAUACAAUAUAUAUAUAUAUAUAUAUAUAUAUAUCGGAAGGAAAAUAUAACCAUAGAGGGGUUCAUACAUCAUGGGGAGUGUUUUCAUGCAUCGUGGACGUUUCAAAUAUCUUCCUUUAUUUUAAGCAUACCUGAUUUGCAGAAAACUAAUAAGAGCCUUUGAAUUUUGUGGAAGAUAGCCUUCUCCUACAAUCCGUCAGUUCCUCAGCUUCUGGCAAGAGCUUGUUGAUAACGUGUUGUAGGUCUAUUUAACUGAACUAUACUAAGGGGUAGAGAGAGAGGGGCUGGCGGUAGCGAGAGAAAGAUGAGAGAUUUAAUUGUGAGGUGUGUGUUGUAUCACCUCAUUGUGGCUUUAUUUAUAGUAGUAGGAUAGGUAAAAACCUUACCCUAUUAAGAUUACAACUCUUAAUAAGUAAUCAACUCCUAAUAAGAAUACAAGAAAUAUUCCUAGAUUCACUAGGAUUUACACAAUCACAUUCCUAGCUAUUCUAAAUAUGACUAUAAACACGGAAAUUCCUGAGAUGAAUGAGACAAGAACACGUGUAUAAAAUAAUAUUUUUGUAUUAAUGAUUUUGGGGUUACAAUCUCUCAGAUUUAAUCCUCUGAUUCGAUCUCUAUAAGGUGUUGAUUUGUGGAUGGGCUGCUGAUCCAAAGGGUCAUCGGGGCUUGAUCUUUAGGAUGAGCAGUGGUGUAUGGAUCUUCAAGGGCUUUUGUGCUUGAUCUUGAAGAACAGUGGUUGAAUUUAUUAAUGUUGUUGAUCCAAAGGGCCGUCAAGGGCUUGAUCUUAGGAUGAACGGUGAUGAACGAUGAACACUUUCUUCAAGGGCAGUCGGGGUUGGAUCUUAAAUUGGUGGAAGUUCUUCAAGGGUCAUUGGGGCUUGAUCUUGAAGGAGGAUUUGACGAAGAAUGGAGAGAGCUUUCUUGAUCCUUCGGGAUUUGCUUGGAAGAUUUGGAGUUUCAAAGCUUCAAGGUUUUGGUGUGAUGUGAAUUGGUUAUGAAUUGGUCUCUAAAAUGAAUGCCUUGGCUUCCUAUUUAUAGAAUUCCAAAACUUUAAUUUUUGGAUUUAAAUGAUCAUUUGAAAUAAAUCAUUUCUGCCAAAUGUUGACACAUGUCAUGUUUGAUGACUUUUCUGAUGAUUCUUGAUUUUUCGUUAAGUCACAUGCUAUGUGUAAAAUUUAUGUGACACGUGAACGUUGAAAUUUUAAUUAUUGAUCAACAUUUAUUUCACCGAAAUUUCGAUGUUUACGAUGACUACAGCAAAACCCUCAUUUUUUCAGAUUUUGGAAAGAAUGGCGUCAUUGAAUUCAAUAUCGUGAUAUGGGAGAUUGAGUAAGCUAAAUUUGGAGUAUUUUAAUGUCACACUAAAUAUGGCACCGACAAUAGACGUAAGCCAAAGUCAUAGGUUUAAUGCAGACAAAAGUGAAUACUAAAUACUAUAUACUGGAUACUGAAUGGAGGGUGGCUUUAAAGCUUUCGGCGUACCAAAUUAUGAUACUAAUUGACUUGAUUCCUUCACAUGGUAUAUAGGCAAUCUAGCUCGAAUGUUGGAUGUAACCAUAAGAUUGAAUAAAUUAAUAUUUUAUCAUGUUCCGAAGUUCAGCACAUGACAUUAUUGUGAGGUCUAGGUAUAGUCCUUAGAGUGAUAAAAACAAGGCUCCUCCAAGGAGGGCUAGUUGGAGGUGUGAAUUGACAUUUACUUCACACUCAUAGGAAAUCAGUCCAAGAACGAAAGCUUUCUUUCCAGUUGCUAUCCAAAAUUUUGGAAUUAUAUGUGUUGUCCAAAGGAUUAUUCUUCUUUUAUUAAAUUUCUAAGGAAAAUGAGCAAGAGGCGUAAAAGUUGAACGAAUGAAAUUUCAACAAUCUGGAAAGGGAUUGUGAGUUUGCCACACCAUUUUUCUUUCUUUUAUGCCUUCAUGUUUAUUAGAAGACAAAAAUAAAUGACUUUACAUUGGAGAAAAAAAAAAGUAUUUUCCUUUGAAAAAAAAAUCAACUAUUUAUUUAAGAGGAUGUGAAUGAUUGAUGCAUAAUGUGAAUACAAAGAACGACCUUAGAGGGAGACGAGACAUUUAUUAGAAGCCAAAAAAAAAAAAGUUACAAUGAUAUAGUAAAAAGGCAAGAAAACCUCGUUUUCUAAGUGGCAGUCAUUGACACACUACUUGAUUAGAAGAAAAGUCAUAGUAUUUUAUUUACUUUUGUUGGAAUGUAUAUUAAUAAUUAUAAUAUUUAAUUCAAAAUAUUGAAUGAAAAACACAUAACCGUUUGAAAGGGAUCAAGGCAUUCCUUGGUAAAACGGUAUCAUCUAAUAGAUGAAUGUUUGUAUCUCUUAAUCAACCAAUAUCUUAGGUUUUAUAUAAACUCAUGUUAGUAUAGCCGUGAAAGAUAUAGAAAAUUAGAGUUAAUUUUUAUUCUUGAGAAAUAGGGUUUCCCCGCUUUGUUUCUCUCAUGCUUCGUAUGUCAAAUUCCAAGUCGUGUCUUGAGAGUACGGAAUAUAUAAAGUUCGCCAGAGUCCGAAGAUUGAAGUGUUUUGACUUCGAAUUAUAAAUUGUUGAAUCCUGGGAGAUGGACGCCUACCAAACUACAAGCACAAGAGUAAGGGCGAAAUUCUAUCUUUAGGACAUUGCAUUUAUGCAAGCCUCAAUCUCCAAAUUUAUCAGUUUUUCUAACUUUAUCUUUAGUUGUUUAUAUUAAUCUUGUAAACUAUUGAUGUUGUUAUUUACUUUAUGAUUAUUAUCAUUGGAAUUCUUGUGUUGUUAUCAUAUUUUCUAAUAUUGCCUCAACAAUCUAAAGAUAGAAGUUUUAUCCCUAUGGAACAAUCAGAAAAAUAUGAAUGUUCGCAGUUCUCAUAUUGAGAGUUUAAAGCUGUGGCUUUAAAAGUGUUGGACAACAUAAGGUGUCGUAUUUGAUGUGAAGCCAAGAAUUGAAUGUUUCUUGACAUUAUACUGUGAGUUUACUCUCGUUAGUUUCUGAUUUAGGUGAGAAAUAAAUAUAUGUUUAUGUGGACUGUAUGCAAUAGGGUAAAUCUAGGUUUGUAUCUCAUAAUUGAAAAGGAUUCGAUACAGAUAUGUCUCAGAAAAUGCAUUCAAUUUGUAUGGGCAUUGCCACAUUCAAUAAAAAGUCAUAUUGGUUGACUGCAAGGGUCAGAUGGUUUGUGGUCAGACCAAUGGAUAUUUGGGCAUCCCCGAUGACUUUUCUCAACAGAUGCCUUGCUUGAUCAGUUUGGUUGGCGAUUGCCGAGCAAAAUGUCUGCAUCAUAAACUUUCAAUUCAUUCCCACAAGGACUAGAUAUGCAUGAUACAAAUGAUCGAAGAUUUUGAUUUUCGCAUGGGUUUCAUUAAUGUCAGAUUUGAAGAUAAUUUGAUGAAACCAAAAUUUUCCUUCAAGACUGAUCAAAAGGAUUUGGAAUGUUUCGAAUGCAUAUACACAUGGCUAUUAGAAGAUAUGUAUAUAAUGAAUGAUAUGAUGCCAAUCCAAUUCUAGGUUGGAACUUGAGCAUGAUGGGAAUAUUUAGAAGAUUAUACUUCUAAAAUCUUUUUAAAGGGAAAAAUUAUGACGGAUCUUGGGUGAAUGACCAAACUGCCUAUUUCAGAUAGGUGCAUACCAAAUGUUUAUUGGUUAAUAAAGAAAUACAAUAGUAAUAUGCAUAUAUUUAUCAGAUUUAUGUGUGUAUUCAUAAAAUCCAUGCCUGCAUUACCAGGUAUAUAGAAAUGCAUUUAUUAUCGUUUGUCAUAUCAUUAUUGCAGAUUUGUAUUUCUCCAUUGUAUAUCAAGUGUUGUACUAUGGAGAAUUAUGAGUACUUUCUCGAAAGAGGAGUAAUGUAAUGGGAACCAUGUUCUUCAUGGUAAGACGAUGAAAUUUGACUUUGAGUAGUGACAAUCAGUCGUGAUGUUGAGACGAUCAGUCGUGAUGUUGUCCUUAGUUAAAUUGUAAAGCAUGAAGUCAUUUUGUUUGAGUUAUUCGUCUUGAAGAUGACGCUUCAGUUGUGGGGGCCAAAGUCUGCUUUGAAAGGUUUAAGCACUCUAAGGUGAGGCUUACUGUGGAAACUGUGUACAUGCUACAGACAAACCCCUAACAAUUGAAGAUAGACUUAAAAAUGACUUGUGUGUUCUUCAUGCCACAAUGCGAUUGUUCUUUCUUCGGGAUAGAGAAGAUAGCCCUCCUUAUGUCCGUAUGUGGCUAUGAACUUUGGUUUGUGACAAAGAGAACCAUUGAUUUCAAGGUCAUUGAAAUGAAAUGGGCAUGACAAUAUCCAUAGGUGAGAUCAAAGGCCAAAGAUAUAAUUGGAAAGCCUAACCAUAUUGUCUAUAAAGCAGAUUUAUGCCGUGUUUACAAACCACAUGUACAUGGUUUUUGUUUGCUCCCUAAGUCCGCCAUGGUGCCUUGCGGGCAAGCCAGGGAUUUACUUCACAUACGAGAUUGGUGGGUGCGGGCGUGCCACUACUAGAUGCCGCUAGUAGACGGGAUUUGAAUGAUUGAGGUUGCGCCUUUGGACUUCAAAUCAAGAGAUUGUGCCAUUUGAGUGGGAAUUGCUCAAAUUAAGGUUCUUUGUUUGCCUUGAAAAUAAGGACUUUACUUAUAUGGAGAGAUAGAACAAUAUGUAAAUGAUAAGGUUGCUUGGAAAUAUAAAUGACAGAGGAAAAUGACUAAUAUUGCAGAUUGCUUGUGACUGGAAAUGAGUACAUAAAAGCUACAAAUGAGAUCGAUACCGCAAAUGAGCAGCAGAGCUAAUAAACUUAAAUAAAAGAAGGCUUUUGGCAAAUCUGGUUUGAGCAGAGUUUGUGCUUUUGUUUGUUUGUUUGAGUGUCCAUAAUCCUUCUCCAUCUACUUCUUUAUAUAAGGAUCUGGAAGAGCCCCCUUAUUGAGAUCUUUGUACUUGCCCGAAAGAAGCUUGGGCAGCUUGCAUUUCCUUACUUGGGUAGCUUGCAUUGCUUUUGCCAACUUGCAUGUAGAAACAAUAUUAAAAGGGGAACUUGCAUCUCCACCAUAUGUUUUAGCACAUGUUUUCCUACUUGUAAUAAACUAACAUUUAAAAGAAGCAAGUUGGCUUCUUUCACAUAUUUUUUGCAUCCACAUCCGUAAGUUGCCUUCCAACCCUUUUGCAAGGAUGCAUGCAUCUUGAUUAAACAAAGCUUGACAAAUCUCCACCACCAAAACAAAUUGGAAGAACAAUAUUAUAGUGUCAAACCCCUCCACUUGCCUCUAAAUAUCUUUCCAAAUUAGCUUUCUUGCAUAUUAAUCCUCUAAAUGCCAUAUUUUACCCAAAUUACCCAAAUAAGUAAAAAUGGGUAUAUUUUGAGUGCAAACAGUUUUAUUACAUUCGGGCAAAAGAUUUGGUGAAAGAAAAUAACCAACCAAGUCAUUUGGGAUAAUGGGAUUUCACGAGGAUGAUGGAGGAAGAUUUAGUCUUCUUUAUAUCUUGUUCAACUAUUAAUAAUUAAAUGUGACAAAAAAAAAAGAGUUUUGCUCAUAAGCCAAGUUAGUCAUGGAUAAAACCAAAGGACAUUCCUUUGAGAGAAAUUAUACACUGAAAAUGUGGGGGUCUUUUGGAAAGAAAAGAUGAUACAUUGAAAAUGUGUGGAGCAUCUUGCAAAAUUAAAUUAGACAUGAUGAUGCUUAUUAAGUAAGCAUAUGAAUAGUCAUGCAUGGUAGUCAUAAUAUGGAAAGGAUGAAAGUCAAGAAGUGCUUUUCCCAUAAUAGCUAGUGAGGCAUGAAGGCCUAGGAAGAUAAAUACAUAAGGUCUUAUCUUUAGUUGUUUCCUACUUUUUAAAGAACAAAACAUGAUCGAUUUAACAAUAACGUUAGAAAUUAACCACAAUUAUCGAAGAAUUGUGGGGGUAGCUUAACUAUUUUUGAGAUAUGAGAUUUACUUACAAAGAAUGGAAACAUAAUUUGCUAAUCAAAUGAGACAAUCAAGAUGUCAUCUCUUGUAAUGAGUAAUUGUUUAAGGUAUGGCAAGGUUAUAGACCUUCUAUAGAUACCUUAAAUGUGGGGGAAGUCUACUUCGGUAUGGCAAGGUUAUAGACCUUCUAUAGACACCUUAAAUGUGGGGGAAGUCUACUUCCUAGUGUUAGCAAAUUAUUACAUAAGUCCUAACAUAUGUUUCGAGGACUUAACAUUGGAAAACAACUAUUCUCGUAUGAAAAAUAAUUUCAUAAUAUGGAAGUGCACACCAUAAGAGUAGUCAACCUUAGUGGUACCAAUUAGUAAAUGUUUGACUAGGGAGUAAGUUAAUCAUCGAGGGGAAUGAGGCUGAAGCCAACAUAACUAAUGAAUCAGUCGGGCGAAAACCUAACUUAGUUGAUUGGGGAUCCCAUGGUCUAAGUUCAAUAGGCAAACUAGUUGGGCAUGAUUCAAAGAAGUUAACAUACUAUAUACCUCAUUCCUAUGAUGGAAGAAGUGUGUUGUCUGCAGAAGUUUUAGGGUGUAUAUUUAUACUUAAUGACAGUGAUAUCUUAUAAAUAAGAGGAAUAGAGCAGACUAUUUUUUAUCAGUGGUUACCUAUGUGAGAAUAGAAGUGGGUCGCUUCUGUGAGAAUGAGAUGGCUAAAUUCUCUAAAGCUCUCAUGAAUCCGAGAUUUGUUCAUGACCAAAAUAAACACAACCGUAUGAACCAGAAUAUAUUAGGAUUAGGGAUGUAUGUUGCUUAUUGUCUCGGUUUACUGCUGCGGUGAACAGUUCAAGAUUCCAUAUCCACUGCGUCACCAAGUAAAUCCGAUAAGUAUUCACUAGGGUAGGUUCAAGUCCAAAAGACACCUCUCCUGAUGCAUAUCUUGUCCGCCUGUACUCUCAAAUUCUUCCUAAUUUUUCAUUCAUGUAGGGGAUUGUUGGAAUUUAUAUAUUAUAAUAUUAAUAAUUAUAAUAUUUAAUUCAAAAUAUUGAAUGAAAACCCCAUAACCGUUUAAAAGGGAUCAAGGCAUUCCUUGGUAAAACGGUAUCAUCUAAUAGAUGAAUGUUUGUAUCUCUUAAUCAACCAGUAUCUUAGGUUUUAUAUAAACUCACGUUAGUAUAGCCGUGAAAGAUAGAAAAUUAGAGUUAAUUUUUACUCUUGAGAAAUAGUGUUUCCCCACUUUGUUUAUCUCAUGCUUCGUGUGUCAAAUUCCGAGUCGUGUUUUGAGAGUACGGAAAAGACAAUUUCUAUGGGGAAAAAGUUGAAAUAGGGGAUGAAGAUUCCCGAUUUUAAUUUCGUUAAAUAGGUGUAAUUUCACAAUUCCAACUACAACAAGAAUCACAAAUUCAUAUGCGGAAAAAUCUUGCGAGCACCAAACUUUACUAUUAGGGCGCCAAAUUUCAUGAUAAAACCUGAUAAGGGGUUUAGGGCUGCAUCUUUCACUCUAUUAACUCUCCAAUCUUCGAAGGGAUUUUCGGCUCUUGCAUCAUCUCUUGCUUUUGUUCUAGGUCAGCGUCUCUACUCUCUUCUUUCUUGAAUUAUUUUAGCUUUUCGGGUAUACUCUUUAUGCCAAUUGUGAAUUUUGCUAGUUAUUUUUAUUUUAUGAUAGUCAUAUGUUUGCUGUGCUUUUUUUCUUCCGAUUGAAUUGUGUAUUGGUUGGAUCUGUAACACAAUUUUUCAGUUUUUUUUAUGGACUUUGGUGUUAGUUCCUUGUUAUAGAUAUUGUGCUUUUGAAGGUUUAACAAUAGGCAAGGCUGAAUAUGAUGAUUUCGGUGUUAAUUACUUUCUCAUGGUACUAUACCAGAUUGUUCUCUCUUUGCAUUUACAUGUAACUAACUGUUCAUUGUAGAAAUGUAGUAUUUGGAAGACCUUUUUUUUCUGAUUUAGUGUAUGUUUGUUGGACAAAAGAAACAUGUAGAAGAGAAAACAUGAUUAAUAACAUUGUGCGUCUAUUUUUUUUUUUUUUUGACAGAAGCGAUAGAGUAUUCUAUUACUAAAAACAACCAAAUACAAGAGGUGUCAUGGCUACAAUUUCUCCAUGGCAAAUUUUUUGCAAACAUUUUGUAAACGCUCUACGGCUACCACAAUAGACCAUUAUAAACAGAGAUUCCGGAUAAAACUGUCACAAGGACGGCAGACACGACAAUCCUCACACCCGUACCCUAACAUAAGAGCAACUCCAUCCAUGGAGCCCUACCCCCUGGCAAUCCACUAUUCAAUCCACCAUAUUGAACAGUAACUGCCUUAAAUGAAUAGUAAUUACCAUUAAUGAACAGUAAUUGCCAUUUACAUCUUCAUCCUUGGAACCCUCCCCCUAGCAAUAAGCAAUUAAAAUAAUAGUUUUUUUUGUUUGUUUAAAUAAUAAAAAAUUGCAAAAGCUCUGGUCCCUCUCUCUCUCUCUGACACAAAAAAAAUAAAAAAUUGCAAAGCCCUCGGGCCACAUGCCCAUCGACUCCCCACCCCCCCCCCUUCGCUCGGGCUCUCACUGUCGCUCAACCUCCACACGGCUGGACCUCUCUCCACCGGCCCUCGGGCCCUUUGUCCUCGCCUGUCGCCCGAGCAACCAGCCUCCGCUGGAGUUGCUCUAAAGCCAUCGACAAUGAGGCUAAAUAAAUCGCUUAAGAGAUACAAACAAAUCACCGCAAUAACACAAUCUACUUAACCCGCCCAAGGCGCUACAAACAAAAUCUUAAACCUAAAGUCGAUGACAUGUCCACAUGCAUGUCCAAGGGGAAGAGACGUUGCAGGAGGCAUGGGUUGCCCGACCAUGUGGGUCUGUCGGUGGCAAGGACAACAAAGCAAUACCAAACUACUUCUAUCAUUCUCCUUAGCGCUAUAUUUUUCCUUAGCGCCAUAAAUUUCGCUUAAAAAGCAUAGGAAGGAAGGCUAAAAUUAAGGCGAAGAACCUGCCUCCACUAAUUUCCAUAGGGGAGAGAGAGAGAGAGAGAACACCAAGCAGUAUUAUAAUAUAGGUGGUCUUAAAUAACCUUCCGUGGAGUCGCAGUAAGGACUUCAAAUAUCCCAGAGAAAAGUCAGUCAAUAGUUUUUGACAGAGUCAGUCAACGGCGAAGACAGAAUUGUGUAUCAUAAUGCUCUCUCCCUCUCUCUCUCUCUCUCUCUCUCUGUCGUCAAUGGAUAACACCAUAUAAUUACUACGUGUAUAUCACUGCUCAAUUACACAAUAGAAAAAUCCUUGCGCAUUAUUUUUGUUCUUAUUAGCUCAGAAAUGCAGAAAUUGAUCAUCUCUUACUUUUGCAUAUUGUUACUGGUUUUCUUCAAACUAGUUGGAGCAAGCCAUGCGUGCCUGGAAUCCAAGUGUAGCGAUGAUCAAGGCGCAGCUAUCCAUUUCCCAUUGCGCAUCAGCCGCAAACAUCAUUGUGGAAAUCCUGGGCUUGAAUGCAAUGUAAGAUAUGAGCAGCAAAUACUAGUAAAAUUAUUUGUCAAACACAUAGAUUACAAGCGUCAGGAAAUCCAAGUGUAUCCCCCAAGUGAUUGCCUGCUGCUGAAGCCUGUCGAAGUCACAAACAUAGAUUACAAGCGUCAGGAAAUCCUAGUGUCUCCCCCAAGUAACAACUUGUCAUAUUCUUUCAUCAGAAACUUAACCUUAUUCAGUUGUCCUACUUCUGUUGCAAGAGAUACAUAUGCGUAUCAAGUCCACUGCCUCGGUGACCCUGGCAGCAGAAUUUAUGCCCUUGAUUCUACAUAUCAAUUAGAAAAUCUCUUCGAGAAUCUACAAUCUUGUUCAAAGAUGUAUGAUGUUUUAUCUGGCAAUUGGGAGGGUAAUGGUUCUGUUCUUCAAUUCAAAUGGUCAAAACCAAAUUGUACAGAAUGUGAAGCGGAGGGAAAGAUGUGUAGAUGGAAGAACAAUGGCACCAACAGUGAAAUUGAAUGUCAACGCGUGAGGAAACCAAGUAAGGAGAACAUUAUAUUCAUUGCUAGUUUUAAACAUCGUUACAUUUAUGUCUGAGUAAUUAUUAUUUGAAGGAUGUUGUCCGAUCCAUUUUUCUGAGGAUAUUAAUUGUCAGUCUCGAUUUAAUUUGCAAUUCUUUUACAGGCAACACAUGGAAAUUAGUGGUUACAGGUGGAAUUCUGGGUGCUUUGCUUCUUGUUCUACUGAUGAUUGCAGCAUAUCGGGUAUAUAGCACUGAUAGGAAGGAAAAAGAGAGUCGAUUAAGAAUUGAAAGAUUCUUGGAGGAUUAUAAAGCACUCAAACCAAGCAGGUAUUCGUACGCAGAUAUUAAGAGGAUUACAAAUCAAUUCAAGGACAAGUUGGGCGAAGGAGCCUAUGGAACUGUCUUUAAAGGAAUGCUCUCUUCUGAAUUCUUUAUUGCUGUCAAAGUCCUCAACAGUUCAAAGGGAGAUGGGGAAGAGUUCGUAAAUGAAGUGCGAACGAUGGGUCAUAUCCACCAUGUCAACGUGGCUCGCUUGGUUGGAUUUUGUGCUGAUGGAUUUGUACGAGCUCUUGUUUCCCUGCAGGAUUUUAUUUCAUCUGCAGAUAGUAAGAAUUCACUUCUUGGUUGGGAUAAGCUGCAAGAUAUUGCCCUAGGCAUAGCCAAAGGAAUUGAAUAUCUUCACCAAGGAUGCGAUCUACGAAUCCUGCAUUUCGAUAUCAAGCCCCAUAAUGUGUUGCUAGACCAAAACUUCACUCCAAAAAUUUCUGAUUUUGGUUUGGCCAAGUUAUGUUCCAAGGAUCAAAGCUUGGUGUCCAUAACUACAGCUAGGGGGACCAUGGGCUAUAUUGCACCUGAAGUGUUCUCCAGGAAUUUCGGAAAUGUGUCUUACAAGGCAGAUGUCUACAGCUUUGGAAUGCUGCUGCUUGAGAUGGUAGGAGGAAGGAAGAAUAUUGGUUCAACCACGGAGAACACUACAAAUGAAAUCUACUAUCCACAGUGGAUUUACAAUCUUCUAGAGGAAGGGGAUGACCUACGAAUCCGUAUUGGGCAAGAAGAAGAUGGUAAAAUUCCAAAGAAACUUGCUAUUAUAGGGUUAUGGUGUAUCCAAUGGCACCCGUCGGAUCGUCUUUCCAUGAAAACAGCCGUUCAGAUGUUAGAAGGAGGAGGAGGAGAAAGCUUGACCAUGCCGCCUAAUCCCUUCAUGCCUACAGGUCCUACAACUAGAAAUGCAAGACGCCUAGAGCGAGAAGCAAUUGCUGAAUUAGAGUAAAACGUAUAUGACAGAUAUGUAGAUUCGUAUUGAAUGUGUAAUGAUUCAAACCUAAAGGGAUAUUUUGAUAACCAUUUCAUUUUGGCACCAAACAAAAGAAAUUUGUUUCCACUCCAUGUUUAAGCAAUAGAUGCCGAUUAUUGUUUAUCAUUUAUUAAAUUUUAUUUUUGGUUACGGUAGAAGCCUAGAAGGCAAUCGAGCACCGGACUUACCAAAUUCUAACUCAUUUCUACACACCAAGAGCUUGAUUUCGGUUCUUAUUUUUACUAUUUAAGCUAUAAGCCGUGAUAAUAAUUAGAGCACUAUCAUUUGUUGUGAGCUUCAACUGGUUAUUUUGUAUGUUUUAAACUUUUAAUUAGAAUUUAUUUUUCACUUAGACUUAUCUUUCCGUAUGGCAUGCCAUCCCAACCCUAGUUUUUCUCCUCGCUUGGAGUUUGGGAUACGAAAACUUGCCAAACAAAGUAGAUUGAUUAGUAACCGAAGCUAAUUAUUCGACUGAAUAUUGUUUAGAAUUUUAAUUAACAGAAACAAUAUGAAUCUUUUUUGUUUGUUUUGAAAACUAGAGAUUAAAUUGUUACUUGUUAGAAGUAGAGUGAUUGGUAGACAUCGAAUCCUUACAUAAGUGCAUAGGCAUUAUUGCGUGAGGAUGACGUGAGGGCAAGGGAAGUAGCAGCAGACCGUGUGGGCUGCUGUGGUUCAUCUGCUCGGGUGACAGGAUAGCCUUUUUGACGAAAUUAUAAAGCGCAUAAACUUUUUGACCAAGAGAGUGGUCAACUAGGGGUGGGCACUUGAAAUCGAAAACCGAAACCGAAACAUGAACCAAAUCGGACCGCACCGAACGAUUUGGUUUUGCGGUUUUGAAACCGAACCGCAUUGUAGGAAACGGUUUGGUUUUGGUUUUGGCUUUUGAAAACCGCACCGAAACCGAAACCGUAUCUCAAAUUAUAUGCCAUGUUUUAAUUAGUUGUUUGUUAGAGUCCAUACAUUUAGUAUGUACAUGUCAUAAUAAUGAUUAUUUUUUCCAAGUUAUAUCCCUCAUCAAGCUUGGCAUCUCAAUGUUUCUUUACAGGAAAAGAAGAAAACUUUGUCACAGUUAUAUCCUUAGAACCCUAAUUUUCAAGUUUAGAAUGAUAGCCUAUAUAAUAUAUUAAUCAGAAAUGCAAAUGAAAACUCAAAAGGAACAAUGAGCAUCAAAUAAGAGUAGUCACAGAAGGAGAGAUACAAGACCGAAUCUCUAAUCAAGUAAUAAGUUGCAGCACUUCAUUUGGGUACUUUUUCCUGCUCACAGAGUUUAUCACUUGUGCAAGAGUUUAUCAUCUGUGCAAUUAGCUAGCUAGAGUAAAGAAAAGAAUUCUCAUGUGGGUGGUUAAUUAAUGUAUGUGUGGAAAAUGAGACUGUGGUAUGUGUAAAUAAGUAUAAAUUUUAAAUUGUAGAUUUUUUUUUCUAAAAAGCCAAACUUAAACCGUUUGAAACCGCACCGAACCGAUCGGUUUUGACUUUAAAACCGCACCGAACCGCACCACAAAAAGUUGUGAUUUCGGUUUUGGUUUCACUCAAAACCACACCGAACCAAACCGUGCCCACCCCUAUGGUCAACAAAUGGGACAUGGAUUCGUCGAAUCCAAAUCCUAAGAAUUCAUUAAUCUAUAUUAUUGAAAUUUGAUCAAAAGAUUAAAAUUAUUAUAAUUUUAAAAUAAGCUCGUAUUUGUAACUGUUGAAUCAACCUUUAAUGAUCCAGAUUGAUAAAUCCUUAAGAUUAGGAUGUAUGAAUCCGAAAAGGAUCAAUGUCCCAAAAAAUAUGCAACGUUUUGCAAGGGUAUUAAAUUUAUGAGUGGGAUAGACACAAAUAGCAGACCGUGUGGGGUGCUGUGGUUGAUCCACUAGGGUGGCAGGAUAGCCUUUUUGACCAAAUUAUAAAGCAGACUUUUUGACCAAGAGGGUGGCCAACAAAUAUGCAACGUUUUACACGGUAUUAAAUUUAUGACUGAGGAUUUGGAUCCUCUCCUGAGCUAAUGGAGAUGAUCUUCCUGACCAACCAUUAUGGGUUGUUGGAUUUUUAUCCAACGGUUAUAAUUAUUAUAACUUUAAAGGAACUCCCUUUUUAUAACCGUUGGAUAAAAAUCUAACAGUCCAUAAUGGUUGGUCAGGAUGAUCCUCUCCAUUGGCUCAGGAGAGGAUCCAAAUCAGAUGGACACAAGUAGCAGACCGUGUGGGGUGCUGUGGUUCCUCCACUAGGGUGGCAGGGUAACCUUUUUGACCAAAUUAUAAAGCAGACCUUUUUGACCAAGAGCGUGGCCAAUAAAUAUGCAACGUCUUGCACGGGUAUUAAAUUUAUGACUGGGAUGCACACUCAUCUUCUUCCUCAUUCGUUGUUUAUGUAAAAAAAUGUAAUAAAUUGUAAUAAUGAUCUUUCAACUUUAAUUAAAUUGAAACAAUAGUUUUUUAAUUAAAAUUCAUUAUUAUUAGUCUAUUAACUCAUUAAAACGUGUAGCUAUAGUCAUUUUCGUCAACUCCUUCAGAAUUCUGUCAAAAUAAGUUAUGUUGAAAGGACCAUUGCUAUAAUUGGGUUAAAGUUAGGGACCAUUGCUAUAAUUGGGUUAAAGUUAGGGACCAUUGCUCUAAUUGAGUUAAAUUUGAGGAAUCAUUUCUCUAGUUGGAUUACAGUUGAUGGAUCAUUGAUACAAUUUUUCUUAUUUGAUUUUUCAUUGUGCCCCUUGAUUUAGCCUCAAGUGCAUGACAUGUGACUAUUUUGACGGAAGUUCUAAUGGAGUUGACGAAAAUAAUCAUAGUUGCACGUUUUGAUGAGUUAAGAGACCAAUGAUAAUGAAUUUUUAGUUGAGGGAUCAUUGCUCCACUUAGAUUAAAAUUAAGAGAUCAUUACUAUAAUUUACUCUGAAAACUAAAGGCCUCCUAUUUUAGUUAUGUUUGUACCAUACUUGACCAAUCCCAAAACUACUGAGCACCGGUCAACGUUAUACCAUCAAGGAUCCAGAAGAGUUUCUCUCAAACCAGGAGGCCAAUCACAACACGACACAUGUCGAUAUCAAAAGCCAAUCAUAGCGCGACACGUGUCAACAUCAGAAGCCAAUCACAACACGACACGUGUCAAUGUCAGAACAAAACUAAAAACUCUCUUCUAUAAAAGGAGAUCAUUCUCCCUCAAUAUUUCCUAAUGUUCUUUGUACUAAAUCAUUCACUAGUACUGACUAAAUGAGAGUUUGAACCUAUGUACUUGUGUAAACCCUUCACAAUUAAUGAGAACUCCUCUACUCCGUGGACGUAGCCAAUCUAGGUAAACCACGUAUAUCUUGUGUUUGCUUCCCUGUCUCUAUCCAUUUACAUACUUAUCCACACUAGUGACCGAAGCAAUCUAACGAAGGUCACAAACUUAACACUUUCUGUUAUACCAAAGUCCUCACUGAUUUUGUGCAUCAACAAGUUGCAUUGGAGAAUCCUUUCAACCAUCCAAAUCCAAAACAUGGAUCUAAGGAGCCAAGAAACAAAGAGGAGUUCGUCCAUAUUCAUGGAUACAAGAAGCUAUGAGCAAGGGAAUGAGGACCUCACUUUGGGUGACUAUCAUUUACUUCUGCAAAGAGGACCUACAAAAAUAUAAAGUCAACUCACUUUGCUUUGAAUUUGAGUUGAGUCUUUGACUAACUACUAGACUCUGAAUUUCAUGAGUUAAGUUUUGUUUUUGAAUGCAUAUAAGCAUGCUAGAGCCUUUAAUUGUUAAUUACAUGUAUAUGUGUUGCUCAAAUGAACUUAGUUUAUCAAAUUUUUCUCUCAAGACCAAGGUAUUAAAUAUCGAUGAUAUCGGAAAUAUCGGUAGUCCAAAAACACGGAAAUAUCGAUGGAAAUAUCGAUGGAAAUAUCGGGAUAUUAUCGAUAUCGAUAAAAAUAAUAUGGAAACCACGGAAAUUGUAAGAAAAACUUGGAAAUUUUUAUUGAAACUUUGCAGAAUGUUUAUUUAGUCAAUUAUCUAUUAGUUUAUCACAAAAAUUUGGAAGGAAAUGCAUUGCAUGAUGGAUUUAACUGAUUUAAGUUGAUUAUAUAGCGAGCUGGCAAACAUUGUGAGUGUAGAAAAUAUGUAGUAAUUAAUGAAAGAAGUUUAAACACACCAUAAUCAUUUAUAUAUAAUGAAUUAGUACAAUAUUUUACACUUUAUACAUUGCAUGGUAAGAUACAUGAGUGACUAAGUACCACAUAGAGUUCCUAUGAGGUUCAAAAUUUUCACUAUCUUCAUCAUCUCUAUGUGUAGAGUAAGUGUAUUGUGAAGAGUAGUCAGCAACCAUGGCAAUGGCUUUCAAGAACCGAAAUCCAAAAGUCAAUAGGAAACCGAAUACUUCGGUAUUUUUCGGGAUUUCGGGAUUACCAAACAAAUGGGAUUUGGAAACCAAUCCCAUAUCGAAAAUUUCGGUAUUUUUCGGGAUGGGAUUCCCGAACUUCGGGAUGGUUUUGGUUUGGGAUUUUUCGGUUUGGGUUUGGGACUUUUUCGGUUUGGUUUGGGAUUUUCGGGAAUUUUUUCCAACCCUACAUGUAAGUGACCAAAUAAAAAAUAGAAAAAUUAAAAACCACAUGCCAUUGACUAAGUAAUUAAUUGACACAAUUUAAAAUAUAAUACCACAAAAAAUUUGGAAUAUGUGCAAAUUUGUUUCUUGCAAAAAGAAUUCAAAACAAAACCAUAUAUAUAAAUAUUUUAGCAUGUUUUCACAAAAACAUAAGUGGUAUAGUGGUCAAGGCGCUGAAGGAGUUAGAUGGGAGGGGUUUGAAUCCCUCUAUGUGCAUGUUUGAGACUUUUCAGAAAUUUUCAAAUAUUUUUAGGUUCAUCUCGCGAUAAUAUCGAUAUUAUCGCGAUAUAUUAGCGAUAAUUAAAGGAAUACUCGUGAAAUAUCGUUAUAUGAAAAAAACGAUAAUAUCGGCGAUGUUUCGCUGAUAUUAUCGAUAUUUUCUUCUAUGUUCAAGACCAACUUCUAUGGCAUGCGUGGUGUGUUUGAGACUUUUCAGAAAUUUUCAAAUAUUUUUAGGUUCAUCUCGCGAUAAUAUCGAUAUUAUCGCGAUAUAUUAGCGAUGAUUAAAGGAAUACUCGUGAAAUAUCGUUAUAUGAAAAAAAACGAUAAUAUCGGCGAUAUUUCGCUGAUAUUAUCGAUAUUUUCUUCUAUGUUCAAGACCAACUUCUAUGGCAUGCGUGGUGUCUCAUGCCAAUCACACAAAUGUUAUGUAAAAAGAAUUUACACGUUGUGUUGCAUGAUUGACAAUUAACGACACAAUAGUGUUAUAACCGUGUCAAUGUUAUGAAAGUUUUUAUGCAAAGUCACUUGAUAUGCCGCAACAAUUAGUAAACAAUAUUAGAAAGACCUAGAGGAACCCACAAUUAAUUCCAAUUCAUUAAGUAGCUCAUGUGCAAGCAAAGUAUGGGCUUCCCAUGGGCAGGAGCUGGAAUUUACCCAUAUUUGGUAGUUAUGUAGCAUUAUACGAGGAGCCUGCUCAGCAUUCAAUAUGUUCACCCACAUGAUGUUGAGUGUAAUCCUUCUUAAGGUUCAACGAUAUUGUUUCUAUUAACAAAUAUAAAUAAAAAAAUAAGCGAAAUACUAGAGAGAUUACACGUUUAUAUUACAUUGUUGUACCAUAUUGUGAUAUGGCUGUGUACAUACCACGUCUUGUAAUGAGUUUAUCUCAUUAGAUGUUAGACUGUUGGUUAUUUGUAUUACUUAUUACAUCAUAUGGUACAUCAAUGUGGUAUAAAUAUGCAAUCUCUCCAACAUUACCCUUAGGAAAAUUUUAUUUGAACCCAUCUAACCUCUUUCUACACCCAACUUAAAUUCUAAAUGUGAAUUGUCUAUUUUAUCCUAAUGCAUAAUUACCAUCAAGUACAAGAUGAAAUUAAGAAUAAAACUAAAAUUUAUCAAUAAACCCAUACUCAAUAAUUAAGUUCUACCAUCACACAAUUUUUAUCCUACAUUCAUUUUGAAUAAAUUCCUAAGGGCUGCAAUAAAACCCUACGAUCACCUAAUAAUCAAAUCCGGUUGCUUUUUGUUUCCUCUCUAGCUUCAUGUUAACUCGAUCAGUAAAAACAAAGUAUUCAAAGUAUUCAUGUAUAAAAUAAGCCAACUUGGACUGGACUUGCUAUAAACCUAAAAACAUAAGCAGAAUCCCAGUUGCUAAUUCCACAAGAACUCGACUUGCGACCAUUCAAAACCCAAUAAAAAUUCAAGAAAACCAGAACUUACCAAGUGAACGUUGACGGCUGAGCCAGAGCAGCAACGACGAAAGGAAGCAUUGCAGAUAAGACCUGAGACGACGAGCCGUCGGAAGCCCCUUUGGAUAUUUCAGCUGAUGGGUUUAUCCCAAACGACAGCAUCAACGCGUUGCCUUCCUUCCUCUGCGACCCGACUCUGCUGAUGUGCAAUGUGCUUACUCUUGUAAUCACUCCAUGUGCCAUGUGCAAACAAUCGAAGCACAUCGAGGUAGACAUAAUUUUCAGUUCCUUCAAGCUGCACAUAUUCCACAGUAAAAAAACAAAUGCAUAUGAAACAAGACCCUAUAACAAUCAACAAUUUUAUUUUGACUUUGGCUGCAACAAAAUUCUGAUUAUACAUCCUUUGCUCAAAUCCAGAAACUACACCACCAAAAUAUACACAGAAAAAUGAAACUUCCACAAUAAAUAAAUAGAAACAUGGGAACCUGAAGAACAUUAGGGACAUCGAUAAUUUCCGAAAAGGCAAAAAGGGCAGGGUGGGAGGUGACUUCUGCGACGAGGGGGCCGAGGGCGGAGCCAUCGAGUGAUGAGGCUUGCUUCACGAAGUGAUCAAAGGCCUCCUCUUGCUUUUGCUUUCUAAAAGGGUGUAAAGAUGAAUUUUUAUAUAUUGAAUUGAGUUUGUGAGGGUAGUUUAGAUAGUAAUUUGGGUUUAGAGAGAAAUUGAUUCUUUAAUUAAAAAUAAUAUGGGUGUAAAGAAUAAGUUAGGUGUAGCAAGAAGUUGUAUGGGUUCAAAUAAAAUUUCCCUUACCCUUAUCAGAAACCCUAAAAGACAAGAAAUGCUCUAUACUAAGACGUGUUUAUCAAACCGGAAUGAAAGUGUAGGAAAUGGAAUUGCACGAACUCCAAGUCAUUUUAGUGUUUACUAAACCAGAGGGAAUCAACAUUCAGGUGGGACCCACCCAAAAUCCGGAAUACAAUUCCUUAAAUACCCGGAAAUGGAUUCUUGACUUGGGAGGUGGGAAUUGAGUUCCUGAAAAUAGAUUCAUCAGGGAUCCAAGUUUUCUACCCAUACUAUCCUCAUGCUUUUUUGGUAAACCCAAAUAUCCCUCACAAUUUCACCUCCCCAGUUCCAUGACCAGUGUAUAGACCCAUCUCUCUUCUCCCCAAUCCCACCAUUUCCUAACAGAGGAGCUUCGACUCCAGUGAAAUCCCGACCCCUUUCUCCUUGCCCCGUCGCCGCAGACUAUCCAAAAUACAUGCAUGAACGCACAAAGAGAGGGGAAAAUGUAUGGCGUGGCCGCAUGGUCAUCUAAAAACAGGGGGUGGGGACGGUUGUGAUAGGUGGUGAGGAGCUGGGUUUGGGGAUGUAGGGGGGAGAAGAUGGCAUCGCAGCUUUUUGUGUUUUGGGUUUUUUUAUGUUAUUUUAUAUUUUUAAUAAAUUUGUUAAUUAUUUAUUUUGCUGAAUAGUUAUGUUUUCAUGUAGCUAAUUGGAUUUUAUGAGCAUAUGUGGUUAUCAAAAUUAACCAUUAACUAGCAUAUAAAAAUAUAAUUUAUAACAAGGGCAAUUUAGUAAUCAAAUAGGUUUCAAUUCCGAUUCAUGUGAGUGAGUAAAUAAUUUUUAUGUAAUCAAUAUCAUUUUUAUUCCGAUUCCAGAUAGUUUAGUAAACAGAUUCAACAUGAAUCCAAUUCUAAUUCCACUUCAUUCCAUCUUCUUCUCAAUUCAAUUCAAUUCCUCAUACUCUGAUUACGGAUUAGUAAACGGGUCAUAAAACGGAAAGAGAAAAACAUUGUUCAUAACCAACAGUGUUUUUACUUUUUUGCCCUCAUUUUUAAUGUUUCUGUGUUCCCACUUUUAUGCCUCUAUACAGUGAAAUCCCCAAUUGCCCUAUGGGCAUAGGUGUGUAAAAAAAUUGUUUUGCACACGUGGCAUGCUAGGGAGAUUUCUCUGCUGCACCGUUUCCUUCCAGCUCCACUCCGAAUCGAUACUGAAUACUGCUCAACCAAAUUUUUUCAUCAUUUCAUUCCGUCCUUGUCAACCUCUUCAUUCUUGCUCCACCAUGAAUCGAAACAAAAAAUUGCUCAUCCAAAUCAAUUUCAGUUAACUCAAAUCCCUAAAACCCAAAUUUCUCCAGAUCUUUGGAUUUAGUUUACUUUUUGUUGUUGCGUAAAGCUUAAAUUUACGUACAAUUUUUUUAUUUUCUUGAUUGGAAUUUGGAAAGAAUCAAUUGUUCUUUGAAGGAAUUACAGAAAAUUGGAAAGGGGAAAUGGGAAAUGGGAAAGCGAGGAAAUGCGGGCAAAUGGGUUUUGGGAAAAUGACUUUUUUUUUUGGCAUUCGCUUUUGGCUUUCAUCCUUUCUGCGUUUGCUUUUCCUCAUUUUUUUUCUCAAGAACCAAACAUAAAAUAAAAAGAACCUAGAAAAAAGAAAAGGAAAAUCACAAGAUUAAGAAUCUGGGAUUGCAACAAUGGAGCUUCUGUGCCGAAAUAUCAAUUGGGUUCCGUUUGAUCUUCGGUGCUUCUUCUGCAUUCAAAAAGUUGGGGUUUUUUUGCGUGAUGGGAACACAUUUCCAAAUUCGACCUCAAUCCCAAAGGAACCAUCCACCAAAUAACCCUUCCUCCCUUUCUAUUUCUCUCUCUGUAAUUUCCCCUGACCGAAUCACACAAUCCAACCAACUCUCUGUGUAAGGCUGCCUCACAAAUUCCAUGGAUUUCAUGGACUUACCCUCUCUAUGAGCCUCCCUCGCCGAAUCCAACUAAUUUCCUUAGGCCCGUUUGGGAUUGAGGUGAUUUUAAAAAAAGCAAUUGUGAAAAAAAGCUGAGGGUCAUUUUUGUGUUUGGUAAACUGAAAAAAAAUGGCUUAUUUUGAAAGCUGCUGUGAGAAUAAGCUGAAAAUCAAAGGAAAAGCUGAAGCUGCUAUUUGCUGCUUUGAAAAAAAGCCAGUUUUUUCAAAGCACACGGAGCUACAAUGCUCCUUUAAUGAAAAGACACACUAUCAUCCUGCUUUUUUUUCCAAAAGCACUUUCACAAAAAAGUUUACCAAACACUCUACUGGCUUUAUUUCACAGCCGCUUAUUCUCACAGCAGCUUUUUUUCAAAGCACAGCAAUACCAAACCAGCCCUAAUUCCAUCGAUAGCCACACCCACCCCUCCCAACUGAAAAUGACAAUAAUGCCCACCCAACUUUUAUUCUCUGCCUUUAGAUCUCAAAUUAAAAUGGGUAAUAAAGUCCUUUUCACACCAAUACCCGCUAUUUAACAGCUCAAAUGUACACAACCCAAACAAACACAUGGCCUAAAGGGCCUACCCCAGACCCCCGGCCCAAAAAUAUAAAGGAAAACUAAUGAAAAUUGCUUGAAAACUUUGAGUUUUAAUGAUAAGGACAAAAUAAAGGGUAAAGUGAAUAGUACCAGGAUUGACUUUUUAGUGUAAAAAUGUGGUUUUUCGUUAAAGUGAACAGUACCGGGUGCUUUUCGUUAAAGUUCCCAAAAAAUAAUUGGAAAAAGAAGUGGCAAUUUGGUAAAUAAAAUGUUACCUUUUCCAUUGCCCAUUCCUUUUGGAAAAAGAAAUGAAAUUAAAACUCUUCAUUUAAAAUGGUCUUAAGCCAAAUUGUAUUGAAUGUGAAGCAGAGGGUAAGAGGUGUAGAUUGUAGAACAAUUACACCUAGAGCGAAAUUGAAUUUGUUGACAGGAGGAAACCAAGUAAGGAUAACGCGUCUAAAUCUUAUUUCGCAUCUAUUCUGCUCAUGAUUUUUCUGCUUUCAUGUAAUUAGCGGCUUAUAUUUGUGGUAACGAUAUUGAUUAAUUUCGAGAAAUGACAGUCUAAUUUUCGCAACUGUCUUUUGCAGGUAAAACAAAGACGGUCUAAUUUUCGCAACUGUCUUUUGCAGGCAAAACAAUGACAGUCUAAUAUUCGCAACUGCCUCCUACAGUUAGAAGCAAUUGUUGAAUUAGAGUAACACUAGAAAAUGCACCCGCGCUUUGCUGCAAGCAUUGAAUAAUUAGUCACAACAUUCAUGAAUAGCAUUCCAAUAAAGCAACUAAAAAGACGUCGUAAUACGUAAGAACCAUCGAAGUCAAAUUUUGCUUGCUAUAUAUGGAUAUGCAUGCUAUAAGAAACAUCUAUUUAUAGAUUGUAUUGUGUCAUCAAUAUCAUAGUUGCAAGUAAUCAGCCUACUACAUGGAAGAAAAACACAGAAAAGGGAAAGUAGAAAAGUAGAAACAUAAUACUUGAGUACCUGGCAAGAAUAGUAAGUUCUUGAAAAAAUUGCUAAACCGUCUAACAAAUUCAAUCGUUAAACGUUAUACUGUAACCCAAGACAAAAAUAAAGUAUAUUGUUUGUUUACAAAUCAAAACGAAGUGCUGCUACAAUCCUCAACAGCUAUGAAUCAUUUUCAAAUAAAGAUACUCAGAUUUGACGGCACAUCAAAUAACCACCAAGCGAAGCAAAUUACGCCAUGUGCUAAUAAGAAACUAAAACAAAAGCAAGAUUAAAUAUCGAAAUUUUUUUAUAAGGCAUCAAUUGACAAAAUGCUUCUUAAUGUGGUCUUCCAAGAAAUGAAUGCAGCUCACAAACAACUUAGAAAUCAUUGUCACCUCAAUCUUACUAAAUAGAAGCAUAAAUGGACAUGAUAGCUCCCUAAUUUUGUAAUAGAAACUCUAACAAAGAAUAUCAGGCUCCAAAGGCCCUAACUUUUCCUAGGCAUAAAUCUAUACAUUGCAAGUUUAAUUCCAACGAAGCAAAUAUGCGUGCAAAGUAAAAGGCAUCAACACUACAUGUACUGCUUACAAUCGUCUCAAGUUGCUGACAACAACAACAACAACAACAACAACAAAGCUUUUUCCCACUAAGUGGGGUCAGCUAUAUGAAUCCUAGAACGCCAUUGCGCUCGGUUUUGUGUCAUGUCCUCCGUUAGAACGCCAUUGCGCUCGUCUCAAGUUGCUGACACAAUGUUUAAAAUAUUCCAAGACUCAAAGAUUUUCACACAAAUAGAGCACCUUACCAAAACAAUAACCGAGGUUGUCGUAUUUGAAUCAAGCAGAUGCUUUGCAAGGCCUUCUUCAAUAUCGUCUCAUAUUCCCUUUUCAUUUUUCGUAUAUGAUACAAUAAACUAUUCAAAUCUAGACAUAAAUAAGAGAAUCUGCUACACCCUACUAUCACAAUUGUCAGUCCUGAACAAUAAUGCAAGUCUAGUGGCAAAAACCACCUCAAUGAACAACUCACACACACUGAUCAUACAUCUCUAACUCUCUUUUUCAAAUAACACACACUCUGAUCCAAAACAGGGUAAAUAAAAUGCACAUCCUUAUACAUUUCUAACUUUCUUUUUCGAAAUCCAAAAUAGGGUAUUCUAACUCUCUUUUUCAUUCAUUUCUUACAAACCAAUCAUACAUUUAAAAUAGGCUUUGAAUAAAAAUAGGGUAUAUAAUUAUAUACCUCAAAAUGCCUAGGAACCAACUUCCCCCUCCAACGAUUCAAAUUCUUGAAAUUGCCAACACAGUAAAUCCAUUAGUACUAUAUAAAUGAAAACACAAUUGAAACCCAUCAAACAAAACAAUCCCACAAUUUAAAUGAUUCAAUCCUACUACAAUUGAAAUUCACAGAAAGAAUGAAAAACCAGAACAAAACUGCAGCACCUAAAAAGUUGUCAUACAAAAAAACAUGGAAUGUAAAAAUAUGUUAAGAAAUCUAGUUCGUUAAUUUCCAGCUGCUAAGUGGCAUUAUGUAACUUUAGUAGUAUAACUAAUUAACUACUUAUCUGGUGGGUUGCACUUCUAUCCAAUUGGUAAGGAAAGGAAAAUAAAAAUCAACCCCUUGGUCUUAGUUGUGGCUGCAAAGUGCAGGCCACCACCAAGUCUCAGUGUUUGUGUUUUAGCAAAACACUUAAAUAAAUUAAAUUCUGAAAUGUAAAUUAUAUUCCUAUAACUUUAAGAUGCACAUAUAGUAUUGUUGAAGUCGAACUGAAAGCACUGACAAUUCCAAGCAACAGAGCAGCAAUUAUUAAGAGCCAAAACUCAUUCCUAGUCUCCUCAUCCUGGUACUCAACUCUAAUCUUCGGUCAGCAUCAUUGACUGAAAUUAGGAGAGAAAAAGAAAAGGAAUUUCAGAAAUUGUCUAUGAAGCAAAGGAUACUGCAGUUACUUCAAGACAUGUAAAUUGCAUAUGUAUAAAGUAAUUUUCUACAUAAAGGAAUGAGGCAUAACUUUCUCUCUCCUCUUCAAACCCUAAACAGUGCAAAGCCACAAACUUUACAGAGAUUAGAAUGAGAACUGGAAUUAAUAGAACAAUGACUGAAAAGUAACAUACUUGAGGAGUGAAUGAUUUAGUGUUUCCAUCAUCGGAACGCCGGAGUAAGUCGCUAAGAGAGGUCGCAAACAGCCCAAAGGGACAAACCCAGACCCCCGGCCCCGAUCCAUACCCUUCCCCCUCAAAUCCCGACGGCCCCCAUACUUUUCUCUGACUGUACACCCUCUCCCACUCAUGAAAUCGAGGAUCUGCAGCAAUGGUACUGAGAUCCCCACUCCUCCCUCUCCCUUUCUCUCUGUCGCUCUGUCUCCCUCUCCCACUGUCUGUCUAUCUUUAUCCCAGAGCGGCAUGGUCUCCCAUCCCUGAAACCCUCACCGAAAGGUGGCAAUUUUGUAAAUAACUUGAAAUCCACCAACAGCAGGAGCAGAGAAUUGAAACAAACAUUUAGGCUCGUUCGAUAACCAUUUAGGCCAAAACUGAGCACACCUAAACCAUUCCUACUCGUGCCAAAUGUUAGUGGGGAAGCAAGAUGAUGACUUUAUUGUUCAAAACCAAAAGAAAAAAAGAGAGAAAACAAAAUAACAAAUCUAAUGGUUGUAGUGUAAAAGCUGAGAACGUAAAUAAACAUGCAGAGAAAAAAAUUGAAGAUACAAAGUAGCUGCAUCAUGAAACACUUACUCCAAUUAGACGCAAAAAGUGAUGGUGAUGAGAAGAGAGAGAAAAUGCAAUCGUUUUGAUUUUUCUGGCUUUUAAAGGGAGCAGCUUUCUUCGACCACCCAAAAAAGGAAGCUGCUUCGUAUGGUUGUGAUUUCCUGAGUGUAUGUGAGCGGGUCUAUGGCACUUGCACUUUUUGUGUCGGUUACGGUAACCGGGCGAGCUGAACACGGCGGCAUGGGACUGAAUUCGGAGAGGUGAGAAAAAUUAAAAACACAAAAAGAAGGUGUUCAUUUUGUCACAUUUUUAUUACUAAAAAUUCAAUAAAGUACAUUCAUUAGUAUGGUAACUUAACUAUUUAAUUCCAUCUCAUUAAACUAAAAAAAACAAUUACAAAAAAAUAAGGGAAACCUUGUCCAAAGAGACCUGAGAGAAAGUGACGACUUCUCCUCUCAUUCCACUCCAUACUUGAUCUCUAAAGUCCAUUUGGCAUGUAAUUGAUGUUCAAUUUCAAAUUUAGUGGUAGCAAUUAGCAAAGCUAAUGAAAGAAUCAAAUAAAAUGAAAGAAAAAGCAUCAUGAAAUAAAUCAAGAUGAAGAAUGAAAUUUUGGCAACUCCCCAUUCUCUUCUUUUAUAUAAAAGAUACAUCCUAUUUGUAGUGAAAACAGGUCCCGACAAGCCCAUUUAUCCUCAAGAAGUAUUUUCUAUGACUUUAAAAACAUAAUCUGUGAAAUUAUCUCUUGGCAGAGAACAACAACAAAUCUUCAUGCAUAGCUUGUAGAGAAAGACAUCAGGCAUACAAAAGAACACGCAAGCAUAAAAUAAACGACGCAGGGAAAACAAAAAAUACAAUUAAAUACGCUGUCAAAAGAACAUGAAUAAAUGAAAAUUACAAAACAAAGAAGUGAUGAGAAACCAAAGUACCCAUUUCAUAAUCUAAUUGUUUUUUAGUUUGCUGCCAGCCAUCCCUGAGUAAUGCAUUCACUUCUGAACCCCAAACACACUGAAACAAAAAUUCACACACAUGAACUACAACUCCGCUAUGUAACAAGAAUUAAAAGCAUCUCAAAACAAAAUGGCAAACUAUAAGAGCACUGUAAAAGUAAAAUUGCAAGAAAUCUAAUACUUGGAGGGCAAGUACUAAUCAGACGAAAAUGAAAGAUUGAACUACUUCGCGUGGAACUGUGCCUUGGUUUUUUCCCAUGCUUACAGGAAGCUUUGCACUGAGCCCUUAUAGCCCAAAUUUUCUCUGAAGGAAAAAAAAACACAAUUUUGAAAUAAGAUUUUCAUAUUAUACCUUAAAGAGAAGAAUUAGACAACAAAAAAGAGAAGAAUUAGACAACAAAAAAGAGAAGAAUGAGUACUAUUCAUCAUAUAUUGUUAGAGUAUGUGGUCCUCUGGUCCAAUGGUCCUGCAGCCAUAUUUACUUUAUAACUCUUUCUUUUAGUCUUAAAAACAUCUUGGAUCUCAAAUUAACAUGUUAGCUAUGCGUUAGAACAUAUUGGGUUCAAUCCAUUGUCUUGAAUAUCACCCCCAGUCACAGCUGUCUCUUCGGGGCAUACAGAAGGCCUGAGAGGCAUUUGCAGACAUUCAAUAUCUGCUCCAAGCAUUUCGACAACUUUGGACAACGAAGGGCAAUCACUUGGUUUCAUUUGAAUACACACAAGGCGGUUAUAACCAUCUUUCUUAUCACUUUCUUUUCAUCCUCUGUAACAUUGUCUAUUUCCAAGUCAUUUCCCACAAUAUAUUGAUCAUAUACCCAUAACGGGAAAUAGAUUUGGCUUGGAUGCUCUACCGUUGCAUUCAAAUUCUUCCUUCUGCUUGCCAUUUCCAUCAACAACAUUCCAAAACUAUAGACAUCGGCCUUGUAUGAGACACCUCUAAUAUUUUUGUAGAACAACUCAGGAGCAAUAUAUCUCAUUGUACCCCGUGCUGCCGUCAAAGAGACAAUGCUAUUAUCUACUGGAUACAAUUUUGCAAGCCCAAAGUCAGAAACCUUUGUGUUUGCACUCAAAAUAUACCCAUUUUUACUUAUUUGGGCAAUUUGGGUAAAAUAUGGUAUUUGAAGGAUUAAUAUGCAAGAAAACUAACUUGGAAAGAUAUUUGGCUGCAAGUGGGGGGGGUUUGGCACUAUAAUAUUGUUUUUCCCAUUUGUUUAGGUGGUGGAGGUUUGUCAAGCCUUUGUUUAAUCAAGAUACAUGCAUGUAUUGCAAGUGGAUGGGAGAGCUUUCGGGCAAGAACGUGUAGUGAAAGAAGCUAGUUUGCUUCUUUUAAUUAUUUUAUUGCAAGUGGGAAAAUACAUGUGGUGGAGAUGCAACUUGCUUCUUUUUUAAUUGUUAGUUUAUUACAAGUGGGGAAACAUGUGCUAAAAACAUGUGGUGGAGAUGCAAGUUUCCCUUUUAAUAUUGUUUCUACAUGCAAGUUGGCAAAUGCAAAUGCAAGCUGCCCAAGCUUCUUUCGGGCAGGUACAAAGAUCUUAGCAAGGGGGCUCUUCCAGACCUCUAUAUAAAGAAGCAGAUGGAGAAGGAUUAUGGACACUCAAAACAACCAAUCAAAACUCUACUCAAAUUAGCUCAUCAGCUUCCUUGUAGACAUUUAUUUUUAGCCAAGCAUCCUUUGCUUUUCUUGUUUAUUAGCUCUGCUACUCACUUGUAGUAUCGAUCUUAUUUGUAGCUUUUAUGUACAACCCUCUUUCAGUCAUUUAAUCUACAAGCAAUCUGCAAUAUUAGUCACUUUCCUCUGUCAUUUAUAUUUCCAAGCAACCUUGUCAUUUACAUAUUGUUCUAUCUCUCCAUAUAAGUAAAGUCCUUAUUUUUAAGGCAAACAAAGAACCUUAAUUUGAGUAACUCUCACUCAAUGGCACAAUCUCUUGGUUCGAAGUCAAUCUCAGGCGCAACCUCAAUCAUUCAGAAUCUGUCUACUAACGGUAUCUAGUAGUGGCAUGCCCGCACCCCACCAAUCUCGUAUGUGAAGUAAAUCCCCGGCUUGCCCGCAAGGCGCCAUGGCGAAUUUAGGGAGCAAACAUAUUUUGGCACACCCGGUGGGAUACCUUAAAUAGAGUUAUAUUAUGAGCAAUCCUUAUGUUCAUGAUUUUUCUCAAUAUGCUUUUUCGGAGUAUGAGGAGGAUGACGGUGUUGAAGAGCGCCCAAGCUAUGGCUAUCACAUAGAGCCAACCUAUGAGUUGUCAACUUAUGGGUACAUGGCUGAAAAGUACUCAAGUCCCAUGGAACAUGAUUGUCGGCCAACUAAUGGCCAUCAAAUAAAUAAUAAUCUUGAAGAUUGGCCAACUUAUGGCUAUGAUGAAGGUUAUUAUUCUUUUGAAGACAAUCAUAUUCAUGAAUACUAUGAUAGGCCAACAAAUGGCUUUGAGUAUCAAAAUGCUUCCAAUGAGUACAUAGAGCCAAUAUAUGAGAUACCAACUCAUGAUCAUCCAGAUGAAAAGCUCUACAAAGAGGAUGUGGGCAAAUUAGAGAAGGUGUCCAAACUCCAUGUGGCAAGCAUCGAUAUGGUGAAGAGGUGACCAAGUGUUUUAGAAAGGUGGAGGAAAGCUAUACCACUUUUGGAGAAACUUUGAGAAAGUUGAUAGAUCAAAUGUGUCAAAUCCCCUCUACAAAGCACACUCACCCUACUACAACCAAGGAAGAACAAAUCAUACACGUUGAUGAAGGCCAAACAAUGGCCCCACCCAAUGAAAAAUCCAUGAAAAUGGAUAUGGUUGUAGAAGGCCAAGCCGACAUAUUGAAACCGAUAACGGCUAAGAUGGAGCUUAUGGCUAUUGUAGGCCAAACACCAACGCUCGGGGGGCUCGAACUCACACCUCAUGUGGAGCCCGAAGAAGAAGAAAAUAUUUCCCACUCUCUUCUCCGCCAACACAAGCAUGUCAUCCAUACCAAGAUCUCAAGAAGGGCAAAGCUUGGGAUCAAACAUAAAUGGCCACCUCCUAUUGUUUCCAAGCUAUAUGGUAUGGCUAAUUUAAAUGGUGGAUCUAAUCUCUCUACACUCAAUUUUAAAAAGAGAAAAAGAUUUGAGUGUUAAGAGAUAUCUGGGCAAUCAAGGGGCUUAACCAAUAUGCCCAAGUGGGGCUUAUUUUGUUGUUUCCUCUUUUGCCUGAAGUUGAACUCCCAGUCUUCCUUUUCUUCUUUCCUUCUCUCUUUCCUUUUCUUUCUCUCCUGUUUCCUUUUGCCCGAAAGUAGGUGCCAAAUCCCUCCUCUAUUCCUUUUUCUUUAUUUCUUUCUCUUUGUCUUAUCUUGUCUUUCACUUUUCCCAAAAGGGCUAUAUAUAUACAGAGAGCUUAAGGGGAGGGAUCCCCAUUUUUUGAAAAAAAUGGGGAUUAGGUGUGGGGCCCACUUCACAUUGAACUUCAACAAUCCGAACCGUCUAUUUUGUUAGUCUCGAUUCAUAGAUCAUCCUUGCAAAAAUUCAAUUCAAUCCGAAACCAUUUGCCUAUUUAAUUAUCAAGAUCAAAUUUCAUUUUUUCUUAUAUAACAAAGUAUUCGUUUAUUUCAUUGAACCCAAUUAGAUGUCUUAAACAUUUCCAAUUUAGCUAAUAUUUUGCAAGGAUGAUCUAUGAAUCGAGACUAACAAAAUAGAUAGUUCGGAUCGUUGAAAUUCGAUGUGAAGUGGGCCCCACACCUAAUCCCUAUUUUUUUCAAAAAAUGGGGAUCCCUCCCCUUAAGCUCUAUAUAUAUAUAUAUAUAUAUAUAUAUAUAUAUUAUAUGUGAAAAGAGGGGAAUGGAAGUACUUUGCCCGAGUGGGCUUGUUAUAUAUAUUAUUUUAUAUAUUAUAUUAUAUUAUAGUUUUGAAAGUCAUUCAAAAAAAAAAAAAAAAAAAAAUCUGAGCAGUUUGCCCGAUUCCCUUUUCUUCAAAAUUUGCCCAAAUUGGUUCUUUCUUUUACUUUGGUCUGUGUUACCCGAGAGGGCUUUGUCCCUUUUUGUUUCUCUUGCUUUGGUUGCCUGACAGUCUUCCCUUUUAUUUGUUCUUUCACUUUUUCCAGCCAACCCAACAGGGCCUUUAAUUUCCUUUUUCUGUUUGCCCGAAAGGGCUCUGUUUUUUUGUGUGUUUCUUGUGCUGUUACAAAGAAAAAGAUAUAAAAAUUAAAAAUUCCAAAAAUCACAAAAACAUUUUGCUUUCUUGCUUUUGUUUUUUCUUGCUUUCUUUCCUUUUUUGUUUUCUUGCUGGGGAACUUUACAGAAAAUAUCAAAAAGUUGGGCAGCUUGUGAGUAGCCAUUUUUACCUUUCUUUCCACUUUUCUCUUAUCCAAUGAGUGUAUUUAGCCCGAACCCAAAAGUUGAAAUUAGAAAACCAUCUAGUGGCUGUACCCAAAUUCAUGGAAUGAGGAGUUUCAUAAAAAGCCGAAUCUAUGGCUUUCUUGCUGAAAAGCAUGUCAUCUGUGUCUCAAUGGCUAUUGCAAGAAAGCAUGGGGCUAUCUUGCCCAACUGGUGGUGCCCGAUGGAACCAUAACCAUGCCUGACGGUAAUGACGUCUUCCCUACUCACCACCAACAGACUCUGCAUGUCUCCCUAACGCUCACCAGUUCCUACAACCAAGGGUCGGGCUACUUUGACGACUACCAUUAGAGGCUACAGUAAGAGCUUUUGAUGUGGCUACUAUUAAUCACUGGAGACUAGUUUUCAUGGGUAAGAAAAUAGAAAAAUGGAGCUGCAUCUAAAUGUGAAAUCCGAAAGCUGGAGGAAGAUGACAGAAAAUUAUGUUGCUGUUGCCCGAGGAUGCUACAAUCUUGCCCGAUGAGCAUGACAUCUUCUCUGUUGCAAUUUGUUUAGAUGUUGUCAAUCAUAUAUGGGGCCCCAUGCUUGAUCUGGCAAACGUAUUUGAAGUGUUCAUGCCACUACAACCAGCAAUAAAUCAAGACCAGAUCUCUGAAGGAUUCUGCAGAUCGGUCGGUUCACUCAGACAUAACCACCUCCCUCCGAGCGGAACAAAAGCAACAGUGCAAAGUAGACAGCAUUACCUUGAUUUGGGAAGCAGAAUUCUGAACCUCAAGCAGGAUCUCUUGAUACGCAGGAGUUGGAGUAAGGAAACAAUGGCAGCCAACAUAAUAGCCGCAGCUUCGAAGCCAGACCUACCCGGCCUUCGGUCGUCAUCUUUAACCCCUUGGAGCUUCACCACUGGUUGAAGGAAGUAUGCAGAAAUUUACCUUUGCAGACGGAGCUUGGUUUACAUUUGCCCAGUUAAAAAGGAGGAGGAAGGGAUUGGAUCUCCAACAAACACUAAUAGCUUUCCGUUCUUUCUGCAACAAUCAAUUUUCAUGAUCCGUGGACUUGGGUUAUUUUCUUCACGCACGCACAAGGCAUACCCUUUCAUAGCUCCAGGAAAAAUCACCACUCUCUUCUCAUUUGACCAGCAGCUCUCUCUCUCUCUCUCAGACUUGGAUUAUGGUUGCCGCACCUUGAUCUUUAAGUGAUACCUCGAACAGAGAAACAACUUCUCUUUUGGAGAAGAGGAAAGGCUAGAGAACGACCCACGUUCAUCUUUUUCUCUCUAUCUCUCUCUCUCUCUAUCUAUCUCUUUCUUUUUCCUUUUCUUUUUCUUUUCUCUUGCUUUCUGUUCCUUUUCUUUUUCUUUUCUCUUGCUUUCUGUUCCUUGUCCCUUUCUCAAGGUAUGUCCUUCACUUGGCCCGAAAGGGCAGCAUACUAUAUAUAUUAUAGUAUGUGGCCUAAGAAAGAAAGUCUAGUCCUUUUUAUUAUUUCUUUUCCUCUUAUCUUUUUGUCUCUCUCUCUUUCUUUUCCUUCCUUUCUCUUUCUUCCUGUCUAUUUUUUCUUUUUGUUUUGAGUUGCCCGAAAGGGCUUUAUAUAUAUAUAUAUAUAUAUAUUAUAUUUGAAAAAGGCAAAAAGAAAAAGAUAAAAAAUAAUAGUUGCCAAAGUUUAUUUAUGUUUUAUCCUUCUUUUCCAGUUGUCCGACUUCGGGCAUUUUCAGUUUAUUAUCUAUGUAACCAGUGAAGAUGCUCUUAUGUUUUUUGGUAUCAACAAGAAGGAUGCACAAGUCAGACAACAUUUUUUUCCAAUGCUAGUUGCACUACCAAUUGCCUUGCUCCUCUUGCCAAAGUUUAUCAACGACGGCAGGACCGAAGAGGUAGACGUGCCUCUUCCUUCGACAUCAUUCUUGGCAGCAUUAGAGUUGUAAGUUUCACAAACUUUGCUCAAAUUUGUAAAACUUGGGGGGCACUGUUUGCACUCAAAAUAUGCCAAUUUUUACUUAUUUGGGCAAUUUGGGUAAAAUAUGGUAUUUGAAGGAUUAAUAUGCAAGAAAACUAACUUGGAAAAAUAUUUGGCUGCAAGUGGGGGGGGGGUUGGCACUAUAAUAUUGUUUUUCCCAUUUGUUUGGGUGGUGGAGGUUUGUCAAGCUUUUGUUUAAUCAAGAUACAUGCAUGUAUUGCAAGUGGAUGGAAGAGCUUUCGGGCAAGAAUGUGUAGUGAAAGAAGCUAGUUUGCUUCUUUUAAUUAUUUUAUUGCAAGUGGGAAAAUACAUGUGGUGGAGAUGCAACUUGCUUCUUUUUUAAUUGUUAGUUUAUUACAAGUGGGGAAACAUGUGCUAAAAACAUGUGGUGGAGAUGCAAAUUUCCCUUUUAAUAUUGUUUCUACAUGCAAGUUGGCAAAUGCAAAUGCAAGCUGCCCAAGCUUCUUUCGGGCAGGUACAAAGAUCUUAGCAAGGGGGCUCUUCCAGACCUCUAUAUAAAGAAGCAGAUGGAGAAGGAUUAUGGACACUCAAAACAACCAAUCAAAACUCUACUCAAAUUAGCUCAUCAGCUUCCUUGUAGACAUUUAUUUUUAGCCAAGCAUCCUUUGCUUUUCUUGUUUAUUAGCUCUGCUACUCACUUGUAGCAUCGAUCUUAUUUGUAGCUUUUAUGUACAACCCUCUUUCAGUCAUUUAAUCUACAAGCAAUCUGCAAUAUUAGUCACUUUCCUCUGUCAUUUAUAUUUCCAAGCAACCUUGUCAUUUACAUAUUGUUCUAUCUCUCCAUAUAAGUAAAGUCCUUAUUUUUAAGGCAAACAAAGAACCUUAAUUUGAGUAACUCCCACUCAAUGACACAAUCUCUUGGUUCGAAGUCAAUCUCAGGCGCAACCUCAAUCAUUUAGAAUCCGUUUACUUGCGGCAUCUAGUAGUGGCACGCCCGCACCCCACCAAUCUCGUAUGUGAAGUAAAUCCCCGGCUUGCCCACAAGGCGCCAUGGCGGAUUUAGGGAGCAAACACUUUGCUUUAAAGUUCUCAUCAAGAAGGAUGUUAUGAGGCUUGAUGUCGAAAUGUAGAAUUUGCAUUUUGCAACCUUGAUGUAGAUAUUGUUGACUUUUGUAUUUUAGGUAGGAUCCCUAAUUGAUAUGUAAUCCCAUGUAAUCACUUGUAAUUAGUUUUUCUUUCCUUUUAUGUUAGGGUUGUACACCUAUAAGUUCCUCUUAUUGAGAAGAAUAUAUCAUCAUUCAAAGCAUUCUCUUCUUGGCACCAGAGCCUAGGUUUUGAAAAGAAAAAAAAAAGAAAAGAAAGAGGAGACGAGAUCGUGCUCUGUACGGAAAACCAUAACUACCAGCCGCACAGCCAGUUGUGCAGCGCCGUCCGACCAGCAAGCGACGCCGUCGUUUCUGACCCGAGAACCCGAACUACCCGCCAUGCACCCAGGUGUGCAGUGUGCCGAUCAACCAGCGAGCGACGCCGUCGUUGCUGAUCCGAGUUCACCGAGCCACUCCCUGCAUCUACCACCACGAACCGAGAUUCAACCCACUGCCUGAAAUUUGUCCCAGAUUUCGGCCUGUGUAUCUGUUUUGCGUGCCCAGAUUCGAUUGAACCGAGUGCACCCACUUCACAAUGGCUCCCUGUGCUUGUCCUUUUUCAAAUGGAUUUGACCGAACCGGACAUGAGAGUAGGACCGAUCGAGACCAGUUCAAGACUUGUGAUCCCCACUGUAACAAGUCGUGUACCUCGAUUGUCGAAUCGAAAAUAGAUUCUAAUAUAGGUAACAAAGGUAAGGCUUUAAAAGUUUCUGCAUCUGUUACGAAUAAUACAUGGAUAAUUGAUUCCGGUGCUACUGAACAUAUGACUUGUGAAUCUAGGCAGGUACAAAUCCUAAAACCACCCACCAAAACUGUUGUGAGUGUUGCCAACGGUAAUGUUGUUCUCAUUAUUGGAGAAGGCACUGUCUCCCUGUCAAAUACCCUUAGUCUUGAUACCGUGCUUGUUGUUCCUUCUCUUGACCAUAAUUUAUUAUCUGUUGCUCAAAUAACUGUCGCCCUGCAUUGUCUUGUGAUUUUUUGGCCUUCCUUUUGUGUUUUUAAGGACAUUCGGACUCACAAGACGAUUGGUUAUGGUAUUAGGAAGGGGAAGCUCUAUUACUUGGAGCUGACAUCAAACAGUUUUCGAAUGUUGACUCACGCUCUUGCAGUGGACGGAAAUUCGGGGGAUAGGAAUAAAGCUUCGGAGGUUUGGUUGUGGCAUCGUCGACUUGGACAUGCUUCUUUCGGCUAUCUACGGAGGUUGUUUCCUAGCCUAUUUGUUAAGCAUGAUGUUUCUAGCUUUAAAUGUGGUGUUUGUGAACUAGCUAAAAGUCAUCGUGCUUCGUUUCCAUCCAGUUUGAAUAAAAGUUCUGUUCCAUUUAUGAUAAUUCAUUCUGAUGUUUGGGGUCCAUCUAAAACUGCUACAUUUGGUGGUGCUCAUUGGUUCGUUACUUUUAUUGAUGAUUGCACACGUAUGACUUGGGUUUGUUUGAUGAAAUCCAAAGGUGAAGUUACUUCUUUGUUUCAACAGUUUUACAAAAUGGUACAAGUACAAUAUAAGUCACAAAUACAGGUUCUCAGGAGUGAUAAUGGUGGCGAAUAUGUUAACUCUGAACUUCGUGCCUUUCUUGAUCAUCAUGGGAUUGUUCAUCAAACUACAUGUCCAUAUACUCCACAACAAAAUGGGGCUGCCGAAUGCAAGAACCGUCAGCUUCUGGAGGUUGUUCGUGCUUCUUUACUCGAGGCUCGUCUCCCGUUAUCCUAUUGGGGAGAAGCUCUCACCUCAGCUGCGUAUCUCAUUAAUCGUGUUCCAUCCCGAUCGGUUGAUUUUCAGACACCCCUUCAGGCAUUUUCUUUACAUGUUGAUGCUCCUGCAUUCCCUAAUCUUCCACCUCAUGUGUUUGGAUGUGUGGCCUUCGUUCAUCUUCAUAAACAACAGCGAAGUAAGCUUGAACCUCGAGCCUUACGAUGUGUGUUUGUGGGGUAUGCAUCAAGGCAGAAAGGAUACCGUUGUUAUCACCCACCGACGAAUAAGUUGUUUGUCACUAUGGAUGUUGCGUUUCAUGAGAAUGAUAUGUACUUUGCCAAUCUCGAGUCUUCACUUCAGGGGGAGAAUCAGAAAGAAGUUCAAACUCUUGAUUAUACUAUUCCAGAUAUAGAUAGAGUGAAUGAUUUGGAUUUAAGUGGUGAUGUCUUGGAAAUAAGUGGUGAUCAUUCACACGAAAAUAAUGAUGUGAAUGAAUUGGAAUUAAGUGGUAAUGUCUUGGAGACAAGUGGUGAUCAUUCACAUGGAAACAAUGUUGAAAACCUUGAAAGGGAUGAGUCGACAUCGCCAGAUAACUCACUGCCUGAUAGCUCACUGCCAGUUUCCUCACCACCGGACAACCCUGUGUCGCCAGCUACCUCACAGUCGAUCUUGAGUCCCAAUAACCAUAAUCAAUCGUCUUCGAUCCCGGAUGCACCACCACCACGUCGUCUCCCUGAUCGCAUCAACCGAGGUAUUCUUAAACUUACUUAUGAAGCCGACCCUAAAUGCAAAACUAGGUAUCCGGUGAGUAAGCCCAACCCUGAGUCUAAUGUGUUAUACCCGUUAAGUAAUUAUGUGUCUACCAGUCACCUGUCAGAAUCAAAUAAGUCAUUUGUGCAUCAAUUAUCUACUGUAUCUAUUCCUAACAGUGUGUAAGAGGCUUUAACUGAUCCACGUUGGCAAGUAGCAAUGAAUGAAGAGUUGAAGUCUUUGAAGAAGAAUGCUACCUGGGAGAUCACAGAUUUGCCAGCUGGCAAGAAACCUGUGGGAUGCAAAUAGGUCUAUACUGUGAAAUACAAAGCAGAUGGGACGGUGGAUCGUUUCAAGGCAAGACUGGUAGCAAAAGGAUAUACUCAAAAAUAUGGAAUCGACUACACAGAUACAUUUGCAGGAGUAGCCAAGAUCAACACAGUUCGUGUUUUGUUGUCCUUGGCUGCAAAUCUUAAUUGGCCUUUACAACAGUUCGAUGUGAAGAACGCCUUCUUGCAUGGAGACUUGACAGAAUAAAUUUAUAUGGAUCUUCCACCGGGAUGUAAUGCUCCAGAUAAAUACAAAAGAAAAGUGUGCAGAUUGAAGAAAUCUUUGUAUGUCUUGAAGCAGUCCCCUCGAGCAUGGUUUGGAAGAUUCACAAAAUCUAUGAAAGCAUUUGGUUACAGACAAAGUAACUCUGAUCAUACUUUGUUCCUGAAAAGACAGAAUGGGAAGCUUACUGCACUUAUUGUGUAUGUAGACGAUAUGGUGGUAACAGGUAAUGAUCCGGAAGAACGUGCGGCCUUGCAAAGAUACCUGUCUACAGAAUUUGAAAUGAAUGACCUUGGAUCCCUGAAAUAUUUUUUAGGGAUUGAGGUGUCGAGAAGCAGUUCUGGAAUUUUCUUGUCUCAGAGGAAGUAUAUUAUUGAUUUGUUGCACGAAACUGACAUGUCAGCUUGUCAGCCAGUAGCUACACCAUUAGAAGAAGGAUUGAAGCUUAGUGUUGAUCCUAAUCAAGUACCAAUUGACAAAGGAAGAUACCAAAGGUUAGUAGGCCGUUUGAUGUAUUUGGCACACACAAGACUGGACCUUGCUUAUGCCUUGAGUGUAGUGAGUAAAUACAUGCAUGAUCCUGGAGAACAACAUAUGAAUGCCGUGACGAGAAUAUUGCGAUAUUUGAAGGGAAGUCCGGGCAAAGGAAUUUUGUUUAAGAGGAAUAAUCACUUUAGUGUUGAAGGUUAUACUGAUGCAGACUGGGCAGGUUCCAUUGAUGAUAGACGCUCAACAUCAGGUUACUUUACGUUUGUUGGGGGUAACUUGGUUACAUGGAGAAGUAAGAAACAGAAUGUGGUUGCCCGUUCCAGUGCAGAAGCAGAAUACAGAGGUAUGGCUUUGGGGAUUUGUGAAAUUUUGUGGCUUAAGCUUCUGUUAAGCGAUUUGGGUAUACAACAUGAUCAGCCCAUGAAAUUAUUUUGUGAUAAUAAAGAUGCUCGUGACAUUGCACAUAAUCCGGUACAACAUGAUAGAACAAAGCAUGUUGAAGUUGAUUGGUUCUUCAUCAAAGAAAAAUUGGAAGGGAAAAUAAUUGAAGUACCAGCGAUAAGAACAGAAGAUCAGUUGGCAGAUAUCCUCACAAAAGCUGUUUCGAGUCACAAGUUUUCAAGUUUCUUACACAAGUUAGGCAUGAUCGACAUAUAUUCACCAACUUGAGGGAGAGUGUUGACUUUUGUAUUUUAGGUAGGAUCCCUAAUUGAUAUGUAAUCCCAUGUAAUCACUUGUAAUUAGUUUUUCUUUCCUUUUAUGUUAGGGUUGUACACCUAUAAGUUCCUCUUAUUGAGAAGAAUAUAUCAUCAUUCAAAGCAUUCUCUUCUUAUAUUCGAUCCCUUGACUCCAAGAGAAAUCUUGUACAUAGUCUUGAUAGUUAAGGGAGACUUCCUUAUUUGGAAUAAAUGUAUUUAUCAAGAGAGUCAUUAGGUAUGAAGUCAUAUAUUAGAGCGCUCUUUGAUCCCUCGACACAAUAUCCAAAAAGUUGCACCACAUUGGCACGGUGAAUCCUUCCGAUUGUAGCUAUUUCGCUAAUGAAAUCUUGGCCAUCAGCUUUGGGCUUGCCCAAAACUUUAACUGCUACAAAUCGGCCACUGCGUAGCUUUCCUUUAAAUACAAAGCCAAAGGCACCUUCGCUCAACUUGUCCUUAAACCUGCAAGUCAUUUUCUUGAUGUUCGAGUAAGAGUACCUUAUAGGCAUGAAGUUAUUGCAUUGCAAAAAAUCUUCUAUUGUGCUAUACAUUGAUAAAUGUCUUUUGCGCCAUGUAGAUUAAAAAUGCAGUCACAACUACAACUCCAAAAACAAAUCUGGCUAGGAAAAAUAACCCUGCAUGCAUUGACAUUAGUAUGUUAGAUCCACUGUACUACUUUUUCUUCCCUUUCUUUCCAAAUUACUUUGUCUUUGAUGUAAUUAAAGAGAGAAUGGGAAAUCUACAUAUGCUGAUAAUACAAUCUCGUAUUAGUUCUUACCGAUGCAUAUGAGUAUAAACCAUCCACGUACUGCAACAUAAUUAAUCGACAAUGAGUUUCAAAAGUGCAUAAAGUGAAGAAAAAAAAAUUUGAAAAAAAUCAAAGGGUGCCUCUAUUGACACCCAAAUUUUAGUUAGUUUCACUCAACUAAAAAAAAAAUUCAUCGAACUUUUUAAUUUGCCUUCGAAAUUGAGUUCACCCAACCCACCAACCAGCAAGCACCACUCAACCAAAAAAUGAACAACACAAAGAGCUGGCAUCGACGCUGUCGAUGAAGGAGGGACAUGAGGAUGGUGUAGUUUCGUCUGGCGCGCGGUAGUGGUUUUGUCUGUUCAUUUUCUCUUUCUUUUGGUAGGUGGAGGCUGGUGUGGAUUUGGGCGAACUUAAAAAUGAGGGGAAACUAUGAAGUUUGACAAAAUGUUUUAGUUAGGUGAACUUAACUAAAAUUUGGGUGCUAAAAAAGGUACCCAAAAUCAAAAGGCUUUUGUUUACCCAAUGCUAUGUACAGGUUUGACUUUUGUUUAUAUUCUUGGAUCUGUUGCUUGGUUGUAUAAUUUGGAUGUGGUUUUGUUUCAAGAUAAUUUGUUCUUCGUUUCUUGAGGCUUUUGUGUGUAGAUUUGAAACCGUUUAGCUUUCAAGCCGUUUAUACUCAAGGUAAAUAAUUUCGUUUUUUUCUUUUUAACCUUUUUUGUAAGAAUUUUUUAUUUAAUUUUGUGAGAGUUGUGUUUUCUAUAGUAUGAAAAUUGAAUCUUUGUGAUCUUAUAUCCUUAGAUAUGUUGCUUGGUUAUAUGAUUUGGCUGUGUGCAUUGUUUCAGGACAAUUUGUUCUUCGUUUUUGGGGCUUCUGUGCGUAGUUUUGAAGCCUUUUGUAGUCAACAUAAAUAAUUUUAUUUUUCUUUGUUUCUAGUCUUCUUUGUAAGAAUUUCUUAGUUAAUAUUUUGAGAAUUAUGUUUACUAUAGUAUGAAAACUGAAUCUUUGUGAUCUUCUAAGUGAUGUAACGUCAUUGCACCAUGUAUGACUGCCAUUAUCGAACAUGAAAAGCUUUUUUAUUUCUGUACUCCGUCCUUUCAUACGAUCUGCCUCAAAAAUGGUUUCAUUACAAGUUCUAACAUGAUUUUUGCGAUGUCUUAUGAAAAAACAAUGUCCACCAAAACAAUAGGAAAACGUCGCCGUCUGCUCUUCUUGGCUGAGCUUCAUGACUGGCCGAAUUCCCCUAUUCCCUUCCUCUUAUACUUUUUUGUAUUCGUUCACCAAAACAAUAGGAAAACGUCGCCGUCCGUUUGAUUGACGGCGAAAGAAAAAGACAGAGAAUAAAAGCCUGACGGAAUAUUGCGAUUUGAGAAAAAAAAGAAAGAACCACGUUGACAUAAUAUACUCACAAUAGGUGUACAAGGUUAAUAAAGCUUUACUGUGGUUCCAUUUUUUUGCAUACUUCAAAGGCUCUGAAUUGCUAAUGGAAUUAGCCUUUAGUUUUAGGAAGAAACUUGGAACCCCCUCCGUCCGUUCUAUCCCCAAUGGAAUUAACACUUGGAUAGUACUAUGACAAUGUGUCAUUAUUUGAUGCAUACCUGUAUAAAUUUAGGCUAAGUGUUUUAUACACAAAUUGGUACAGAUUAAGCUUCUGGGAGCAAAAUCAUAUACGGGAGAGCUAACUAUACAAUGAUACAUUCUUAUCUGUUAAUUAUCUUUGGUUACCAGCUAUCCAUGUUGCUGACAUAUUAAAUUACACAACAUCUAUUGUAAUUUAUGUCUUAUUAGUAACAUAAUGAUCUGGUUUCAAUUUGCUACAGGCAUUAUUUCCUGACAAUAGCUAUGGUUUUGAUUAUAGCUGUGACUGAAAAAUUAUUCCGAAACUAACAUUUGAGGAAUUCAAGGUUUGUUAGUUAAUUUGUACAUCAGAAUACCAUGACAAACUGUGAAGUUGUAAUUGUUGACCUUACAAUGUAUCUUUUUUGGUUUGGAGCAUUAGACUUAUAUGUGCUACUUUCACUUCAUGAAGGCUAACUCUUUAUUUUAGGCCUUAGAAUAUAAUUUCUUGGAGAAUCUACAUUGUUGUUGAUAAUUUUUUGAACAAUAUUAUCCCCAAAAUUUCUCCGCAUGUUACCCUCAACGUAGACAUCAUAUAACCAUCAUUGAACUUCUGAACCAAAAAUUUGAGUUUUGUGAUUAUAACUAAACAUCUAUAAACACAUGAUACAGAUUGAGACGAACGUCAAAUUUAAAAUGGCAUUAAUCAGGACAGCUGCAAACUCUGAUUUGCGGCCUUUGAAAUGGAGAAGUUACUUCUUGCUUCACUUCAGCAGCAUAGUCCAGCUUCUAAAUUCAGUUCUCAGGUAUGAGGUUUCUCAGUUACCUCUUUUUUGUAAUAAAACAUUUGACCAGUACUUGCCAGGAUAUCCAAUUAAUUAGGUCAGUUUUUGUCAGCCGUAAUAAUUUGUUUUUGCAACUUUAUAUGUGUCUCUGUCUCCAAAUGAUGAUCUCUUAAUUUGCUUCUAUAGCUUUUGUAAUAUGAUGAUCUCUUAAUUUGCUUUUGCAUAUCUUCUUUGCUUCCUCUGCUAGCUCUAUAUGAGAUUCCAUCUCCAAAUAAUUAUUAUUAUUUCCUAUUUUUACAGGAAGCAAAUCAUUGAAUACACAUGGAAAAUUAAAAGGGUUUUAGUUUUUGGAUUAGUUUAAAUUUUUUGUUUGUUAUUGCUUGUAUUGCUGUUAAAUAUUUGAUGGGUAGUUUGAAAUGGGGAACUUGGUUGAUCGAGUAUUAACUUUUAUUAAAUUAAUAUUCUUAUUCAAUAUUGAAUUAAGACUCCUCUUAUUAAAUUAAGACUCUUAAGGCUCUAAUCUAAUUUUCAUGCUCAACAUCUCCUCUAUCUUUCUACAAUUGGUAAAACUUUUGUAUUAUUAUUCCAAUUUUGGUUACUGGGUUGUGGAAUUUUCCAUUUUUUUCUGGGUAAUCAAUACUAUAUAUAUGCAUGAAAAGUAUAAACAAUAUUUUGGGUCAAAUUUAGUUGUUUAAUUUUUUAUUUUUUUUGUGACAGUGAGAUUAUGGUAGGAUUUCGUUUAGAUUCCGUGGCCCAAUGGGAGUCUCUGCUUUGAUAAGAUUGGGGUUGAUGCCAAGAAAGCCUUUCUACUGUGGACGCCGCAGCCGCCUAGCGCUGUUUUCCAAAAUCCUCUCUCACUUGGGUAAGCAAUUACGACUUUUUGGUUCAGUUUUUAUUAUGCCCAAUUUUGUAUUUAAACUGAUUUGGGGUUACUGAAAUAGGCAUGCUUGAUGAGUGCUGCAGAGCUGCCAUCCCUGAAUCAGAAGAUGUUCAGAAGGAAGAAGGAAGAACAAGAAGAAAAAGAAGAAGAAAGUCGUGGAAUAUCAAAAGCUUUUAGCUUUGUGAAGGUAUGCUUUUUCCCAACUCAUCUCUUGCUUUUGUUGCACUGAAUUGGUAGAUUGGGUUCAAAAUAUAUAUAUAUGUGAUUUUUUGUGUAACUAUUCUUUACAUAAUUACCAAUUGGAGGUGAUUUGAGAUCAUGUAACAUUUCCUCGCCAGAACCGAAGAUUGCCGUCGCUCAAAGCUGCGUUUCAUGAAACAAGUUCAUCUCCUGCCAAUUUUGUGUACCCACUUUUUAUUCAUGAGGGUUGGUGCUUGCUUGCAACAUAAUUUGGUGCUAUUAAGUUUUGCGGUUUUACAAUCUGUUCAUGCUUAAACCUCUUUCAAAUUUUCAUUUCUGUGUAAAUCUAGCAGGUAGGUCGACACACCUAUCUGGGCAAUGUCGGGAUGUCUAGGCUUGGGUGGAGACAUGGACUUAUGAAAGAGGUGAAGUAGCUUAGUUCGAUCUCAUUAGCUCUUAUCUAAAAAGUUCUAUUGAUUUUAUAAUCAAAGAUACAUAUAUUAUAGAAACAUAGGGUAUAUCAUUAAUUUCUUGAUGUAAACAAUUAUAACUUGAGCAACCAUUUAAAGUAUUUUGGUAAUCAGCAUACUUAAACUUAAAUGUGAUAUAUCCGUUUAGUUUUUUUUUUUAUACAGUGAUAAUACUCAAGUAUAAUUUACAUCAUAUAUCUUUUGAAGUACAUGAAACUAUGAAGAAAAUGAUAAACCAAAUCCCAUUCCAUCUCCGUUUGCUACUGCACAAUCACAAUCCAAUUCCAACAUGGAAUCCUCAGACGACAUGCCUACUGCAGAACAAGUUUCAUCUUGACUUAACUUCUAUUUAGUCCACUUCUUGUUUAGAUUGUAAUCCUAGUUCUACGUGUGUUUGUAUAGUACUCCUAUAAAUAUCAAUGAACAUCGCUCACUCUAAUUAAGAGUUGAGAUUCUGCAAAUCAUAUUUACUAUCUUUCAUGGUAUCACGAGCCAGGGUCUAACGACAACAGUUCAUGUUAUAAUUUUUUUCUCUUCUGCAGAUCCUAAACUAUGGCAUCUUCUUCCUCCUCCGCUGCUCCCUCCGUCUCAAAUUUUCUUACGAUUAAGCUCGACCGCAACAACUACCCUCUUUGGCGUGCUCAAUUUCUUCCCUUGCUGCGCAGCCGCAACUUACUCUCUUAUGUUACUGGCGAAACUCAAUGCCCCUCUGCCUUUCUUCUUGAUGACAAUGGUAAAUUCACAGACAAAGUCAAUCCAUUAUAUAAUGAAUGGAUCCAGACUGACGAGAUGAUCCUAUCUUGGAUUACGAGUUCUCUUACUCCCAAGGUUCUUGCUACGAUCGUCAACAAAAUUGAUAAAGCCUCUGCUUGGUCGUCAAACCCGAAUUAAUCUGAUUAUGGGGGUUUUGUUUUAUAUCAAUAUAUUGCAGCAGAAGUCGCACUUUGAAGAGUUCGUGCUGCACAGAAAGAUGAUGAAAUGCUACCUGUUGAGUCUAUCAUUGCUCCAUUGGAGACAGAGCUGAAGCUUGCUGCAGGAGUUAUACAUUUGUUAUGCAAUAUGACCCCUUUAAUUUUAUUUUAAAACUGAUACAAAAAUACUACAAAAAUUUAUGUAGUAUUUUUGUAUCAGUUUUGAGUGUCUAUUUUGGCUUCCAUAUUUCGUCUGUACAUGUGAGAGGUAUAGUGUUCAAUAUGUAUUUGGUUUCUAUAUUGUUAAUGGAUCUUCUUUUUUUUCUUUUUUUUUCUUUUUUUUUAAAGAUAACCAAGUUGCAGGAUGACAGCAGAACACUUGAUCUGCAGGUAAACCUUCAAUUUCCAUAUGAAGUUUGCAUGUUCGUUGUUUCUGGAAUUUGAGUUUUUAUUAUUUAUCAAUUCUAUCACAUAGAUUACGAUUUCACAUAUGGGAUUAUUAAUGGCAAUUAGAUGAUAGAAGAAUUGGGAUUGGAAGAAGAUAUUGAGUUGUUUAUUUAUGGGGAUUAGAAAAUGAUUAUCAUACGAGUGAUAUUUAUUUUUGUGUGGAUUGUUAAUAUAUAAAACUAUAAGCUUUUGAGAUUGGGAGACAAAACCCACACAUUCAAAUCAGACAAAAUAAAUAAAAAAUUUAACUGACUUAAAGAUCAAACUCCAAAAGGGUAUUAAAAACAAGGCUUAUUUGAUCCAUUGAGUGUGAAAGUUUUGAGCUUUGAAGAAGCAGAGGAGGAGAGUUGUUAACCAAGCUGCAUUAUCCAUGUAUUAGGAUGUUGAAGGUAGGCAGGAAAAUUACUUUUUGACGCCAUAUCCAGAGGAGCAUAACGACAGGCCUGCAUUUUUGCAGCAAUGACCAAAACAAGUAGAAGUGAAGGCUUGACUGUUUGGGUAUUCAUCCUAAACCUAAUUAUUCUUAUUUAGGUUUAGGAUAAAUGAUUGAGUGUGUCUCGAUGAUUGUAUUACUAUGUUUGAUGAAUGAUUUGAGGAGUUGGAAAUGGUUUAUUGCUUAUCUUUUUUUUAGGUGUGUACUUUGGUUAUUUCCGAGCUUUUCAUGACUUUUGAUACCUAAUAGAGAAUAUGGAAACCCCAACUUUAAUUUUAUGAAUUGGUUUUGGUGCCUAAAAUGAAAUCUAGCAUAGUGAAAUCUUGCAUAAUGAAAUUAUGACAAAUUUCCCUUCAUCUUUAGAUUUUCAUUUAAUUCAAUUCGUAUGCAAUUUAGGGUUAUUCAAUUCAUGAGUGAUCAAAUUAUGUUUUUAAUUCCUUCUUUUGAUUUACAGUUCAACAUUGUCGUACAAAAUGAAAAAGGCGCCAGUAACAGAGUUAUGGAUUUGGAUGCCUUUAGUGGAAUAAAACUGAAUUUUUUAACUUUGUAUAGUUGUAAACAUAAAAUACUCCAUGAGAUAGACUCAUAGCUUUUGAAAACAAUCCUUGAGGAUGGCAUAACAACAUCUCCAACUUUUGUCAUGUAAUGUAUGAAUGUCAAUAGCACUUCGUAAACAUAUGGAUGUAAUAUAUGUAUAUAAACACUCUUUAGCAUGUAUAUUUUUCAAAACUUUCUACAUCUUCAACAAUGUUUCAAUGAUUUCUUGAUGUAAACAAUGAUAAUUUGAAGAACCAUUUAAAGUAUUUUGGUAAUCAGCAUACUUAAGCUUAAAUGUGAUAUAUCCGUUUAUUAUUUUUUAUACAGUAAUAAUACUCAAGUAUAAUUUACAUCAUAUAUCUUUUGAAGUACAUGAAACUAUGAAGAAAAAACCCUAAUUAAUCUAAUUAUGGGGGUUUUGUUUUAUAUCAAAAUAUUGCAGCAAAAGUCACACUUUGAAGAGUUCACGCUGCAUAGAAAGACGAUGAAAUGCUAUCUGUUGAGUCCAUCAUUGCUCCAUUGGAGACAGAGCUGAAGCUUGAUGCAGGUGGUAUACUUUUGUUCUGCAAUAUGAUCCCUUUAAUUUUAUUUUAAGAUAGAUAGGGUUGAAAAAAAUUUAUGUAGUAUUUUUUUUUUUCAGUUUUGAGUGUCUAUUUUGGCUUCCAUAUUUGGUCUGUACAUGUGAGGUAUAGAAUGUUCAAUAUGUAUUUGGUUUCUAUAUUGUUAAUGGAUCUAUUUUUUUUUUUAGGUAACCAAGUUGCAGGAUGAAAACAGAACACUUGAUCUGCAGGUAAACCUCCAAUUUCCAUAUGAAGUUUGCAUUUUCGUUAUUUCUGAAAUUUGAGUUUUUACAGGAUGAAAACAGAACACUUGAUUUGCAGGUAAACACUUGAUUGGUUAUUUCCGAGCUUUUCACGACUUUUGAUACCCAAUAGAGAAUAUGGAAACCCCAACUUUAAUUUUAUGAAUUGGUUUUGGUGCCUAAAAUGAAAUCUAGCAUAGUGAAAUCUUGCAUAAUGAAAUUAUGACAAAUUUCCCUUCAUCUUUAGAUUUUCAUUUAAUUCAAUUCGUAUGCAAUUUAGGGUUAUUCAAUUCAUGAGUGAUCAAAUUAUGUUUUUAAUUCCUUCUUCUUUUGAUUUACAGUUCAACAUUGUUGUACAAAAUGAAAAAGGCGCUAGUAACAGAGUUAUGGAUUUGUAUGCCUUUAGUGGAAUAAAACUGAAUUUUUUAACUUUGUAUAGUUGUAAACAUAAAAUACUCCAUGAGAUAGACUCAUAGCUUUUGAAAACAAUCCUUGAGGAUGGCAUAACAACAUCUCCAACUUUUGUCAUGUAAUGUAUGAAUGUAAAUAGCACUUCGUAAACAUAUGGAUGUAAUACAUGUAUAUAAACACUCUUUAGCAUGUAUAUUUUUCAAAACUUUCUACAUCUUCAACAAUGUUUCAAUGAUUUCUUGAUGUAAACAAUGAUAAUUUGAAGAACCAUUUAAAGUAUUUUGGUAAUCAGCAUACUUAAGCUUAAAUGUGAUAUAUCCGUUUAUUAUUUUUUAUACAGUGAUAAUACUCAAGUAUAAUUUACAUCAUAUAUCUUUUGAAGUACAUGAAACUAUGAAGAAAAAACCCUAAUUAAUCUGAUUAUGGGGGUUUUGUUUUAUAUCAAAAUAUUGCAGCAAAAGUCACACUUUGAAGAGUUCACGCUGCAUAGAAAGACGAUGAAAUGCUAUCUGUUGAGUCCAUCAUUGCUCAAUUGGAGACAGAGCUGAAGCUUGAUGCAGGUGGUAUACUUUUGUUCUGCAAUAUGAUCCCUUUAAUUUUAUUUUAAGAUAGAUAGGGUCGAAAAAACUUUAUGUAGUAUUUUUUUUUUUCAGUUUUGAGUGUCUAUUUUGGCUUCCAUAUUUGGUCUGUACAUGUGAGGUAUAGAAUGUUCAAUAUGUAUUUGGUUUCUAUAUUGUUAAUGGAUCUAUUUUUUUUUUUAGGUAACCAAGUUGCAAGAUGAAAACAGAACACUUGAUCUGCAGGUAAACCUCCAAUUUCCAUAUGAAGUUUGCAUUUUCGUUAUUUCUGGAAUUUGAGUUUUUGCAGGAUGAAAACAGAACACUUGAUUUGCAGGUAAACACUUGAUUGGUUAUUUCCGAGCUUUUCACGACUUUUGAUACCCAAUAGAGAAUAUGGAAACCCCAACUUUAAUUUUAUGAAUUGGUUUUGGUGCCUAAAAUGAAAUCUAGCAUAGUGAAAUCUUGCAUAAUGAAAUUAUGACAAAUUUCCCUUCAUCUUUAGAUUUUCAUUUAAUUCAAUUCGUAUGCAAUUUAGGGUUAUUCAAUUCAUGAGUGAUCAAAUUAUGUUUUUAAUUCCUUCUUCUUUUGAUUUACAGUUCAACAUUGUUGUACAAAAUGAAAAAGGCGCUAGUAAUAGAGUUAUGGAUUUGGAUGCCUUUAGUGGAAUAAAACUGAAUUUUUUAACUUUGUAUAGUUGUAAACAUAAAAUACUCCAUGAGAUAGACUCAUAGCUUUUGAAAACAAUCCUUGAGGAUGGCAUAACAACAUCUCCAACUUUUGUCAUGUAAUGUAUGUAAAUAGCACUUCGUAAACAUAUGGAUGUAAUAUAUGUAUAUAAACACUCUUUAGCAUGUAUAAUUUUCAAAACUUUCUACAUCUUCAACAAUGUUUCAAUGAUUUCUUGAUGUAAACAAUGAUAAUUUGAAGAACCAUUUAAAUUAUUUUGGUAAUCAACAUACUUAAGCUUAAAUGUGAUAUAUCCGUUUAGUAUUUUUUAUACAGUGAUAAUACUCGAGUAUAAUUUACACCAUAUAUCUUUUGAAGUACAUGAAACUAUGAAGAAAAAACCCUAAUUAAUCUGGUUAUGGGGGUUUUGUUUUAUAUCAAAAUAUUGUAGUAGAAGUCACACUUUGAAGAGUUCACGUUGCAUAGAAAGACGAUGAAAUGCUAUAUGUUGAGUCCAUCAUUGCUCCAUUGGAGACAGAGCUGAAGCUUGCUGCAGGUGGUAUACUUUUGUUCUGCAAUAUGACCCCUUUAAUUUUAUUUUAAGACAGAUAGGGUUGAAAAAAAUUUAUGUAGUAUUUUUGUAUCAGUUUUGAGUGUCUAUUUUGGCUUCCAUAUUUGGUCUGUACAUGUGAGGUAUAGAGUGUUCAAUAUGUAUUUGGUUUCUAUAUUGUUAAUGGAUCUAUUUUUUUUUUAGGUAACCAAGUUGCAGGAUGAAAACAGAACACUUGAUCUACAUGUAAACCUUCAAUUUCCAUAUGAAGUUUGCAUUUUCGUUGUUUCUGGAAUUUGAGUUUUUGCAGGAUGAAAACAGAACACUUGAUCUGCAGGUAAACACUUGAUUGAUUAUUUCCGAGCUUUUCACGACUUUCGAUACCCAAUAGAGAAUAUGGAAACCCCAACCUUAAUUUUAUGAAUUGGUUUUGGUGCCUAAAAUGAAAUCUAGCAUAGUAAAAUCUUGCAUAAUGAAAUUAUGACAAAUUUCCCUUCAUCUUUACAUUUUCAUUUAGUUCAAUUUGUACGCAGUUUAGGGUUAUUCAAUUCAUGAGUGAUCAAAUUAUGUUUUUAAUUCCUUCUUUUGAUUUUCAGUUCAGCAUUAUCGUAUUUUGGAUGCCUUUAGUGGAAUAAAACUUAAUUUUUUUAACUAUGUAUAGUUGUAAACAUAAAAUACUCCAUGAGAUAGACUCAUAGCUUUUAAAAACAAUCUUUGAGGAUGGCAUAACAACAUCUCCAACUUUUGUCAUGUAAUGUAUGAAUGUAAAUAGCACUUUGCAAACAUAUGGAUGUAAUAUAUGUAUUUAAACACCACUCUUUAGCAUAUAUAUUUUUCAAAACUUUCUACAUCUUCAACAAUGUUUGAAGCCCCGCAACAAUGGGCGGGUACACUUGCUAGUAUACAUCUAAAAUUAUAAGACUAAAUCCUUUAGUUCUUGGAUUCAUCUAAGAACUACUUAUUCCAGCAGAUGUUAUGCUUGCACUACUAGAAUUUAUGGCUUGCCCUGUCAACUAUUGCGCGACAGAAGACUUCGUCGGUUUCACCUUUUUUAACCGACAUAAUAUAAGUUUAGUAGGGCAAAAUCAGUCAACAAACUGGGUUGACUGAAUAGAUUUACAGGAUGUCUAGAGUUCGUAGGUUAAGACAUCAGUCGUUGGGCAAACAUUUGGAGCGAAGAUGUGAGUGUUUUAACUGACGAAUAAGCUGGUCGUCAUGUAGAUCUUCUUUCCCGACUGAUGGUUCAACGAGUAGCUCUUUGGAUAACAAUUCAUCUUCAAGGGGAACAGGUUGCCCCUCAAAUGAAUGGUUAGAGGCAAUUGUGAGACUAUAAUUUUCUAGGGCCGGAAUAUCUAUAACCAUCCACCAAAUACCCCUUCUUCCCUUUCUAUUUCUCUCUCAGUAAUUUCCCCUGACCGAAUCACACAAUCCAACCAACUCUCUUUAAGCCUCACUCAUCGAUUCCAUGGAUUUCAUGGACUUAUCCCACCCUCUCUCCUUCCCCCUAUAUAUAGCAAGUCCCCUUGCCUCAGUGUCCCUGGCAACAAAAUUUAUGGCGUGUAUUCGGUCUUUCAAUUAUUUGAAAGCUUCCCUGCCUUGCAGUCUUGUACAAAGGCGUAUGGUGUUUCAUUAGUUCCAUUUGGUGGUUGGGUGGGAAAUGAAAUUAAAACACUGCAUUUCCAAUGGUCUAAACCAAAUUGAAUCAAAUGUGAAGCAAAGGGCAAGAAGUGUAGAUUGAAGAACAAUGGCACCAAGAGCGAAAUUGAACUUGUUGACAGGAGGAAACCAAGUAAGGAUAACGCGUCUAAAUCUUAUUUCGAAUCCAUUCAGCUCAUGAUGUUUUUAAUGAUGAUGAUCGGUAUACUUUGCUACAUGCUGUGAUUUUUCCGCUUUCAUGUAAUUAACGGCUUAUAUUUGUGGUAACGAUAUUGAUUAAUUUUGAGAAAUGACAGUCUAAUUUUUGCAACUGUCUUUUGCAGGCAAAACAAAGACGUUUGCAAGGGUGAGUUAUGUAGGACCAAUGUUUAGCUUUGUUUCAUGUCCAAAUGACACUUGAGAAUAAAUGUUUACUCAUGGAUAAUAUCUAUCUAUUUGCAGGAGCAACCCUGGGUUUAUUUGUUCUUUUACUACUGGUCAUUGCCGCAUAUCACGCCUAUAGCACUGACAAAAGUAAAAAGAAAAUCGAAUGAAAUUUGGUAAGUUUUCAGCGGACUACAAAGAUCUUAAGCCAAGCAUAUAUUCCCAUUCAGAUAUUAAGAGGUUUACAAAUCAAUUCAAGUACAAGUUGGGCCAAGGAGCAUACAUAAUUGUUUUUAAAGGAUAGUUUUUUUCUGAAUGCUUUGUUGCCAUGAAAGUACUUAACAUUUCCAAGGGUGACGGGGAAGAGCUUGUAAAUGAAGUGGGGAACAAUGGGCCAUAUUCACCAUGUCAAUGUGGUUCACUUGGUUGGUUUUUGUGCUGAUGGAUUUAGAUGAGCUCUGGUUUAUGAGUUCUUUUCCUUUGGUUCACUCCAGGAUUAUAUUUCAUCAGUAGAUAGAUUUCUUUCCUUGGUUGGCAUAAGUUGCAAGAUAUUGCUAUCAGCAUAGCCAAAGGAACCAGGGAUGUGAUCUACAAAUCCUCCAUUUCGAUAUCAAACCCCAUAAUGUUUUGCUCGACCAAAAAAUCACGCCAAAAAUCUCUGAUUUUGGUCUGGCCAAGUUAUGUUCCAAGGAUCAAUCAAUGUGACUAAAGCAAGGGGGACCAUGUGACUAAAGUACCCGAAGUGUUUUCCAGGAAUUUCGGAAAUGUGUCUUACAAGGCAGAUGUCUUGAAUGCUGCUGCUUGAGAUGGUAGGAGAAAAGAAGAAUAUUGGUUCAACUAGAGGACACAACAAAUGAAAUCUACUAUCCAAAAUGGAUUUAUAAUCUUCUAGAGGAAGGAAAUGACCAACAGAUCCCUAUUGAGGAAGAAUGUUAUGGUAAGAUUCCAAAGCAACUUGCAAGUUUAGGGCUCUGGUGCAGCCAGUGACACUCGGUGGAUCGGCAGUCCAUGAAAACGGUGGUUCGGAUGUUAGGAGGAGGAGAAAACUUGAUGAUGCAAGCAAUCCUAAAAGCCUCAUACAGUUAGAAGUAAUUGCUGAAUUAGAGUAACAUAUGUAUAUGUAUACGCACCAACACUAGUCGUUCUUAGAUGAAUCCAAGCCAAACAAUUACAGACAACAGUUAUUCACUAAAUCACUUUAAGGCAAGAAUUUAAUUAAUAAUACAUUACUGCACUUUCUUAACCAUUUGACCAUCACCUAGCAGACAAUGAACACGUUAGCUCCGCGUUAGAACAUCUUGGGUUCAAUUCAUUGUCUUGAAUAUCACCCUCUGUCACAGGCGUCUCUAGGGGGCAUAGAGAAGGCCUGAGAGGCAUUUGCAGACAUUCAACAUCACCUCCAAGCAUUUUGACAACUUUGGACAUCGAAGGGCGAUCACUUGGUUUCAUUUGAAUACACCAUAAGGCGGUUAUAACCAUCCUUCUUAUUACUUUCUUUUCCUCCUCUGUAACAUUGUCCGUUUCCAAGUUAUUUCCCACAAUAUACUGAUCGUAUACCCACAUUGGGAAGUAGAUUUGGCUUGAAUGCUCUACCGUUGGAUUCAAAUUCUUCCUUCUGCUUGCCAUCUCCAUCAACAACAUUCCAAAACUAUAGACAUCUGACUUGUAUGAGACACCUCCAAUAUUUUUGUAGAACAACUCAGGAGCAAUAUAUCCCAGUGUACCUCGUGCUGCCGUCAAAGAGACAAUGCUAUUAUCUACAGGAUACAAUUUUGCAAGCCCAAAGUCAGAAACCUUUGCUUUAAAGUUCUCAUCAAGAAGGAUGUUAUGAGGCUUGAUGUCGAAAUGUAGAAUUUGCAUUUCGCAACCUUGGUGUAGAUAUUCGAUCCCUUGAGCCACUCCAAGAGAAAUCUUGUACAUGUUCUUGAUAGUUAAGGGGACACUUCCUUCUUUGGAAUAAAUGUAUUUAUCAAGAGAACCAUUAGGCAUGAAGUCAUAUACUAGAGCGCGUUUUGAUCCCUCAACACAGUAUCCAACAAGUUGCACCACAUUGGCAUGGUGAAUCCUUCCGAUUGUAGCUAUUUCGCUAAUGAAAUCUUGGCCAUCAGCUUUGGGCUUGCCCAAAACUUUGAUUGCUACAAAUCGACCACUGCGUAGCUUUCCCUUAAAUACAGAGCCAAAGCCACCUUCGCCCAACUUGUCCUUAAAUCUGCGAGUCAUUUUCUUGACGUCCGAGUAGGAGUACCUUAUAGGCAUGAAGUUGUUAUUGCAUUGCAGAAAAUCUUCUAUUGUGCUAUACAUUGAUAAAUGUCUUCUGCGCCAUGUGUAGAUUAGAAAUGCAGUCACAACUGGAACUCCAAAAACAAAUCUGGCUGGGAAAAAUAACCCUGCAUGCAUUGACAUUAAUACGUUAGAUCCACUGUGUACUACUUUUUCUUCCCUUUCUUUCCAAAUUACUUUGUCUUUGAUGUAAUUAAAGAGAAAGAAUGGGAAAUCUACAUAUGUUGAUAAUACAAUCUCGUCUUAGUCCUUACCGAUGCAUAUGAGUAUAAACCAUCUACGUGCUGUAACAAAAUCAAUCGACUAUGAGUUUGAAAAGUGCAUAAAGUGAAAAAUAAAUAAAUAAAUAAAAUCAAAGGGUGCCUUUAUUGACACCCAAAUUUUAGUUAGCUUUACUCAACUAAAAAAAUUUUGUCAAACUUUUUAAUUUGCCGUCGAAAUUGAGUUCACCCAACCCACAAAGCAACAACUACCACUCACCAAAAAAACCAACAACACACAUCCACCAGUACCACUCACCAAUAGAAAGAGAAGGAACACACAGACCCACCAAGGAGCCGGCAUCGACGCAUCUACGAGGGAGGGACCGGAGGGUGGUGUAGUUUUGUUGGGCGCGCGGUAGUUGUUUUGUCUGUUCAUUUUCUCUUUCUUUUGGUAGGUGGAGGCUGCUGUGGAUUUGGGCGAACUUAAAAAUGAGGGGAAACUAUGAAGUUUGACAAAAUGUUUUAGUUAGGGGAACUUAACUAAAAUUUGGGUGCCGAUAAAGAUACCCAAUAUAAAAAAUACUUGAGCGUAUAGACUAAUUAAAUGAAGUUGAUCUUACCGAUCGGGUGGCUGUAUGAUGAAUACAACUUGCCAGCUGCAAUAGAUACCACAGAAAAGUGAGCAAAGACAUACAGUUACUAGGUUUAAGAAGUACAGAUAGAGCACACAAAAAUAAAAGAAGCUUUUGGAGAGAAACUUCUUACGCAAAUAUAUGUAUUCAUGACCUACAGUGAAAAUUGUGAAGAAGAAUACACAACAUUAGCAAUAGCUCACCCAGUCUUCAGAAUUUAAAAAAAUCAAGUUUGUCGAUCGAAAACUUGUAAAUAAAACAAAAAGAGGACCCCUUACUGAUUUGUUGCCAUAGAUAUUGAAAGAAACCUACAAGAACAAAGAAAGAACAAGACCACAUGCAUUAGCAUAACAAGUGUGAGGUGUAUAAGUCGUUAGAAAAUAAAUUUAGAAUUCUAGUGCUGUCAAUACAUUGAUAAUAUAAUAUAUAUGUGUUAUUUUUUCUGAAAAUUUAACUUUCCCCCUCCAAACUCAUUUUUCUAGCCUCUAGCCCAUCAUAUAAUAUUUAUCCGAAUAAAACCCAAUGAUUAGGAUCCAACUAAGAAACUUACCAAAUUAAGUUUGUGUGUCCAUUUUUAUAUUUUUUGGAUCGCUAAUAUACCCCAUCUAAGCCAGUAUGGAAAGUUCUUGUAAUUUUGUUUUAAUUGAUCACGUGCAUUGAAUUUGGCAAGGUCUUGUAGCCAUGAAAAAUGGUUCUAGAUGGAGGAAUUAAUUGGGAUUUUUUUUUUAAUUUUGACAACAAAUUUCAAUUUGAAUAUACCUAAUUUAGUGUUUAUUUUCAACAAUAUCUAUUGUUUAAUUUUAUGAAAAUAAUUUACCUACUAUGAAAAUUAAUUUUAUGAAAACAAUAUCUAUUGUUUAAUUUUAUACCUAUAGGAUAAUUACAUGAAAAUAGUUUACCUACUAUGAAAAUUAAUUUUUUCAAAACAAUAUCUAUUGUUUAAUUUUAUGAAAAUAAUUUACCUACUGUAUAAUUACAUGAAAACUAAUGUGCCUAUUUUUUAAAUUUGUUACAAAAUUAAUUUACCUACUCUUUAUGGUAUUAGUAAUAUAUGUCCGUACGUAUUUGAUCUAAUUAGGUUUUGGAUUGGAGGAGUUGACACAAAAUUAUAAAUAUAUUAAACAAAUUUAUCUAUCCUUAAGUUGGAGGGGAAUUGGCCUGCACAUUGCUACGGUAAACAAAUGCCACUCGAUUUCACGUUAUUUACAACAAAGCUAUCAGAUUUGGGUUGGGUUGGAGGGUAAUUUUGUGCAUAGGGUUUAGGUGCCCUCCUAUAUAUGACCCUUGAUUUUACUUUAUUUACACCACUGCCAUCAAAUAUGUGGCUGAAUUGGAGGGUAUUAUUAAAAGUUAGGAGGAUAGUUUUGUCCAAGGGGUGGGGGCGACAUUCGCAGACAGGGGGCGAUGGGAGCCAUGCCCAUUGCACAGAAACAAAGGGAGUGAUGGGGGAAAUUACAGACAGAAAAGGAAGGGAUGGGGGGAUUUGAUGGGUGGUCACAGAGAGAUUGGGUGAGGGAUGUGAGGGGACAUUACAGAGAGAUAAAUAAAAGGGAGGGAUCGGGUGAUUUGAGGGAUGGUCAGAGAGAGAAAUAGUGAGGGGGAUGUGGGGCUGAUUUUCGGUUCCUCCUUCCAGAUUUGUUCCGUAAAACCUGUUGGGUACAAUUCAAUCCCUCCCCCUUUCCCCUGAACGAAAAAUUCGAAACCUACAACUCAAAACUCACUCAUUUGUCGCCCCUCCUUGGCUUUCCGCUUUAUUCAUCUCCCGGUGUUUCUUUCUCUCCAUACGAUUCGAUUUCGGUGAGUUCUUCGUUGCCCUCAUGAUUUCCCAGUUUGAUUUUUUGAGCGUCCUUAGUCGUUGUUUUUAUCUGGGUUUACUGCGUUGUUGCUUUUAGUUUCUGGAUUUUUAUUUUUUCCGCGGUUGGAUGAAUCGUGGUUAAUAAUUUCACACCAUGGGAUUUUCGCACUUCUGAUGGAAUUGAGCGCGGGGAUUCGGGGUGGGGUUUUACUGAUAAUUUGUCUUCAUUCAAAUGAAUGGUUAAAAUUUCUGAAGUGAGUGUGCAGGUGGGCCCGUUCACUAACUAAGCUUUCAAGGGAACCCAUCAACGGUUUGUUUGCUGGGGGAAUUCGGAGACUACCAGUGUAUGAUUUAGUUAUCAUUUAUUUUUUUACUUAAUUUUAUCCAUAUAUAAUAUGUGGGUAAAUUUAUACUAAACAAUUGUGAUAAGCCAAUAUGCCAUACGACUUUGAAAGCAUUGAUUUUGUGUUUAGUUUGCAUUUUUGCAUUGUGAAUGUUGAAUUUUGUAUUUAAUUUGGAUUUUGUGUUUGAAUUUGUAGCAUGAUCUUCCGCUGCAGCAUCCAAAUUUUGCAUUUGUAAAUUGUCAAAGAAAAACGAAGUAUGAGGAAAUUAUAGGAGAUUGUGUCGGCUUUGGCCAUGAAGGGUAUCAGCAGCUUGUUCCCCCAUACAGGUGAUUAAUCGUUUUUCAGUCUCUGUUCUAUUUGGAUGAGAAAGUGAUUGAAAAAUAUGAUUUUUUAUUUGUUGGUUGAUUUUGUAUGGACGAUGUAUUAAUUUUAUUUUUUUUGGGAUUUUGUGUAUUGGGUAUUGUGUAGAACCAGCAAUGCAAGAGCAGGAUCUGAUCAGUCACGCCCGAAAAGGGGUUUGUUUCUCAAAUCACAUUAAUUAAUUAGAUUAUUAACGUGCGUUGGAAGGCUCUUCAAUAUGAUUUCUAAUUUCUCCUUUCCAGCAUUCUCUUUUUGGUUUUUGGAGUAUGUAUGUGAUUUGUAUUUUUUUAUAGAAUAAAAAUUAAUAAAACACGAGAUGCAGCAAUUAAUUUGCAUCCUUAUGACAACACAUAUGAAAGUGCAUUCAAUUUCAAUGUGCGAAUGUGUGACAGGAUGUGCCUGCCUCCUUGAAAACACUUUAUGUGAACAAGUGUGAGGUUCUACAUAAAAACAGGGCCAGUAAUACCCUGAACGUGGAAUCCUUACGAGGAUCUCUUGAAAAACUGACAAUAAAUGGAUGCCCGGGUCUCUCAUUGUUACUAGAGUCGACGGAGACGCUGCCGUCGCUUCAGAAGCUUGAUAUUGAUAGUGUUGGUGGGAAAGAGUUGUUGGCGCAAAUGGUGCACAACAGCAAUCGUCUUCAAAGUUUGACUUUAUAUAAAUGUUACUCACCCUUGUCGUUCCCUACAAAUGGUCUGCCCACCACGCUGACGUCACUGAGCAUAACAGAUUGCAAGAAAUUAGAAUUCCUAUCACGUGAGAUGAUGGCCAAAUUGACUUCCCUUCGGUCUUUGCGUCUAUCCAACAGCUGUGAACGCAAAGGCUUGAGUAUUUGCAGUUUAGUUUUUUUUUUCUUCAUUUUAGAGAUUUUUCUACUGUUUGGUUUUUGGGUUUUGUCUAAUUUUUGUGGUCUGCUUUAUAGAUUGUUCUCUUUGGAAGCUUCUUUCCAGCCUUGACCUUCUUCUUGCCUGGUGCCUUCUCAUUGAGUAUUGGAGGAGCAUUAAAACACAGGUGUGUGUGUGUUUUGUCGACGUAAGAGAUGAACGACAUAAAAACAUCCAUCUCUGUAUUUUUUUGUGCUUUUUCUAACCCAUCAAUUUCUUUUGAGUCAACCAAAUAGUCCCAAAUUGCAACUUAUGUUGUGAGGUAUUAUUGUCUAAAAUUAAGUAUGCAUGUAUAUUUUAUGUUUAUGCCCGCGCACACCUCCGCAUGGUGUUAAUCUCUGUGGGUCAUCUAUGUAUAUGUAGAUAUAUCUAUAUGUGUAUGUGUGGAAUGCAACAUAUCGGAUUUAGGUUAUACUGUGCAUAGUUUUAUUGCCUGUUAUUAUCUACGAUAUCACUAUGCCAUUUCUAUACUGGCUCUGAAAGUUAUUCAUGAGCUUAUAAGCACUUACCAUAAUUUAAGCAGUCUGUUUUGGGUUCUUUUUCAUUAGGUCAUUAGCUACAGAUUAAUGGAGAAACGAGGACCAUGCCACUGAUUUGGGUUCUUUUUCUAAUUUUCUGAUUUUGGGGUUUUGCAGGGAGUACUGAUGUACUGAUUUUCUGGGAUUUUUUUUUGUCCUUGCAGGAUUUUUGGUCUUUGAAAUGGGUAUGUGUUGUUUUUAAUGUUUCAGUUCUAGCGUGUUCCGUUCUUCGUUGCUUCGUGAUUCUCAUUUUUCAGUGUUGGGUGAUGGAAAUUUGUUAAAGUAGUUGGUAGUUUUUUGAGAAAGUUGGCAUUUUUAGUUAUAUUUUCUGUUUAAUCCUAAAUGUAAGACUGGAAAAUCAUUGAAAUGAUGGUUUUUUAAAAACUCAUAAUUUUUUUGUUCUGGGAUUUAAAAGCAUCUUUUCCAGAUUGGUUACAAGGGUUAUGUUCUCUUCAAUUGGUUCACCUAAUUUUGAUUAGUUUUAAGUUUUGUCCUUUUAAGUUUGUCUUUUAAGUUUUGUUCUUUAAGUUUUGUCUUUUAAGUUUUGUUCUCUAAGUUUUGUCUUUUAAGUUUUGUCUUCUGUGCUGUAAUGAGAGAUUUCUGUUGGCUUUUCGGAUUUUGGCAUGGGAAAGUUCACUUAUUUGUCUAAUUAGAUUGUGUAUGCCUUCGAUUCUUUAUUUAAUUGUUCUGUUUGCGUUCGGGUGUGAUGAUCUAAAUUUCAUAUGUUUGGAAUUAUUUACUUAACACCAAUUUGUUACAUUCAGAUCUCCACCCCACAUUUCACUAGUUGAAAUUCCAUAGAAGUCGGUUACUGCAGAUUGCGUCUACAAUUAGAUCAGAGAUCAACUGCUCUUUUGUUAUCCUGCAGAAGAUUGCUUUUGGGAAGGAUCUGAAGUAGUUUCUCUCUGUAUGUUUAUUCCCAUGUAGCUCUGUCUUUUCUAAUUGUGUUGAUAUUACACUGUAAUUCAUGAUGAUGAUUUAAUUGUUUAUUGAUUUGUAAUUGAUUGUGAAUAAUGUGGCAUAUAUGAAUUGCAAUCUGUGUUUGUAUGAAAGGGAUGGCAUAUUAUGUUGCUGACUUAAUUGUUUAUGUUUUUCAUAUUUGCAAAUGGUGUUAUGAUCAAUUAGGUGAUUGCUGACCUGUGACUUUGUUUGGAGCUCAAAUUUUGUGAGCAUUACAUUGGAUUGUUUUGAUGUUGUUUUGGUUAACAAUGCAGCGAUAGGAGAAACAAAGAGGAUGACACUUAUAACUGCCCUUCCCCAUCGGCCGUCUUCAAAUUUGGAUCACAAGAAGGGAGCAACAUAGGUGUUUUCCUUCUUCAUUUAGAUAUGGUUAGUGUAAAUAAUUGGACAAAAGAGCCAAACAAACCCUGUUCUCUCAAAUGGAGUCGAUGAUGUGGUCGACGGCCACCAGCCCCAACUCAAGAGUUUGGCCUUCAUAUAAUUGGAUUGUAGUAUAAUUUUAUUUUGGUUCAUUUCUUUUUUCCUUUAUAUAAGUGCAGGUGUUGUGAUGUUUUGAAUAAAGGGUGAUGAAAGGUGGUUCACACACUUCCUCCUUACUUAAAGCAAGUGGAGAUGACGGUUUGUAUAAAAAGAAAAACUUGCCACGUACUUCAAUUUUCUAUUUUAUUAAUUAUUGUUUGGUUUUCCAAAUGUUGUAUUCACUAAGAGACCAAUUAUGUCUUUGAGAAACAAGUUUCUUUGUCUACAUUGCGAGAAUUUGCAGUUUGCAACUUUCAUUGGUUAUUAUAUUUGAUUGAGUUAAACUUGGAUUUCUGGAUUUUGACUUUUUCGUUUGUUUCUUUGUUGCAGAGUUGGCUUCAUUUCAUUCCAGGAACUGUCUAAAUAGGGCCAAGAACUCACUAAUAGGUAGUCAAGAAGAAUUCAGUGUUGCCUUCAAUUUUUGCCUUCUGUUUACAUUCUUCCUGGAUGCACUCUCACCGCUUCUCUCGCUUACCACUUUUGUCUCACUCACCGCUUCAUCUCUUCUGUUGCUUACAAGGUCGUGUCAUAUAUUUUUUUAAUUUUGUGUGGUUUAAUUUAUUGAAUAUUUGAAAAAAGAGAUAAAAUUUUCAAUUUACAAUUACUGAUAUGAUGUUUGUUUUGAAAAUCAUUAAGGUGAAUGGAGAGAUUUACAACCAUGAAGAGCUGAGGAGCCGUUUGCCAAAUCAGAUUUAUAGGGCUUCAUCAAUUAUAAAUAAACGACUUUUCAUUCCCAAUGACCUUUAUCGUUUUUCUUAAUGGGUUAGCUGAACAUGAGGUAGAUGCUGACUUUAUCAAAUAUGAGAAUGUUUUAGGAUUUCAUUCUAAUUUUUUGGCUGUUUGAUUACUUUGCUUUUCGUAAUUUGAUUUGCUUAUCGUCAAUUGGAUGGGAUAAAACAUAUUUUUGUAACCAGUUUGUACUUUUUUUUUCUUUUUUUUGUGGAAACUAACCAGUUUGUACUUUUACCAAUUACCAUAUCGGUUUUGAUGGAAUUGGAGCUUUCAGUAAUGGGUUCUGAGGGAAUUGGAGUUCUGAGUAAUGGGUUUUUUUUAACAACUAUAGUAUCAUUUGUGAUUCAUUUAUUUAUAAGAUAUUAUAUAGGAAACUGUUUUUAGCACUCUAAAAAUCUUAUUCUACACUCUCGACAAAUGUAUUUUUCUUUCUAAUUAUGAAAAGUUUGGAGGGCAAAAUGAGAAUUGUGGAGUGCCAAUAACAAUUCCCUAUUAUAUAUAGCUCUACUAGGAAGGCGACUGUAUGUCUUCAUCCUGUUAAAUUGUAUAUGGCUCUUGAUGUCGGCUGAAUUAAAUCAAAAUGAAAACCAAGCUGCUGAUCUUACCAGCCCAUAUCACUUAUCACUUGCUUAUUUAAAUUAUUUGAAGAUGCGUAUGUGGAUUGGUGAUUUUGUUGGAUUCACUUGGCUCAAAUAUAUGUUAUCUGAGUCGCUACAUUUGAGAAUGUGAUUUUGUUCCUACCACCAUUUUGCCCACUUUUUGUGGAAAUUAUUUCUGCUUGUUGUGAAUGAUACAUUCAUCCCCGGCAGCAAAGUGCGAAGUGCGGGCGCAUUUUCUAGUUUAAGUAAAUCACACAAUGGGUCAUCAAUAAUAACAAACUUGUCAUUUAUGAGAGUCAAACAUGAGGCCACCUACCUACUAGUUUAGUGGAAUACCACAAGUGACAUGUUGAUACCUUUAAAUCUCAUAUAAUGGAUUGCAGAAUUAGGAUAUUCCUAGACUAAUUUAGUUAGUGCGUGAACCCGAACAAUUAACAAGGGUUUUAUUCUUGCUUGAAUGUUUGUUAUAUGUUCCUAGUUUGACAAGGCAAUUAUAUUUCCGACUACAAGUUAUUAAUUUAGUCGAGAAUUGACGCACCUGAAAUGGUGUGAGGAAAACAUGUAUCCACAUGAGCCGCAGUCCACUGUCCUUGGCAUCUAUCUUUAAAAGGCUCGAAAUGAAGCUCAAAGCCAUACAUGAGGGCAUUGUGUAUGUCUUUAUAAGAGAAGUUGCGGUAGUCCUCAACGUAGCCGGCAGCCAAACUCAUCCACUCUACACUGCAACCAUCAUCCAAUUCCCAUACCUCCCUGAACCUGUCCCCAACAUAUUCCCCGACCAUGACAUAGCUAUUCGUUUUUGGUUGACUCGAAGAAGAAGAAGAAGAAGAAGUAUUAUUCAAGCAUGGAGCAGUGUCCACGUACAGAGAAGAAUUCGAUGGAUUCGAACACUUCAAGUAAUAUAUAGAUAGAGAAUUAAUGUCAUAGGCGGGCCAAUAUAGAGAAUUGAUGUCCUCGGUGGUGGGCGGAAUAUUUUGAGACAUGGAAGAGCAAUUGUUGUUGUCAAGCCCAGGAUCUCGAAGUCGGAUUGUUUUGUUAUUAUAGUUGAUUGCCUGGACAUGGUACUUUCCGAAAGAAGGUAGGUCUAGUACUGUAAUGUUGCUCUCACAGGACAGAGUAUACGAUAUGUUGCCACAGUACUUUGGAUCAUCGUUAAGUCGAAAAGGAUGGCUUAUGUUGUGGAUAUGGCCGCAGGAUGAAGUGCAGGACUUGGCACUACUGUUGUCAGCGUUACAAGUUUCACUGCAAAAGCAAAGAAGAAGAAAGGCUAAACUUAAGGUGAAGGACCUGGUUCCACUAAUUUCCAUUGCUCUGAGAGAGAGAGAGAGAGAGAGAGAGAGAGAGAGGGUACCAUAGCUUAAACACCAAGGAGUUAUAUAAUAUGGGAGGGGUUAAAGCACCUCGCUUACAGUUGCAGUAAGCCCGUCAAAUAUCCUAGGGAAAAGUCGGUCAAUGGUGUCCUAUAGAGAAAAGUCGGCCUUGGUGUUUGACACGGUCACUCAACUCUCUCUCUCUCUCACAUUGACGAGGGACACUGUAAUUGAAAAAAAAAAAUGUUCUUCAGAGAUAGAUCUUGAAAUUCUUAUUUUAUAUAAAAAAAACACCUAAUAUUAAAUUAUUAAUCAUUCAAAUGAAAUUCUUAAAAUUAAGUAUAAAUAAUACAUAACGAAAACUGAGCACAUACAAUCAACGGUCACGAUCGUGAAAUCCUCCGGAUCCUCAGAAAAAAAUCCGACGAUGAUCUUUUUCUGUGUAAAAUAAUUUGAGGGUAUAAUACUGGAUGUGGAGCCAAAAAUAUUCGCUAGGCGACACGUGGACUUUUGGACAAAAGAGGACAAAAAUACCCUCGAAGCAUACAAGGAUUCCUACGCGCGAGCAGUGGGCAAUCAUCUUUCAAUCAAGUCAAAAGUGCCCAAAAAAGGUAACAAUUAAAAACCUCUCUCAUCAAAUCCUUUCUAUAAGGUAUUUCCCAAAACCUAGUAUUUUCUAUUUCAUUAUUUAGCUAAUCAAUUAGCUAAAUAAUAUAAACCUACCAUAUCUCCUAAAAUCACCCAAUUAAUAGCCCAAAACCGGCCCCCACUAUUCACAUCCUCAUCUUUCCCAUUUUCCUUAUUAAAAUAAUCAUUCAUUUUUAUAAACCACCCAUUUUAUUAUUUUCAUAUUUAAUUAGCCAAUAAAUUGGCAAAUUAAACAUGAAAUUAACCCCCACAAAAACCCUAUGGCUGGCUACUAUUAUUCAAAAUAGGGCAAACCCUAACUCUAUAAAUAAACACAUAUUCUCACCAAAAAUUCAUUCCAACUCUCUCACAAAAAAUCACAAAUACUCUAAACACUAUUUCUCUCUAAAAUUCUAACUUUGGCAUCAGAGGUUCUUCGGCCAAAGCCCCCCCCAUUCAUCGUGGGCGCGUGAGGCUCUUGGCCUUAACCUAAGGUGCUAGUUGUUUUGUAGGUGCAAAAUCGUCCAAGAUCGAAGAGGAGAAAAUUUGCAUCCACAAAUUGGUGCUUUCAUUGAGAGUUGAAAUCCAUACUCGUAGAAGACUCUCGCACAAAAAGGUUUUUUCUUUUAUUUUCUAGUCCAUUUGAAUAUUUUUCAUACGUUCUUAUUAUUAGAAUUUUUUUACUUGCAAAGGUUCUUUGAUAAAACGUAUAAGCAAAAUAUAAUGGCUAGAAAUUUAGAAAAUUCCACAAGUGAAAAUUCUAAUGUUCAAGAAAUGGGAUUGCGGAGAUCCGUGAGGCUAAAUGCGACAAUAAGGGGAGCGGCAUCAUCAUCACGAGCUUCCACCAUGGGAACCACCAUGGUGGCUACCUCGGUAGCCACCCGCGGCGAGGUCCAUGGUGCCUUCACCACGGCCACCAUGGGAACCACCGCGGUGGCUACUUUGGUAGCCACUCGUGGCGAGGUCCAUGGAGCCUUCACCACGGCCCGGAGAUCCGUGAGGCAAAAUGCGACAAUAAGGGGAGCGGCAUCAUCACCACAAGCUUCUACCAUGGGAACCACCGUGGUGGCUACCUCGGUAGCCACCCGCGGCGAGGUCCAUGGUGCUUUCACCACGGACACCAUGGGAACCACCGCGGUGGCUACUUCGGUAGCCACUCGUGGCGAGGUCCAUGGAGCCUUCACCACGGCCCGAGCCGUGCCAUCCAAGGCUCACGGUACCAAGACCACGAUCCAAGCCGUGCCAUCCAAGUUUACGUGGACCCAAGCCCAAGCCUCGCAUUCACAUGCACCGCGCAUUGAGCAGCCUGUUCCCGUGAUCCAGCCUGUUCCCGUCAAGCAACCCACUCUCACGGCCCAACCUGCUCAUGCCGAGCAGCCUGCUCUCGUGACACAGCCUGCUCCCGACGAGCAGCCCACUCCCGUGGCCCAGCCUACUUUCGUCGAGCAGCCCACUCCGGUGGCCCAGCCUGCUCCUGCUAAACAGCCCACUCCUGUGGCCCAGCCUCCUCUUGCUAAGCAGCCUGCUUUCGUCGAGCAGCCCACUCCGGUGGCCCAGCCUGCUCCUGCCAAGCAGCCCACUCCGGUGGCCCAGCCUGCUCCUGCCAAGCAGCCUACUCUCGUGACCCAGCCUGCUUCCGACGAGCAACCCACUCCCGUGGUCCAGCCUGCUUCUUUCGAGCAGCCCACUCUCACGGCCCAGCCUACUCCUGUGGCUUUCCAAGCAGCCCAAGUCGGCCCAAGACUAUCUCCCGGACCUACCAUCGAGCCGAGGGCAUUCUCACCACAUUUUUUCACGGAUUUGACAUUUCCCAACUCAAAUCUCGCGCCCGGAGUCUACCACAUUUCCACUGCCCAAGGAGGCGCAUUCCUUCCAAGCUCUUCCAAUCCAAAUGGCGAACAACACUUGUCUCGACAAGUCAUAGAGUUGACGAGCGCCCUUGCACAACAGAAAACCUUGGUGAAUCAACUUUUGCAACGUAUCGGGAUCCAACGUGCCCCGGACGAGGUAUCCCGAAGUAGGACAAGGGCAAACGAACAUUUCCAGCAGCCACUCGACCAGCCACGAGCCGAACGUUUGGGCAGUGUACAUUCCCGUCUUAGAGCGCGAGGGAGCAUGCACUCUCGACUAGGCCCACGGAUGAGCAUACAUUCACGGUUGGGGUCAUACUCCGAUAGUCAACAUGAGCAACCUUCCGGGCAAAGUGUCUAUUCGCAGCUAAGCCCACAAGGAGCGUCAUCCACCUCACAUCAGAGUAGGCAGCACGACGGACGGAGAGAAGCAGUCACUCAAUCCAGCUCAAGUUCAACCAGCAGCCUGCGAAGAACUCGCUCGCCUACUAGGAACGCACCACAUGCACUGCAUUCGCGGCAUAGACGAGCCAAACACAUGGAAGAGCAGCUUAGACCAGCAAGUCAUGACUGGAGGCAGCCAAGAGCUCCGCUACCCCAACAAAGGCAAAUUCAGGAAGAAGUAGAGAGACUCUUGACCAAGCGAUUGCAUGAUUUCCAACGCAACGAGGUCACCGACGAGGCACUACGACGGAACAUGACCAACAUAAGCAAGCAGGUCACCCUUCACGGACGAGAUCGAGCAGGCAGAGCCUCCACGAGAGUUCAGCAUGCCACAUUUCACAUCUUUCAAAGGGGAUGAAGACCCGGAGAGACACUUAAAGCGCUACCGAAGCGCAAUGAUCCUUUAUCGAAACAACGAUGAGCUUAUGUGCAAGAUAUUCGCCACCACUCUACAAGGCGAGGCGCAAGAUUGGUUCUACACCCUGCCGUCACAAUCCAUCCGGAAUUUCUACGAACUUUCUUUGGUUUUCACCAAAGAAUAUUCAUCCUAUCGCUCGAUCAAAAAGAAAUCUGAUCAUUUGUUCAACGUCAAGAAGAACCCAAAGGAGUCAAUUCGCGACUAUGUGAGGAGGUUCAAAGUAGAGAAGGCAAAAAAUAGUCGGAUGCAACGACUCGAUAGCUAGAGCAGCCUUCCAAAAAGGACUUCCAGCAGACCACCCGCUAUUUGGAAAAUUGAUCAUGAAAGAAGAUCUAACUCUGGCAGACUCUUUUGCUUUGGCAGAGAAGUAUGCACUUUGGGAUGAGGCUCGCCAAUGCACAUUCAAGGACUUGAAGAAGUACCCGACAUCACCUCCCUAGAAGCAGCGGAGGACUUAUUCACAUGUUUGACGAUAUCUAAAGUAGCAAUAAGCUCUACCAUCAUGCGAGAAGAGAUGGGGGCCCGACUACCUGUAUUCCACAGUUACCUGUAUUCUACAGUUCAAAAGCUCUCCUCGAUGUUAUUAAAAAUUCAAAAGCUAACUUUGGUGAUAGUUGUUGCAACCCAGAAGCACAAGUUUUACUUUCAAACGCAUGCAAUCAUCCUAAUGACGUACUAUUCUGCCCAAUCCAGACGCGCGACGAUAAAGGUGUAGACCAUGGCGGAUGUAAAGUUUUCUGACGAACGCAACACUAGAAGGACACACUCGAAAGCAAGUUUUGUCCUCGUCACCCUAAAAGAUUCUACAUAGGAGCAACAUGUACCGGCAGUUGAGUACCAUUUCUUGCUGCGCAUCACACGGCCCUAGCCGACCCUUGCUCAAUGAUUCAACUCUAGAGUGGCCCAAUACCGGCAGUUGAGCAUCUCCUGUUGCGUAUGACAUGGCCCCAUCUCCACAGCUCCCUACUGCGUCUUCACGCCGAGCCUAAGUGACGUAACAGAGCAGCCCAACGAUGCCUCAGAAGUAGCCGAGCACACUCUAGCUGCGCCUACUCCACCCGAUGGAGACUUUUGGCAUUUGCAUGUCGACGACGCAGAAAAGCCUUCAUCACUGCCGGCAGAGAAGGCUCCAAAAAGAUGGAUCCCAUCUGGGAAGGUCCGUACAAGAUCAGCAGAGUAGGGGGCAAGAGUAAUUACACCCUCACCACCAUGAAGCAGCAAAAAUAUUGAAAAGAAAUGGAUGGCCUACAAUCUGAAGAAGUACCAUGUGUGACCUCCCGCUACAUCAAAACCCGAAGACUCAAUAAGCUCGACGGGCACCACCUCACAAGCUGGGGACUAUCCAGUUGUUAUGCAGUUCCUACCUUACAGCUAAAGUUCUCGUUCGUUUCACUCGUUUUUCAAUGAGGAAUUUAGAAGUAAUCACAACUUGGCUUGGUUGCAUGCUUACAACAACUAAUCACUCCUGCACUUCAAAAGAAGAUUGCGCCCUUCUUAGGGACUCAUCGCAGGAAUUGCGCCCCCCGAGGGACCAACCAUGCUCUCCAGUGCGAGAGGGUAAACCAAUUCUCCGACACCCAUAUGGGUCAGCUCUCCAAGACGGGAGGAUAAACUUUACACUCCGAAUAUCCAGACGUGGAUGAGCCUGGCUGCCCUAGUAUAACUAGAUGCACGAUGGCUUGCGCCGGGAUUCCUAGAAGUAGCCGCAAUGGUCUUUUUCAAGGCUUAGCUAACUGAAGGAUUUUGGGUCUCUUGGCCUAAUCCGUGGGGAACCGGGCCCUAGAGACGGAGAGGGCACAUUACGCAGUACAUCCGAUGGACGGCUGCCCUGGAAUCCUAAAGCUGCUACCGAGUGCACUAAGGUAGCCUACGGAUUCCGGAAGACUGCCUACGGCUUGCCCUUCGAGCAGUGAAGCCGCACUAGACUUAUACAACCGCACAUUCUUGUGAAAGGUUAAACAAGCUAGCGCGCAUAUACGAAGUUUUAUCCACUGCCGACAUGCUAUGUAGUUGAUAAGCUUCACCUCUGCCAAGCGCGGAACAACCUACACCAAGUCCUAAAGUGUUGUGAUACUUGCUACGCAACCUACGGAAUUGAAAAAAGUCAAGGUUAACAGCCGAGUGGUUACGCGGACUUGUCUACUUCUGUAAGUAAGGCAUCCGGCUGCCAACCCUAUGGCUAACAACUUUGCAAAGUUCUACACCAACACCUACGGCUGCAUAGGCUACGCGAGUUUGUCUGCUUAUAAAAAAGUAGCAUGCCUGCCACUGGUCUAUCAAGUCUAAAGGUUAGGGCAUGAACAAAAGAAGUGAAGAUGAAGAAAAACGAAGGAAAACAUGUUUAUAAACAACUAGCAAAGGCCGAAUGAGUUCAAGCAAAACAAGAGCUACAAGGAAAAACAAAGAAAAUCCUAAAGGCUACCUAAAAUACUACACUACAGCAGCUUGGACAUCCCACGACUACUCGAUCGCCACACCUUCAACAGCCGUAACGCUCUUAGCAGCGGCAUCAUCCGGCGCUUCACCCCCCGGCUGCCCUAGUCUGGGCACUAACUUCUCCAACUACUUCACCAAUGGAAGCCUUAAAAGUAAAAGCAAACAAGUCUUCCGGAGAAAUAGAGAAGGUCUUAAAACCUCAAGCCCAUCCUUCUCACCCUUCAGCUGCUCAUUCUUCUUAAGCAGACUAACACGGACGCGCUACAGCUCAUCCACUCUCUUCUUAGCAUAAGUAGCGAAACGAAGCUCAGAAAUUGCAAGCUUAAGAUCUUGAAUCUGAGGCGAAUCAAUCUCAGCAGCAAAGGGAGCAGGCUUUGGCGCCACUUUAGCAGCAGAGUCCACCUUACCACUCUUCAUAAUAGCAAGUCUCUAAAAAGGUGAACCGGACUUGGCUCCCAAAGAACGUCCUGGUACAAACUUCGGCACUGGGGGCAUGAUAAAACCUUUACGCUGAGUAAUCUUAUCCACAAUUGUACUAGCCAUUCUCAACAUGGAAGACGCCACAUGCUCAGAUCUAGCAGCCUUACAUUUCUUCCCAUUGGAAGAAGUCAUGUCAAUCACAUACCUCUCGGUAGCAAGUGGACCAUCAUGAGCAGCAGAAGAAGUCUUCAAUUUUUUCUUAACUGGCAUCUCAUGAGCAGGUGGGGAAGAUCUCUUCUUUCCAUCUUCAUUCAUAGUAAGCUCCACGAUAGCGAUCAGAUGAGCCAAUGCAUCCGCCUUGAUCCUCUUUACCUCCUCUUUCCGGAGCAGCCCACAUUUCUUUCAGCAAAUAGGACUAAGCAGCCAACGACAUUCAUGGUACUCAGCAGGGGAGCUCAACCCAGUAUUCCAGCAGGCAGGAGGCCUGCAUGCCCAACAUUCCAGCAGCCCGUGAGACCCGCAAUCUCCUUAUUUCUCUCAAUCGCAAGCCUGGCCUGAGUCAAGUCCAAUAGCCCAAAGGACAUGAGUCAUGCGAUUCGCCUAACACUGCGCCUCAGCGCCACAAUCCUCGACCCCAGCUGCACAAGCUGCCCUUGGUUCUAGCCAAGUCAAGCAGCUUAAAACAGUGGUCCCUACCACAAUACCUCAUCGGCCCAUGUCGAGCCGACUCCUGGCCUAUGCCAGCCGACGUGCCGCACCACCCCGAUGGCUGCCCUGCAAUAGCACUAUCCAAGAAGAAGGCAAGAAAAAUUAAAUUUUUCUUACAUCGGUGCGGCACGAAAAAGACGAAGAAAUCAACGAAAGACGGUCUUUUGCACAGGCAAGACGUAGAAGAUUGCUAGAGGAGAGGGAACAAAUAUCCUCUAACUUUCUCUCUCUUGUUGGGUAGAAUAAAUCGCUCUCCAAAGUUGAUUUAAUAACCCACUUAAGGUGGACUUAAAUAGGCUUUGAGAGAAAUUUAUUUCCCUUUCCUAGAAGGAUCUAAUUUCCAUUUAAAGAGAGAAUCAACAACAAAAUAGGAAUCAAUUUAGAGUUGCCUAAAGCGAGAAAAUCUCUACACCUGUUGCCCUUUUCUGCAAGCAGCCCAACAGGUGUGGGGGCAUUUGUGGAGCCAAAAAUAUUCGCUAGGCGACACGUGGACUUUUGGACAAAAGAGGACAAAAAUACCCUCGAAGCAUACAAGGAUUCCUACGCGCGAGCAGUGGGCAAUCAUCUUUCAAUCAAGUCAAAAGUGCCCAAAAAAGGUAACAAUUAAAAACCUCUCUCAUCAAAUCCUUUCUAUAAGGUAUUUCCCAAAACCUAGUAUUUUCUAUUUCAUUAUUUAGCUAAUCAAUUAGCUAAAUAAUAUAAACCUACCAUAUCUCCUAAAAUCACCCAAUUAAUAGCCCAAAACCGGCCCCCACUAUUCACAUCCUCAUCUUUCCCAUUUUCCUUAUUAAAAUAAUCAUUCAUUUUUAUAACCACCCAUUUAUUAUUUUCAUAUUUAAUUAGCCAAUAAAUUGGCAAAUUAAACAUGAAAUUAACCCCCACAAAAACCCUAUGGCUGGCUACUAUUAUUCAAAAUAGGGCAAACCCUAACUCUAUAACUAAACACAUAUUCUCACCAAAAAUUCAUUCCAACUCUCUCACAAAAAAUCACAAAUACUCUAAACACUAUUUCUCUCUAAAAUUCUAACUUUGGCAUCGGAGGUUCUUCAGCCAAAGCCCCCCAUUCAUCGUGGACGCGUGAGGCUCUUGGCCUUAACCUAGGUGCUAGUUGUUUUGUAGGUGCAAAAUCGUCCAAGAUCGAAGAGGAGAAAAUUUGCAUCCACAAUGGAUGUGCGAUUAAACCGAAGAACCCACCACCUCCAUCUUCUCCGACCAACUUGAACCCAGCCACUACUACAUGUCAUCCCGACAACCCACUCUCAGCUUCCCAAACCGCCAUUUUUCACCCACUCACUUACCUCUCUCUCUCUCUCUCUCUCUCUCUCUCUCUCUCUCUCUCUCUCUUACCCAAGCCACUGCCAUUAUUCAUUCAAUCAACCCAAAACACGAGAGCCACCCCAUCUCACCACUCGAACAGAUGCAGCCACCCACCCAUUUAAUCCCAGUCCAAAAUCAAACCCUCUCCUAAACCCACCCCAGAAUCCAAUAAUUUCAAAAAAUGGCUGAUUAUAUCAUUUCAAGAACCUCACAAUUCCAAAAACUAAAAACCCACUUCAAAGAUGUAAUAUUUUUCUCUCUUCCUCUUUUUGGGUUUUUUUUUUUUAUCAAUUCUCUUCUGGGUUUUUGUUUACAGUGUAAAAUCAACACUAAUUUACUAAUUUUGCUUUGAUUUUUCAAACACUAUUGAGGCGUGAUAACCUGUUGCAAGCUCAGCCAUGGCGGCUACUGCAAAAUCUAACGGAAAAACCAUCACAGACUCUGCCAUUUCAUCCAAGGUUCCGACAAUAGCAAACCCUUUAACGAAUAGCUGUCGCAGAUUUCUUCCAACAUCAAUCACCACGCGAAAUUAAUUGUCAAUGAAGACGAUCCCAUUCCCCUUCGAAAUCUGCUGGGGGAAAGAGGCCUUCUUUCAUAUCUGCUCUGAGACCUGUUUAUGCGAGAGAGUGGUGAGCCUGACGACAGAGAGAAAGAAGGGCAGGAUUGGAAAAUUGGAAAGUUCAUUUAUUGGUUACUGUUUAUCCGUGUUUCUUCGAAAUAAGCUGCUUUUUCCAGCUUUGGGUUUUCAGUAUUUUUUUAACCCAUAAUUUUGAAAGAAAAAAAACUGAUUUGAAAUGUUAUCAAACACUUAAAAUGUUCCAAUCUUUUUUCAUACCUAUUUUUUUUAUUAAAAGUUAAGCUAAACAAAAACCAGGAUUAAGUUUACUACUUUGAAGUUUCUUGCUUUUCAACAUUUCAUACAUUGAAUUUUUCUCAUCCAGUGUCAUACCUAAGGUGAGAAUUGUGGGACACUUUUAUACAUCCGUUAGAUUUUCUGUGAAUUAUGGGACACUUUUAUACAUCCGUUAGAUUUUUUGUGAUAACCUUCGCUGACCCACGAUGCGGCAUGCAUGUGGACAUUAAAAAAAAUUCAAAAAUUCAAAAAUUCAAAAAUUUUAAAAUUUAAAAUUCAAAAAUACUAAAAACCUAAACUUUUCAUAAUAUUGAGUUGAGAGACUGAAUCUUUUCACACUCGGCCAAAUUUUCUUUGAAUUUUAAUUAAAUGAAACAAUGAAUCUUGAACAAAGCAAAACAAAACGUAAUAUUGAGAGAUUCAGUCAUUGAAGUGGACGUGGAUGUUGGGUACUCAAUAGUCCAAGAAUGAAAAUUCUCAUAUCAGUUUCUAUCCAAAAUUUUGGAAUUAUGUGUGUUGCAACGAUUGUCCAAAGGAUUAUUCUUCUUUUAUUAAAUUUCCAUGAAAAAUGAGCAUGGGGGCAUAAAAAUUGAACGAAUGAAAUUUCAACGAUUUGAAAAGGGUUGUGAGUUUGACACGUCAUUUUUCUUCCUUUAAUGCAAUCAUGUUUAUUAAAAGACAAAAAUAAAUAUGACUUUACAUAAGGAGAGAGAAAGAAUAGUUUUCUUUGAAAAAAUCAACCAUUUAUUGAAGAGGGAUGUUGAUAAGGAGAUGAGACAUUCAUUAGAAGCUAGAAAAAAGAAGUUAAAAGUGAUUUAGAAAAAAGCAAGAAAGCCACAUUUUCAAAGUGGUGGUCAUUGCACAAUACUUAAUUAGAAGAAAACUCAUAGUAUUGUAUUUACAAUUUCAAGUCUUUAUGGGGAACGAGAGUGCAAAUUUUCCAAUUGGAAUAUGAUAUGAAAUUUCUAGAUAACUAUAUAUGACAAAGAAAGAAGUCUAAGUUUCUAAGUGGUAGGGCUUCCAAUUGAUGUGAGUUUGUUGAGAAAUGUAGAUGAAGAUGAAUAUUGUUGUUGAUGUUAGUGAACAACAGAACAAGUUGCUUCUCCUUUGGCCUUCUAACAUGAUAUCACGGAAAACAAGUUGUUGCUAAUAAAUGUAUCUGAUUGGUGGACUUAGACGUGCGCGGUACGAUUUUUGAUAACGAGAAAAGAUGGACAGUGUCAUGACAAAAUUUAUCCAAGUAGACCCAAAGGAAAGACUUAGGAACUUCAUAUGCAGUGGGAUAAAAUCUUAAGCUAAUUUCCUUACCUAUUUUAUAGUCAUUAAGUAAAAUGUAUAUGUAUAUUUCUAGAUGCUGACACACCAAUGUACUUACUAUUAACUCCUUUCAAAUACCCAUUCGCAGAAACGCAAAUCUCUCUUGCAUGCUUGUUGUAAUGCUCAUGUAGUGCGUAUCUAAUAUCUUAUGUGUAUAAUUUUUUGUGAUCCAUUUUUUCAUCACUAUGCCAAAAUCCCUUUAGAAUUUGCAAUUUAUCCAUUUGGUUAUGGUAAAAAAAAAAACUCGGAAUUUCAUUUAAACUCAAAAAUCUAGAAUUGGGAAAGCAAUUUUCCCUUGUUCGGCAACUUGUAGCGAUAGCAAAGGCAAAUUGUACAGGAAAAAAGUGGAAAUUGGGGAUGAAGAUCCAAUUUUAAUUUCGUCAAAAUAAGUGUAAUUUCACAAUUCCAACAACGUUGAGAACAAAUGCAUUGCGGGGAAAUCUUGCGACCACCAAACUUUACGAUUAGAGGGCCAAAUUUCAUGAUAAAACGUAAUAAGGGUUUAGGACUGCAUCGUUCACUUUGUUAACUCUCCAAUCUUCGACGGGAUUUUCAACUCGUGCAUCAUCUUUUGCUUUGUUCUAGGUCAAAGCCUACUCUUUUCUUUCUUGAAUUAUUUUAGCUUUGAGGGUAUACUCUUUAGGCCAAUUGUGAAUUUUGCUAGUUAUUUUUAUUUUCUGAUGGUCAUAUGUUUGUUUUGUUUUUUUUUUCUUCCAAUUGAGAUGUGUAUUGGUUGGAUCAGUAACUUUUUUUUUGGAUUUUUAUUUUUAUUUUUAUGGAUUUUGGUGUUAGUUCCUUGUUAUAGAUGUUGUGGAGCAAAAAAUAAUCUCAAAAAUCGUGGAGGUGACACACGGAUUUUUGGACAAGAAUGACAAAAUUAUCCUCGAAGCACAUCAGGAUUCCCACGUGCAUGCAACGGACAAUAACGGCUCAAUCAUGGAAGAGUCAAAGGUGAUCAAUAUGGUAUUUAUUCAAAUCCCUCUCAUCACUCCUCAUCAAUCCCUUUUUUAUUUUAUUCAAAAGGUAACUCCCAAAACUUCCUAUUUAAUUUAGGGAUCAUUGUCAUGUUAAUUGCAAGAUAUUAUUUCACAAAAUAUCUUGUAAUUAUUCUUCAAUUACCACCAUGUAUGGCCGGCCACUCCUCACAUUAUGGGCCGGUCACUCCUCACCCUAUGGGUCGGCCACUCCCUAUAAAUAGCCCUAUUAUUCCACUAAUAAGGAAGCCAUUUGCUACCCACAAACUCCUAAACACAUUCUUUCAGAAUUCUAACUUUGGCAUUGGAGAUUCUUAGGCCAAAUCCCCCCUCCCAUUCAUCAUGGGCGCAUAAGGCUUUUGGCCUUAGUCUUAGGUAUUAUUAUUUUGCAGGUGCAUUUUUGUCAAAGACGAAGAUGGUGAAAAUUUGCAUCCACAAAUUGGUGUUUUCAUUGAGAGUUUGAUUCAUAAGCUCGAAGAAGACUCACAUUCAAAGUUUCACAUUUCUCAUUCAUAAGUAAAUUUUUCAUACGUUCUUAUUCCUAAAAUUUUUUAAAUCUUUGAAUAGACGUAUGAGAGAAAUACAAUGGCUAGAAAUUUAGAAACCACGACGAACGAAACUUCCUACGUUCAAAGAUCCAGAUAAAAUGAUGGAAAUUGCGAUGUAGCCCCACCACGACGAUCCACGAAGCUCAACGUGGUGGCAAAAUGAGUAACUUGGCCACCACGGAGUACCACCACCACCAUAGCCAAGGCAACCCAUGUUGCAGUGGGGAGUGGGACAGCUUCAUGGCAGCAAAGCCACGAAGCAACAAUAAAUGCCAUCUUGCAGUAAUGAGCCCAGGCCCGUGUCACAAGGCAGUCAACCCAGCGCUAGGUAACCUAGAUCUAGUAGGCCCACGACGUUGCCAUAGCAGCUGAGGCCUAAAGCAAGGCCCAAACAGUUGCGGUUGCGGCAAAUGGAGCAGCACAACACUGGCGGGGCCAAUGCACCCUUGGCCUAAUGCUAAGCAGGCUAAAUCGCACCACACCCACUAUUCAAACUAACCCUAAGUUGAGUAAGUAGCAUUGAAGGUUGUCAACCGCAAGGCGUUGAAGUACGAAUAAAGUUACACACCCCGCACAUGACUUGGCCCACUUCCGCGGCCCAACUUGCUCGCAAGGUCCACCUAGUGAUCCCGACUAGUCGAAGGCCAGUUUAAUCAUCCCAUCUUCAGAUUUCUGGACUGACGAUUGAAUCGGGGGUAUUUUCACCCCGAUUUUCUACAGAUUUGACAUAUCUCAACUCAAAUCUCGCACUUGGAGUCCAUUGCACUUCCAUUACUCAAGGAGACGCAUACCAUUUAAGAUCUUCCAUCCCAAAUGGCGAACAACACUUGUCUCGACAAGUCAUAGAGUUGACAUGCGCUUUUGCGCAGUAGACGACCUUAGUGAAUCAGCUCUUGCAACGCACAUAGAUGCAGUGUGCCCCAGACGAUGUGUCCCGAAGUAAGACAAGUACAGAUGACGAUUCUCUCCAGCAGCGUCCCAACAAGCAGCCGCUCGACUAGCCACGAACCGAGCGUUCUGGCAGUGUACACUCCCGUCUAGGUCCUCAAGAAAGCGUAUACUCUCGUCUUAGCGCGCGAAUGAGCGUGCACUCAUGGUUAGGCCUAUGGACGAGCAUACAUUCACGGUUGGGACCAUACUCUUAUAAUUAACAUGGACAACCUGCUAGACGAAGUGUUCAUUCGCGGCUAGGCCCGCAAAAAGCAUUUUCCACCUCAUAUUGGAGUAAGCAGCACAGAAGACGAAGAUAAGCAGUCAAUUAAUCUGGCUCAAAUUCAAUCGGCCACCUGUAAGUAACCAGUUCGCCUGCCAAGAACGUAUCAUAUGCAAUGUAGCCACGACAUAGACUAGAUGAGCACAACGAUAAGCAACCUAGACUAACAGGUUACGACUGGGGGCAGCCAGAAGCUCUGCUGCCCCAAUAGAGGUAAAUUUAGAAAGAAGUUGAGAGGCUCAUGACCGAACAAUUGUGCGAUUUCCAACGCAACGAAGCUACUGACAAGGCGCUUAAACGAUACACGACCAACAUAAAUGGGUCACCUUUUAUUGACAAGAUUGAGCAGACAGAACCAUCCUACAUACACUGGCGGAUACAAAGAUUACAUCUAUUUUAACAUAUGCAUCAACUCAGCCUAAUGGCGUGUCGAGGGCAAAUGGGUACCAGAAUGGCACACCAGCCCAACCACCAAGAACCAGGGCCAAAUCUUAUUUUCAUCACUCCACACGAUUCAAUACUUGAGCAGCACAUCACCAGUAAUCGAGCACCGCAGACCUAAUGGUCCAAUUCCUCCUGAUGCACACAAGCUCACCCCAGCUCCACGCUCAAAGCCUUGCCUACCUGCUCCACAACACUCAGCCACCCUUGAUUUGUCACCAUGGCUCACAAUUAUGCCAAUUUUGCACCACAGCUCAUAGCCGUGCUAAUCUUGCCAUGCGGCUCUUAACUACGUUAACCAAGCCCACGAUACUUUAUACUUCAAAGCAUCCAACGACGGAGUAGAACACGAGGCUCUACUAGCAGCCCCUGCUAGUGAAAGACUUUGCGGUGAAGAGGCUUCCAAUCCAUUCAAAUUCUCAGUUGACCACCUGUUGGGUUUUACGACUCAAAAUUAGGAUGAUGCAAAAAAAAUUGUGUUACCUAUUUGGUUUUGGUGUCGUAUUUGGGUUUGGAUUUUGACCUCUUAGUUGGUUUCCGUGGUGGAGAGAUUUUGUUAAUUACCUAUUUGAUUAGGAUUUGGAUUUACUUCCUAUUAAGAUUCUUAUUGUAACCUAAGUCUUAUGCACUAUAAAUAGGACCUCAGGGUUAGUGUAUUUUGUGUGGCUCAUUCGUGUGGCAAUUUGGUGAGAGUCAAUUUGUGAGUUUGUGAGUUAGAGAGCAAUUUGGGAGAAUCUUCUCCGUUAGUUUUGGGUUCUCUACUCGUUUGGUUUAGGGUUUGUAAUUUGUGGGAUUUGGAUUGUGAGAGUCUGAACACUAUUUUGUAAUCUCCGUUUGUUUAGUGAAAUUUCUUGUCAUGCUUCGCUCGUGGACUUAGAUUUUACACCGAACCACAUAAAUCUCUUGUGUUAGUUUGAGAUUGUUUGUUUUAGUUUUCACCUACGACGUUGAUAUCGGUACUUUGUUAGAAUUCGCUUUCCUUUGCUCAUAAAAGUACAACAAGUGGUAUCAGAGCCCGGCUUUCGGCUUGGGCUUUGCUUGGCAAUCACUAUGAAGCCUUCUGUGUCGUCGGUGAAAGUUGAUAUUGAAAAGUUCGAUGGCAAUGACUUUGGUAUUUGGCAAUUGAAGAUGCGUACUUUGUUAAUUCAACAAGAGCUUUUAAAAACGCUAAAGGGUGUGAAGGCUUUCCUGAAUUCGUGGACUGAUGAAGAAAAAAAAAGAUGUUAUGGAGCGGGCACUUGGAACAAUCCUGCUAACUUUAUCGAAUGAAGUCUUGCGUCAAGUUGGUAGCAUCAAAUCUGCACCGAAGUUGUGGCUAAAAUUGGAGAGUUUGUAUAUGACCAAAUCCCUUGCUAAAUGGUUGUAUUUGAAGAAAAGUUUGCGUACUCUUCGUAUGGAUGAAGGUACGUCAAUUCAUAAGACCAAAUCCUUAUUGCUGCCAAAAGUCCUCAACAGUUCCAAGGGAGAUGGGUAAGAGUUCGUAAUAGUGAGAGAUUGAAUCUUUUCACACUCGGCCAAAUUUUAAUUUUAAUUAGAUGAAACAAUGAAUCUUGAACAAAGCAAAACAAAAUUUAAUACUGAGAGAUUGAAUCAUUGAAGUGGACGUGGAUGUUGGGUACUCAACAGUCCAAGAAUGAAAACUCUCAUAUAAGUUUUUAUCCAAAAUUUUGGAAUUAUGUGAGUAUUGCAACGAUUGUCCGAAUGAUUAUUCUUCUUUUAUUAAAUUUCCAUGGAAAAUGAGCAUGGGGCACAAAAGUUGAACGAAUGAAAUUUCAAUGAUCUGCAAAGGGAUUGUGAGUUUGACAUGCCAUUUUUCUUCCUUUUAUGCAGUCAUGUUUAUUAAAAGACAAAAAUAAAUAUGACUUUACAUAAGGAGAGAGAAAGAGUAUUUUUCCUUGAAAAAAUCAACUAUUUAUUGAAGAGGAUGUGGAUGUUGAUUGAUGCGCAUUGUGAAUAGGAAAAAAAUAACCUUGAAGGGAGACGAGACAUUCAUUAGAAGCUAAAAAAAAGUUAUAGUGAUUUAGAAAAAAAAAGUUUUAACGAAACAUUUCCGGUACUGUUUACUCUUUACGAAAAACCACAUUUUUACCUUUCCUAACUACUAUUCACUACAUCUUUAUUUAUCAUUUUUCAUUAAAACUAAAGUUUUUGUUUUAACUUUUCGUUAGUUUCCUUUAGAAAAAAGCAAGAAAGCCUCAUUUUCAAAGUGGUAGUCCUUGAAACAAUACUUGAUUAGAAGAAAAGUCAUAGUAUUGUAUUUACAAUCUCAAGUCUUGAGGGGUAACGAGAAUGCAAGUUUCUAAUUGGAAUAUGAUAUGAAAUUUCUACAUAACUAUAUAUGACAAAGAAAGAAGUCUAAGUUUCUAAGUGGAAGGGCUUCCAAUUGAUGUGAGUUUGUUGAGAAAUGAAGAUGAAGAUGAAUAUUGUUGUUGAUGUGAGUUAGUGAACAACAGAACAAGUUGCUUCUCCUUUGGCCUUCUAACAUGAUAUUACCGGAAAACAAGUUGUUACUAGUAAAUGUAACUGACUGGUGAACUAAGACAUGCGGUACGAUUUUUGAUAACUAGAGAAGAUGAACAGUGUCGUGACAAAAUUUAUCCAAGUAGACCCAAGGGAAAGACUUAGGAACUUCAUAUGCAGUGGGAUAAAAUCUUAAGCUAAUUUCCUUUUUAAUCUUAUAGUCAUUAUGUAAAAUGUAUAUGCAUAUUUCUAGAUACAUACACACCAAUGUACAUAAUAUUAACUCCUUUUAAGUAGUCAUUUGCAAAUCCCUCUCGAGUGCUCUUUGGAAUGCUCAUGUGGUGCCGUUCUAAUCUCUUAUAUAUAACUUUUUGUGAUCCAUUUUUUCAUCAAUAUGCCAAAAUCCCUUUAGAAUUUGCAACUUAUCUUUUUGGUUACGGUAAAAAAAAAACUCGGAAUUUCAUUUAAACUCGAAAAUCUAGGGAUGUGAAAGCAAUUUUCUCUUGUUCGGCAACAUGUAGCGAGAGCAAAGGCAAAUUGUACAGGAAAAAGUUAGAAAUUUGGGAUGAAGAUUCCCAAUUUUAAUUUCGUCUAAAUAAGUGUAAUUUCACAAUUCUAACUACGAUGAGAAUCACAAAUAUAUUGCAGGGAAAUCUUGCGACAACCAAACUUUACGAUUAGGGUGCCAAAUUUCGUGAUAAAACCUAAUAAGGGUUUAGGGCUACAUUGUUCACUCUGUUAACUCUCCAAAUCUUCGACGGGAUUUUCGGCUCGUGCAUCAUCUUCUUGCUUUGUUCUAGGUCAACGCCUCUACUCUCUUCUUUCUUGUAUUAUUUUAGCUUUUCAGGUAGACUCUUUAUGGCUGUUGUGAAUUUUGCUAGUUAUUUUUAUUUUCUGAUAGUCAUUUGUUUGUUGUGCGUUUUUCCUUCCAAUUGAAUUGUGUAUUGGUUGGAUUUGUAACAUUUAUUUUUUUUAUUUUAUUUUAUGGAUUUUGGUGUUAGUUCUUUGUCAUGGAUGUUGUCCUUUUGAAGGUUAACAAUAGCCAAGACUAAACAUGAUGAUUUUGGUGUUAAUUACUUUCUCAUGAUACUAAUGCCAUAUUGUUCUCUAUUUUGCACUCACAAGUAAAGAGAAAUAUCCUAGACCCUAACUGGAUAUGUUAUUGUCAUGGUCAUGCAUUGGUAUGGUAACAAUAUGUUUGGAUAAGGAAAAUAAACUUAGAAUUUGACAAAAGAUAAAAUUUAUAAAUUGAUACAAUCAAUUCCUUUGUUUAGAUUCAUAAACAUAGAAAUUUAAACUUUCCGCGUGAGAAAAAACUUGGAAUUUGGGACCUUCAAUUCUCAUGUUUAAAUUUUAUGUAAAUAGGUGUCAUUUCUAAAUUUCAGUAAGUGAGAAUUUAAAAAUAACAAACAUGUAUUCAAAUUUCAUUCAUCUUUUAGGUUAACCAAACAAGAAAUUUUAUAAAUUCUAGAAAAUAAAAUUUCGUUAUUUCAAUUUCUGUUAUUUUAAAAUUAGUAAUCUUAAAUUUUCUCAUCCAAACAAAAAGUUUCCUUGUCAUAGAACUUUCAAUUGGGAUCAAGGAAGACAAUCUUUUCACAACUGAUUAUUCUCACCAAAUUUUAUUAUUAUUUUAAAGCAGAUCAAUACCAAACUUCAAAAGCAAAGUAGGAAGGCUAAAAUUAAGGUGAAGAACCUACUUCCACUAAUUACCAUGGGAGGGAGAGAGAGAGAACCAAGCGAGAGAGAAGAGAGAGAAAACACCAAGUAGUAUUAUAAUAUAGGUGGGGUUAAAUCACCUUUCGUGAAGUUGUAGUAAGAGCAGCUCCAGCGGGAGCUCCAACUUGAUGUACCGGUGAGAUUUCCUACCCAAUAGCCCCAGCUCCUUGCUCCAGUCCAUGCGGGUGAUUGGGCUGAGGGGGGCCGAGUGAGAGGCCUGACUCGAAUCGGUGGCCUGAGAGCCUGAGACCAAAAAUUAUCUUUUUGGAUAAUGACACGUGGUGCAACGAGAACGAUUAAAAAUCUUAUCCGAAAUUACAAAUAGAAUUAUUUUGUAUUAUUUUAUAAAAUAAAAAAUACUAAUAUUUUAUUGCUUAUUGACAUGACUAUUCAAUUACGGGUGGAGAUGCAGAAGACAAUUAUUAUUCAUUAAAGGUAAUUAUUGUUCAUUGGAGGGGAUUGAAUAUGAAGUUGCACUAGAAGGCCUUUGUCACGGCAAUAGGCAAUUACUGUUCUAAGGACUUCUAUCCUAGAAGAGAGACAAAAACACCAAGUAGUAUUAUAAUAUAGGUGGGGUUAAAUCACCUUCCGUGAAGUUGCAGAUAGAGUAAGGACUUCUAUCCUAGAAGAGAGACAAAAACACCAAGUAGUAUUAUAAUAUAGGUGGGGUUAAAUCACCUUCCGUGAAGUUGCAGAUAGAGUAAGGACUUCUAUCCUAGAAGAGAGACAAAAACACCAAGUAGUAUUAUAAUAUAGGUGGGGUUAAAUCACCUUCCGCGAAGCUGCAUUAAGGACUUCUAUCCUAGAAGAGAGACAAGAACACCAAGUAGUAUUAUAAUAUAGGUGGGGUUAAAUCACCUUACGUGAAGUUGCAGUAAGGACUUCUAUCCUAGAAGAGAGACAAAAACACCAAGUAGGAUUAUAAUAUAGGUGGGGUUAAAUCACCUUACGUGAAGUUGCAGAUAGAGUAAGGACUUCUAUCCUAGAAGAGAGACAAAAACACCAAGUAGUAUUAUAAUAUAGGUGGGGUUAAAUCACCUUCCGUGAAGUUGCAGUAAGGACUUCUAUCCUAGAGAAAAGUCGGUCAAUGGUGUUUGACACAGUCAGUCAACGAUAAAGACAGAAUUGUGUAACCAUAAUUCUCUCUCUAUCUCUUUUUCAUUAACGGAGGACAGUGUAUAAUUACUACGUAUACAUCUCUGCUCAAUUAUUGAAAAGAAAAAUCCAUGUGCAUUAUUUUUAUUAUUAUUAUCUCAGAAAUGCAGAAAUUGAUCAUCUCUUCCUUCUGCAUAUUGAUACUGGUUUUCUUCAAACUAGUUGAAGCAAGCCAAUAUGUGUGCGCGAAAUCCAACUGUAGCAAUGAUCAACGCCCGGCUAUCCAUUUCCCAUUGAACAUCAGGCGCACACAUCAUUGUGGAAAUUCUGGGCUUGAAUGCAAUGGGAGAUAUGGGCAGCAAAUACUAAUAAAAUUAUUUGUCAAACACAUUGAUUACAAGCGUCAGGAAAUCCAAGUCUAUUCCCCAAGUAACUGCCUGCUGCUAAAGCAUGUUGAAAUCCCAAACAUGCCACCCUCUCCCUUCAACGUGUCAGUCGAUGACUACAUGAGUACCCUUACCUUAUUCAGUUGUCCUACUUCUGUUGCAAGACGAGAUACGUAUCAAGUCCCCUGCCUCGGCGACCCUGGCAAGAAAACUUAUGCCAUUCGUUCUUACUAUGAUUUUGGAACUCUCUUCCAGAAUCUACAAUCCUGUACAAAAAUGUAUGAUGUUUUAUCAGUUCCAAUAGCCUAUGAAUAUUAUGUUUUUCGUUUCAAAUGGUCUAUACCAAAUUGCAGAAAAUGUGGAGAGGGAAAGAAGUGUGGAUGGCAGAACAAUGAAAUUAAAUGUCUUCCCUGGAGGAAACCAAGUAAGGAUAACAUAUGUAUUCAUUGCUAGUUUUAAACAUCUUUACAUUUAUGUCUUAGUAAUUAUUAUUUGAAGGAUGUUGUCCAAUCCAUUUUUACUAGGAAUAUUACCUGACAGUCUCGUUUAAAUUCGCAAUGAUCUUCUACAGGCAACACAUGGAAAAAAGUGGUUACAGGUGGAAUCCUGUGUGCUUUGCUUCUUGUUCUACUGACGAUUGCAGCAUAUCGGGUAUAUAGCGCUGAUAGAAAGGAGAAAGAGAGUCGAUUAAGAAUUGAAAGAUUCUUGGAGGACUACAAAGCACUCAAACCAAGCAGGUAUUCGUACGCAGAUAUUAAGAGGAUUACAAAUCAAUUCAAGGACAAGUUGGGCCAAGGAGCCUAUGGAACUGUCUUCAAAGGAAUGCUCUCUUCUGAAUUUUUUAUUGCUGUCAAAGUCCUCAACAGUUCCAAGGGAGAUGGGGAAGAGUUCGUAAAUGAAGUGCGAACGAUGGGUCAUAUCCACCAUUUAAACGUGGCUCGCUUGGUUGGAUUUUGUGCUGAUGGAUUUGUACGAGCUCUUGUUUACGAGUUCUUCCCCAAUGGUUCCCUGCAGGAUUUCAUUUCAUCUGCAGAUAGUAAGAAUUCAUUUCUUGGUUGGGAUAAACUGCAAGAUAUUGCCCUAGGCAUAGCCAAAGGAAUUGAAUAUCUUCACCAGGGAUGCGAUCUACGAAUCCUGCAUUUCGACAUCAAACCCCAUAAUGUUUUGCUAGACCAAAACUUCACUCCAAAAAUUUCUGAUUUUGGUAUGGCCAAGUUAUGUUCCAAGGAUCAAAGCUUGGUGUCCAUGACUACAGCUAGGGGGACCAUGGGCUACAUUGCACCUGAAGUGUUCUCCAGGAAUUUCGGAAAUGUGUCUUACAAGGCAGAUGUCUAUAGCUUUGGAAUGCUGCUGCUUGAGAUGGUAGGAGGAAGGAAGAAUAUUGGUUCAAU
rnacentral:lncRNA from 1 species